rnacentral:lncRNA from 1 species
CAUGGGAUGAUCAUAUCCAAAUUCCUCUUCGGCUUGACUCAACAAAUUUUGGAAUAAAGGAUCAUUCAAGUAUGAUAUUGGAAUCACAAACCGCUUCUUCUGUCUCUCCCCAACAUACACAGCAAAAUAGCCUUUUGGGAUAUCUAAGGUCUUUGAAGCUGUCUGUUUUGAAUUAGAUAGAGACCGGACGAGACUUCUCUUCGCGCUAACAAUUCCAGGCAACUGGAAACCCAUCGAUUUAUGUUCUCAAGGGGAUAAAAGAACUAGAAAAGGAAUUCGAAGGACUUGGAAAAAAGAGAAAGCUUUGAUAUAUUCUUGGGAAGGUGAAGAUUGAGUUGCUAAUGCCAUUGUGAACUUGAUCAUGUGUAUAUAUAGAUGAAAGGGUUUGCGAAAAAAUCUUAUGGUACAUGAAAUUAUUGGUCAAGAGGAACUGCAAAGAGAAACGAUGAGAGAAACUAGCUUAUACCAAAUCACAUGGCUUUGUCUUGCUGCUCACAUAACUCCCUACUCCGACAGAUUUUUCGGACAGAUUCUUGUGUGGAAGCAGGAUUCCCUACCUCCUCCGGAUAACAGGCAACAUAAGACACUAGAUGUGAAUUUUGUUCAAAUACAAUUAUUUAUGCCUGUCAGAUAAGCGGCAUUUUGCUUCAGACAUGCAUGUUAAUCACUAAUCACGAAUUACUUUCUGGUUAGGCCUUGCUAACGACUGGGUAACCCUUUGUUGCAUCCAAAUGUUCUCAAAUAAUCAAUUGCUUGCACACUGGAUGUUAAACAAGUGGGCCAACAGUAGUGCAUACGUUAUGCCCCAUCAAACAAAAGUUUGUGGGAUAAUUUGCAUUUCAUUGUAACCAUAGGAUAAAUGCUAACUUGGCAAACAAGAAUAUGUGGUGCUAUGAAAAUCUGGCAUGGGGCCUGAUGUAUAAGAAGGGAUGUGACUUUGUCGAUUCAUCAAAGAGUAAAGAAAGUUCAAUCUCAUUUUGUUUUGCCUCUAUGGAAUCUAACCAGAAAACCGAUCUAUUGGAACACUAGAGACAAUGAACACUGAUGAUUCACUAUUAGAUCAAACACUUUGAACUCAAUCUAAGAAACCAAAGCAAAAAUCUGUUAAAGUUAUCUAUGUAGAUUGAACUCUUGUUUUAGCAACUCCGUUGGCAUGCAUGUUUCAGAAGAUAAAUUGAUAAAAACCGGCUAAAAAUUAGUAAUUGAAUAAUCAAGACUCUUACCGUUUACCAUUUUGUAGGUUGACCGAUCAUACAAAUCAACUUCCGCCACAAUGAUUUUGUUCUACGAGAUAUUUAAAAUUUAGGAUCUGCCAAAACACAUCGGUUUGUACCUAUUCCUGCUCACGUAACUCAUCCCUGAAUAGAUUUCUAAUGAACAAGACCAAACUCAAUCCGUGUGUGCACAUAAGAUCUUAUUAAUUUUUUGAAAAGUGCUUACUUUUUUAAAAGCAGUAGGUAAUACGUACAUAUCUAAAUCCCGUUUGAUAACAAAGAUUAUUGUUAUCUUAAGGGGCCUUAUCUGUUCCAGUCAAGAAAUUAUGGACACAUAUGUCUGAAGCAUGUCCUCUACUGUGUUCAAAGGAAGUAAGUCGCUCAAAUGAAGAAGUAGUUUUUCCUGUCCACUCGUCUAUCUAAAUAUUUUCAAGUGGGGUUCCAUGUUUGUAGGUUGUCAUAAAAAUGGUUGUGGCGAAAAUGUUCACCAACAAAUAUACAGACUCAAAAGCUACCAAGUUCUUGAGAUUGAGAUGGAAGACAACGCUAUCAGAUCCUUCAAAUGUUUAUGUAACUUGCCAACCCUAACAUAUUUUCUUCCAUACAUUUUUUCUACAUUACAGAUAUUUCCCAAAUUCCUAAAUACACCAUUUCGAGUUUCAUCUGUAUAUGUACGUACAUACACACACUUGCAUAAUAUCCCAAAACAAGUCAUCACAAUAUGUACUAAAUUUUUCCUCUAGUUUAUUCUGAAGUAAUAACAUACACGACUUAAUAUGGCCAUCAGGUUUGUAUACUAAUGCAUUGCUUUGGAAUUGCUUUUGUUAAUAUUAUUAUUUGUCGUCAUUCAAUAUUAUGGUCUAGUGGUAUUCCUCUUCUCUUGGAAGUGAGAGGUCUUAAGUUCGAAUCUCGUGAAUGGCGAAUUCGAUACCAAAUUAGGCUGUCCAUUGUGUGGUUUAGCUGAACUCUCCCUUCUCUUAAUGUAAAAAUAUCAAUGUACUAAAAAAAAUUAUUAUUUGUCAAAGAGAUAAAAAAAAGAUGGUACCUGCUCCAAGAAAAAGAAUAAUUUAGCUACUCAUGAAGGCAAUCACAUCAUGAAAAAGAGUGAAAAAUGAAAUGGAGGAAAGGAGUUGACGGGAAGAUAAGAGAGGGAAAGUUUUGUUUUGAUUUUAUUUUUCAGUUUUUUAAUUAUUUUGAAGAGUGACACGACUUAAUUAUUCUCACAUGUUGUGCACAUGCUUCCCUUUAACAAGAAUUGGCACAAAAUAUAUGGAAAUCUAGACGAUAAGGAGGAAAUCAGCUAAAAUAUGAGUUUGAGUCCUUAAUUUUUUAAUAUAAAAGUUUAGAGAGAAAGUCGAAAGUUAAUACCGUGUUUGGAUGAGAAAAUUUAAAUCACUAAGGAAUUCUAAAACGACGAAAUUAUAAAUUACAGAAUGUUAUAGCUUAUUUUAUCUGACAAUGGUAAGAGGGCCAACGACAAGGAGAAGAGAUUGAGAGAGAUGUGUUUGUAGAAUUGUAGGGGAGUGUGUGUGUUAUCCUUCCUACAUAGUGCCUUUAUUUAUAGUAGUAAAAAGGAGAGAAGAAAUUCCUUCAUCCCCAAGGAAUACAAGUUGUAAUAGCAAAGGAUAACUAGAAUCAAAUCUAAUCUAGGAUUUACACAAUCACACUUAAACUAGGAAAGUUUACAACACUCCCCCUUGAGUGUGUAAAUACUCAAGGUAGAUUCAGCAUCAUGCAGAAGUUGAAAAAGUCGACUCGUCGGCACUGAUUCUAAGGAACAACACUUAUUCUCAAUAAGGUAGGAAUUUGCAUAAGUAAGUAAGUCUCACUAAAAAACCCUAAGGCUAUGGCAAAAACCCGAGAAGGGACAAAAUCCAUAGUCUAAGGAAAAAUGUGUGAGAAAUACAAAGUCAAAAGAAACGUCUACUGGACGUCAUCAGGGAUAUGACCAGCCCAAGGUGGCUGCUUUGUUAAAACCUAGUUAGGUAGCAAAAAUCUAGUGGGAAAAAUGCUCCUAAUCGUAAGGAAAAAGAGUACAUUAAGAUCAAGCAAGCAUCUUCAGGAUACUCCCUCUGAGUUUGACACAAUUCCAAAGAGAAAUAGAAAUGUUACAACUCAGAAAGUUUACGCAUACCAAUUCCAUGAACAAGCUACUGAAAUGUCGUCUUCGACAGUGAUUUGGUGAAGAGGUCGGCCAUGUUGUCUUGUGAAUGGAUUUGAGUGACUUCAAUCUUCUGAUGCUCUUGUUGUUGAUGUGAAAAGAAGAACUUCGACAUAAUGUGCUUGGUGUUGUCUCAUUGGAUAUAACCCUUCUUGAGUUGUUCGAUGCAUGCUGCGUUGUCUUAAAAGAUUGCCGUAGGGACAUAUACGAUGAGAUAAAGAUCACAUAAGCUUCGAAUAUGGCCCACUACUACUUUCAACCAAAAACAUUCCAUAGUUGUUUCAUGUAAGGCGAAAAUUUCAGCAUGGUUAGAAGAAGUGGCAACUAUGGUUUGUUUAGUUGACCUCCACGAGAUUGUAGUGCGUCUAACGGUAAAAACAUAACCCGUUUGAGAACGUGCCUUGUGCGGAUCAGACAAGUAUCCUGUGUAGGCAUAACCAAUAAGGCGAGAAUCGACUCCAGAAAUAGGGGUUGCGACAUCACUCGAGGAUCCGUAGGGAUAGAACAAGCCCAAGGCCAUAGUACUCUUAAGGUAACGGAAGAUGUCUUUCACACCAGUCUAGUGUCUGCAUGUUGGUGCAUUACUGUAUCUUGCCAAAAGAUUAACAACGAAGUAUAGUAAAGUGCCUAUCACACGUAGAUAAGGAACUUCAAGCUCCAAAAUCUCUUCAUCAUCCUCCAUUGGAUGGAAGGGAUCUCGUUUUGCAUCUAGCGAUUGAACGACCAUAUAAGAGUACUCGAAGCCUUCGCUUUAUCUUUAUUAAAGCGACGCAACACCUUUUGGGUGUAGUUCGAUUGAUGUACUAAGAUUUCAUCUGAACAAUGCUUUAUCUAGAGACCGAGACAAUAUCGAGUCUUACCUAGAUCUUUCAUCUCAAAUUCUAACUUCAAGUGCACGGUAGUUCUCGCGAGCUCUUCAGGAGUUCCGAUAAAGUUCAUGUCAUUGACAUAUACUACAACAAUCGCAAAUUCGUAAUGUGACUUCUUAAUGAACACAUAAGGGCAUAGUUCAUUGUUGACAUAUCCUUGACUAGUCAAAUACUCACUCAGAUGGUUAUACCACAUUCUUCUAGAUUACUUCAAACCGUAGAGUGAACGCCUUAGCUGAAUUGAGAGCGUGUUCCGGGGUUUGGAAAUAUUUGAACCAGCUAAUGUAAGUCAUUCGGGAACUUUCGUGUAAACUUUCGUAUCAAGAUCCCCAUAGAGAUAUAUAGUUACUACGUCCAUCACGGGUGGAUAAGUUUCGUCAUAGUCAAUCCCGUGGCAUUGUGAGAAGCCUUAUGCAACAAGACGAACUUUGUAACGCAUAAUUUCAUUCUUCUCAUUACGCUUCCAAAUGAAAACCCACUUGCAGCUAAUGGGUUUUAUAUAUGGAGGAGUAGGAGUUACAGGUCCAUACACCUAACGUUUCGUAAGAGAAUCGAGUUUGACUUGAAUUGCUUAUUUCUAGUUUGACCAAUCAGUUCUAUGUCGACAUUCAUCAAUGGAACGCGGUUCAAUGUCAUCGCUUAACAUGAUCUCAGUAGCUACUGCAUAUGUUAAUGCAUCGUCGACAAUCAUCUCAUUUCUGUGCCACACAUCAUCUAAGCUAGCAUAAUAGAUCGAAGUUUCACGAUUCUCGGAAGGAGGAUUCGUCUCUUUAAGGAUGCUUCAAUAAUCUAGAAUUUCCUCAUGAGUUGGAUAGAAUGAGUAAGCGAUAGUCGGAUUCACGGUAGGCUCUUCGGGACCUUGUGUCUUGGAUUUCCUCUUCCUGGGGUGUGAAUCCUUUGAACCAAGGGGUCUGCCACGCUUUUGUGUAAGGACAGAUGAUUGGCUAGCCGCUAAUGUACGUGGAUCACCAAGAUUGGCACCUCGGGCCUCCAGGAAGAAAGUCAAUUGUACAUUUGGUACGUCCAUCUUUGCAGGCGUAUUCGUAACUGUAAUAUGUGAUCUUGUUACUCAUGCUAGAUCAGUGAAAACAUUUGGCAUGCUCUGGAGAUCUAAUAUGCGAUGCACUUCAAUUUCUGACUGAGCAGUGUGAGGAUCUAAAUGAGACAAAGUGGGAGUCACUCAUGAUAAUUCGCGUCGUUCUUCAGGAAUGUUGACGUUUUUAUCUCCCCUUAAUGAUGGGAAGACUGUCUCAUAUAAGUGACAAUAUGCGAAACAAGCAGUAAACAAAUCGUCUGUCAAAGGUUCUAAGUAACGAAUAAUCGAAGGAGAAUCAUAUUCGACAUAGAUUCCCAUCCUUCGCUGAGGCCCUAUUUUUGUACGCAAGGGUAACGAGAUCGGCAUAUAUGCCUUAUAACAAAAAAUGCGCAGAUGCGAUAUGUCAGGUUUGUAUCCAGUAACCAACUGAAGAGCACUAAAUGGUUGUGUCACAACAUGCCUUAGGCGGACCAACUUUGCUGCGUGCAAUAUUGCAUGACCCCAAGCAGCGAUCAGGAGCUUGGUACGUAUGACCAACGAUCGAGCAAUUAUUUGUAAGCGCUUGAUGAAAGCCUUUGCCAGGUCAUUCUAGGUGUGAACAUGGGGUAUGAGAUGUUCAACUUCAACCCCAAUCGACAUGCAAUAGUCAUCAAAAGUUUUAGAUGUGAAUUCUCCAUAAUUAUCCAAUCGAAUAUAUUUUAUUGGAUAAUCAGGGUGGUGAGCCUUGAGCUUGAUAACCUAAGUCAAGAGUUAGGAGAAUGUAGCGUUCCUUGUGGACAACAAGCACACGUGUCACCAACAUGUGGAAGCGUCAACCAAAACCAUAAAGUAUCUAAAUGGUCCACAUGGAGGGUGGAUCGGUCCACAAAUGUCCCCCUAAAUUUGUUGUAGAAAAAAUGUGACUAUUUGAACAAUCUUGUCAUAAGAAGGCUUAGUAAUAAGCUUUCCCAUAUAACAUGUUUGACUUGCGAUUCCUUGGAUCGAACCUAAACUUCGAGUUAGUGGAUGCUCGUGUGAUGAUUUGAGGAUUCGGCGCAUCGUUAUUCGUCUAGGAUGUCCCAAACGAUCAUGCCAAAAUGUAAUUUCGUGUGCGAUCCUAGUAGUAGGGCCAGCCACAUAGUGGCAUUCUAUAGGGUGUAUGGUUGUAAUAUACAGACCACUCGGGAUACGCUCCAUCUUCUCUAGAAUACGCUUUUGGCCAUAUUAGUAAAACGUUAUGCACAGAAAUUUAACUCCGUCAUCUAUGUGGAUUUCAGAGUGGUAAUUGUUAUCUCUAAUGUCUUUGAAACUUAACAACGUUCUUCCGGAACGUGGAGAAUAGAGUGCCUCAGUAAUGGUAAAGAAUGUACGAUUGGACAACAUUAUACGUGCCUUACCUUAUCCUUUUAUCAGGUUGGAUGAGCCUGAGAAGGUUGUCAGAUGUGCAUUCUUAGGUAUGAAGUUAGUUAAAUAGAUGCGUUCACGCAAAAUGGUGUGCGUGGUUGCAUUAUUUUCCAAACAACUAACUUCCCCACUAGUCAUACCUAGAAUGAAAAAUUAAUUUGAAUUGGUCACAUGCGUAAAAGUUCUAAAAACAAAUAUCAAUUCAAAACAAUUUCAUUUAUUCAAGUAUGGUAAUUAAUUAAAACUUAAUAUCGAAAAAACAAAUACCAACAAAUAAUCCAAACAUAAAGGAAAAUUGUUCAAAAAUCAACUAAAAGACAAGGGAGGUUCGGCCACUAGGUUGAAUUCGGCCCCAUUGUGCAAUUUUAGCUAACUAAAAUGGUUUAUGUCUAAGAUUCUAAUCUUCCAUAGGGGUGGUAUCCUCUUGAAAGUCAGAAACCUCCAUCUUUGUAGUCUCUAGUUCGUUUACUUGCACGAAGUUUGAUUCAAACUUUUUACGACAAGAAUGAUAUUCAACUACAACCUUCUGGGUAGCUCAGCAAACACGGGACCAAUGGUCCUUUGUACCACACGAUAACACAUAUCUGCAUCAAUGGUUUCGGAUGUUUUGCCCUUAUUCUUGAAGUUUGGGGCCUUGGGAGUGAGGUUUGAGCGCUUAUGGGCUUUGUUUCCUCCCUUAGAUGGGCCUUAACUCUAUUGACUUUUGCGGGGUGGCUUCUGGCCGCCUUUACCAUGCCUCUUUUGGCAUUUUGGGUGUUGAUUUGUGCUAUAAUGUGCUUCAGGCAUAACAGUCGCCCCAGUAAGUCGAGCUUGAUGAUUCUUCAUCAACAGCUGGUUCUUCUUUUGAGCGAGAAGUAAAAUAGAGAUCAAAUUUGAGAACUUGGUGAAAUUUUGAGCUCUAUAUUGUUGCUGUAGGAUAAUAUUAGAAGAAGAUAAGGUCGAAUAGGUCUUUUCAGGAGAUCCUCUUCAGUCAAAGUUUAGUUACAAACUUGAGAAGUUAUCGGAUUUGACAAACUUCAAAAUUAUAUUCAUUCAACAAACUUCAGGCAAAAAUAUGUCAUUUUGGUGAUUAAAACGAUCAGCCAAAGUGACCCAUAAUGCACGUGGAUCCUUCUCAACAAGAUAUACAAUUUUCAAAUCAUCAUGGAUAUGUCUUUUGAUGAAGAUCAUAGCAGUGGCUUUUUCAACUUCGCUAACACGGUUGUCUGUCUCUUUUUCAAUGGUGGGAAACAAGUUCUUUGGAGUGAGGCGGGGCUUCACAUCUUGGACCCACUUGAGGUAGUUCCUUCCAGAGACCUCCAAAACGGUGAAGUUGAGUUUGUUCAAAUUCGACAUGUUCCUGUCACAAAAUAGAUGGACAAGAUGUGGUUAGUGUAAUGGAGAAAAACCAAUCCAUUCACAUAGGAGUAGAGCAUACAUGUUCUAACAGACAUGUAUUGGUUUAAUUUUGCAUGAGAAAACUUCGGGUUUUCAUGGGUGAUGUUUUUAAAUGGAAACUUCAGCUUUAGAAACAAGGCAUGUUUUUAAGAAACUUCAGGUUUCAAAAUAAUUAUGAACUUCAGGUUCAUAUGUUCCUGCAGGCAAACACAAAUACAUACACAAAAAUAUGAAACAAGAAUAUAUGCAAAUAGAACUUCAAGUCUAUAACUAUAAUUGAGUUAAUUUUUUGGACUUCGGGCCAAAUUUAAAGUGUGGGUGAAAAAUAUAAAACCCAUUAGGCCUAAAAUAAUUAGGCAAAUAAACUUGGGGCCCAAAAAAAGGCCUAAGCCAAUGGGUGGCUUAAUAAAAUGGGUGUCGUGCAUCCUAGGCCCAAGAAUGGGUUGGGUUUAGUCUUGGGUCAAGCAAGCAUACAAGCCCUUGCAUCACAAGGUAAUUAGGUUGAAUGUGUAAGCCCAAAAAAAAUAAAAAGAAGGCUCAUAAAGGGCACGACUUGCCUAUGAUGCAAUGCAGGGAGACGGUAGGAGCCUAGAGGGCUCGACUGCAUUUAUGGGUCAGAUCAUCACUAAAGCCUAACAGAAAAACUAGCGGCACAAGUAAGGCCCAACAUCGAUGCUGUGUGAAUGGACCGAGAGGAAAUCGAGGCCCGUUAGGGUUCAGGUGUGAUUUCUAGGCCACGUGAACGACGCUGUGUGUGGGGAUCUGCCGGAUUUAGUCGAUGGUGUCACUUCAGGUGAGAUUUCCAUGGUCGGUGCAUGAUUAUGGUUCAUUGGAGAACCAAUUAUUUUUCGACGGAGAUGAAAUCUCAAGUCGAGGGAGGGGGAACCGAAGGAAUUCAAUUGAAUUCGAAUGAAAAACCCAUGAAAUUCUUCUAGAAUUUUGAGAAAUUAUUGGUGAAAACGAUGGGUUUUGUCCAAUUUACACGACUGCAGGUUGUGUUUCGUUGGAAAAAUCGAUGGGAAGGACCUGGGCUUUAGGUUGUUGGGCGGAACAAGGUUCUUCAAAUGCACCGUUUUCGGUUCAGGCUUGCAGCCUGGGUUUCGAUAUUGGGCUUGGAUUGCCAGGCUGUCACAGGAUGCUGGUAUGUUACUGGCUCCUUGCACGGUGCAAGGUCGGGGGUUCGAAGAACCCUAGGUUUCCCAAUUGCAAUUGUUUUUUUUUCAAUUCAAUUCAUAUAUAAUUCAAUUUGAUGCAUAUUCAAUUCAAUAAUUUUAAUGCAUGUACAUAUUUUGAUGCAAUUCAUGGCAAAUAUCAAAUUCACAUAAUUCAACAAUUAUGAAUAUAAUGCAUACACAAUUUAUGUAGAAUCUAAAAUUUGAAAAAUAUAAGUUGGGUCAUGCAUUAUGGUGAAUGUUCAUGCUAUCAGGGCUGCAAAAAUAUAAAGAUAAAAACCGUUGUUUUGAAAGAACUUAAUUGCGUGAUGAUAUAGAUGAACUGGUUUGAUGCAGAAAAUCUCUUUGUCAAAUUCCUAAGCGCAGUGGUAGGAGCGUGUUGAUAACGUGUUGUAGCCUAUUUUAUCUGACAAAGGUAAGAGGGCCGGCGACAAGGAGAAGAGAUUGAGAGAGAUGUGUUUGUAGAAUUGUAGGAGAAUGUGUGUGUUAUCCCUCCUACAUAGUGCCUUUAUUUAUAGUAGUAAAAAGGAGAGAAGAAAUUCCUUCAUCCUCAAGGAAUACAAGUUGUAAUAGGAAAGGAUAACUAGAAUCAAACCAAGUCUAGGAUUUACACAAUCACACUUAAACUAGGAAAGUUUACAACACAUAAUUUUAUUUUCUAAAAAUUUGUGAAUAUUUUUGUUUAAUUAUUCUAUAAAACAAUGAAAUUUGAAUACGGUACGUUGUGGUGGUGGGAGACGUGAUGGUGAUGGUGGGGGUUGGUAGGUACGUGGGGUUGACAUGUGGAAGGUACCUUCCUUGAUCUUACCUCUACUUCAGUGUAUAUGCAGUGGGCUGCAGACAUAUAUUUACAGCAUAGUUUUACACCAGUUGCUGCAGAUGUAUAACAACGACUUGCUAACUCGGAUAAAUUUUUGGAUGCAAAUAUCUCAUCUUCCAAGAUCUUUUGUUGGAAGAGGCUUUUGAUAACUUCAUGGGCUACAAUUCCCAAUCGCUUGAGAGCUGAUGAUCAAAAUGCUAUAGCCCGGCAGACAUAAUUUAAAUGACACAAAGCCAAGCAUGUCAUAUGAAGUUGAAACAUCUCAAGAAUAUUUAUUAAAAUCUUUUGUACUUGUUACUUGUUCUGCAAAGAUAAUUGAUAAUAUAUUGUAUUUCUUCUCUCGUUCAUUUUCACUUUCUUAUUAUUUUGUACUGACCGAGCAAUAUCACUAAUGCUACUUACUAACCAGGACACACUUUCACCUGGACACCGAAUUGAGCUGCGCUGGCUAACACAUGUGAUGAAACAUAAAGUGUAAUGAUGUGGAAAAAUGUGAAUAAAUUAAAGGGUAAUGCUAGGAGAAUUCUCCAAAUUUUGUAAACCAAAUGAUGUGGACGUUGAAGAUUGGAUUAUUACUUCUGUUGAUUAAUGUGCUUAUUUCCUAUUGGUGACACAUCAUUUAGUCUGCAAAUUUGGUUUGAAAAUUUGGCCUCCCUAGCAUUACGCUCAAUUAAAAUCUAAAGUGAUUUACAAGAGCGCACAUAUGAGUGAAAUUGAACCAAUUUCGCACAUGAUGUCUGUUUGGACCUGACUUUACAUCAUUGGUCCUAGCAAUCGAGACCGUUGAAUAAACAAAGUUUUAGAUUGUCACAUGAGUAAAAUAUCAAGCUGACUUCCAAUUAUUGUUAUGAUUAUCAUAAUCAUAAUAAUUAUCUCCCGAAUAAUUGGAAUUAUCUUGAUAUGUUAUUUAUCUAGAGAAGGUGUUCAAAUGCAAUCACUUUUGUGAUGCCAAGGUCACCUAACCAGGCCUAAGAUCAAGCAUGCCAACUUGCUGUUAUUCAUUAUUUGUUAUUAUCUUUUGGAUAAAGGAUUGAAAUAGGUGGUCAGCAGGUGGAGCAAAAUUUGUAGCGACCCCGUCCCAAAAAAUUAUGGUUUUUAUAAUUUUAAAAUAUGAAAUUACAAAAAUACCUUUGAGGCAAAUGCGUUGACUUUUAUUGACUGCCUUGUUGUGUCAUGUAAGAUCUGUUCCUUUAGCGUAUACUUGUAGUACUCGUCGUAACGAACGCAUCAGCACGAGUGAAAUUGAAUUUGGAGUUAAAACGAAGAAUUUUCGGGACUCGGAUUGAUAAGGGUAUAUUAGUAAUUUUACAAUUGGAGAUAUUUCUCCAUCAUGGACCAUUGGCGUGGUGACACGCAGCAUCUUCCCUCCCCAUUUCUGGGACUGUCCCCUUCUUCUUCCCCUAGUUCUCUUUCUCUCUUUAGAAUUAUCUCUCUCGUUAUUUUCCUUCUCUUUUCUCCCUUCUCUUCCCGUGGACCCUCAAACCCUUCUCUCUGAGCUCUCGUCUCUCUUCUCAGCUACCUUUUUCUCCCUCUCUUCUCUACCUCAUAUCUCUGCCAUUCCAUCACCCCUCUCCCAUGCCUUACCUAUGCAACAACAAUGGCGACACCUACACACCCGAAGGAUCACCAACAUAGCCACCUCCGACCCUUAUUUCUCCCUUAUCUCCCUUCUCUCUUCGUCCAUAUCUGUGCAAGCUGCAUAAGAAAAACAGAAAUAUCUCACCUUCUCCGGUGAACUCCAACCCUUAACGACCAUGAACUUAGUAAGCUUUAGGACUUACUUAACCUUUUUCCUUUUCAUCCUCGUAGUUACUAUUGAUCGUGGAGUUGUGUUUUGGUUGGUGGAACAUCACAGAGACGAAGUGGGGACUUCUUUCCAGUUUUCCGACGAACCCGUACAUUUGCAGGCUGUUUUUCGGCCAAUUUUGGCCACCUCAGGUCACGAGAUAGGUAUAUUUCAAUUCCUUAUUUUCCGAGCUUCAAUUUAUAUAAUGGAUUGCAUGAUGAGUUUUGAGCUCGGUCGGAGCUCAGAAAAUUCCUGCCCAAAAUCUGGCUUUCUCUUUCGUUGGAUCUGACGACCCGUGAGUUUAAUCAGGUCAAACCUAACCCAUAACCCUGAGCUAACCCAAAACCUUUGGGCCAUGUAAUCUAGCCCAAGCCCAGGCCUAAUCCUUGAACCCAAUCCAAUAUCUGGCCCAAUUAACCAGGCCCAAAUCCAAUUUAAUACCAGCCCAAUCCACUAACGAUUAAUCCAUAACCCAAAACCAACCCAACCCAAUAUCUGGGCCCAGUUAAAUGAUUAGGCCCAGCCCUUGACGCAUGUGAUCCAAAUGCUAGGCCAAAACCCACUACCCGGUCCAAUAACCCUAUCUCAGUCCAACCUAAAACUCUGUAAACCUCCUCAAAUCAUUGACCUAGACCGACCCUUGACUUUUUUAUUAGCGUUGAUUGUUGACUUUGGGUUGACUUUUCGGGUUUUGACCGAGACCCCUCCUAGGCUAAUUUCGACGUCCUGAAUCCAAAUUCGAUGUCCAUUUUCCCAAAUUUGACCAUUUUUGUAGAGUUUUACUAAAUGACCUCUAUAUGUGCAUUUAGGUGUAUCGGUGGAAGUGACCUCGUUCACGCUAGUUCGAGCGGCUAUCGGGCGAUAAAAUAUCUUUGAGUGGAACCCUUCUUAUCUUAUAUGUUUUUAUAAAAGAUUAGCCUAGCAUGCAUUUCAUGUUUCAUGAUUUGAAUAUGAUUUAAUAUAUGCAUUAUGGACUUUUAUAAUUAUGGUUUACGAAAUAGUUUGAUUUAUCAAAAUUACGUUUUAUUAAAGGUAUUGAAUUAUUGGAUUUGAAUAUAUGGAUUUCUAUGGUUUUUUAAUACGAUUUAUAUUACGGUUUUACGAACAUGAAUUAUUUAUGGAUUUCAUGAAUACGAUUUAUCUUGGAUUUAUGAGAUGAGACUUUGAGCUAGUGAGCUCUGGGUUUGAUACGAGUUUUGAGAUAUGUUUUUGGUACUUACCUGUUAGGUUAUCAUAUGGCACUUCCACACACCAUGGGUAUAGAUGUCUAUGGCCGUAGGACAUAAUUGAUGAGGAGGACUGAGAUAUGAUAUAUGAUAUACCCCUAUCUUCACUGCCGAGAGUAGUGUUAGGCAGCUUCACUAGCCAUAGCUAGUGUCGAUGCAGAUGUAUGCUAUUUUAUACAGCUUCACCUUCGGGUGAUGGACAUGUUAUUCACCUUCACCUUCGAGUGAUGGACAGGUACUGCCUUCGGGCGAUUAUGAUACCCCUAGUUGAGUAUACCAUUGAUGUGAUUUACAGAGGUUUUACAGAUUUUCCUUCGGGCAACGAUAUUCCCAUUUUUGAACACUAGUUUUACAUACAUGUUUUACGACUGUUUUUCAUGGCAUGCUAGGGUUUUUAGAAAAUCUACUAUGUAGUAUUACAUAUGUGUUUUCAAAAUAAGGGGUUAGUAUGUUCAUAAAGAAAAUGGUUUUCCUAUUAUUAAUAUUACUAUUAUAAACUUCGGUCCACUCACUCUUUUUUGUUUUUGCGCCCCCUCAGGAGUUAGGAUCGAGGCACAUGAUCCCGACGUCAAGACUCUACAACAUAGGUAUCCUCGAGUCUUUUCAGGUAUCAUUUCCUUGUUUGUAUCUUUUCUUAGUGAUUCUUCUAUAUGACUCUAGUAGUUGUAUGCUCUAAACAUGUUCUUGGAAUGACAUUCACUUUAAUUGCAUAUUCUGUAUUUGUAUGCAUGUUUAAAAUGGCUUCAUCAUCCUUGGGUGUCGGCCAACACGUACCUACCCUGAUAUUUGGGGAUAUUAGGGUUAGGGCGUGUCAAAAUUUGGAUGAAAUUAUGCAUGCUAGUUCUCUUUUAUUUGAUUAAUGGGAUGUGAUAAGGCUUUUAAGAGUUAGCAUUGAAAUUAAAUUACAAGUGCUUGCGGCAUAUAUGAUUUACAUACACGUGGAGGAUUUGGCUGCCAAGCAGCAUGGAGGAUUUGAAAUUAACGAGAGUUCUGUUGCACAUGGUUUGCAUCAGGAAUUUUGAAUAUGAUGCUUUACAAACACCAAUUCAGGUUGUGAUAAUUAUUAGCACAGGAUUGGUUUAUCAACAAUCAAAAUAUGGUGGUGAUGACGUAUAUUAGCUUGAGGGAGUUUGAUUUUUAGUUGGACUCUACAAAAUUAUCAGGUCAUGUCAAGCAGAAAAUAUGAAUGUUAUAAAUACAAGAUGCUCUGCAUCAGAGAGAGGCUCUUCAAAUCAACACACAAAUUACCUUGCGCAAAACUUCUCAACAACGCUGAGAUUUUUUUCUCUCCCCCUUUCUUCUCGCCAACACAUAUAGUUGCUAUGAUAGUACUUCAACAACAAAUCAAUUUGUAUUGGGUCCACAUAUAUAGUAUGUUGAACUAGCAACCUGCAAGAAAAUGCCUGUUUUCUGCAUGUUUCUGAUUUUAUACUAGUCAUGUAUCUAUUCUUCCAAAAGGAUUCAAUUAUGCAAACAUUAAUCUGAUGGCAUCAGUGGUUGUAACUUUGAGACAAGUUCAUAUGAUUUUCCAUGAACUAAUCUCUCUCAUGGUACCAUCAUGGUCCCUCAAUGAUCACCACUCAGAGAAAAGUAUAUGAAUUUGAAGACAGGCAUGUGAACUUGCAAAUGCUUCUGUCUUUAGAAUUAUUAUUUUUUUCAAUCCCAUUCAAUUUCCUGCAGACCACUCACUCAAACUUUCUUAUAACAAUAUGUUGAUUGUUAGGAUUACGACUGAUCUUGCCAGCAUACCUUCCAAACAUGAGUAGGACAUUGUGUUUUAUUUUUGUUUCAAUACGUUUUCAGUUUGUGCAGUUAUUAAGAGAUGUAGCUGUUGGGUAUUGUGAUUCUUCAUUUCUGCUCAUACAUUUUUCUUGAUUAAUUGGAAAGACAAGUCCAUGUGAUUUUCCAUGAGAAAAUGACUAUCACUUGGCUCCGCGACAGUCCUUCAACAAUUGUAUUUUUUUCCGUAAAUGAUGUCCUUGAAAAAUUGGAAAUCAUAGCCCUGUGAACAUUUAAAUGCUUGAGCAGCUGGGUCACUUUAAUCCGCAUUCAAUUGCCUCCAGACCACUCUCUCCAACUUGUACAGAUUAUUUUGUAGACCUCACAUUUUAUAUGCUAAAACUGUUGAAAUAGCACCACGGGAAAAAUUCUUGUCUCAAGCAUGUCUCUGAUUUUUUAUAGGCCCUCAAUUAAGAGAGGUAGGACAUUGGGUUGCUUUCGUUCAGUCAUUGACUCGUGAAAUGUUGUUGAUAACCUGCAGACAAGUCCAUGUGAUUUUCUAUGAGCAAACUCUCUCUCUCACUUGGGUCCAUCCCAGUGCUUCAUCACCAAUCAUUUUAGGUAACUGAUGGCUUACAGCAUACCGCUUUGGCUAUAUAUGCAUACAUCAUCCACGGUUCAUAAGCAAACCAACACAAGUCUUCUACUCCCAAGCAUAUCUUAUCAAAGCUCUUUCUGUACCGAAAUUCAUUUGAACUCUUUAUUGUUCCUUUUUACAGAGAAAUUUUAAAACCAUGGGUUUCCGAUUGCCUGGUAUUUUACUUGCCAAGAAAAGUCAAGUUUCUUCAAAGUCAUUGGAUGUUCCAAAAGGCUAUCUUGCCAUCUACGUUGGGGAGAGCCAGAAGAAGCGGUUUAUUAUUCCGGUGUCCUACUUGAACCAACCUUCAUUCCAAGAUCUGUUAAGUCUAUCUGAAGAUGAAUUUGGAUAUGAUCAUCCAAUGGGUGGUAUCACAAUCCCCUGCAGUGAAGACACCUUCCUUGGUCUCACCUCAGCUUUGGUGUAUAAGUAGAGGCUAGCUACAUAUACGUCGACACCAUUUUGACACCAACAGCUGUAAAAGCGCUUGGCAAUUUCAAUCGCUUUCUGGCUCACUUGAAGGAGGUUCAAUUAAUUGAUCAUCCAAUGAAUCAUCAUGAUGGAAGAGGACAUCAACGUCAAACCGCUUAUGAGCUGAGAGGAAAAUGGCUAGCCUAGCUGACAUAAACUCACUGACACAAAUUUUCAAGAAUAGUUAUUGUCAACAGAAUGUACAUAGUUGUCCUGAAUAGUUAUGAAUGGAAUAUUGUACGGAUAAAAUUUUAAAUAUAACAAGCAUUGGAUGCACCCAGAAUAGCACUAAUCCCUGCUGAAAUUACCAUGAAAAUACCAAUGUGUGUAUUCAAUAUGCUCCAAAUUAAAUAGCACUAGUCCAUGCUUAAAUUCUCACAAAAAUAUCAAUGCGAACAUUUUAAUACAUUCUAUCUCAUAGAAAUUUUGGUUUGGUUGACAUUAGAAACCUAUUCAGGCAAAUCCCCAAAGACAUGCGCCAAAGUUUUUAACCAUGCUAGGCUCUAAGAUAUCCAAAUCUUGAUAUGAUUAUAUUACUUACUAGCCUGGUCAAAAAGUUUCAACUAUACAGAUAUUAGCAAAGCAAAGAUAUAGUCUCAAGCAGGUUCUUUACUGCAAGAGAUCAGCCUAGCUACUUAAUUUUUUCCCGUGUCAAGAACUACAACUCCUACCUUCCCCAAAUUUGAUCUGAUUACUCGAAUAAAUGGUACCUGUAUAUACGAAUGUUCCAACUUGAUUUUGUGUGUUGACAGUGGAAUCUGUACGAAUUAAAAGAUUUAUCUUUAUGGGAGCUAUAGGUCUUUGGCUAGCUAAUUCAGUACUCACUUGUGUUAAAUCUCUCAUGGACAGUGGAAUCACAUGACAGGGAAAAUAUGUGGAGCCUCAAUCACUACCAAGGCUUCUGAAGAAUUGGAAGACAGAGCCAUGUGAACUUUGAAAUGCUAAUAUCUAUUGCCACUCAAUUGCCUGGAGAAUACCCACACGGCUCCUCACGCCAAGUAGUAGAGAUUUUUCCCCGACACAUCCAUCGUUUUAUCCUUUUGGGUAUGGAAACUUGUUGCUAUGAUAUGGUUGUUCAACCACAAAUCAAUUUGUAUUGGGCCCACAUAUUGUUGUGAUUGGCUCAUAUUUUGAGCUGGCAACACUGAACCUGUGUUUGCUUUAAGUGGAAAUAUCACAUGGUGUGGGCUGCAUGAAAGGUGAAGAUAAGUGUUGCAAAGUAAAAGCAAAAGUGGGUUCGCCUUUUGACUUUGGGAGCAAUUCAAGAAAUGUGAUGAUGGCUUGGCCUUUAUUUAAUGCAAGGAAAAGUUUGCAUUAGGUGGGCUUGCCGAGGGAGAAGGUUUGCAUCAGAAAAGCAUCCAAGGUGGAGAGAGCAUUAUUCUCUCCCAUGGGAAAGGUUGAACAUGGGUUGAGAGAAAAUCAAGAGAGCUAGAGUGAAAAGUAUUCUAGUGAAAGAACUCUUGGGGUAGAGUGAGGCUCAUGGGAAAAUUCUAUGAGUGGGUGUGCAAGGGAUUCGGGAUUGGGUUAUAUUAAUUUAACUCAUGUGUACUUGUACUGUUAUUCUUAUAGUGAAGAGCAAUAUCUCUCCGGGGACGUAGACAGGAUUUUUGCCGAACCUCGUAAAUUUCUCGGUGUCUUUAUUUCUUGUAUUUUAUUAUGUUCAACUGAGUGUGAUUUGGUGAAGUUGUAAUCUGAAUCUCAUUUCCGUACUGAUGAACGGGCCAAGGCACAACAAUUGGUAUCAGAGCAUCGUUGGGCGCUUGGUUCGUUUGAGGUCCAGAUUUGUUGUUCACCAUGGAAUUUUCAAUUGAGCAGUUUAAUGGGAGAGGCGGUUUUACUCUUGGUAAAGGAGAGUAAUGGAAGCCUGAAGAAAUGGAAGUCGUGUUCAAGGAUGUUUAGAUCAACUGUGAAAGUUGAUGUUAAGGAAGAAGACAAAUACCUCUUUCUUCUUACCUCACUUUCAAAUUCGUACGAGAACCUUGUGAAACUUUACUGCAUGGAAAGAUACAGUAAGUUUAGAGCAGGUGCAAGCUUCUUUGGUAUGGAAUGAUACACAAAAAUGACCAUGGAUGAUGGUGGGCACGAGACUGCUUAAGCUAUUCAAGGUAGGAAUCGUGGAAGAAAAUUGGAAAAAGGAUCUGAGAGAGACAACAGGUUCAAAUCCGGUUCCGGAGGCAAGGGUCUACAGUGCUACGGUGCAAGGCCGGGUUGUAGCAAGUUUGUGGCAUAAGGCUUCGAGUAUGCCCUCUAGGUACUAGAAGCAACACUUCUCCUGGUGAUGUAUAGUCUCAAAUGUUGUAGGGGUUUUGCAGCAGGUGGAGCUAUGGGAUUCACAGGUGAUGAGAUGGUCCUGAGGUAGAAGGAAGUGUGGGAAUUUUGUCUGGCUUGAUGGGUUGUUGCUGGAAAUGGGCGCGCUGAUGAGUUUCCAGGUUGCAGACAAUGAAGAGGAGGAAAACCCGUUGAAGGAGAUGAGGGUGUGUCGAGAUCCUGUCUGAAGCUAAAUGGUGAUUUUUAGCUUGCAGCAGCUGCACAUGCAUUGGCAGUGACUGAAUUGGAAUAGCACCAAAGAGGUUGAUUCAGGGUGUGUAUGCUGGUACGUAAAGCCAAUGGGCUUUGGUGAUGGGUGCAAGAACUUUUGCACUGUAUAUUCGCCAAGGUGGAGAUUCUUGUGAUUGGCUCAUAUUUUGAGCUGGCAACAAUGAAGUGACCUAUGUUUUCUUUCUGUGGAAAUAUCACAUAGUGUGGGCUGUAAGAAAGUUGCAGACAAGUGCUGCAAAGUAAAAGCAAAAGUGGGUUUGCCUUUUGACUUUGGGAGCAUUGCAAGAAAUGUGAUGAUGGCUUAGCCUUUAUUUAAUGCAAGGAAAUGUUUGCAUUAGGUGGGCUUGCCGAGGGAAAAGGUUUGCAUCAGAAAAACAUCCAAGGUGGAGAAAGCAUUAGGCUCUCCCAUGGGAAAGGUUAAACAUGGGUUGAGAGAAAAUCAAGAGAGCUAGAGUGAAAAGUAUUCUAGUGAAAUAACUAUUGGGGUAUAGUAAGGCUCUUGGGAAAAUUCUAUGAGUGGGUGUGCAAGGGAUUCAGGAUUGAGUUAUGUUGAUUUAACAAAUGUGUACUUGUACUGUUAUUCUCAUAGUGAAGAGUAAUAUCUCUCCGGGGACGUAGGCAGGAUUUUUGCCGAACCUCGUAAAUUUCUCGGUGUCUUUAUUUCUUGUAGUUUAUUCUGUUCAACUGAGUGUGAUUUGGUGAGGUUGUAAUCUGAAUCUCGUUUCUGCACUAACGAACGGGCCAAGGCACAACAAUUGGUAUCAGAGCAUCAUUGGGCGCUUGGUUCGUUUAAGGUCCAGAUUUGUUGUUCACCAUGGAAUUUUCAGUUAAGCAGUUUAAUGGGAGAGGCGGUUUUACUCUUGGUAAAUGAGAGUAAUGGAAACCUGAAGAAAUGGAAGCCGAGUUCAGGGAUGUUUAGAUCAACUGCGAAAGUUGAUGUUAAGGAAGAAGACAAAGGCCUAUUUCUUCUUACCUCACUUGCAGAUUAGUACGAGAACCUUUUGAUACUUUACUCCAUGGAAAGAUACAGUAAGUUUGGAGUAGGUGCAAGCUUUUUUGGUUGGAAUGAUACACAAAGGAGACCAUGGAUGAUGGUGGGCACGAGACUGCUUCAGCUAUUCAAGGUUGGAAUCGUGGAAGAAAAUUGGAAAGAUGAUCUGAGAGAGACAACAAGUUCAGAUCCGGUUCUGGAUGCAAGGGUCCACAGUGCUGCAGUGCAAGGCUAGGUUGUAACAAGUUUGUGGCAUAAGGCUUCGAGUAUGCCUUCUAGGUACUAGAAGCAACACUUCUCUUGGUGAUCUAUUGUCUCAAGUGUUGCAGGGGUUUUGCAACAGGUGAAGCUACGGGAUUCACAGGUGAUGAGAUGGUCCUGAGGUAAGAGGAAGUGUGGGAAUUUUGUCUGGCUCGAUGGGUUGUUGCUGGAAACGGGCGGCUGACGAAUUUCCAGGUUGCAGACAAUGAAGAAGAAGAAAACCUGUUGGAGGAGACGAGGGUGUGUCGAGAUCCUGUCUGAAGCUAAAUGGUGAUUUUUAGCUUGCAGCAGCUGCAUAUGCAUUGGCAGUGACUGAAUCAGAACAGGACCAAAGAGGUUGAUUUAGGGUGUGUAUGCUGGUACGUAAGGCCAAUGGGCUUUGGUGAUGGGUGCAAGGACUUUUGCACUGUAUAUUCGCCAAGGUUGAAAUUGUUGUGAUUGGCUCAUAUUUUGAGCUAGCAACAAUGAAGUGACCUGUGUUUGCUUUCGGUGGAAAUAUCACAUGGUGUGGGCAAUAUGAAAGUUGCAGACAGGUGCUGCAAAGUAAAAGAAAAAGUGGGUUUGCCAUUUGACUGUGGGAGCAUUGCAAGAAAUGUGUACUUGUACUGUUAUUCUCAUUGUGAAGAGCAAUAUCUCUCAAACGUAGGCAGGAUUUUUGCCGAACCUCGUAAAUUUCUCGGUGUCUUUAUUUCUUGUAUUUUAUUCUGUUCAACUGAGUUUGAUUUGGUGAGGUUGUAAUUUAAAUCUCGUUUCCGCACUGACGAACAAGCCAAGGCACAACACAUAUAUAGUAUGUUGAACUAGCAACCUGCCAGAAAAUGCCUGUUUUCAGCAUGUCCCUGAUUUUAUAGUUAUGUAUCUAUUCUUCCAAAAGGAUUCAAUUAUGCAAAUUUUAAUCUGAUCGGAUGGCAUCGGUGGUUAUAACUUGGAGACAAGUUCAUGUGAUUUUCCAUGAGCUAAUCUCUCUCAUGGUACCAUCGUGGUGCCUUAAUGAUCACCAAUUAGUCGUUUCAGAUAAUAGAUGGUUUAUGGCAUAUAUCCAUUUAUCUAUAUAUUUUAUGGUCAGGCUCAAAAGAAAAUGUCAAAGCCUUCUCUCAUUUUAAGAAGUCAGCUGAAAUUUUGCCUUGUUGCUUAAUCUUUUCAAUAAGAAAUUUUAAACUACGGGUUUCUGGUUUUUGGGCACUGUUCAUGCUAAGAAAUUCCAAGUUUUUUCAAAGGCCUUGGAUAUUCCUACUGAGAACUAUAAUGUAUUAUUGCUUUUUAUUCUGCUGGUUAUCUUAUAUAUCUUAUGUUUGGGUUCUAGUGAACUCUUAUGUAUUUGUUCUUAUGUCUUUCUAUCACUCGUCAAUUCUGGGUGUAUCUCAAGAUCGGGGCAUGAUGCCUCAACCAUGAUAGAUCGAACAUAAAAGGAGAGAUUUGUUAUCCUAGGACUUUAUAUGCUGCACUAUUGAUUUAGUACUUUGUAUCCAUACAAUCUUUGCCAAGUAAUAACCUCCAUAUAGUAAGGCUUAGCUAAGUUGGCUAGCUAAUGUAGUGAGCUCCUAAACUCUUCGGUAUAAUUAGGAAUGAAACCGUGUAAUUAUAAAUUGUAAAUCCCGAUGUAAGAUUUUCAACAUUAACAUGGUAUAGCACAAUUCUAAAUAUUGUAAAAUGGAGCUGUUAUUUUCACAGCAAAUAUUAUUUCCCUUACAAAAAUGCAGUGAUCGUUUACUAAAAAAUUACUACAACUUUUAUGUACAUCAUUCAAGGAUACAGUUUUUUUAUGCAUAAAAUCAGCGAGGACUUUGGUACAACGGAAAGUGUUAAGUUUGUGACCUUUGCUAGAUUGCUCCGGUCACUAGUGUGGAUAAGUACUUAAAUGGAUAAAGACAGGGAAGCAAACACAAGAUGUACAUGGUUCACCCAGAUUGGCUACGUCCACGGAGUAGAGGAGUUCUCAUUAAUUGUGAAGGGUUUACAAAAGUACAUAGGUUCAAGCUCUCCUUUUGGGAGUACUAGUGAAUGAUUUAGUACUAAUGACAUUAGGAAAUAUUGUGAGAGAAUGAUAUCUAUUUAUAGAAGAGAGUUUCUACUUUCAUUUUUACAUUGACACGUGUCAUGUUGUGAUUGGCUUCUGAUGUUGACACGUGUCGCGCUAUGAUUGGCUUCUGAUGUCGACAUGUGUCGCGCUGUGAUUGGCCUCCUGGUUGGAGAGAAACUCUUCUAGGUCAUUAACGGUAUAACGUUGACUGGUGCUCAGUAGUUUCGGGAUUGGUCAAGUAUAGUGAAAAUAGUGCUCCCCUAAGUUCCCGAGUGAGGGAAGCUCCUCGAUUUGGGACUUGCAAGUCCAAGCCAUUGAGUAAUCACGAAACUUCUAAGUACCGAAAUGUGGCAUCAUUUUCACUUGCCUUAUCUGUCUCAUAUGUAGAUGUGACAUCUUCUCUGGAAGCACUUUUCCUCCAUCCAGAGGUGGUAUCUUUAACCGAUGAAGAUGGACAAGGUAAUGUAUCAAUUUCACUUGAAGCUUACUUGUAGUUUCAGGCUUGGUCAAGUGCGAUACAAACCCUAUAGUAGGAGUCCCCCAAGUCGCCGAGCUAGGAGAUUUGCCGAAUAAGGUAACAGACAAGGUAAGCAAUCAGACUUCCAAGCAAGCAACCUGGAUUGGAGGUUUGACUUUGGCUUCCGGUUGAUUGUUCUUAUUCUCCUUGUGUCGUAAACAGCAACAAGGAUAAGGAGAAGCAAAUGGAGAAGAGAUGAUAUGAGAUACUUUUACUUUUGAAGAAGUAACUUUCCAUAAGCUUAUUCUUGAACUAGGCUGGAGGGUUUUCUGGUUUCUUCCAGAGUAUAAGGCCGACUCAAGAAUUUGAGGGUCAAAACAAGUCCAUCAAAUUUAGAGUACGUUCGACCCUGAUUAUGAGAUACUUUUGCUGUUGACAAAGUAAUGGAUGUAUCGGCACGUGUUCUGUUACGCUUGUCUCCACAUGCUUCCUUGUAUCCUUUUCACUUACCCUAUAUGUUCCUCAGGCAGAUGUGGUAUCUUUUCUGGAAGCAUAAGAUGUUAAAGAUAAGUACUCAAGAGCAAUGUCAGGUAAGUAAUCAGGCAAGAGGUUUAGGCAGUCAGUUCCUGACAGGAAGCUUGAUUCCAAGUGCUGACUGAUUGCUCUCUUUCUCCUUGUCUUGCAGGUAAGAACAAGGCCAAAGGAAAAGAUAGGGAAAAAGCAUGAUAUGGGAUACUCUUGCUUUUGACCCUGAUGAUAUGAGAUACUCUUGCUCUGGUGUGGCUGGUUUGCAUAGGUAUUAUUAAGGGGGGAAGAAAGCUGAGUAUUUCGAAAGGCUUCGUUGGGAGUGCCAUCUCAAAUAUGAGGAAGGGUUGAGCAUUUUUGCAGGUAUACAUGUCCGUGGAGGAUGGAGGUCGACAUAUAUAGGAGUCUCCCUAACAACAAGUAGUAAUGUUAUUCAUUUACCCUUAUUGGUCGUAGCAAUGUAGUGGGAGCUGCAAGCUUCACGUGUUUUAACUUGGUCAGAGUACUUUGAAAAAAUGGUAUGUGGUAUCUGGAAAGUUGAUGUUGCGUGUGAAAAUUACAGACAAGCUUUAUCCAAGGAAAUCUGGCUCUCGAAGUUCGGAGAGCAGUGCCUCUUCGGUUUUGCCUCUGGCUCUUGAGAUUUCGUGCCUCGCAAUCCAGUCAGACUCUUGAGAUUCGGAGAGCAAUGUCUCUUCGAGAGUUAAGAUCGAGAUUCGGAGGGUCGUGCCUCUUCGAUUUUUGAGCACGUAAUCCUGUUGGGAGUCUGGCUCUCGAGAUUCGGAGAGCGGUGCCUUUUCAAUUUUUUAGAAAACAAUCCUGUAGAGAAUCUGACUCUUGAGAUUCGGAGAGCAGUGUCUCUUCGAUUUUUGAGAAAGUAAUCCUGUUGAGAGUUUGGCUUUUGAGAUUUGGAGGGUGGUGCCUCUUCAAUUUUUAAGCAAGCAAUCUUGUUGGGACUGUUUUCUCUAAUGUGAGUAAAGGUUGGCCAUUUUUGCCAAUCUGCUUUGCCACGAAGCACGAAGGUUGACACACAUUGGGACUUUCUAGUUAUCAAACAGUGGUGCUGUUCCUUUACCCUUGUGGGUAACAGUGAGGUAGCUGGACCUUCAAAAUUUAUGUGUCUAAACUUUGUCAGAUAUCUUUGGCAAAGUUAUCUUUUGUACCCGAUGAGCUGAUGUUGUGUGUGGAAAGUGGUGCCUCUUCGGAAUCUGGAGAGUGGUGCCUUUUUGAUUUUUGAACCAACGGCCCUGUUGCCCUUUCUUUUGUAAGGGCACCAAUUGUGUACAAAAAGUACAUUCAAAGAGUUAUUGCUUGUAGGAAUUUUCCCCUUACUUCAGAGAUUUAUUGCACCUCAUUUCUCCUUCAUCAUUUUUUAGAAUGUCUGGCUCAUCCGACCGUCGUUUUGACUUGAACUUUGGUGAAGAGGCAGCCAUGCCUUCUCAAGACAACAUAUGGCGCCCAUCCUUCUUAUCCCCCAUUAGUCCUCUUACCGUUGGGGACUCUAUGAUGAAGAAUGAUAUGACCGCUACGGUGGUGGCCAUGAACCUUCUCACUCCUAAAGAUAAUAGACUACUUUCUAAAUGGUCUAAUGAGUUGGCUGUUAAGGAUUCUCUGGCUCUCAGUGUUCAAUGUCCAGGUUCUGUGUCUAAUAUGGCUCAACGCUUAUUUGCUCGAACCCGCCAAGUUGAAUCAUUGGCGGCUGAAGUGAUAAGUCUUAAACAUGAGAUCAGAGGGCUCAAGCAUGAGAAUAAAUAGUUGCACAGACUUGCACAUGACUAUGCUACAAACAUGAAGAGGAAUCUCGACCAACUGCAGGAAUCUGAUGGUCAGAUUUUACUUGAUCAUCAAAGGUUUGUGGGUUUGUUCCAAAGGCAUUUAUUGCCUUCGUCUUUUGGGGCUGUACCGCGUAAUGAAGCUCCAAAUGAUCAACCUUCGUUGCCUUCUCCUUCUGGGGUUCUUGUUGGAAGUAUGCCCACAAAGCCACUCAUUUGAUGUAAUAGCUUUUGGAAUACUUAUUGUAUUAAACUAUUAUAUGUUUAAUAAAGGGCAAAGCUUAUUGUUAAUCACUAUUUAUUGUAUCAUGUGUUUAAGAAAUAAGGGAAUCCAAGGAAAGUAUUUAAUCUGAGAAAAGUAAUCUAAGUUAGAUUAACGAGACCUUUCUCUUAUGUUCAUUCCUAAAAUAUUCCUAGCCAUAGGAUUGCCAAUUGGGCGUUGACAAUCCGCUAAGGUUAGUAUGUGUUAUGUCAACUCAAGCGUGAGUAUAACUAGUCUCAAGUCAUUUAGUGUUGGACACUAAGACAAACACAUAGGUGCUCGAAAGAGUAAUCAAGUACACUGAACAAAGAUCAAAAGAGAGUUCGAACAUACAUGUCAUGUAAGAACUCGUUAAUUGCAAUAUGCAAAGUAGUCCUUUGACCUGAGGCAUCAUAGAUGUCUAAUGGUUAGGUCCUUGAUCUUUGAUCAUGUCAAAGGCAUUCCAUCGAGAGUGUCCACGGUAUUGUUGGGGUCAAGCUAUCUAGUCAUGUAGGUAUAUGAAUGCACAAUAAGGGAUCUCUAACCUUCCAUGGUGGAAGGAGAAUACUCUAAGAUAUGAUUCGGGAGUCUUUGGCCAAAGCAUACGAAUAUGACUUAGGAAGUAUGUUCCAACUCAUAUUCAAUUGAAUCAUAUAGAGAAGUAUUACAUUGGAUGGUAGACAUGAAACAAACUAUCACUCAAACAAUGUGAUUAAGAGUAUUGUAUUAGAGAAGGACCGUAUUGCAUUGUAAUUGUAAUUGGAUAGGUUCUCCAACCAAUUCUAUUUAGCUUGGGUAGCCAUGACAUGUUGUUAGGUGUCACUCAUGGUUUGUGGAAGCCCUGAAGAUUAGCAAACACUAAUCUUAAUCAAAGGGAGAAUUGAAAUGAAGUUUCAACAAUCGAUUGUUAAGAGUAACAAUCGCCCACUACCUUGCUAAUUGGAACCUAAUGGAUCGUACAACGAGUAAGGAUGAAAGUGAAGAAAUAUAAAGGAAAUGGAUAAGCAAUUAAAUGGUUUAAUUAAAAAUGGUCAAGGUUAAUUAAUUAGUUAAUUAAUUAUACGAAAGGUUCGUAUUGGGCUUUUAAGUUAGUUUUGGGGUUUGGGGUCCAAAAGGGUUUGGUCCACUAGGUACAUUAUGUUUAAGUUGUAUGACAACUAAAACAAAUAUAGGCAAAUAGCCCAAUCACUUAAGAUGGCCGGCCAUAGUGAGGGAAGUGGGAAGUUUUGCUUAAUUGCAAGUUUGCCACUCACCUAAGAAAAGAGAUAUAAAAGCAUCUUUAUAGCUUUUACCUCAUUAGGGUUUUCUUGAGACAAAGAUGAGAAGCACUUUCUCUCUUUUUCUCUAAAAGAGGCCGGCCACUUAGGGAAGAGAUAGCUAGCAAUCUUUUCUUCUCUAAGUCAUCCAUUUCAUCUUCACACAUCAUCCUUGGUGUGGAGACUUAGAGACACCAAAUCUUUGGUGUUCUUGGAGAUCCUUUCCUCACAUCCUCAAGGAGCAAAGGAGCAUCAAAAGGAAGAAAAUCACAAGGAAGAUCCAAGGGGCUAGGAGGUGACUUGAAGGCUCUCCACUUGGGUGAAUCCCUUGUGUAAACAAGGAUGAGCUUCAAGGGUAAUGAAUCUCUAAAUCCUUCCUUCUCUUUAAUGUUGUUGAAGAGUCUCUUGGUUCACCAUUCACUAGGCUUUGAAAGUCAUGGGUUUUUAGAAUUGUUUUUUAAUGCAUGCCUACUUUAAUGUGUUAUUAGUUUGCAUGUGUGUUCAAAUAUUCUCACAUGUUCUUAGCUAGGACAAAAUUUUUCCUUCAAGUGGUAUCAGAGCCUAGGUCUAGUUUAUGGUGAAUCCUUUUGGGUGUUGUGUUUUUCAUGGUUUGUGAUUUAAAUGUUGUAAAUGUUACAAGCUUUGUUCUUGCUUUUGAAUAUAAAUUUUGCUUGAAAAUUUAGCAUCUCAAAUGUUGUAGAUGUAGUUCAUUUAAGCAUGAAUAUUGGAACUAAAAUUUGGUGCCAUGUAUGUGGGGAGAUUCGGCCAAAUCCAAGGGGUGGAUUUUUGGGUUCAUGUUUGUCUUGUUAAAAGAGUUUUAAAGUGACUUUUGGAACCCCCUAAGUACCCUAGGAUGUUAACCCUCUUCUGUGUAGUGAAAAUUUGGGUUUUAUUGAGUGAAAACAUCGAUGGAGCUCUUAUGAGUUUUCAUGUGUGUUCUUCAAUGUUCUUGAUGUUCUUACCAAGAACAAAAAGUUUUGGUGUUUUGAUUCAAUAUGUUUGUUGCUUUGAAUAAAGUUUUUGUUUAUUAUUGAUUAGUGAUGGAUGAUUUAUGCCUAUAUUGUUUGACAAAACAUUUUUCUUACAACUCAUCCCAAUCAACUUUUCCUCACCUACCUAUCCACUUGCACAAAACACUUUCAAAUUUUGAAUUUUUCACCAAAACCUUCCCCCCCCUCCUUUUUCACUGCCAAAACCGGCCACCCUAUUAAGUAGGGUAUUUUUGGGCCUUUUAAGCAAUUACAUAAAGUUUUGAUACUUUUGUGUAUUUGUAUUUUGGCCCAAAAAUUUACGUUUUUACGUAGAGGUCCAAAAUCAGUAAAGGACAAAUUGUUUUGCUCCUUUAAUGAAGUUUUUGCUAUUGUUGAAAUUUUUGGGUUCUAGUUGUAAUUACAUGAAGUUGUGGACUCUUGUGUUUUUACAAAGUGACACCAAAAGUUUAUGUUUUAACAUUGUGGCCCAAUAGUUGUGGUCAUUGUUUUUUAGCCCAAAAGAUGAUGAGAACAAAAUAGUUUUGUCUCUUUAAUGAGAAUUGGAUUUUCAUUUCAUUUAGUUCCAUUUAAAUCAAUUCUAUGAAUCCGAAAACCAAUUGUUUAAGUUGCUUUCUUAGUUAAUAUGAUUGAUUAAGAAAAGGGUGAUUAUGAACCAAAGACCUCGAUAAUUGAGCUAUGUGAUUGGCCACUUUACAUUAUGAAUGCUUGGGUUAAGUAGUUUAGAUUUGAAUGUAAUUUGAUUAGUUCAAAUUUGUUGUAAAUGGACACAAGUCCAUCAAAUGUGUUGUAAAAGGGCAUAAGCCCUUCGGUCUUCUGAGAGCUCUAAUUAAAGGGUGGCCUUGUUUGCUUGAAGGAUUAGCGCUGCAUCAACAUCAUCCGCUGACACCACUAAAUGUGGACUUACGGUGCUCAUACACUUAAUUUAGCAUCAGUCUUAUUGAAGGUCAAACGUUUCUCUCAUUCUUCUGUUUUGUAUGGUGACUCUCAUACAUCUCCUACAUCAAGUAUCAAUAAAAAGUUGGAGUUGCAAUUGGAUAUAUGGAGGAGAAUUAUACUCAUAACUCUAAAAAAGUACUACUACUUAACAUAUAAGCAUUCUUUUAAAGGAAAACUAAUGAAAAGGGCUUGAAAACUUUGAGUUUUAAUGAUAAAGACAAAAUAAAGGGUAAAGUGAAUAGUACCAAGAUUGACUUUUUAGUGUAAAAAUGUGGUUUUUCGUCAAAGUGAACAGUACCGGGUGCUUUUCAUUAAAGUUCCCUUCUUUUAACUGUCAAAAAGGAUCCUAAUGGGAAACUCAUCACAAGAGAAUCUGAAGAUAUAAAUCCAAGAUUGUAGGUUACGUCUUUUUUUCCUUCUCUAUUUUAUGAAAGAAAAAUCCAACGUUUCAUCACACGACCAAGAAAUGUUUUGUUGGUCAUUAACAGCAGACGACAACAAGCAGCAGCAACACACCUGGUCAUAUAAUUUAAAGGGAUGCUUUCUAUAUUGUAAUGUAAUAAACUAUGAAUAUUGCUACAGUCUCCAUUUAGGCAUUUACCUAAUCUGAUUCAAGGGGAACAGUAUGUGUCUCCCUCCUCAAUCGAAAAAAAAUGUACAAAAUCUGGAAAUUUUUUGGUUUACAAAAUUGUAACAAUCACACAGUUCGUGUAAUUGCUCUCCACAAUCCACUACCCAAUCAUACUGCACUCAAGCGAGAUAUGAGAUCAAGGAAUGCAUCUUGUCCGCAGGGAAUUGUUAGACCACCCAUUGGAUGAUCAAACCCAAAUUCUUCUUCAACUUCACUUAGCAAGUGUUGAAAUGCAGGCUGGCAGAGGAAAGAUAUGGGAACCACAAAUCGGUGCUUCUCACUCUCACCAACAUAAACUGCAAAAUAACCUUUAGGGACAUCUGCUAAAUUAUAUGAAGCUCCUUGACUUGAAUUUGAAAAAGACCGUCGAAAAAGUUUCUUAGCAGGAAUUACAGCAGGCAGACGGACCCCAUUGUUGUAAGUCUUUGGAGGAAAGACUAGCAAUAAAGUUUAUAAGAACUUGAAGAGGAUCUCAAUGAACUUGUAAUUGCAAAACAAGAAAGCUGUAUACUUGAGAACUUGAAGAUUUAAUUUGGUGGUCAUCAUCCCAUUCAUAUGGUAUAUAUAGAUGAAAAGUAUUGUGUAACAUCUUCCACUAGAGAAAAAAUAUAUGGUAAAGACAAUGACAAUCUGGAUGGGGUAUAGAAGGGAAUAAGAGUUCAUCAGGGAUCACAUGGUUCUGUCUUCAAAUUAAUCAAGCAUUUAGCCAAAAUAUGUGGAGCCUCCAUCACUACCAAGGUUUGUCAUGAAUUGGAAGGCAGAGCCAUGUGAACUUUUAAAUGCUGAUAUCUAUAGCCACACAAUUGCCUGGAGAACACCCACACAGCCUUUCACGCCAACUGUUAAGAGAUUUAUUUUUAUUUUUUUUUCUUUUUCCCGACACAUCCAUUGUUUCAGUUUGGAUAUGGAAACUUGUUGCUAUGAUAUAGUACUUCAACAACAAAUCAAUUUGUAUUGGGUCCACAUAUAUAAUAUGUUGAACUAGCAACCUGCAAGAAAAUGCCUGUUUUCUGCAUGUUUCUGAUUUUAUACUAGUCAUGUAUCUAUUCUUCCACAUAUAUAUAUAGUAUGGCAUCGGUCGUUUUAACUUUGAGACAAGUUCAUAUGAUUUUCCAUGAACUAAUCUCUCUCAUGGUACCAUCAUGGUCCCUCAAUGAUCACCACUCAGAGAAAAGUAUACGAAUUUGAAGACAGGCAUGUGAACUUGCAAAUGCUUCUGUCUUUAGAAUUAUUAUUUUUUUCAAUCCCAUUCAAUUUCCUGCAGACCACUCACUCAAACUUUCUUAUAACAUUAUGUUGAUUGUUAGGAUUACGACUGAUCUUUCCAGCAUACCUUCCAAACAUGAGUAGGACAUUGUGUUUUAUUUUUGUUUCAAUACGUUUUCAGUUUGUGCAGUUAUUAAGAGAUGUAGCUGUUGGGUAUUGUGAUUCUUCAUUUCUGCUCAUACAUUUUUCUUGAUUAAUUGGAAAGACAAGUCCAUGUGAUUUUCCAUGAGAAAAUGACUAUCACUUGGCUCCGCGACAGUCCUUCAACAAUUGUAUUUUUUUCCGUAAAUGAUGUCCUUGAAAAAUUGGAAAUCAUAGCCCUGUGAACAUUUAAAUGCUUAAGCUGGGUCACUUGACAAUCCGCAUUCAAUUGCCUCCAGACCACUCUCUCCAACUUGUACAGAUUAUUUUGUAGACCUCACAUUUUAUAUGCUAAAACUGUUGAAAUAGCACCACGGGAAAAAUUCUUGUCUCAAGCAUGUCUCUGAUUUUUUAUAGGCCUUCAAUUAAGAGAGGUAGGACAUUGGGUUGCUUUCGUUCAGUCAUUGACUCGUGAAAUGUUGUUGAUAACCUGUAGACAAGUCCAUGUGAUUUUCUAUGAGCAAACUCUCUCUCUCACUUGGGUCCAUCCCAGUGCUUCAUCACCAAUCAUUUUAGGUAACUGAUGGCUUGCAGCAUACCGCUUUGGCUAUAUAUGCAUACAUCAUCCACGGUUCAUAAGCAAACCAACACAAGUCUUCUACUCCCAAGCAUAUCUUAUCAAAGCUCUUUCUGUAACGAAAUUCAUUUGAACUCUUUAUUGUUCCUUUUUACAGAGAAAUUUUAAAACCAUGGGUUUUCCGAUUGCCUGGUAUUAUUUUACUUGCCAAGAAAAGUCAAGUUUCUUCAAAGUCAUUGGAUGUUUCCAAAAGGCUAUCUUGCCAUCUACGUUGGGAGAGAGCCAGAAGAAGCGGUUUAAUUAUUCCGGUGUCCUACUUGAACCAACCUUCAAUUCCAAGAUCUGUUAAGUCUAUCUGAAGAUGAAUUUGGAUAUGAUCAUCCAAUGGGUGGUAUCACAAUCCCCUGCAGUGAAGACACCUUCCUUGGUCUCACCUCAGCUUUGGUGUAUAAGUAGAGGCUAGCUACAUAUACAUCAACACCAUUUUGACACCAACAGCUGUAAAAGCGCUUGGCAAUUUUAAUCGCUUUCUGGCUCACUUGAAGGAGGUUCAAUUAAUUGAUCAUCCAAUGAAUCAUCAUGAUGGAAGAGGACAUCAACGUCAAACCGCUUAUGAGCUGAGAGGAAAAUGGCCAGCCUAGCUGACAUAAACUCACUGACACAAAUUUUCAAGAAUAGUUAUUGUCAACAGAUUGUACAUAGUUGUCCUGCAAGGAAAACUCAGAUUAGAAUAUUUCAUUACAAUACAACGUUUUUACAGUUUCAUGAUUUACCUUUCAUUUUAUUCACUAUCUUCUCUAAUCAAGUUAUGAACAGAGGAUAAAUUUAUACACAAGGGACUAAUUACUGGAAUAUUGACAGACGAAGUAAUGCAAGUAAACAUCAUAGGAAGAUUUAAAAACAUGUUAUGAAUGGAAUAUUGUACGGAUAAAAUUUUAAAUAUAACAAGCAUUGGAUGCACCCAGAAUAGCACUAAUCCCUGCUGAAAUUACCAUGAAAAUACCAAUGUGUGUAUUCAAUAUGCUCCAAAUUAAAUAGCACCAGUCCAUGCUUAAAUUCUCACAAAAAUAUCAAUGCGAACAUUUUAAUACAUUCUAUCUCAUAGAAAUUUUGGUUUGGUUGACAUUAGAAACCUAUUCAGGCAAAUCCCCAAAGACAUGCGCCAAAGUUUUUAACCAUGCUAGGCUCUAAGAUAUCCAAAUCUUGAUAUGAUUAUAUUACUUACUAGCCUGGUCAAAAAGUUUCAACUAUACAGAUAUUAGCAAAGCAAAGAUAUAGUCUCAAGCAGGUUCUUUACUGCAAGAGAUCAGCCUAGCUACUUAAUUUUUUCCCGUGUCAAGAACUACAACUCUUACCUUCCCCAAAUUUGAUCUGAUUACUCAAAUAAAUGGUACCUGUACAUACGAAUGUUCCAACUUGAUUUUGUGUGUUGACAGUGGAAUCUGUACGCAUUAAAAGAUUUAACUUUAUGGGAGCUAUAGGUCUUUGGCUAGCGAAUUCAGUACUCACUUGUGUUAAAUCUCUCAUGGACAGUGGAAUCACAUGAUUGGUGAUUAAUCCAAAAGAACUAGGGACCGAAGCCGUUUGGAAGCUCCUGAGUCAAUGUCCAUCUUAUUAAAGAAGCACCAUGUCCACUCUCAGCAGUUGUAUAGAAGUAACUAAAACUGACUGACAAUAUAUCCCACCUUUAAGAUAAUCCCCAAGCUAAUUAGAUCACAGACAGGCUUAUUGAAGGUUCAACGUUUCUUUCAUUCUUCUGUUUUCUAUGAUGACUCUUAUACAUCUACAUCAAGUAUUAAUAGAAAGUUGGAGUCGUAAUUGGAUAUAUGGAGAACAAUAUAACUCAUACAGAAAAUUUCAUAGUGGAGUUGUUUAAAUGAAAAAUUCGCAUUUUACUCUACCAAAUGACAUACUAGUCAUGCAGAGAAAACUAAGGUUAUUGGCUAAACUGUUGAGGGGACUACUACUUAACAUAUUAGUAUUCUCAUAAAUAUAUAUAAAAAUAAAUAGUAAAAUAAAAAAGGAUCCUAAUGGGAAACUCAAUCACGAAAGAAUCUGACAAAUUUAAUCCAAAAUUGUACAGGUCACGUUUUUUUACUUCUCUUUUUUAUGACAGAACAAAAUUAGUCCUUAAGGUUAAAUCAGACGGUUCAUCCACGACCCAAGAAAUGUUUUGUUGGUCAUUAACAGAAGACAACACCUAGCAGCACCAACACACCUGGUCAUAUAAUUUAAAGGGAUGCUUUCUAUAUUGUAAUGUAAUAAGCUAUGAAUAUUUCUCCAUUUAGGCAUUUACAUAAUCUGAUUCCAGGGGAACAAUAUUUCUCCCUCCUAGAUCGAAAAAAAAAAUGCGCAAGAUCUGGAAAUUGUUUGAUUUACAAAAUUAUAACAAUCACACAGUUCAUGUAAUUGCUCUCCACAAUCCACCACUCUAUCAUACUGCACUUAAGCGAGAUACAAGAUCAAGGAAAGCAUCUUGUCUGCAGGGAAUUGUUAGACCGCCCAUUGGAUGAUCAAAUCCAAAUUCUUCUUCAGCUUUACUUAGCAAGUGUUGAAAUGCAGGCUGGCAGAGGAAAGAUAUGGGAACCACAAAUCGGUGCUUCUCACUCUCACCAACAUAAACUGAAAAAUAACCUUUAGGAACGUCCGCUAAAUUAUACGAAGCUCCUUGACUUGAAUUUGAAAAAGACCUUCGAAAAAGUUUCUUAGCAGGAAUUACAGAAGGCAGACGGAACCCCAUUGUAGUAAAUCUUUGGAGGAAAGACUAGCAAUAGAGUUUAUAAAAACUUGAAGAUCUCAAGGAACUAGCAACUGCAAAACAAGAAAGCUAUAUGCUUGAGAACUUGAAGAUUUAAUUUGGUGGUCUUGAUCCAAUUCAUAUGGUAUAUAUUGAUGAAAAGUCAUGUUGAUUAAUAUCUUCGGCUAAAGAAAAAAUAUAUGGUAAAAUCAAUGACAACUCGAUGGGGUAUAGAAGGGAACAAAAGAUCAUUAGGGAUCACAUGCAUGGUUCUGUCUUCAAAUUAAUCAAGCAUUUAGGGAAAAUAUGUGGAGCCUCAAGCACUACCAAGGCUUCUGAAGAAUUGGAAGACAGAGCCAUGUGAACUUUGAAAUGCUAGUAUCUAUUGCCACUCAAUUGCCUGGAGAAUACCCACGCGGCCCCUCACGCCAACUACUAGAGAUUGUUCCCCUACACAUCCAUCGUUUUAUCAGUUUGGGAAUGGAAACUUAUUGCUAUGAUAUAGUUGUUCAACCACAAUUCAAUUUGUAUUGGGUCCACGUAUAUAGUAUGUUGAACUAGCAACCCGCCAGAAAAUGCCUGUUUUCAGCAUGUCCCUGAUUUUAUAGUUAUGUAUCUAUUCUUCCAAAUGGAUUCAAUUAUGCAAAUUUUAAUCUGAUCUGAUGGCAUCGGUGGUUAUAACUUGGAGACAAGUUCAUGUGAUUUUCCAUGAGCUAAUCUCUCUCAUGGUACCAUCGUGGGGCCUCACUGAUCACCAAUCAGUCGUUUCAGAUAAUAGAUGGUUUAUGGCAUAUAUCCAUUUAUCUAUAUAUUUUAUGGUCAGGCUCAGAAGAAAAUGUCCAAGCCUUCUCUCAUUUUUAGAAGUCAACUGAAAUUUUCCAUUGUUGCUUCAUCUUCUCAAUAAGAAAUUUUAAACUACGUUUUUCUGGUUGCCGGUCACUGUUCAUGCUGAGAAAUUCCAAGUUUCUUCAAAGGCCUUGGAUAUUCCUAAUGAGAACUAUAACGUAUUAUUACUUUUAAUUCAGCUGGUUAUCUUAUAUAUCUUAUGUUUGGGUUCUAGUGAACUCUUAUGUAUUUGUUCCUACGUCUUUCUAUCACUCGUCAAUUCUAGGUGUAUCUCAGGAUCGGGGCGUGAUGCCUCAACCAUGAUAGAUCGAACAUAAAAGGAGAGAUUUGUUAGCCUACGACUUUAUGUGUCCAUACAAUCUCUGGUAAGCAAUAACCUCCAUAUAGUAAGGCUUAGCUAAGAUGGCUAGCUAAUGUAGUGAGCUCCUAAACUCUUCGGUAUAAUUAGGAAUGAAACCGUGUAAUUAUAAGUUGUAAAUCCUGAUGUAAGAUUUUCAACAUUAACAUGGUAUAGCACAAUUCUAAAUAUUGUAAAAUGGAGCUGUUAUUUUCACAACAAAUAUUACUUCCCUUACAAAAAUGCAAUGAUCAUUUACUAAAAAAUUACUGCAACUUUUAUGUACAUCAUUCAAAGAUACAGUUUUUACUCCUCACAAAAGUUUUCACAAUUACUUCCUACAGCCAGUGUUACCAAAUCAUGUAAUUCUUUAUAAUUCUUUACGGACCACUGUCGACCUAGACAAUAUUAGAUAAGAGAUACUCGUAUUGUAAGCAAACUAUAUAGAAACUGAAAUCUUUCUGUGAAACCUUGCUCUAAACUAAUUGUAAUUUCAUUUAACAGGAAUUCUGAAAUUACCCUUUUGUCCCCUAUCCACUACUCAAUCCAGUUCUUUUUGGGAUUUCCUCACAACUCUAUCUCUCUCUCAUUAGCUACCACAUGGCAAUUCCCCAUCCAUUUUCUCUCAUUCUCUCUUCCUUUCUCUCGAGCUCUCUCAUUCUCAGCUCACUUUCUCUCUCGCACAAACUCUCUCUUCCUCACCCUGAUCUACGCACACCCCAAAUCAAUUCACGACGACGACAGCGACACAACCACACCCACCGUGUGAGCCUCUCUCUCUCCCUCCUUCUCCAUGAAGCCCAGGAACCCAACAAAAUUCCUCAGGCAAGCCCCGUGGCUUUCGAGCCAAAAUCCGGCCAACUCCAGCCACCACUCUUCGUGAAAUUGGUACGAAUCUCUUCCUCUCCUCAUAAGCUUCAAUUUGAUAGAUAAAUCACACCCUAGGGUUGAGAAUCGACAUUGAACGGAGCUCAAGAAGCUACGGCAUUCCCUUCCGUCGAAACCGGGUUGAAACGACCCAAACUCGGAGCCCAAGUCCUUUGGCCUAAAUUCUUGGGCUAGGCUUUCAAGCCCAAAGCCCAUUAGAACCUAAACCCAAAACCCCAUGUAAUCCAAGCCCUUGGGCCAUAUAGAACUCAGGCCUUAUACCCAUUAAACCCUCAAUACAAACCCUUUGAGCCCAAACCUGAAACCCUUUAACCCUAUUUCACCCAAAAUUAGGCCUCUGGGCCAUGUUAAUGUGAGCCUUAGGCCCAAUGAACCUAAGCCCAACCUUGCAGCCCGGUUCCUUAAACCCAAGCCUUUGGGCCGUGCAACCAGGCCUAGUUGUGAAGCCCAGGCCUAAUUGCCUCGGCCGACCCAAAGAACCCAGAAACCUAGCCGUGAGUAGGCCAUGCAUAACCCUACGCGUCGGCGUGCAUGGAGCACACGCACCUCCAUCCACUGCGGCACCGGUGAUUUUUCCAGCCAACUUUCCAGUGACCAAUUGCUGGGCGUGGCCGCUAGAGCCGCCACAUUGCAGCGGCGCGUAGGGGUACCCGAGGUUCUAAUUAUGUUUUUCAACGUCCUGAAUCUGUUUAUGAUGUACAUUUCCCUAAAUUCAAUCAUUAUGAUAGAGUUUUAUUAAUUGGACUCUUUAUGUGGUUAGGUGUGACUAUUAGCGGUGAUUUUGUCCUUCCUAUUUCGCACGGUUCAUCGACGAUGAAGUAUUUGUGAGUGAACCCCUUCUAAAAUGCAUGUUUUAAUAGUAGAAAUGCAUACAUGAAAAGCAUGAUUUAAUGGUUACGUUUUAUGAGUAAAUUAGAUUUACACUGUAUGUUUAUCAUGCUUUAGUGAGAAUAUUUUGGAAUACCAUACUUUAUCGAAAUUAUGUUCUUUGUAGUAUAUAUGAUGGAUGACUAUAUACUAUUUAUGAACAUGUUUUUACACUCUUUGUAGUAUAUAUGAUGGAUGACUAUAUACUAUGAAGAUGUUUUGAGAUAUAUGUAUUUAUGUCAGAAAGAUUAUAUUCAAUUAUUUUGUGCUUAUCUAGUGGUUACUAUAUAUGCCUUCGGGUGGGUGUUGUAGGAGUCUACGGAUGAUUGAUACUAUAUAUGCCUUCAGGUGGGUGUUGUAGGAGCCUACGGGCAAUUGAUAUGUGAAGUGUUCUGAAUGAAGGCCUUCGAGCGAAUGAAGUGUUCUAAAUGAAGAGUUCUAUAUAUGCCUUCGACCGAUCCUGAUACCAUUAUUUAGCACACUAUAUCAGAUUUACGUUUUACAAAGGUUUUAUGGCAUGCUAGGGUUUUCGGAAAACCUAUCACAUAUUAUGCUAUUAGUUUUCAUAAACUUUGGGGGUUAGUACAUUAAUGAAUAACUAUAUUUGUACUACUUAUAUAUCAACUUGGUCCAACCAUAUUUGUUUUGCGCUCCCUCAGGACAUAGGAAUGAGGCUUACGAUCCGAGCUAUGAGGCAUUCUCCUACUAGUGGCAUUGUGCCAUCCUUUCUGCUUUGACGUCAUUGUAAUCGCACCUUCCGCUUGUAUUCUGAAUUAGAUGUAAGCUCUGAACAUAUCAUGCACUAUCACUAUCUUUAUCAUUGUCGGCAGUUGAAUAUUAUUAUAUUAUUUUAUAAGGUUUAUGUGGGAAUAUUACAUUGCGUAGUUCGCGCAAAAUUUACAUGCAUGUUUCACAUUUUCUCAGCAUAUGCAUUCAUUAAAUGGCUUGCGUCACCCCCGGGUGUUGGCCAGCACGUGACCAUCCCAAUGUCCCUUGGACAUCGGGAUCAAGGCAUGUCACUUUCUCUGUAAGCUUUCUUUUGUAUUGAAUGAAUAACUCAUUACAUUGUGCAUGACAGUAUAUAUAGCCCUUGGUUAUUUACAUUCACACCUUUAACAACCUUAACUAAUCACAACAAUUAAUAUAACUAACUACAUUUAGUUAUAACAAACUAUUUAUCAGUAAUUGAAAUGGAUGACUUGCCAUUCUCCCCAAUACAUCCCCUCAAGCUAAAAUUGGGAUCAUAGGUGAUACCAAAUGGGAAGCUUAGAUUUCAAGUGAGCAAACCUGCUUUUAGACAGAGACUUGGUGUGUAUGUUAACCAAUUGAUAUUCAUUGCAAACAAAUUGCACUUUAACCAGAUUGGCAAACACUAAUUCUUUGAUAUAGAGUAGUCUAUAUCAACGUGUUUUGUUCUUGCAUGAAAUACAAGAUUGGAAACUAAAGAGAUAGCUGAGAUAUUGUCACACCACAAAGUAGGAAUUUUAGGGAGAGGAAAUUGAUGAUCAUGAAAGAUUUUUCAAAUCCAAGUGAUCUCUAUAGUCGUGUGAGCUAAGGAUCAAUGCUCAACUUCUGUGGAAGAUCGAACAACUAUGCAUUGUUUCUUGGCACUCCAACUUAUGAGAUUUCAUCCAAGUAACACACAAUAUCCACUUGUUGGUCGCCUGUCAAAUGUGCAGCUUACCCAAUCAACAUCUAAGUAUGUUCAAAGAUGAAUAAGACCUUUUUGAACCAUAAACCACAAGAGAUGGUGCCUUUAAGAAAUCUGAGUACUCAUUUUGCAGCUUGAAGGUGUUGAUCCCUUGGAGCAUGUAUGAAUUGACAUAUUUGGUUCACAUGAUAUGAAAGAUCAUGCCUAGUCCAUGUAAGAUAUUGCAAUCCUCUAACAACUGAAUGAUAUUUAGUAGGAUUGAGCAAAAGAGGCCCAUUGUGAUCCAGUUUCUUGGAACCAAGAGGAUUACAACAAGGUUUUGCACCUUCCAUAUUUGUUUUCAUGAGAAGAUCGAGCAAGUAUUUAGAUUGAUGAAGAAAAAUACCUUCAGAUGUUCUAUGCACUUCUAAACUAAAGAAAUAAUGUAAUGGUGCAAGGUCUUUAAUAGGAAAAUUGGCACAGAGUUUUUGAAUGAAAAUUGGCACCAACUUGACCCACUUGUAUCUCCUCCAUCCGAAAUUCAUUUUGGGUGAUCUUGAUGUCCAUUGAAAGCUUUUGACGAGCCCUACAUCUCUGUAGUGUUAGAUUUCCCAUUUUCUUUUCCAUCUUUGCAAUUCGAAGCCAAAAAGCCCAUGACUUUUCCGGCAGUUUUAUCAUUUUUCUGGUGAUUUCGGCAACCAUUUCCUUUGAGUGAGGUAUGAAACUUCAUCUACUCUUCAUAAUCUUCAAGUUGGUAUGCUUAGUUUGUGCUUUCGUAUUCAUUUUAGAGUUGGGUGUUUAGAACCCUAGAAAUAUGGUUUUCUCCAUUGAAUUUGGACUGUUUCUGGUUAGAAUUUAUCGUCGGCCUAGUUGUGAAAAAUAUUUCCCUUGUUGAGCUCUAGCUACCAUGUAAAUAUGAGCCCAUUUGGUUAAUGUUGAAAAUUCGGGGUUUCUAAACCCUCCACCUUGGCUACCACCUCAUGUGGCGGUGCGUGGGACCGUCCACGAGUGUUGUCUAAGUACCAAAAUUCAAUUGGACCACCACUUGUUUGUGUGAUUGAUCAAAUUGGACCACCAAAGUUCUAGUGACCCUGUGAACCUAUGUCUAGCUUGGUUUCCCAAAAUUCAAUUGUUUGGUGUGGUGAUCAAAUUGGACCGCCACUUGUUUGUGUGAUUGAUGACAAUCCGAUUGUUGGAUCAUAAUGAAAUUUUAGUAUGUUAUUCUAGAAGCAUAAUGUAGACUUUGGGAAGUUAUGGAUCAAAAAUCCAAUGUGCGGAUCUUCAGGAUCGAAUUACGUAGAGUUGUAGACCCUAUCGUUGAUCGAGAGUUGACUUGUGGAAGUCUAGUGGGCCUAUAUUGGUUAGAUAGUGACUUGAAUAUAUGAGAUAUGAUUAUUAUCUUAAUUUCUUAUAUUGGUAUCAUUUGUGAAUAUGAUUUGGUCUUAUAAAUAUGAUUUCUAUUGAAAUGUGAUUUUUAUAUAUUUAGCCAUAGACCUAUGCUUAUUACAUAUGAUUUGGCUUGUGUACUAAUGAUGUUUGUGAUAUAUAUGUGUUUACUUAUCUUUUUAAUAAUGUGAAUGAUAAUUAUGAUGAAUGUUAUGACAAUUAUGAAUUCUAAAUAUUGUUUGAUAAUUAUUUGGAUAUGAUUGCCAACUGAAUACCUAUUUGAACUUGGCAUUACUACCUAGCAUGAGAUGGAGACGAAAGUCAGGAGAUGAGUUAGGUACUUUAUUAGAUUUUUAGUAGAAAUAGUAAUUAAGGGAAUUCCUUGUGUUGUGCUCCAUAUGACUAGAUGCUAGUUGAUAUGUGGAAUCGAUAGCAUGUAUGCGUAUAAUUAUGUAUAAUGUGGGAUGAUGAGAUUGCACCAUGUAGUAGUGGUACAUGGAUGGUCUUGCUUGGUAUAUCCGUGAUGGGGGACCAUACACAUGCUAAGAGUGAUCAUGCUUGGUAUUAGGCCUAGCAAUUCUUGACACGACACAACACGAAAUUAAUAGGUGUUUGGGUUGACACGAUAACGAAUCGGAUCGUUAUCAGGUAACCCGAUAAGCAUCGAUUAAGAUAACGGGUUGGUUCGGGUAUACACGUGGGUAACACGAUACAUGAUAAGCAAAAUAUUAAUUUUGUAAUUUUAUAACCCUAAAAAAAAUACUAUAAUUAUAUAUAUAUAUAUAUAUUAAUUUAACAAUUUUAUACCCCUAAAAAUUAUAAUAAUUAUAUAUAUUAAAUAAAAUAUUAAAAAUUGGUGACCAUCGGAUCGGCUUAAAUAUACAUAUCAUUCAAUUUCUUAAGUGUUAUAUGUACAAAAUAAAUAAAUUUAAAUCUACUUAAUAAAUAUAUAUAUAUAUAUAUAUAUAUAUCAUUGAACUUGAUAGGAUACGAAUUCUACGAAAUCCAACCCUCAAACUUGUUUUCAUAUGCUUCGAGAUCGCAUCAGCAAAAACUCACAAAAAACAAACAUUCAGAGAUCAAGUAACGGGAUCAAACUUUUUGACGGUUAUCAAUGAAAAAUCACGAUUUAACGAUUAUUUUAACUCCGAUUUUGAUGAUUUUUUACAGCUACACUCCUUGACCCUAUAUGAAUAAAAUGAAUGAAUUCGAUCUUCAAUUUAAAAUAUUUACACUAGUGGAUACCACAAAAUCUUAUGUUAUACUUAAUGAAAGUAUAAAUAAAUUCUACGUGUUAGUGAAUCUAUCGUUUUGAUGGUAUAUGUGAUAUCCUGUCCCCAAAAUUAGUAUUUUAUUUUAUUCUUGAUGUAUUUCAAAGAUUUAAUUAAAACUAGUUCGUUAAUUCUCCAAUUUUGAGAAAAACAAAGUGAGGGGUACUUUAGUCAUUUCCAAUUUUCCCGACCUUUUCGGUCAACUCUUGAAUUGGUUAGGUAGAGUCCGAUUCCAUGAGCGUGUAGGCGUAAACGGAUCUCAAUUAUGAAAUAGAACGAAGAAGUUAGAGACGUUUGAAGUUAGAUGGCAUUUUGGUAAUUUGGCCAAAAUGUUAUAAAUGGAAGAAAACCUGCUGAAACUUUGCAGAAACGGAAAGGCUGAUUUCAGCUCCUUUUUGGGUUUUCAACCCGUUAACCCGCCAACUUGACCCGCUUGUAUCUUCUCCGUCCGAGCUCCGUUUUUGGGUGAUCUUGGUGUCUAUGGAAAGCUCUUGACGAGUCCUACAUCUAUGUAGUGUUAGAUUUCCCAUUUUCUUUUCCAUCUUUGCAGUUCAAAGCCAUAAAGUCCACGACCUUUUCGGUGGUUUAAUCAUUUUUCCGGUGAUUCCGGCAAUCAUUUCCUUCAAGUGAGGUAUGAAACUUCAUCUACUCUUCAUAAUCUUCAAGUUGGUAUGCUUGGUUCGUGCUUUUGUUUUCGUUUUAGAGUUGGGUGUUUAGAACCCUAGAAAUCCGGUUUUCUCCGGUGAAUUUGGACAGUUUCCAGUUAGAAUCGGUCGUCGCCAUAGUUGUGUUUCCCUUGUUGAGCUAUAGCUACCACGUAAAUUUGAGCUCAUUUAGUUAAUGUUGAAAAUUUAGGUUUUCAAACCCUUCACCAUGGCUACCAUCGUGUGUGGCGGUGCGUGGGACCGUCCACGAGUGUUGUCUAAGUACCAAAUACCUUCUAGUGACCUUAUGAACCUAUGUCUAGCUCGGUUUCCCGAAAUUCAAUUGUUUGGUGUGGUGAUCAAAUUGGACCACCACUUGUUUGUGUGAUUGAUGACAAUCCGAACGUUGGAUCGUCGCACAAUUUUGUGAGCACCAUAGUUAUCAGUUGUUAGACCUUAGGAACUUACUAGUGAAAAUCUAGUGGUUGGAUCUUACGGAGCAAGUGAUGUAAGAUGAUGGACCAUACCUUUGAUCGACGGUUUGAUUCUUAUUAAAUGUCGUUGUGGGAAACUUAUGAGAGUUUUGGGUAUGUGAAUUUAUCGAGAGAAAUCUAAAUGUGGACUUGUGCUUUGUUUUGGCAGUGACAGAGCUUGAUGCCUUGAAUUCCAUGCUAGAGUGCGUUAGUGUGGACCUCAGGUGAGUGACUUUAAUACAUGUGAUAUUGGUGAUUACCCUGUUUUCGUAAUUGUUAUCCUAUGUGGAUAUGACUUGGUUUUAUAAAUAUGUUUUCUAUUGAAUUGUUAUUUUUAAUGCUUAGCCAUUGAUUUAAAUUUAUAAAAGAGAUUUGACAUGUAUAUAUUGAAAUAUGGUUUAAUUGGUUUGCUUGGCAUGUUGUGAUGAAAUUGUAGACAUCAAAAUUUCGGUGAAAUAAAUGUUGACCAAUAAUUACAAUUUCAACGCUCAUGUGUCACAGAAAUUUUUACACGUAGCGUGUGACUAAACGAAAAAUCAAAAUAAAUCGGAAAGUCAUCAAAUAAGGACACGUGUCAACACCUGGCAGAAAUGAUUUAUUUCAUCUUAACAUUAUAUUCAAAAUUAGGCCUUCAAAAAAUUCUAUAAAUACAAGGCUAUUUCAUUCAUUUUAGGACACCAAUUCAUAACCAAUUCACAUCACACCAAAACCUUGAAGCUUUGAAACUCUAAAGCUUCCAAGUCAAUCCCGAAGGAUCAAGAAAUCUGUCUUCGUUCUUGGUUAAAUCCUCCUUCAAGAUCAAGCCCCAACGGCCCUUGAAUAACUUCCACCAAUUCAAGAUCAAGCCCCGAUGGCCCUUGAAGAAAGUGUUCAUUGUUCAUUGUCCGUUCAUCCUAAGAUCAAGCCCUAAUGGCCUUUUGGAUCAACAACAUCAACAAAUCCAAACAUCGAACCGUUCUUCAAGAUCAAGUCUAAAAGCCCUUGAAGAUCUGUUCACCCAUCAACCUUCAAGAUUAAGCCCAAAAGCCCUUGAAGAAAUUCGCACAACCAUUCUUCAAAAUUAAGCACAAAAGCCCCUUGAAGAUCCAUUCAUCCUAAGAUCAAGCGCCAACAGCCCUUUGGAUCAACAACAUCAACAAAUCCACACAUCCAAUCGUUCUUCAAGAUCAAGUCUAAAAGCCCUUGAAGAUCUGUUCACCCAUCAACCUUCAAGAUUAAGCCUAAAAGCCCUUGAAGAAAUCCGCACAACCGUUCUUCAAAAUCAAGCCCAAAAGCUCCUUGAAGAUCUGUUCGUCAACCUUCAAGAUCAAGCCCUAACGGCCAUUGGAUCAAUAGCACAAUCCAUAAAUCUACUCAUUACGAAGAUUAAAUCAAAGGCUAAAUUUGUAGAAGAGAUUGUAACCCCUAAAUCAUUAAUACAAAUAUUAUUUUUUACACAUGUUCUUGUCUCAUUCAUGGCAGGAAUAUUCGUGUUUACAAAUUUGUCAUGCCCGGUAAGACAAUCUCUACCUCUCAUCUCUAUCUGCAAAUCUGUAAAAAGCACAAAUGGCAUCAAGGAAGGCUCAAGCUGUUCCCAUAACCAACAUGAAGAACAAGAGCGUCCUUGCCGCAGGCGGUGUCACUUCGGGCAUCACAACUCAAAGCAAGGCAAGAGCUCUUUCUACCAUCUCUUCCACCCCUGCAUCAACUCUGUCGAAUGAACAAAAUCACACGAGGCACGAGCCCGUGAUCACUUUAGCCUAGCUAAGGGCGCUAAGGGAGGAAAGCCCGAGGAAGUACUCCAAGUUCUUGCUUUCCGAUGCCAACUCGAGCGUCAGCAUAGCUAUGCAAGUCAUGGCUAUCGGAGUAACUUCAAUUGAGGAGCAGCUAGCUCAAAUGAAUGAAGCGAUCGUAAAACUCACACGGACUAUGGAGGAAAAAAACUUGCAAAUUGCCGCACUUGUCAACCAACUAAAUGAAAAGCCCAACGUGAAAGUCGACCCAAUGGUUAAUCCAUUAAAGAAAAAAGUCGAUGUAGAAGAUAAGCCUCCAGCGAAGAAAGUCAAGAAGAAGCCGGAGCCAAACCAAGCAAUGGCAUUCAUGGGAUUUCUCUUUAUCCAGCAACUGUAGGAGAUGAUUGCCAGCACCAUCAAGGCGCAGUACGAAGGAAGCUCGCAUGACUUCGUACAAUACUCAAAGCCCUACUCCAAGAAGAUUGACGCUUUGAAGAUGCCGAGAGGUUAUUAGCCGCCAAAGUUUAUGCAGUUCGAUGGAAAGGGAAACCCAAAGCAACAUGUCACCCAUUUCAUUGAAACCUGCAAUAAUAUUGGAACGGAGGGAGACUACCUCGUCAAGCAGUUUGUACGCUCACUGAAGGGAAACACCUUUGAUUGGUACACCGACUUUGAGCUCGAGUCUGUCAACAGUUGGGAUCAGCUAGAAAGGGAAAUCCUUAACCGCUUCUACAGCACUCUCCGCACUGUAAGCAUACUAGAGCUGACUAGUACGAAACAGUAGAAGGAUAAACUUGUCGUCGACUACUUCAAUAGAUGGCAUUCAUUAAGUCUGGAUUGCAAAGAUCAGCUUUCUGAAACAUCUGCCAUUGAGAUGUGCGUUUAAAGCAUGCACUUGGGGUUACAUUACAUCUUCCAAGGUAUAAAACCGAGAACAUUUGAGGAGCUGGCAACUCAAUCCCACGACAUGGAGCUGAGUAUCGCCAAUCAUGGGAAGAAUGAGCUGAUCACCGACUUCAAGAAGGAUAAAGUGUUCUCCCUAAAUGUAGAUAAGGCUGGAAAAAAAACCCUCAAAUGAAGCUUUUACUGUCAACACCGCACCCAUCAAGACCUCCCCCGUGCCCAUCAAGACCUCCUCCGUGCCUAUCAAGAUCUCCUCCAAGACCAAAGCAAAGGAGAUAAAGAGAGGUGAGCCUCCUCGUACCCAAGACAAGUACAAAAACACCUUGAAGGAGCUGGACCAAAAGAUGUACCCUUUUCCUGACUAAGACAUGGAUCCAAUGUUAGACGACGACUUGCUGGAAAAGAAAGUGAUCGAGUUCCCAGAAUGCAAGCGCCCUGAAGAGAUGAAUCGCGUAAACAAUCCUAAGUACUGCAGGUACCAUUAUAUCGUGAACCAUCCUGUUAGCAAAUGCUUCAUCCUCAAAGAACUCAUCAUGAAGCUAGCACAACAAGGGCAAAUCAGGCUAGACCUUGAAGACACGGCCGCAACACAUACUACUACAAUUGCAUUUGGAUCCUUCGAUCCCGUGCCUUUCCAAGUGACACUUGACCAUUCCUGUCAAUGCUCAAGCUGCACCACACAUUCUGUACAACCAUCACUAGGGGCAAGCGACCAAGAUGCACAUACCGAUGACGAAGAAGAAUGGACAUUGGUGACCUACAAAAAGACAAGGAAACCAAAACCACAGCCACAAGGCCAAAGGUGGAACAAGGGAGAAAACACCGUCGUCGCAAUAAUAGGAAGCCCGAAAGAAACGUAAAAGCUGCUAAGCCAACGUACACUAGGGAACCUGCAGAGCAAGAGCCACGUAUUCCUAUUUCCUUACACGAGUACUUCCCGAAUGACUUCUUCUAACAGUUCAUUAUCGCUGCAUGUCACAUGGUCGAAGUAGAAACGGAAGAACUUUCAAAAGGCAAAGUCAUCGCUAUCGAGGGAGAAAUUACCCUCACACCUAAAGAAGGCAUGCCGACACACUUUAGCAUCGAGGAAGCACUAUGAUUGCCAAAGAAGAUGCAAAGAGCACUAGUAGCGGUCUUGGCAAGUCCCGACGACCACGAAGUGCAAGAAAGCAAGGACGAAGACUUGAAACUUCGACCACAUGAGUAUGUCAGUUGUUGUGCUACCCAUGACACAAUCUACUUCACCGAUGAAUACUUGCUGCUAGGAUCCAAGCCUCACAACCGUCCUCUCUUCGUCUCUGGGUAUGUAAGGGAGCAUAAAGUCAACCGCAUGCUUGUGGAUGGUGGAUCAGCCAUAAACAUCAUGCCGAAGUCAACAAUGACCACAAUCGGCAUCAAGGUGGAUGAAUUAUCCCUAAGCAGUCUACUAAUCCAAGGUUUUAAUCAAGGAGGAUAAAAAGCGAUGGGCAGGAUUCGAGUAGAAAUGACCAUUGGUGAACUUAAAUCAAGCACGAUAUUCCAUAUGAUUGAUGCAAAAACUUCCUAUAGCCUGCUCUUAAGAAGGCCUUGGAUCCACGUAAAUGGAGUAGUACCAUCCACCCUCCACCAAUGCUUAAAAUUCUACCGGGAAGGGGUAAAGGUGAUCCAAGGUGAUACAAAGCCAUUCACCGAAGCGGAAUCACACUUCGCAGACACCAAGUUCUACAUGGAUGAAGACAUGCCUGAAGCUCUUCCAUAAGAGAUCAAAUCCACAGGCAAAGCAACACCUAAAAAGCAAGAAUGGCAAGCCGUGCCAUUUUUAGGCAAAAACGAUGACGAGCUUGUUAAACCUGUAACAACCAAAGGGAGUAGGAUGCCUUCAGAAGGAUCGAACACACCAAUAUUUCAAUACAUCCCGAUGUCAAGAAGAAAGAAUGGUUAAUCCCCGUUCGAAACCAGAGCAAGCAAAGCUAACACAUAGUGGCACAAGGAUAAUGUGAAGUUGCUCAAGACGAAUGUAGUUUUGCCUCUAACACAGCUAGGUGGUGUUAAGGUUGGAAGACUACCACAAGGCUUCAUAAAAGCUCUGCCAAAAGGGGUGGAACCAAGCUUUCUUCCAACUAAGAGAACCAGAGAAGGUUUUGAUCCAAACGCCUACAAGCUCAUGUUGAAAGCUGGGUACAAUUCGUUUCCUCUUCGAAUCCUGGAGAAAAGGUUUCAAACACCAUCAUCGACAAAGAACAUAACCACACCAAGACUCAAAAGAAGUUGAAGGAGCAUGGUUACAGAGUUGACAACAACAAAGCUGGGCUCGGCUUCACACCAAAUGCACCCGUGAAGAUUUCAAGCAUAGUGAAAAAUGCUAGCACUCAACACAUUAGCGUGAGCGUUGAACAAAAUCAAGAAAAGCCUAAGUUCACUCCUUGGACGUUAGUCUUCGAUAUGAUGAAUCAUUCAAGGCUUAGAAUUUCGGCAUUUGAUGGCAUUGGUGGUCAAGACCAAACCUCCAUUUUCAAGAGGCUUAACACACCAACAUCCCAAAGCUCUGUUUUUGAAAGGUUGUUAAAACCCAAGCAACAUGGCUAACUCUCCUCCGUGAUGGUCAGCUUUGGAAAGACUUGAAGACAACAAGAAACCUUCUAGAAAGAAGGAAAUGAGGCCAAAGGAAGAAAAGCUCAACGGUCUGACAAGAAAAGAUGAUGUUCGAAGCUCUAUUCCUUCAAGGAUGAAACGCCAAGCAAUCUUGAAGGUUGACAUAAUUGGAUCACUGAAAGUGAGAAGGUGCACCAUUAUUUAUACCGGCCAAUCUUCACACCAACAAGCCCAAAAAGACGGUACUGAAGAAGAAGUCUAAGACGUCUUCCACAUCAUGAUCCAAGAAGGCAAAGAAGAUGAAAUCCCUGAGGAAGACGUCACUGCCGCACCACCAUAACUGGAGGAUGGGGGGCAAGCCAAUGUUUAGGCACAAAAGAAGAGUUGAAGCCUAUCUUUGUAAGUGCGCUGCUAAGUGCGGAUGAGACAGAAGAGUAUUACCAACUACUACUAGAGUACAAAGAUGUCUUUGCUUGGACCUACAAGGAAAUGCCUGGCCUUGACCCUGUCAUCGCUAUGCAUCAUCUUACAGUUAAGCCUGGAACGUGACCAAUAAAGCAAACUCAAAGGCGAUAUCGAUCGGAGCUUAUCCCACAAAUUGAGGCUGGGAUUAACAAGCUAAUCGAAGCAGGCUUCAUUCGAGAAGUGCAAUACCCCAAGUGGAUUUCCAACAUCAUCAUUGUCCUUAAGAAAUCUGGACAAAUACGUGUUUGCAUAGACUUCCGGGACCUUAACGAUGCUUGCUCGAAUGACGACUUCCCCUUGCCAAUCAUUGAAAUCAUGGUGAAUGCAACCACUGGCCAUGAAGCACUGUCAUUCAUGGACGACUCUUCUGGAUACAAUCAAAUUCGCAUGGCUCUCGAAGAUGAGGAACUAAUAGCCUUCCACACUCCAAAACAUAUCUACUGCUACAAGGUGAUGCCCUUUGGUCUAAAAAACAUUAGAGCCACAUAUCAACGCGCAAUGCAAAAAAUCUUCAAUGACAUGCUACACAAAAACGUAGAAUGUUACGUAGACGAUGUGGUGGUCAAGACAAAGAAAAGAUCAGAUCACUUGAAGGAUUUAUGAAUAGUGUUUGAAAGGUUGCAAAAAUACAACCUUAAGAUGAACCCGUUAAAAUGCGCAUUUGGCGUCACCUCUAGAAAGUUCCUCGACUUCAUUGUCAAGCACUGUGGCAUUGAAGUGAACCUAUCAAAGAUCAAGGCCAUUCAAAGUAUGCCUGAACCAAGAAACUUGCACGAGCUGAAGAGUCUACAAGGAUGACUAGUCUUCAUCAGGCGUUUCAUCUCCAACCUUGCAGGGCGUUGUCAACCGUUCAGUCGACUCAUGAAGAAGGAUGUUCCGUCAUAUGGGAUGAAGCAUGCCACAAUGCUUUUGAAAGCAUAAAAAAGUAUUUAUCAAGUCCACCUGUCCUGGGGGCACCUGUGCCCAAAAAACCGCUCAUAUUGUACAUUGCUGCUCAAGAAAGUUCAGUUGGAGCACUUUUGGCAUAAGAGAAUGAAUCCCAGAAAGAAUGAGCGUUGUACUAUCUCAACCGAACUCUCACAAGCGCCGAGUUGAACUACUCCCUAAUAGAAAAGAUGUGCCUCGCCUUGGUGUUCGCCAUCCAAAAGCUCAGGCAUUAUAUGUACCAUCCACCUGGUUACUAAGGCUGACCCAGUCAAAUACGUCAUGUCUAAACCAGUUUUGACAGGGCGACUAGCUAAAUAGGCGUUGCUUCUUAUCAAUACAAAAUCAUCUACAUCCCAGCUAAAACCGUCAAAGGAUAAGCGUUAGCAGACUUCCUCGCCGAUCAUCUAAUCUUAACCGAUUGGAAAAUCCCAGACCAAUUGCCUGACAAUGAGGUGUUCUACAUCGAUAUCUUCCCAACAUGAAUGAUGUUUUCGAUCCGCACGAGCAGACGGAACGGGGGCAGGAGUAGUAUUCAUGUGGCCACAAAGGCAAAUACUACCUUACCCCUUCCAACUAAGUGAACUAUGCUCCAACAACAUUGCUGAGUACUAAGCACUGAUCAUCGGGCUUCAAAUGGCGAUCAACAUGGAAAUCAUAGCCCUUGAGGUAUAUGGCGACUCCAAGCUCAUAAUCAAUCAACUCUUAACUGAAUAUUAGGUGAGGAAAGAUGAUCUCGUCCCAUACUUCCGGUUGGCAACUCAGCUGCUAUAAAAGUUCAAGGCCGUGACACUAGAACAUGUGCCAAGAAACGAAAAUCAAAUGGCAGACGCUCUCGCUACCCUAGCCUCGAGUACGACACUAGGAGAAGACGAAGUUGCAGACGUGCCAGUUUGCCAAAGAUGGGUGAUCCCGCUCAUUACUGAAAUGAUAUUGGAUGAUAUAAACGUCAUCUCGGUACUUCCAGUCGACACUGAAGAGUGGAGACAUCACUCUGAAAUAUGUCGAAUGGCACCUCGCUUCCUCUACUACAAAGAAACACUCUACCGAUGCUCUUUUGAAGGAGUACUUCUGAGAUGCCUAGGCGAGGAAGAAGCCAAUCAAGCCAUGGAAGAAGCACAUUCAGGUGUAUGCAGAGCGCAUCAGUCUGGACCAAAGCUACAUUUCCAGCUCAAAAGGAUGGGUUACUAUUGGCCAAGCUUGGUGAAAGAUUGCCUGGAACAUGCCAAAAGGUGACAAGCCUGCCAAUUCCACGCUAACUUCAUACAUCAACCGCCUGAACCAUUACACCCUACAGUUGCCUCAUGGCCAUUCGAUGCAUAGGGAUUGGACGUCGUAGGACUAAUUACGCCAAAGUCAUCUGCAGGAGAAGCUUACAUCCUAGUAGCAAUAGAUUACUAUUCCAAGUGGGUUGAAGCCAUACCUCUAAGGGAAGUCAAAAAGGAAACUGUUGUCCGUUUCAUCAAGGAACAUAUCAUCCACCAAUAUAGUGUGCCUCGCUACAUCAUCACUGACAAUGGAAAACAGUUCUCCAACCGACUCAUGGACGAGUUCUGCGAGAAAUACAAGUUCAAGCAGCACAAGUCUUCCAUGUAUCAUGCUCUAGCCAACAGUCUUGCGGAAGCAUUCAACAAAACAUUAUGCAACCUCCUAAAGAAGGUGAUCGGUCGAACAAAGAGAGACUAGAAUAAAUGAAUAAGCGAAACACUUUGGGCAUAUAAGACAAGACAUAGGACUCCUACCCAAGCUAUGCCUUAUUCUCUCGUAUAUGAUGUGGAAGCUGUUUUAUCGCUCGAGAGUCAAAUCCCCUCACUAAGGAUAGCCAUACAAGAAGGCUUGACUGAUGAAGAAAAUGCAAAGUUACGCUUUCAAAAGCUGGAAGCUGGAUGAGAGAAGGCUCGAAGCCCAGCAACAUUUGGAGUGUUAUCAAGCAUGAAUCUCCAAGGCCUUCAACAAGAAAGUUCGCCCUCGUUCUUUUCAAAUGGGAGAUCUAGUCCUUGCAUUGCAUAGGCCUAUCAUCAUAACUCACAAAACAAAGAGCAAGUUCACAUCAAAGUUGGAUAGACCUUAUGUAAUACAAGAAGUCUACACUAAUGGCACAUACUUAAUCAUGGCAGAAGACGACUUGAAAAUCGGCCCCAUCAAUGGCAGAUUCUUAAAGCACUACUACCUCUAAAACAAACGGACCAUGCUCCUGGCCCGCGAGAACAUAAACUGAGCACGGCACAUAAAAAAAAUCCAAAAAAAAAUGUAUUUGAACUACGUCAUGACUUGAUCCCUCCUCAACCGAGGGUACGUAGGCAACUUGAAACUUCAAAACUUCAAGUACAGUCACAUCAUCAAUAAAAACGCAAACACUUUGAAGAAUAAAUAACAAAUUCAAAAUGUGACUACUUUAUUUCUUUAAAAUGAAGGAUUUGGCUACAAAACUUUAUUACAAUGAUCAAUAGCAAACAAGGCUUAAGGAAGACAUUACCAGAGAAGUAUGUCUCUAAAACUAUGAAAACAAUCCUCAAGCAGGCCUUCCAAAGUCUUCAAAGUCUCCACAUAGGUGAGAGACAAGGUGGGCAACUUCAUCGCUAUGCCUUUCUCUUGCUCUAGGCAUGACAUUUCCUUCUGGUACUAAGAAAUUGUAGCUUCCUGCUUCUGGAGAACACUUUCAAGUCGUGCUGCUUCGAUUCCCAACUGCCCUCGCUCCUACCCCAACUUUUCUAGACCCACUCGGAUGGAAGCUAAAGAGGUCCCUGUAACUUGAUAAUCUUCCGAAACAGCUUGCUGAAAAGACCAGACUUGGGCAAUUGAUAAAUCCAUUGCCGCAAGUUGUUGAACUCUAACAUCUGGAUUUAACUUCUUCGAGGAAAUAGCAAGCAAGGAAGAAUACUCAGUCGAGGUGGCCAUAAGUUUGACAAUAUGGACCCUCAAGGGCGAGGAAUCAACAUUAAGGUUGUCAAUCGCAGAAACAAGUUUCGACAAAUCCUCCUUAAGCAACACAAGGUCUUCCCAUGGGAACUUUGAAAUCCUCUCCUCAAUAUGGUUUUUGACAUCCAUGGCCGCAUUAAGUCUUAUGCGAUGGAUAAGCUGCUUAGUACCACGAAGGUUCGGCCCACUUAAAGAAACCUCAGAGCUAACUGGAAAAUGUGUUGUACGCAUGACGGGCCCUUGCAUACCCUUACCUACACGCGGCAAACUAGGGUAACUUGGCGAAUUCAAAACGGGCUCUGCACCAGGCGGAUUCCCAAUCUCCCCGUCCGUAGGUAAAUUACCUUCAAAUAACAUAUCCAUAUAAGAAUGAAUGCCUGUGUUCGCUAAAUCAAAAGAACAAGAAGGCCUAGCCUAAACAAGACAAAGAAAGAUGUUAGAAAUCAAAGCUAAAACAAUGAAAGCAAAGUAAGUCACAAGAAAGAAUGAAUAUGUACAUCUUUAUCAAGUGACACAUGACCACCAAAUUGAGAAGGCUUAAACGCUUCUUUAAUUUUAGGACAAAAAUUGACGUCGCUAUUAGCCGAUCACCUUCAAAUGGUCGCUUGUUUAUAAUUUGUUGACGCUGCUGCAAAACAAAUCCAUCUUUGCAUGAAUCAACUUUAUCACCCGCCUCUUCAUAAGCAUCCGGAUGUUGAAGAGACAAGCACGGGCGCUGAGGAACUAAAACCAUAGGUCCAUCUUGCAAAGGAGUUGCACUCGCACAAUCAAGUGGUACCAUCUGCGUAGGAAUCAUAGAACAACCCUCUCUCAACGUAUCAUUACAUAAGCAAGAAGAAUUGGUACCACUUGCUAUCCCCAAGUUUUCAUAAUGUACCUUUGACCACCAAUUUACGUAAGCAUGAGUCACCAGAUUGUUCUUAAACUCAUCUUUGGCCAGCAGGGUGAUAGAAACAUUUAUACAUGCACAGGUACAAGACUCCGAAUGCAUAUACACGGCUUGCAAGGUUCCAAUCGGGAUUUUUCCUUCAGCUUGCCCGGCACAUUUUAGACAAAACCAAAUUGCCUAUUAAAACAGUGAAGACUAUACGGCUGAAUGAUGCAUCGGUUUUCUUGCCGUAAAGAAACAUACCCCGAGCGAAGACUUAUAAGAUAAGACAAGUUUGAGAAGCGAAGAUGUGAAUCAUCCAUGAUGCCUCACCGCACCGAGCCCACUCUCGCCAGAUUAUCCAUCCUCAAGCCUUCAUAACUUCUAAACAACGCUUGCGCCUGCAAAUCAUCAAGGCCCUUCAUAGAAAACACACCAGAAUACUUCAUCAUCAAAGGCCCCAACUUAACUGAAGUCAGUGAAGAAGGCCCUGACUUGUCUAAAGUUGACGAAGAAAAAUGAGUGACAAAGUACUCACCUAAUCAACCAUACACGUAGUGGUAGGGAAGUACCGCAGCACGAUCUUCAGUGCUGGCUGAGUUUGAAACAACACCCAAGCCAUUGUAAAUGUUGGCUAAGACCGAAAUAGCAAGGCUAAAAGAUUCACCUGCGGCCAUCUUGCUAGCAACUUUGAAGACUCCAUGACGGACGAAAUUGACGUUGUUUUUGGGGAAAACGAACUUACACAGCCAACAAGCUAAGAAAACGGCUAGAUAAGAUUCUUCCAAGUGCUCUGAAGCCACGCCAAGAUCCUCAAAUACCUUCAACUCGGUAGAGGUACGGCGCCCCAGCUUGACCAAUGACACUUGACGGAUCUGAGUCUCCCUUAGGCCUAGUUGUGUUGUUACGACCACUUUUCUUCGAACACCUCUGGUACUUCAUGACAUCCCAAUACCAAAAUUGGAUCCAUGAAGAUAUCUUCACGCCUGACUUACCCGAGGCCUCUUAGGAAAGCUUAUGGUACGCCCAAAACAAAUAGCGGCAACUCACAGGCAAUCAUCGACUGUUGCAAUAAGAAAACUCCUCUAUACUAGGAACAACCUCGUCAUAAAUUUUUCCUUGGAUCGGCAAGCCUCCUAUCUUGUGAAGAUCCCUAAGUGAAAUCGACAUCUCUCCUUGAGCCGUGUGAAGUGUGUUGGUUGUUGAACACCAAUGCUCAAAGAAUGCAUGAAGGAUGGAAAGAUGGCAAUCAUAACUGAACAAAGAUGCAUAUACAACAUGAUAAAGGCCCAUGUUGGUAAGCACAUAUUUGAAGUGGCUCAAAACAUCUUCAAGCCAUUCCCAGUAAAACUCAACGAAGGCGUUCCCCCAAUAGUCGACAUGGUGUUACUCCAAGCCACAGCUCCGCUAUGAAUACGAUCACCAAGAAGCUUAGAUGAGGCCAGAUGAUUGUCACGAACAUGGUGCGAAGAGUUCAAGAUAAGAAUCCUCGAGGUGCACGCCUUCUUCUUCGUAUCUGGUUAAACAGAAUCUACCACUUCCCAAGAUACUUCAAAAGACCACGACUUAAUAUGCAUGGAGUUGUCUUUUGCGGGAAGAGCAAGUGCCUUAGAACCAAUCAGUGGCGUGUAAAGCUUCAACGUCAUUCCCCUGUCUUGUGAAUCGCCUUCCUUUGUAAGAAUGGUGAUGGUGCUGCACUUAAAGCACUUGAAAAAUACCAUGACCUCAACCAAAAAAUAAAUAAAUAAAUAAAUUAGCCAUAAAACUUGAGCAGCACGGCAAAUAGGGUAGCUACAAGACAGUUUUUCCGAGUGGUGGCAAGAGGCACAAUGAAAUCACCGCUGAGGAAAGUCAUAACCAAAAUGCACUGAUGCGAAAAUUAACUUAACACACAAAUUUAACCCUAUUUUGACAAUUGUAGUAUAAGUAUAAGCAGUGAUCGUUCUGGACCGGGGAUUAGGAGGGCUUGCUAUUAACCUCUAAACUGACUUAAAAACAUAAAACUAAAUUUAAGAACACUUAACAAGACUCACAAGACUCAAAGCAAACUUAAAAUACUCAAAACAGCUUAAAACAACUAAAUAAACUUAAACUAGACACUAGGAAUGACUUUGGACGAAAAUUGACUUUUACUUGAAUCAAAAUAUUUAAAAACACAAAUUAAAACAGAUUUGAAACACUUUGAAACAAGAAACUAAAAGGGGGGUUUUGAUUUGGAGGAAGUUGUAACAAACAAACAAGUAUGAAAAACUAGACAGAUUGUAAAAUAAAAUUGAGAAAUAAGAUGAUGGAUGGGAUAGUUAGAGGCUUUUUCUCCACACAUGACAUGUAUGCAAAUAACUUGAUUUCCAGUUACUACUUCAUUGAAUUAUGAACGACAAUGCUCCAAAUUAACCGUGACAUCACUAAUUAACUCUCAAAUUUUCCUUGUUUUAUUGGAUUGGAUGACAUCAUUCGACAACCCAAAACAUUCUUCAAAAGUUCCCUACAUGACAUCAUAAUAGAGAUACAAUCAAAGAUCAUUACGUUUAAUGAAAAUCAUAAGCAUUGACAAAGCACUUGCAACUAUGACAUCAUGUCGCUUAUGCUAGGAAUUGAACUUAACGCGAUCGUUUAUAAGCGACCUUCACUACAUGUGAAUAUACGUUUGUAACAAUUAUGUGAAACUUCCUUAUAUUCUAGCAACGGAUUUAUGCAUGCCACUUAAGUGUUGACCCUUCAUUAACAAAUACAAAUAAGUUAUCAAUCAAAUAGUUAAGCUAAUUGCAUUCACGAUUCCAGAGUUCAUAACUGGAAUUUAUCAAAUUAUAUUGCACACAUAAUCAUGGCUUUGAAAUCACCCCUAGCCAAGAGGGGUUUAGGCACUCAUAUUUACAACAAAACGAAAGGAAAUGAAUUUAAACAUUAGAAACAAAAGAAAGAAAACACCUAAACGCUCCAACGAUCCAAGUUGGACAGCAAGCACGUCCAAGCACUUUCAUUCCCUUCCUUUGCUACGGCACAAGGUGUUGGUGAGUGUUUAAAGGUUUGUUUGUAUGGAGGAAUGAAUUUGAAGAUGAAUGGAUGUGUUUGGAUGAAGGUUGUGUUGAAAUGGGAGUGAAUGAUCAAGCAAAGUAUGAACUCCAUUUAUGUUACACACACUUCCUUUUAUAGAGGAAGUGCAAGGCAAAGCAUGGGUAAAAUGGAUUGGUGUUGAAAUGAUUCAAAGGUGAAAGUGAAGUAAUGAUGCAAAGCAUGGGUAAAAUGGAGUGGUGUUGAAAUGAUUCAAAGGUGAAAGUGAAGUAAUGAUGCAAAGCAUGGGUAAAAUAGAGUGGAGUUGAAAUGAUUCAAAGGUGAAAGUGAAGUAAUGAUGCAAAGUAUGGGUAAAAUGGAGUGGUGUUGAAAUGAUUCAAAGGUGAAAGUGAAUUGAUGAUUGAUGCAAGACUUAAACAUGGAUGGAGUGCAUGGCAAAGGUUUGUUAUGGUACAAGGAACCCUUAAUUUGUGUCCUAAAAUGCAUGUGAAACCUUCAAUGUUGCUGGAACUUAGGGACAUUUAGGAUUUAGGAAAGAUCAAACCAAAAUAGGAAACCUUGGCUUAACUUUCCUACUUCAAGUAGGAAUCCUCAUCUUUAGGUCUUCAAUUUCGUCCAUUCCUUUAGUUCCAAGCAUGUGAUAUUUAUUCCAAGCCCAAACUUGCUCCAAAAGGCUCCAAAAUGCACAUUUUUGCAUACUUUGUCCUUAGAACCUGAAAUUGCACAAAAAUGACUUUAAACACUAAAACAACUAAGGAAUAACAACAUAAAUGCAUGAGAACAAGCUAACUCAGUCACAUAAAUAUGCUCCUAUCAGGCACUACACAGCAUAAACUCGCUGCAGUCUUUUGCACAACCUCACACGGUAAAAGUGAUGCACUGCAACAAGCUCCAAGUAGUGGCAAGAGGCACGACGAACUCACCACCAAGGAAAGUCAUGACGAAAAGACACUACACAGCAUAAACUCACUGCAGUCUUUUGCACAACCCCAUACAGUAAAAGUGACGCACUGCAACAAGCUCCAAGUAGCGGCAAGAGGCACGACAAAGUCGCCACCGAGGAAAGUCAUGACCAAAAGGUACUACACAGCAUAAACUCACUGCAGUCUUUUGCACAACCCCACAUAGUAAAAAUGACGCACUGCAACAAGCCCCAAGCGGGGGCAAAAGAACCUCCGUCGAAACAAGCAAGGAAAUUCACCGAUAUACACUGUGUACCUUAAAAAAACAGUCACGUGAAAGUCUAACCCCACUAGCCGUGUGUGUGUAUAUGUGUGUGUGUGUGUGUGUGUGUUUAUAUAUAUAUACACGACAUCCUUUCGGUGCCCAGCAGGAAACCAAAAAAAAAAAAAAAAAAAAAACAAAAAAUCACAGCAAGACCUGAACUUGUGGCAACAAGUGUAAUAAAUAAAGCACAGCGACAAGUGAUCAGUGGUAGUCGUGGCACAGCCUAAGCAUUCUGCAACUUAAAGGAAAUUGGAUAUGGAUCAGAUACUUGUCUAAAGCCUUACAUGAGGGUCUAUUUAUAUACGACUAGAUUCAAGAAACUUGAUCGACAUUGCAGAACAGAUGCAAUGCAAUGAUGAUGCCUUUUCUUCCUUUUUGGGAAAGCAAAAGUUAUUUUAAUUAUUUUGUAAUUUUCUAAGUGCAAUUGGAUGGAUAAAUGCAAUGCAAUGAUGAUGUCUUUUCUUCCCUUUCGGGAAAGCAAAAGUUAUUUUAAUUGUUUUGUAAUUUGCUAAGUGCAAUUGGAUGGAUAACAAAAAAAAGGAGUCUUAGCACCAAAAGCAAGUGCAUGGAGACAAAUAGCAAGAUACAAUGCAACGAUGAUGCCUUUUCUUCCCUUUUGAGAAAGCAAAAGUUAUUUUAAUGGGUAAAAGACUGUUUACUACCCUCAUGUUUUGUGAUUUUCAACAUUUAGUACAUCAAGUUUUUUUCGUCUCAGAUUCAUACCUAAAGUGUAAAUUUUGGGACAGUCUCAUACAUCCGUUAGUCAAACUAUUAAGUCUCCUGUUAACUGUGACGUGGCGCACUGACUAGGCGCCACGUGUCAUACACGUUUUUUUUUCUUUUCUUUUCUUCUUCCUUCUUCUUCUUCUUCUUCUUCCUCAGACCGCAACUUUUUUUUUCUUCCUCCUUCUCCUUCUUCCUUCCUCCUUCCUUCCCCUUCUUCCUUCUUCUUCCUUCUCCUUCUUCUUCUUCUUCCUCCGAAAUCUGAGGAAGUUUGUUUUUUUUUUUUCUUCCUUCUUCUUCCCCCUUCUUCUUCCUCCUUCUACCUUCCCCUUCUUCCUUCUUCUUCCUCCUUCUCCUUCUUCUUCUUCUUCCUCCGAAAUCUGGGGAAUUUUUUUAUUUUUUUUUUGUUUGUUUUUUUUCUUUCUUUCUUCUUCUUCCUCCUUCUUCCUUAUUCUUCUUCUUCUUCUUCCUCCGACUGCAACUUUUUUUUUUCUUCCUCCUUCUUCUCCUUCUUCCUUCCCCUUCUUCCUCCUCCUUCCUUCCUCCUUCUUCUUCUUUUUCUUCCUCAAAAAAAAAAAAAAAAAAAACUUUCAUCUUCCCCCAGAUUCGGAGGAAGAAGAAGAAGAACGAAGAAGGGGAAGGAAGAAGGAGGAAGGAAGAAGGAGAAGAAGGAGGAAGAAAAAAAAAAACUGAAUCUGGGCAGAUUCGGAGGAAGAAGAAUGAAGAAGAAGAAGAAAGAAGAAGAAGAAAAGAAAAAAAAAAGAAAAAACUGAAUCUGGGUAGAUUCGAAGGAAGAAGAAGAAGAAGAAGAAAAAAAAGAAGAAGAAGGAAGAAGAAGAAGAAGAAGGAAGGAGGAGGAAAGAGAAGGAAGAAGAAGAACAAAAAAAAAAAAAAAAAAAAAAAAAAAAAAGCUUCCCCAGAUUCGGAGGAAGAAGAAGGAGAAUGAGAAGGAAGAAGAAGGAAAAAGGGGAAGAAAGGGAAGGAAGGAGGAAGGAAGGAAGAAGGAAAAGGAGGAAGAAAAAAAAGAAAAAAAAGAAAGUUGCAGUCGGAGGAAGAAGAAGAAGAAGAAGGAAGAAGAAAAGAAAAGAAAAGAAAGAAAAAAAAAAAAACAUGGAUGACACGUGGCGCCCAGUCAGUGCGCCACGUCACAGUUAACGGACAACUUAACAGUUUGACUAACGGAUGUAUGAGACUGUCCCAAAAUUUACACUUUAGGUAUGAAUCUGAGACGAAAAAAACUUGAUGUACUAAAUGUUGAAAACCACGAAACAUGAGGGUAGUAAAUAGUCUUUUACCCUAUUUUAAUUGUUUUGUAAUUUGCUAAGUGCAAUUGGACGGAUAACCAAAAAAAGGAGGAGUCUUAGCAAAAGCAAGAGCAUGGAGACAGACAGCAAAAUACAAUGCAAUGAUGAUGCCUUUUCUUCCCUUUUGAGAAAGCAAAAGUUAUUUUAAUUGUUUUGUAAUUUGCUGAGUCCAAUUGGACGGAUAACAAAAAAAAAGAGGAGUAUUAGCACCGAAAGCAAGAGCAUGGAGACAAACAGCAAGAUGCAGUGCAAGCAGCUGAGCAAAGAAGAGCGUCCACAGUAGAAGGAAGUUAUGGCCGUACUAUUUGGUUUAUGGCCAAUUUAUAUGAUCAACAUUGCUUGAAUAAAGCAAUUAAAUUAGAUGAUCACAAUAUCACAAUAUGACGAAACAGAUUCACACUUCAAAAAUAAAUAAAUAAAUAAAAGAAGGAUAAAAUAAUAAUAAAAAAAAAAGGUAAUAAUGGCCAUCAUUGCUUUGAAAGAUGGUAUCGUAUGAAACGAAAAAUAAAAAAUAAAAAAUCUAUAAUAAAGUAACAAAAUAAUAAUAAAAAUAAAUAAAUAAAUUGAAUGAAACGAAACUCGUUUAUUGAUUUCUCUAAAAAUUUACAUAAAUGUACAUUUUACAUGAGUUAAAAAAAAAAAAAAAAAAAAAAAAAAGGAGCCUUCACAAAGGUUAAUUAGGUGGCAUCUCAUCACUCGGCGGAACUUCAAGAAGAAGAGGCGCCGGAGGUUGAUUGUUUGGAGCCUCAACACUCGGUAAAACUCUAGAGGAUGAAGGCAAUAGGUGCCUUUGGAGUAAAGCCACAAACAUCUGAUGGUCACUCUGAAUCCGACUUUCGGAUUCCUGAAGCUGGUCAAGCUUUCUCUUCAUGCUUGUCGAGUAACUAUUGGAAAAGUCGUUGGAUGUCUAGGUGACUCCUUCGAAGUUGUCAAUGACUUGAUUAUGAUUUCAUAAAGCAUGAUUCUAUACUUGAUGUUUAUAGAUUGUGAUCGAUGACACUAAUUUUACAUGCGAGAAACCGAUUGAUAAUUUUGGUUCCAUUAAGUGAUCCGGAACCCGAUGUGGUUGGAUUCCGUUGAGUGGUCCGAAAUUCCUACUCUUGCUCAUUUCCAUAAGUUAGACUUGUACCCUGGAUUCGAGUGAAUGAGAAUUACCCAUAAUAGAUCUUGUGAAUAUAAAUUAGAAUUAUCCAGUUAUUACUUGAAAUCCAGGUAGGGAAUUAUGUAGAAGUUCUUUAUUAAUUUUGUGCAUUAAGGUGUGAUCUGAUUGACUGAUUAACAUAAUUAAAUGUUAAUAUCGUGCCUCCUUGAUAUCAUGGAAUGGGUUACUUGAGAUGAUCGUGGAAGGAUGUUAAAUAUAAUUGUUAUUAAUAUGAUUAGAUCAAUAAUCAAUGCGACUAGAGGAUACUAUUGUGCUUUGUUGAUUCUUUGAUAUAUUACAUGAUAUGAAUAGCGAUUUUAUGUUGAAACAUAAUGAUUUAUUUGAUGUAUGAAAUAGAAACCUUGAUUGUCAUGUAGGUUGUUAUGUAGUUUGAAUCGAAUAAUUCAUGCUUGUCAAGUCCAAAUGUUUGAUUGAGGAAUGUUAUGCAUUUUGCCUUAAACAGACUAUGUUAUAUGUUGAGUUAUAGCAAAGUUAAACUACGAAUGGCUUGAUCUCUAUUGAGGGUACGUAGGCAGUCUAACGAAGAGGUUAGAUGCAGCCAUAAAGUGUUCAAAAAAUUAUUAUGCAUCUGUAUCUUGAAUUAUACUUUGUACAUAUUCCGGAGGCAAGGUAUGUUAAGUUACGGGUAUUUGGUGACGUCAUGUGUCGAUCCUGGAAGUCUGUUAGGAUCGGUGCGUGACAGUAUAUGCAUUCUACGAAACUAAUUUCAAUGAUCCAACUGUCAAACUUGUUUGUAUACGCUUCAAGAUCGUACAGGCCAAAAAUCGAAAAAAUUAAACAUUCAGAGAUCAAGUAACGGGACAAAACUUUUCGACGGUUGUCAAUGAAAAAUCACGAUUUAACGAUUAUUUUAACUCCGAUUUUGAUGAUUUUUUACAGGUACGCUCCUUGACCCUAUAUGAAUACAAUGAAUGAAUUCGAUCUUCAAUUUAAAAUAUUUACACUAGUGGAUACCACAAAUUCUUAUGUUAUACUUAAUGAAAGUAUGAAUAAACUCUUAAGUGUUAGUAAAUCUAUUGUUUUGAUGGGAUACGCAUUCUACAAAACUAGUUUCAAUGAUCCAACCGUCAAACAUAUUUGCAUAUACUUCGAGAUUGCAUACUCCAAAAAUUGCAAAAAAAAAACAUUCAGAGAUCAAGUAACGGAACAAAACUUUUUGAUAGUUAUCAACGAAAAUUCACGAUUUAACGAUUAUUUUAAUUCCGAUUUUGAUGAUUUUUUACAGGUACACUCAUUGACCCUAUAUGAAUACAAUGAAUGAAUUUGAUUUUCAAUUUAAAAAAUUUACACUAGUGGAUACCACAAAAUGUUAUGUUAUACUUAAUGAAAGUAUAAAUAAACGUGUUAGUGAAUCUAUCGUUUUGAUGGGAUACUCAUUCUACAAAACUAAUUUCAACAAUCCAACUGUCAAACUUGUUUGUAUAUGCUUCAAGAUCACAUACGCCAAAAAUCGAAAAAACAAACAUACAGAGACCAAGUAACGGGACAAAACGUUUUGACGGUUAUCAACGAAAAAUCACAAUUUAAUGGUUAUUUUAACUCCGAUUUUGAUGGUUUUUUAUAGCUACACUCCUUGACGAAUACAAUGAAUGAAUUCGAUCUUCAAUUUAAAAUAUUUACACUAGUGGAUAGCACAAAAUCUUACGUCAUACUUAAUGAAAGUAUGAAUAAACAAAUAAGUGUUAGUGAAUAUAUUGUUUUGAUGGGAUACACAUUCUAUGAAACUAGUUUCAACGAUCCAACCGUCAAACAUGUUUGUAUAUACUUCGAGAUCGCAUAUGCCAAAAAUUGCAAAAAUGAAACAUUUAGAGAUCAAGUAACGGGACAAAACGUUUCGACGGUUAUCAAUGAAAAAUCAUUAUUUAACGGUUAUUUUAACUUCGAUUUUGAUGAUUUUUUACAGCUACACUCCUUGACCCUAUAUGAAUACAAUGAAUAAACUUGAUCUUCAAUUUAAAAUAUUUACACUAGUGGAUACCACAAAAUCUUAUGUUAUACUCAAUGAAAGUAUGAAUAAACUCUUAAAUGUUAAUAAAUUUAUUGUUUUGAUGGGAUAUGCAUUCUACGAAACUAGUUUCAACUAUCCAACGGUCAAACAUGUUCUCAUAUACUUCGAGAUCGCAUAAGCCAAAACUUGUAAAAAACAAACAUUCAGAGAUCAAGUAACGGGAUAAAACUUGUCGACGGUUAUCAACAAAAAUCACGAUUUAACGGUUAUUUUAACUCUGAUUUUGAUGAUAUUUUACAGCUACACUCCUUGACCCUAUAUGAAUACAAUGAAUGAAUGCGAUCUUCAAUUUAAAAUAUUUACACUAGUGGAUACCACAAAAUCUUAUGAUAUACUUAAUGAAAGUAUAAAUAAACUCUAAGUGUGACAUCCCACAUCACCCAGGGGAGUGAUCCUUAAAUGUAUAUUCUCAUCCCUACCUAGCACAAGACCUUUUGGGAGCUCACUGGCUUCGGGUUCCAUCGGAACUCCGAAGUUAAGCAAGUAGCGCGCGAGAGCACUCCCAAGAUGGGUGACCAACUGGGAAGUUGCUCGUGAGUUCCCAAAAACAAAACCGUGAGGACGUAGUCGGGGCCCAAAGCGGACAAUAUCGUGCUACGGUGGUGGAUCGGGCCCGGGGAAGUGGUCCACCCUGGGCCGGGAUGUGACACUAAGUGUUAUUGAAUCUAUCGUUUUGAUGGGAUACACAUUCUACGAAACUAAUUUCAACGAUCCAACCGUCAAACUUGUUUGUAUAUGCUUCAAGAUCGCAUACACCAAAAAUAAAAAAAAAAUAAACAUUCAGAGAUCAAAUAACGGGACAAAACGUUUUGACGGUUAUCAAUGAAAAAUCACGAUUUAAUAAUAAUUUGAACUCCGAUUUUGAUGAUUUUUUACAGGAACACUCCUUGACCCUAUAUGAAUACAACGAAUGAAUUCGAUUUUCAAUUUAAAAUAUUUACACUAGUGGAUACCACAAAAUCUUAUGUUAUACUUAAUGAAAGUAUGAAUAAACUCCUAAGUGUUAGUGAAUCUAUUGUUUUGAUGGGAUAUGCAUUUUAUGAAACUAGUUUCAACGAUCCAACCAUCAAACAUGUUUGCAUAUACUUCGAGAUCGCAUACGCCAAAAAUUGCAAAAAAGAAACAUUUAGAGAUCAAGUAACGGGACAAAACUUUUCGACGGUUAUCAAUGAAAAAUCACUAUUUAACAGUUAUUUUAACUUCGAUUUUGAUGAUUUUUUACAGCUACACUCCUUGACCCUAUAUGAAUACAAUGAAUGAACUUGAUCUUCAAUUUAAAAUAUUUACACUAGUGAAUACCACAAAAUCUUAUGUUAUACUCAAUGAAAGUAUAAAUAAACUAUAAGGGGGCGUUUGUUGCGCCGGACUAUCUCGGACUGGACUAGCUUCAAGGACUAAGCUGGAUUGGCUUAGACUAGACUAAGCUGGACUAAUUUAGUGAAGCGUUUGGUGUAGUGUUAGACUAAGAAGCUGGAUAAUAACAAAUUUUAAUAUUAUAUUAUUUAAUAUAUAAAUUAUUAAUAUUUUAUUAUGAUCUAGGUGACCGGAGAUGACGAGGAGUUUAUCGGGAGUGGUUGUUGAGCAUGACGAGGACGAGAGAGGAUAGUCUUAGCUAGUCCCAUGGUUAUUGGGGGGUCUCGCUAAGACCUCUUAGUGAAGGGUUUUGUCCAUGCUAGUCCCCUUUAGUCUCAUUAAUGUUAGUCCCAGCAUGGAACAAACACAGUAUUGGACUAACAGUUAGUCUAGUCCAGUCCAGUCCCACUUAGUGAGGGCAAACAAACGCCCCCAAGAGUUAGUGAAUCUAUCGUUUUGAUGGAAUACGCAUUCUACGAAACUAAUUUCAAUGAUCCAGCUGUCAAACUUGUUUGUAUAUGCUUCAAGAUCACAUACGCCAAAAAUCACAAAAAAUAAAUAUUUAGAGAUCAAGUAACUGAACAAAACUUUUCGACGGUUAUCAAUGAAAAAUCACUAUUUAAUGGUUAUUUUAACUCCGAUUUUGAUAAUUUUUUACAGCUACACUCCUUGACCCUAUAUGAAUACAAUGAAUGAACUUGAUCUUCAAUUUAAAAUAUUUACACUAGUGGAUACCACAAAAUCUUAUGUUCUACUCAAUGAAAGUAUAAAGUAUAUCUAUCGUUUUGAUGGGAUACACAUUCUACGAAACUAAUUUCAAUGAUCCAACCGUCAAACUUGUUUAUAUAUGCUUCAAGAUCACAUACGCCAAAAAUCGCAAAAAAUAAACAUUCAGAGAUCAAGUAAUGAGACAAAAAAUUUCAACGGUUAUCAAUCACAUAUCACAAUUUAAUGGUUAUUUUAACUUUGAUUUUGAUGAUUUUUUACAGCUACACUCCUUGACCCGUUAUGAAUACAAUGAAUGAAUUCGAUCUUCAAUUUAAAAUAUUUACACUAGUGGAUACCACAAAAUCUUAUGUCAUGAUGAUAGAUGAAAAUUGAGGAUUUUGUAAAAGGAAUAACAUGCAAGGAUUGAGUUCCAUUGGCAAGGUUUAAACUUUUGAGUAAGGCUUCACAACCUUGAAAACAAAAACUCUUUCCUUUUGCAUAUCCUUGCACAUGUAAUAUUUUGUAAUAGACUAGAAGUGUAUGUUUGUUUGUUUAUUGGGCUCUUAUUUUCGAGUGUAUAUGUAGUACUUAAACGACAAAUGUGUUUUAAUGUUUUCAAGUAAUAUUUAUGUGGCAUGACCAAUUAAAAUAAUAGUUGUUGCACGAAAACGAUACGAACAUGACAGACACGAUCCGUUUGCCAGGCCUACUUGGUAUAUCUGUGAUAGGUGAUCACUACCUAGAGUUAUAUGAUACAGUCCUGCUUGAUAUAUCCACGAUGGGAGACUGUUAGGGUUGAUCAUGCUUGGUAUAUCCGCGAUGGGGAACCAUACGCAUGCUAGGAGUGAUCAUGCUUGGUAUAUCCACGAUGGGUGGUCACUACCUAGAGCUAGGAUGUGGUCCUGCUUGGUGUAUCUAUGAACGGGAACUAUAUGUAUUCAGGGGUGAUCAUGCUUGAUAUAUCUGCAAUGGGUGAUCACUGUCUGCACGAUGAGAUUAUGCCUAUGGUUCUGCUUGGUAUAUCUGCGAUGCAGGACCAUACGCAUUCUAGAGGUGACGAUGAUUAGUUUUACUUGGUACAUUUGAUAGGCGAUCAUAUUUAGUUGGUUCCGUUGAGUGGUCUGGAACUCGAGGUAGUUAAAUUUUGUGGAGUAGUCUAAAAUCCCAUUAUUUGGAGAAGUAGGCUUGGCCUAACUAUGUCACUCUAGCUUUAGUUUUAUAUAUAUUUGUGUCAAUGGUUUCAAGAAUCUUGUGAAUUGAGUUAGAAAAGAUGUUGGACGUUUGAGUGACUCUUUCAGGAUUUUCUACGAUUCGAUUAUGAUUUCAUAAAGUAUGAAUUUAGAAGAUAUGGGAAUAAUUGUCAUUACUUUGACCAAAUUAAUUACUUAAUGCGGCUAGAGAAUGGUUUUGUGUUUCAUCGGUUCUUAAAUAUGAUGUAUGUUGUGAAUUGCGAUAUCAUGAUGAGACAUAAUGAUUUAUAUGUUGGAUAGGAGAGAAAUCAUGUUUUCAUGGGGGUUGGUUAUGUAGCCUGAGUCCAGGAAUUACAUGUUGUCAGGUUAUAAUAAAUGUUAUAGGAAUGCUAUGCUUUUCUACUUGAACUUAGUGGAAUAAAGGUCUGAUUUUGUGAUAAGUGAACUAUGAAUGGCUUGAUCCCUAUUGAGGGUACGUAGGCAAUCUAACGAGGAGGUUAGAUGCAGCCAUAAAGUAAACGAAAAAUUACUUUGCAAUUUGAUUUUCGAGUUGUGAUUUGCCAUAUCCCGGAGAUGAGGUAUGUCAGAUAUACAAGUAUUUGGUGAUGUCACUUGUCGAUCUUGGACGUAUGUCGGGAUCAGGGCAUGACAGCAGGUACAUUAAGAACAGACAGAGAUGCAUUUGAUGAAGAUUGCUUGAAUCCAAGAGUGAGAAGAAAUUGGAAUAGUUUGUCAAACCAAGCUCUAUGAGCUUGUUUGAGACUAUAAAGGGAUUUUGCUAACUUGCAAACAUGGCUUGGAGAUGUUGGAUCAACAAACCCUGGAGGUUGUUGCAUAUAGACAUCCACCUUUAAAUCUCCAUGAAGGAAGGCAUGGCUUAUGUCUAAUUGGUUUAAAAAUCAAUUGUACUAAACUACAAGUGUAAGCAAAACUCUAACAGUGACUGGCUUUGCAACUGGACUGAAGGUUUCUUGAAAGCCUACUCUUAUUGAACCUGUUCUCUCCCUUUAUUCCAACUUUUAUUAAUAACAAUAGUUUAUUAGGGAGAAUGCCAAGUCACCCGGUUCUGUCCCUAAUAAACUUUUGUUAUUAUUUAUUAAUAAAGUUGGAAUGAAGGGAAGAGAAUAGGUUCUGUUAGAGUAGCACAGAGCACACUAACGAGAGUGGUCAGUCUAGUACCAGGCAAAGUACUCAGGGUUUGGAGAAGUAGUGACCACUGGUGGAAGAACCGUAGAAGUAUCAUAAUCAGCAGAGGCAGCAGGGGAGGCAACUGUAGCAGUGGUGGUGAUAACCAGACGAGGACACAGAUACGAACCAUCAACAAAACGCCAAAAAUUUUGGCCAGUUUAAAAUUGCUUCACACGACUCUCCCAAGGAAGAUAAUUUGUUUUAGAUAGUUUGACAGAAGCCAAGGUAGAGAUAUUAGGAAAGGAAGAUGCGGUUGCGGAAGCCAUGGAAAGAAAAAGGACCAAGGCUCAAAUACCAUGUGAACUUUCCGUAUUUACAAUUAUGGGGAUAACAUAGCAGGAGAGGCUAACAACAUUCUCUACAAUUAUAAUCUUCAUUUACAUCAUCCUUCAGAAAGUACAAUUUGGACUCACAAAAAGGGAAAAUUAUUUGUACAGUAUGUUGAAAAUUUUGCAUUACAAAAAUGUAACGCAACUCAUGUAAUCCUAAAGUAUUCAAAACUGAGAAAUAAUAUCAAUGAAGAUAUCUUGUCUGCAGGGAAUUGUUAGACCACCCAUUGGAUGAUCAAAUCCAAAUUCUUGUUCAGCAUCACUUAGCAAGUCUUGGAAUGAAGGUUGGUUGAGGUAUGAUACAGGAAUGAUAAACUGCUGUCUCUCGUUCUCCCCAACAUAAACCGCUAAAUAACCUUUUGGGACAUCUGCUACAUUAUAUGAACCUCCUAGACUUGAAUUGAAAAUGACUGCCGAAGAAUUUUCUUUGCAUGAGUUACACCUGGACGACGGAAACCCAUGGUUUAUGUCUCUCUAGAGAAAUGCGCCCGGUGGAAGUUUAUUGGAGCAAGAAGAAGAGAAGAGUUGAGAAUAUUCAGAGACUUGAAUGGAAGGCGAUCGAAGUCUCAUGAAAUAUAUAUAGUUAAUAGAUUUAUGUAGGAAUUGUCCUCUGUUGAAAGAAAUAUUUGGUGACGAUUAAGACCAUCUUGAUAGGGCAUAGAAGGGACACUGAUCACAUGGUGCUGUUUUCCACCUCAACUUCAGUAUUUUAGGUGAAAUAUUGCUGGACUGAAUGCAGUACUUCAACAGAUAUAUAGUCUCAAUCACCACCAAUGUAUUUUGACGAGAUGAUAAAUUUGAAGACAGAGCCAUGUGAACUUGCAAAUGCUUCUGCCUUUAAUUAGAAUUUAUUUUUCUUCAUUUCUGCUCAUAUAUUUUUCUUGAUUAGUUGGAAAGACAAGUCCAUGUGAUUUUCCAUGAGAAAACUCGCACUUGGCUCUGCCACGAUCCUUCACUAAUCAUUUUUAUUUUCCGUAACUGAUGUCCUUGAAAAAUUGGAACACAUAGCCAUGUGAACAUAAUUGCUUGAGCAGCUGGGUCUCUGGCCAAUCCGCAUUCAAUUGCCUCCAGACCACUCUCUCCAACUUGUACACAUUAUUUUGUAGACCAACGUAUCAAUUUUUCGUACCUAUAUCCUAACCAAAGAGAUCAAGUCCUCACAUUUUAUAUGCUAAAACUGUUGAAAUAGUACCAAGGGAAAUUUUCUUGUGUCAAGCAUGUCUCCGAUUUUUUAUAGGCCAUCAACUACGAGAGGCAGGACACUGGGUUGCAUUUGUUUGGUCAUCGACUCACGAAGUGUUGUUGAUAACUUGUAGACAAGUCCAUGUGAUUUUCCAACAGCAAACUCUCUCACACUUGGGUCCAUCCCAGUGCUUCAUCACCAAUCAUUUUGUUGUAAGCUAAAAUAGAAAGGAACGAAGUUACCCGAAAAAAUGAAAAAGCCUUGAGUGGUGAAUGAUUCUUGGGAUGAGUCGCGGACUAAGUCGCUUUCUUUAAGACGUUUCGCGGCUCUGCCCAAAGUAUGCAAGCAGUUCACAGACACCAUGUCGUCCUCAGGAUAAAACAGCCCAGAACCUUAUUCUGAUAAGAUUCUUCCUUGCACACCGAAAGAACCUUCGAACUAAACCUUUUCGAUAUGUUGCUUUUUAAAUUAAUAUAUUUAAAACUUUUUUCUUCUACUAUUUCUACUCCACACCUAACUACCUUCUCUUUUUGUAUCCUUAUACAUAUAUAUAUAUAUAUAUAUAAAUAAAUAGAUGUUAGGGGGGGGGGGUGUAAAACCGUAAGGAUAUAAAGAGAGUUUAUGGGGUGCAAAAUGGUCGGUUGCAAUCAAAAUGCAAAACCGUAGGGAAUCAAAUGCAAAACUGUCUGCAAUCAAAGGAUGAUAACAAAUUAUGUUUUAUAUUUAAGGUUUGUAAUAAACCAAAAUAUAAAUAUUUAAAAUAUUUAAAUAAAAACAUAAAUGCUCCAACUUAUUCCUUAACCAUCCAAAAGCCAUAACUGACCUGAGCAUCACAUCAAGUGACUCAAUUAUGACAUUUUAUCAACAUUCAAUUUAAACAUUCCAUUAGUAGCAUAUCCCCAUGAAUAAAUAUGAUAUGCCAGAAACAAUUCGGUUAGUAGAAGGCAUGAUUUACAGAUCAAUUUCAAGUAAAGCUCAGAUCAAUUCGGUUACCACAAAUAUCUGUUCAUUCUAGAACCGAAAACAAAUCGCCAUUUUUCAUGUAUUUUUUUUUUUUUUUGAAUUGUAAACAUGAGAACUUUGACAUAUGAUUACAUCGAAGAAUAAGCUUACAAUGGUACACAAAACAGAUUUAAACAAAGCACAGCAGCCACCUAGUCAUCUCCAUCAAAAGACUACUGAUAAUAUCAACACACAUUGCAAAAAGAUCACAAAUAGAUUCAUUCACCAAGUCAAUUCACUCGUCCUACAGCGAAUGCACCUAGGCAGCUCAAAAAGCAUUCACAGUUGACAUACUAGUAACUUGAUAUUAGAUUAUAUAAUCACAAUGAUUUGCCACAUAUCUAAAACAAAGUUCUUAAAGAGUAACACUAACAGCAAUACAUAUAUUUUUCAGAUUCCAUGGCAGAUUGAUACAUCUUAACAUUGUUGUAAGCUGAAAUAGAAAGGAACGAAGUUACCCGAAAAAAUGAAAAAGCCUUGAGUGAUGAAUGAUUCUUGGGAUGAGUCGCGGACUAAGUCGCUCUCUUUAAGACGUUUCGCGGCUCUGCCCAAAGUGUGCAAGCAGUUCACAAACACCACGUUGUCCCCAGGAUAAAACAGCCCAGAACCUUCUUCUGAUAAGAUUCUUCCUUGCACACCGGAAGAACCUUCGAACUAAACCUUUUCGAUAUGUUGCUUUUUAAAUUAAUAUAUUUAAAACUUUUUUCUUCUACUAUUUCUACUCCACGCCGAACUACCUUCUCUUUUUGUAUCCUUAUACAUAUAUAUAUAAAUAAAUAGAUGUUAGGGGGGGGUGUAAACCGUAAGGAUAUAAAGAGAGUUUAUGGGGUGCAAAACGGUCGGUUGCAAUCAAAAUGCAAAAUCGUAGGGAAUCAAAUGCAAAACUGUCUGCAAUCAAAGGAUGAUAACAAAUUAUGUUUUAUAUUUAAUGUUUGUAAUAAACCAAAAUAUAAAUAUUUAAAAUAUUUAAAUAAAAACAUAAAUGCUCCAACACAUUUUAGGUAACCAACCGCUUGCAGCAUACCGCUUUAGCUAUAUAUGCACAUAUCAUCCAAGGUUAAAGAGAAAACCAACACAAGUCUUCUACUCCCAAGCAUAUCUUAUCAAAGCACUUUCUGUCCUGAAAUUCAUUUGAACUCUUUUUGUUCCUUUUUACAGAAAUUUUAAAACCAUGGGUUUCCAAUUUCCUGGUAUUGUACAUGCCAAGAAAAAUCAAGUUUCUUCAAAGUCAUUGGAUGUUCCAAAGGCUAUCUUGCCAUCUACGUUGGGGAGAGCCAGAAGAAGCGGUUUAUUAUUCCGGUGUCCUACUUCAACCAACCUUCAUUCCAAGAUUUGUUAAGCCUAGCUGAAGAUGAAUUUGGAUACGAUCAUCCAAUGGGUGUUAUCACAAUCCCCUGCAGUGAAGGCACCUUCCUUGGUCUCACCUCAGCUUUGGGGUAUAUGUAGAGCCUACAUAUAUGUCAACACGAUUUGACACCAACGGCAUUAGGAGCACUUGGCAAUUUUAAUCGCUUUUUGGCUCACUUGAAGGAGGUUCAAUUGAUUGAUAGUCCAAUGAAUCUUCGUGAUGGAAGACAACAUCAAAGUCAAAACCCUUAUGAGCUGAGAGGAAAAUGGCCAGCCUAGUGGACAUAAACUCACCGACACAAUUUUUCAAGAAUAGUUAUUGUCAACUGAAUGUACAUAGUUGUCCAGCAAGGAAAACUGAGAUUAGAAUAUUUCAUUACAGUACAACGUUUUCACAGUUUUAUGAUCUACUUUUCAUUUUAUUUGCCAUCUUCUUUCAAUCAAGUUAUGAACAGACGAUAAAUUUACACACAAGGGACUAAUUACUGGAAUAUUGACAGACGAAGUAAUGCAAGUAAACAUCUUAGGCAGAUUUUAAAACAUGUUAAGAAUGGACUAUUGUACGGAUAACGUUUUAAAUAUAACAAGCAUUGGAUGCACCCAGAAUAGCACUAAUCCCUGCUGAAAUUACCAUGAAAAUACCAAUGUGUGCAUUGAAUAUGCCCCAAAUUAAAUAGCACUAGUCCAUGCUUAAAUUCUCCAAAAAUAUCAAUGCGAACAUUUUAAUACAUUAUUCUAUUUCAUAGGAAACUCCGCCUGUGUAAGUUUAUCUUACAUUGCCGGUUCCAAGCCCGGGUAAAGGAGGAGGGGGAGGGCGUUAGGUAGUCGACAGCCGGCACUCCACAGUUAUGUCGAAUCCUUAUGAAAAUGAAUCCAGAACGAAAUCGCGCUAAAGCUAGGGCGUCACCUGUAAGUGGCGCGCUGUGUGGCCCGAGCACAGUGAUAAGUGAGCAAGGGUCACUGUAUUUCCAUCGGCACCCGAAUGUAGUGUUAAAUGAGCAAGGGGGCCAUAGAAACUUCUUUUCGAACGACUCCACUCAACGUUGUUUGGGAGCAUAUGCUCCUAUCAACUUUACACAGGACACACAAAAGAAGUACUUUGAUCCUAUUGGACGGGGGAGGGUGAAUAAGCUAGGACAGAAGGGUAGAGUUCAAGAGAGUAGAAUGCGUUUAGGAACGUGGAAUAUAGGAACCUUAACGGGAAAAUCUAUGGAAGUAGUGGAAGUUAUGGUGAGGAGAAGGAUAAAUAUUAUGUGCCUACAAGAAACUAAGUGGGUUGGUCUUAAGGCAAAGGAUCUAGAAAACUCAGGGUUUAAACUUUGGUAUUCGGGCACAAAUAGAACGAGAAACGGUGUUGGCAUCAUCGUGGACAAGACCUUGACACAAGAUGUUGUAGAUGUCAAGAGGGUAGGAGAUAGAAUCAUGGCAAUCAAGAUUGUAAUAGGACAAGAACUCAUCAAUGUCAUUAGUGCGUACACACCUCAAGUAGGGUUGGAUACAAGUUCGAAGGAGAAAUUUUAGGAAGACCUUGGAGACUUGGUGCAAGGAAUUGCCCAGACGGAGAAGUUAUUUAUAAGAGGAGAUUUAAAUGGACACGUGGGCAGGGAGACAGGCAACUAUAGAGAUUUUCAUGGUGGCCAUGGUUUUGGGGAGAGAAACGAGGAUGGGGAAGCUAUCUUGGAUUUUGCAAUGGCAUAUGAUCUAUUCUUAGCCAACACCUUCUUUAAGAAGAGAGAAUAACAUGUGAUCACCUACAAGAGUGGGUCGUCAAAAACACAAAUAGAUUUUCUUCUAAUGAGGAAAGGGGAUCGUAUAACUUGUAAGGAUUGCAAAGUUAUACCGGGAAAGAGCUUGGCUAAUCAACAUCACUUGUUGGUGAUGGAUGUACAUAUCAAAAGAGUGAGAAAAAAGAACAAGACUUGGAAGUGCCCAAGGACUAGAUGGUGGAAUCUAAAAGGAGAAAAACAAGCCAUUUUCAAAGAGAAAGUAAUCACCCAGUGUGGGUGGGAUAGAGAGGGGGAAGCUAGCCAAAGGUGGGAUUCCAUGGCUAGUUGUAUCCGAAAAGUAGCAAAAGAGGUAUUAGGAGAGUCCAAGGGCUUUGCCCCACACCAAAAGGAAUCUUGGUGGUGGAAUGAGGAGGUAUAAACAAAGGUGAAGGCUAAGAAGGAAUGUUGUAAAGCCUUAUACAAGGACAGGACCGAUGAAAAUGGUGAAAGGAAUAGAAGAGCGAAGCAAGAGGCGAAGAAAGCUGUGAGAGAAGCUAAGUUAGCGGCUUAUGACGACAUGUAUAAGCGACUAGAUACCAAAGAAGGAGAGUUGGAUAUCUAUAAACUAGCUAGAGCAAGGGAAAAGAAGACAAGGGACCUAAACCAAGUGAGGUGCAUCAAGGAUGAGGAUGGAAAGGUUCUUGCUACAGAGAAUGCGGUCAAAGACAGAUGGAGAGGUUAUUUUCAUAAUCUUUUCAAUGAAGGACAUGAAAGGAGUACUUCUCUAGGGCAGUUGAGUAACUCAGAAGAGAGUAGAAACUACUCUUUUUAUCGUCGAAUCAGGAAGGAAGAAGUGGUUAUAGCUUUAAAGAAGAUGAAGCAUAGAAAAGCAGUGGGCCCAGACGAUAUACCGAUCGAAGUGUGGAAAGUCUUGGGAGAGACAGGUACAGCAUGGCUCACUGACCUUUUCAAUAGGAUUUUGAAAACGAAGAAGAUGCCAACUGAGUGGCGAAAGAGUACUUUGGUGCCUAUCUACAAGAAUAAGGGCGACGUACAAAAUUGCAUGAACUAUAGGGGUAUUAAGCUAAUGAGCCAUACAAUGAAGCUCUGGGAGAGAGUCAUUGAGCAUAGAUUGAGGCAAGAGACACGAGUUUCGGACAACCAAUUCGGGUUCAUGCCAGGGCGCUCAACCAUGGAGGCAAUCUAUCUCUUACGAAGAUUGAUGGAAAGAUAUAAAGAUGGGAAAAAGGAUUUACACAUGGUCUUUAUAGAUUUGGAAAAAGCGUAUGAUAGGGUCCCAAGAGACAUUCUUUGGAGGAUUUUAGAGAAGAAAGGAGUACGAGUAGCAUAUAUCCAAGCUAUAAAGGAUAUGUAUGAAGGAGCAAAGACUGCCGUAAGAACUCAUGAAGGACAAACCGAAAGCUUCCCCAUAACUGUAGGAUUACAUCAAGGUUCAUCCUUAAGUCCUUACCUUUUUGCGUUGGUAAUGGAUGAGUUAACAGGACAUAUUCAAGAUGAUAUUCCUUGGUGUAUGCUUUUCGCAGACGAUAUAGUGUUGAUAGAUGAAACUCAGGAAGGGGUAAAUGCGAAGCUUAACCUUUGGAGAGAAGUGUUGGAAUCUAAAGGUCUUCGCCUAAGCCGAUCAAAGACAGAAUAUAUGGAGUGCAAGUUCAGUGCAAAUGGAGGCCAAAAUGAGUUAGGGUUGAGGAUCGGAGAUCAGGAAAUACCAAAGAGCGAUCAUUUUUGCUACUUAGGAUCUAUCUUGCAAAAGAACGGAGAAUUAGAUGGAGAUAUCAACCAUAGAAUACAAGCUUAAUGGAUGAAGUGGAAGAGUGCAUCCGGCGUGUUGUGUGACCGCCGUAUGCCAUUGAAGCUCAAGGGAAAAUUUUAUAGGAUGGCAAUAAGGCCGGCGAUGCUGUAUGGCACAGAAAGAUAGAAUUCUAGGGUUUUCAUGAAUAUGUUUUUCUAUAUUAUUUAUCUCAAAUAGAGGAAUAUAUAUAUACUUAUACAAUCCCCUACCAACUAGGAAGUAAAUAUCCUAAAUAUAUUAGGAUAUCAAUUACAUACUCAAAAUAUCCCUACAUUCCUUAUUUCAAAUAUAGACUCACGACAACACUCCCCCUCAAGUUGGUGCGUAGAUAUCACCGAAGCCCAACUUGUUAAGUGAGUCCUGAAACACUCUUGAUGACACGGCAUGAGUUAACACAUCUGCCAACUGAUCUCUAGACUUCACAAACGGAAUAUCAACCAAUUUAACAUCCAACUUUUCUUUAAUAAAAUGCCUAUCCACCUCAACAUGUUUUGUACGAUCAUGUUGAACUGGAUUAUUAGCUAUUUCUCUCGCAGCUUGAUUAUCACAAUACAGCAACAUAGCUCCAUGUGGUUUGAACCCAAUCUCGGUCAAGAGGAUUCUUAGCCACAACAAUUCACAAAUUCCAUGUGCCAUACCACGGUAUUCAGCCUCUGCAGUGGACCUAGCAACCACAUUCUGUUUCUUACUCCUCCAAGUUACAAGAUUACCUGCAACAAAUGUAAAGUAUCCUGAUGUAGAGCGCCUAUCAGUAACAUUUCCAGCCCAAUCAGCAUCUGUGUAUCCUCUUACUUCCAAGUGCCUAUGCUUCCUGAAGAUCAACCCUUUUCCAGGCGCACCUUUCAAAUAACUCAAGAUUCGCAUUACUGCAGCCAUGUGAUCCUCACUAGGAGAGUGCAUGAAUUGACUCACCACACUAACUGCAUAUGCAAUAUCUGGCCUUGUGAGAGACAAGUAAAUCAACCUUCCUACUAGCCUUUGGUACCUUUCCCUGUUUGCUGGAACUUGGUCAGGAUAAAUUGCUAGAUGAUGAUUCUGAACUAUAGGCGUUUCUGCAGGUUUACAUGCCAACAUUCCAGUCUCAGACAAAAGAUCCAGAACAUACUUCCGCUGUGACAAAUAAAUACCUUCACGGGAACGAGCAACUUCAAUUCCCAAGAAGUACUUCAAGCCUCCUAAGUCUUUCAUCUCAAACUCUAAAGAGAGAUGCCCCUGUAACUUCUUCAUCUCCUCGGUAUCAUCACCAGUAACUACCAUGUCGUCCACAUAAAUUAUUAACAAGGUGACCUUUCCUUCCCUUCGUUUGAUAAACAAAGUAUGAUCAGCAUUUCCUUGUCUGUAACCAUAUUUCUUCAUUGCAUCGGUGAAUCUCCCAAACCAUGCCCUCGGCGACUGUUUGAGUCCAUAAAGUGCUUUCCUCAACCUACACACCUUGCCUGUCCUGUUUGACACCUCAAACCCAGGUGGAAGUUCCAUGUAAACCUCUUCUUCCAUGUCUCCAUGUAGAAAGGCAUUUUUUACAUCAAAUUGCUUCAACGGCCAAUCAAAGUUAGCAGCUAAAGACAAAAGUACACGAAUAAUGUUCAUCUUAGCUACCGGAGCGAACGUUUCUUGAUAAUCUACCCCGAAAGUCUGUGUGUACCCCUUAGCAACCAACCUUGCUUUGUAUCUGUCAAUGGUUCCGUCUGCGUUGUGUUUGAUGGUGAAUACCCAUUUGCAUCCCACUGGUCUUUUCCCUUGGGGUAGCGACUCUAUGCUCCAAGUCCUGUUUUUCUGUAGAGCCUCCAUCUCGACUUCCAUUGCUUUUGUCCACCGAGAAUCUAGCAAAGCUUCUUCCACUCUUGUUGGGAUUUUGAUUCCAUCCAUUGUAUUCACCAUGGCUCGAUACUUAGAAGACAAUCGAUGUGUAGAGACAUAAUUUGCAAUAGCAUAUCGGACUUUCCAUCAGGAGAAUACCUGUCUGGUGGUUUCCCACGAUUUUGUCUAGAUGGCAACACAUAUGUACUUUCAAUAUUAGUCAAAUCACGAGCUUCAUUAGGUUGAGAUAAACUUACCUCAUGGAUAUCCUCGGGCACAUGGAUGGGUACAACUGGAGAGGGGUUAUUUCUUGAAGUGUACUGGUCGUCCAAACUGUGAGCUAAUGGUUGCAAUUCACUGUCGUCUUGAUAUGGUGGUUCUAACCGUGCACUGGGCUGUGCACCAAACUGCUCACCUGCUGCCAUGCCGUCAGGCCCACUCCCAGAUAUGGUCUCGCUGGCUGCUGCACAACCUUUCAAAGAUGGGGCCUCACCUACACUAAUGGGUUCAAGCCCGUGACUUUCACCAGAAGGCAGAAGUCGGCCCUGCUGGCUGUCACCGUGGCAAGCAUGCUGCUGGGUUUCACGUGGCAGCCCAGUACCGUGGCAAGCAUUCUGUUGAGUUUCACGUGGCUGCCCAGUAGGGAGAUCAAUCCAACUGUAAUCUUCAUGUGUAUUUAGCUCCCCCUGAAGGUUAUAGUUGGUGUGAUCAGUGACAAAGAACAUCUCAUGUUCAGAAAACUUAACAUCCAUGGUAACAUAGGUAUGCUUGGUGGGUGGGUGGUAACACCGGUACCCUUUUUGUUGGCCAGUAAAUCCCAAAAAAAUACAUCGAACUGCACAGGGGUCCAACUUGCUACGUUGAUUUUUGUGGAGAUGUACAUAGGCCACACACCCAAAAAUACGGGGUAACAACCGAAGGGAAGAGGUUAAUGUCACAUGGUCAGCAAAUACCUCCAAAGGGGUGCAGAAAUUGUGUAUUCUGGUGGGCAUUCGAUUCAUCAAAUAAACUGCAUAUUUAACAGCUUCUGCCCAAUAAGAGUGAGGGGCGUGAGCACCAAUGAGAAGUGCUCGAGUGGUUUCCAGAAUAUGUCGAUUUUUGCGCUCAGCGACCCCAUUUUGUUGUGGGGUGUGUGGACAAGAAGUCUCGUGAAGAAUGCCAUGAUCUUGGAAAAAUUGAGAGAGUUCAGUACUGAGAUAUUCACCAUUAUCUGAUCGGAGAACCUUAAGAGGAAGAGAGUAUUGUUUUUCAACCAUGUGAUAAAAUUGUUGAAAAAUUUUCCCAACCUCACUUUUAUGUUUCAGAGUAUAGAGCCAUGUCAUUCUGGUGCAAUCAUCAACAAAGAUAAUAAACCAACGAACACCAUGAAUAGUAGCAACUGGAGAAGGUCCCCACACAUCAGAAUGGACUAACUCAAACGGCACUGUUCUUUUAUUUAAACUCAAAUGAUAAGAAGUACGGUGGCUUUUUGCCAGAAUGCAAUCUUUACACUGAAAAUCAGAGUCUGAAAUACCACAAAAUAAAGACGGAAGUAGUCUUUUUAAAUAACCAAAAGAGGCAUGGCCCAAACGACGAUGUCAUAACCAGAUUGUCUUAUUCUUGUUUGACUGGCUACUGCGCACUUGGUUCACUCUGCUUGCGGACACAUCAUCCACAUAGUAUAACCCUCUCCUCUUAGUACCACGCCCAAUGAUCGCCCGAGUCUGGAUAUCCUGAAGUAGGCAAAAAGUGGGAAACAUUAACACAACACAAUCUAAUUGCUCAGUAACUUGACCAACAGACAGUAAAUGAUUGGACAAUGACGGAACAAGUAGUGCAUUGUGAAUAGACAAAUAUGGAGUAAGGGAAAUAGAACCAGCUCCCGUGACAGGAGCAAUAUCACCAUUGGCUGUGAUGACAUCCUCUUUAGAAGGUGACGUCAUAUGAUAAAAUAAUGAUGCGUCGUAAGUCAUAUGAUCUGUAGCUCCAGAGUCAAUUAUCCAACCAGUAUCCCUCUUGGUAGACGAUAUUAAAACAGUACCGAUUUUACCUGAGUCUUCCGAGUUUUCAUGCAUUGGAAUCUGGUUGAUGAGAGAUAAUAAUGGACCGGAGUCAUCAAUUUUGGAUGUUGUUUCAAUGACUCAGCCUGCUGAUUCGGCUUCUGCCGUGGCUAGAUGUGACACAUUGGGCCUCGGUUGGCCUGCGGCUACAGCUGCAAUGCCGCUGCUACCUGCCUUGUCUUGAUAGGUUUUGGGCCCAACGUGGCCGCCUACAUGUGUUGUCAUCCCCUGUUCAAUAGCUGCCACACGGACCUGACCCGAGGUACGUUUAUUCCCCUUAGUUUUUAAUUCUUUCUCUUUCCCAGUACCAUUCUGGGUAACCAUGAAUUUCAAAACAGGUUUCCUCCGUGUGUCGGGUUCCAUUACAGUGAUUGCAAUGGAGUUUAUCUUUAUCAAUAUCCUCCUGCACACGUGAUGACCGAGAGUUUCCAAAGGAUGGUGAACGAUAACUUUGCACUUUAGUUGCCAUAGCCAUAGAAGGUCCUGCCGUGAUGCUCUUUGUUCCCAUCAUAGUGGCCUGCCUCUGAGCUUCGCGUCGUACUAGAUUAAAACAUUCCUCGAUUCCAGGGAUAGGCUUUAUCCUUAGAAUCUCACUCCGUACUUGAUCGAAACCACUGUCUAACCCAGCAAGAAAAUCGUACACCCUAUCCUUCGCAAUUUCCUCUUUACGAGUUCUCAAAUCUGCUCCACAAACCAUACGAAGAUGACGUCUUUUGUCAAGAUCUUGCCAUACACCCUUUAAUUCAGUGAAGUACAUAUUAACUGGGCGUCCAUCUUGUCUUGUCCGUGUAGCCUUACAUCGGAGUUCAUAAUAUUGCGACUCAUCAGAGCCAUCAUAAAACAUCUGGGUGACACUCUCCCAAAUAUCUUUUGCUGUGGGUAGGUCGAUAAAGAGACCAAGUAGAUGUGGUUCCAUAGUUUUUAACAACCAUCCUCUCACAGUAGCAUCUUCAAUUGACCACUUUGCAUAUCCCGGAUCAUCUUCCUCUACCAUCGGAAUUUUCCCUGUUAGAUACCCUAGCUUGCCGAGCCCUGAAGCAUGAACCUCCAUCAUCUUCGACCAUACUUUAAAGUUCGAGUCACUCAACCGAUACCCGAAAGGAAUGGCAUUGAUGUUGGUAGAUUCGCCUUGGUUGGACACGGUAUGCACGGGAAUCAAGCUUGCCUUAUGUUCUUCAGCCAUCGCACAACUUUCUAGGAUAGGUUUUAAUUAGAUUUUCGCAGGCUUUGAUGUUUACAAAGGCUGCGAUUCAAUUUGGUUGUUUCUAACACAGUCUGAGAUUCAAACCGUGAGAGAGUUUUACUGGGUUUUUGUGAUUGUCAAAGGCAGGCCGAACCUGCUCUUGAUACCAAGAUAGAAUUCUAGGGUUUUCAUGAAUAUGUGUUUUUCUAUAUUAUUUAUCUCAAAUAGAGGAAUAUAUAUAUACUUAUACAAUCCCCUACCAACUAGGAAGUAAAUAUCCUAAAUAUAUUAGGAUAUCAAUUACAUACUCAAAAUAUCCCUACAUUCCUUAUUUCAAAUAUAGACUCACGACAACAUGUUGGGCGGUGAAGCAUCAACACGUACACAAAAUGGGUGUAGCGGAGAUGAGGAUGCUUCGUUGGAUGUGUGGGCACACGAGAAAGGAUAAGAUUAGGAUUGAGGAUAUCCGAGGUAAAGUAGGAGUAGCCGAAAUUGUAGGAAAAUUGAGAGAAAAUCGGUUACGGUGGUUUGGACAUGUGCAAAGAAGGCCUACUGACGCUCCUGUUAGAAGAUGCGACUACGGGACAGAGGUUCAGGGGCCGAAGGGGUAGAGGAAGACCUAGGAAAACUUUGGAAGAGACUCUAAGAAAAGACUUAGAGUAUUUGGAUCUAACGGAGGACAUGACACAGGACCGAGCACAAUGGCGUUCUAAGAUUCAUAUAGCCAACCCCACUCAGUGAAGAAUGUUUUGGUGUAUUUAACACAAUACGUUGAAAUGAAGCAAAGCUUAUUGAUUGAUAUCUCCGAUAAGUUACAAAUAUGUACAUAUACAUGAGUCAAAAAUAAACAAACAAGAGGGAGCCUUCACAAAGGUUGCUUAGGAGAAGAAGUCUAGAGCAGUCGGUAGAGCCUCAGAAAGAGAAGGCACCGGAGGGGGAUCAUUCGGAGCCUCAGUACUGGACAGAACCCUAGAAGGAGGAGGCAUCGAAGGUUGAUCAUUUGGAGCUUCAUUACGCGGUACAGCCCUAGAAGACGAAGGUAAUAAAUGCCUUUGGAACAAACCCACAAACCGAUGAUGAUCAAGUAAAACCUGACCAUCAGAUUCCUUCAUUUGGUCAAGCUUCCUCUUCAUGUUUAUAGCAUAGUCAUGUGCGAGCCGGUGCAACUGUUUAUUCUCAUGCUUGAGCCCUCUAAUCUCCUGUUUGAGACUCAUCACUUCAGCCGCCAAUGAUUCAACUUGGCGGGUUCGAGCAAAUAGGCGUUGGGCCAUAUUAGACACAGAACCUGCACACUGAACACUUAGAGCCAGAGAAUCUUUAACAGCCACUCACUCAUCAGGAACCGUUUGGAAAGUAGUCUGUUAUCUUUGGUAGUGAGAAGGUUCCUGGCCACCACCGCAGCAGUCAUAUCAUUCUUCAUCACGGAAUCCCCAACGGUAAGCGGACCAGUAGAGGAUAAGAAGGAUGGACGUCAUAUGUUGUCUGGAAAAGGCGUGGCUGCCUCUUCAAUGAGGUUCAAGUCAAAACGACGGUCGGAGGGGCCAGACAUUUUCAAAUGUGUUGAAGAGAGAAGAGGUCGGACAAAUCAAGAUCUUAGAAGUGCAAGAAGGAAGCUUCUACUGGUGAAGAUUCAAGUGUGCUUUGGAACUUAAUGUCAGCCUCUAUAAAAAUCUGCACUCGACGGAGCUUUCAGAAAUCGAAGAGAUGCCUGCCCAGAAAUCGAAUAGGGGUUUGCUUUCUUAAAAGCUGGGCUACUCAGAAACCACGAGGGCCGAUCUCAGAAAUCGAAGAGGCGUUUGCUUUCUCAAAAGCUGGGCUGCUCAAAGACCACGAAGGCUGAUCUCAGAAAUCGAAGAGGUGCUUGCUUUCUCAAAAGCUGGGCUGCUCAGAGACCACGAGGGCCAAUCUCAGAAAUCGAAGAGGCACCUGCUUUUUUCAGCCUUGUCAGCACCUGUCACAUGCACACUCAACUUUGCUGAAAUUACGGGCAUUCUGUUGAAGAUUUCUGGUGAAGUAGAAAGCACGUGAAUCUUACUGUUCAAUCAUCCACUUUCCACUCGCACCAUCAGCUCAUGGGUACCACAGAUAACUUUGCCAAAGAUCUCUGACAAAGUUUAGACACGUGAAGCUUGCAGCUCCCACUACAUCGCUAUGACCAAGAAGGGUAAAAGAAUAGCAAAGAAACAUCACUAACAAAGUUUAGACACAUAAAUUUUGAAGGUCUAACUACCAUAUUAUUACCUACAAGGGUAACGGAACAGCACCGCUGCUGGAUAAUUGGAAAGUCCUUGUGUGUCAACCUCUGUGCUCUGUGGCAAGGUAAACUAGCAAACAUGCCCAACCUUUACUUACAUUCAAGAAAACACUCCCAACAAGAUUGCUUGCUCCAAAAUCGAAGAGGCACUGUCCUCCGAAUCUCGAGAGCCAGACUCCCAACAUGAUUACUUUCUCAAAAAUCGAAGAGACACCGCUCUCCGAAUCUCGAGAGCCAGACUCCCAGCAGGAUUGCUCUCUUAAAAAUUGAAGAGGCACCGUUUUUCGAAUCUCGAGAACCAGAUCCCCGACGGGAUUGCUUGUACGAAAACCGAAGAGGCACCGUUUUCUCAACUUCGACAGCCAGAUCUCCUUGGAUAAAGCUUGUCUGUAAUCUUCACACGCAACAUCAGCUUUCCAGAUACCACAUAUCACUUUUUCAAAGUGCUCUGACACACGUGAAGCUAGCAGCUCCCACUACCAUGCUAUGACCAAGCAGGGUAAAGGAAUAUCAUUACUACUUGUUGUUAGGGAAACUCCUAUAUAUGUCGACCUCCAUCCUCAACGGACAGGCAGACCUGCAAAAAUGAUCAACCCUUCCUCAUAUCUGAGAGGCCACUUCAACCAAGCCUCUCGAAAUACUCAGCUUUCUUUCCUCCCGAUAAUACCUCUGCAAACAAGCUACACCAGAGCAAGAAUAUCUCAUAUCAUUAGGGUUAAAAGCAAGAGUAUCCCAUAUCAUGCUUUUUCCCUGUCUUUUCCUUUGGCCUUGUUCUUACCUACAAGACAAAGAGAAAGAGAGCAAUCAGUCAGCACUUGGAAUCAAGCUUCCAGUCAGGAACUGACUGCCUGGAACCCCUUACCUGAUUACUUACCUGGCAUUGCUCUCGAGUACCCAUCUUCAACAUCUUAUGCUUCCAGAAAAGAUACCACAUCUGCCUGAGGAACAGAUAGGGAAACUGAGAAGGAUACAAGGAAGCAUGUGGAUACAAGCGUAACAGAACAUAUGCCGAUACAUCCACUACUUUGUCAACAGCAAAAGUAUCCCAUAUCAGCAGCGUCGAACGUACUCUAGAUUUGAUGGACGUGUUUUGACCCUCAAAUUCUUCAGUCGGCCUUAUAUUAUUGAGGAAACUAGAAAAUCCUCCAGCCCAGUUCAAGAAUAAGCCUGUGGAAAGUUACUUCUUCAAAAGCAAAAGUAUCUCAUAUCAUCUAUUCUCAUUUUCUUAUCUUUAUCCUUCAUGUUGCCUGCAAGAUAGGGAGAAUGAGAGCAAUCAGCCGGAACUCGAAAUCAAACUUCUGAUCUGGGACUGAUUGCUUGGAGCUCUGAUUGCUUACCUUGUUUGUCACCUCUUUCAGCAGAUUCCCUAGCUCGGCGACUUGGGGGACUCCUACUACAUGGUUUGUAUCGCGCUUGACCAAGCCUGAAACUACAAGUAAGCUUCAAGUGAAAUUGAUACAUUACCUUGUGCAUUUCCACCAGUUAAAGAUACCACCCCUGGAUGGAGGAAGCGUACUUCCAGAGAAGAUGCCACAUCUACCUAUGAGACAGUUAAGGCAAGUGAAGACGAGAGCUUGUACCUAUGUCAUUUGUAUUAAAUCAUUCACUUGUACUCACUAAAGGAAAGCUUGAACCUAUGUACUUGCGUAAACCCUUCACAAUUAAUGAGAACUCCUCUACUCCGUGGACGUAGCCAAUCUAGGUGAACCACGUACAUCUUGUGUUUGCUUUCCUGUCUCUAUCCAUUUACAUACUUAUCCACACUAAUGACCAGAGCAAUCUAGCGAAUAUCACAAACUUAAUACUUUCUGUUGUACCAAAGUCCUCACUGAUUUUGUGCAUCAACAAUCCUUAAGUCCUUACCUUUUUGUGUUGGUAAUGGAUGAGUUAACAGGACAUAUUCAAGAUGAUAUUCCUUGGUGUAUGCUUUUCGCACGCGAUAUAGUGUUGAUAGAUGAAACUCAGGAGGGGUAAAUGCGAAGCUUAACUUUUGAAGAGAAGUGUUGGAAUCUAAAGGUUUUCGCCUAAGCCGAUCAAAGACAGAAUAUAUGGAGUGCAAGUUCAUUGCAAAUGGAGGCCAAAAUGAGUUAGGGGUGAGGAUCGGAGAUCAGGAAAUACCAAAGAGCGACCGUUUUCGCUACCUAGGAUCUAUCUUGCAAAAGAACGGAGAAUUAGAUGGAGAUCUCAACCAUAGAAUACAAGCUGGAUGGAUGAAGUGAAAGAGUGCUUCCGGCGUGUUGUGUGACCGUCGUAGGCCACUAAAACUCAAGGGAAAAUUUUAUAGGACAGCAAUAAGGCCGGCGAUGCUGUAUGGCACAGAAUGUUGGGCGGUGAAGCAUCAACACGUACAUAAAAUGGGUUUGGACAUGUACAAAGAAGGCCUACUGACGCUCUGGUUCGAAAAUGUGACUACGGGAUAGAGGUUCAGGGCCGAAAGGGUAGAGGUAGACCUAUGAAAACUUUGGAAGAAUCACAAGGCUAUUGUAGUAUAAACGGAUCUCGCAAGGUCGUCUCCACAGGGAUUAUUAAAUAAUUCGAACUAUUCAGAUUCCAUUUAAUUAUUGUAAAGUAGAAAUUGAAGUGAUUGAUUUUAUAACCUAAUUAAAAUAAAAACAAAAUUAAUGAAUUAAAAUAAACAAUAUGCAAUAUUAGAGCUAGAGAGAAGAAAACAGUUUUGGAAGAAUAAAAUUAAGAAAGCACUAGGGUUCCACCAUCACCUAGCAAUAAAAGAAUCCAACGUAUCAAUCGAGGCUUAGCAUAUUUUUUAGACAACAAAUAUUUCAAAGCUGCAUGAUCUGUAUAAAUAAUCACUUUAGGCUCAACUAAAUGCGAACGAAAUUUUUCCAAAGCAAAAACAACUGCCAACAAUUCCUUCUCUGUUGUUGCAUAGUUUAGUUGUGCAUCAUUGAGGGUUCGACUAGCAUAAUAAAUAACUUGGGGAAGUCUAUCUUUCCGUUGUCCAAGAACUGGUCCCACUGCAUAAUCUAAUGCGUCACACGUCAAUUCAAAAGGUAGGCUCCAAUUAGGAGCUGCAAUAAUGGGUGCUGUAGUGAAGAGUAUCUUUAACUUCUUGAAGGCCUCCAAACAAGCCUCAUCAAAAACAAAAGAUGCAUCCUUAGCCAAUAAAUUACACAAUGGUCAGCUAAUCUUGGAGAAAUCCUUGAUGAACCGUGUAUAAAACCCGGCAUGACCAAGAAAAGAUCAAACACUCUUAACAGUUAUUGGGGGUGGCAACUUUUCAAUUGCAUCAAUUUUAGCCUUAUCAACUUCAAUACCCCUGUUAGAAAUCAAGUGGCCUAGGACAAUUCCCUGCUUAACCAUGAAAUGAUACUUUUCCCAAUUUAAAACCAGGUUGGUCUUAAUGCACCUAUCAAGAACUAGAGAUAAAUUCUGCAAACAUUGGUCAAAAGAAUCCCCAAAAACAGAAAAGUCAUCCAUAAAUACCUCAACUACAUGUUCAACUAACCUGGUAAAUAUGCUCAUCAUGGAACGCUGAAACGUGGCAGGCGCAUUGCACAAACCAAAAGGCAUUCUUCUAUAUGCAAAAGUCCCAAAAGGACAAGUAAAGGUUGUCUUUUCUUAAUCCUCAGGGGCAACUGGAAUCUGGUUAUACCCUGAUUAACCAUCCAAGAAACAAUAGAAAGCACGACCAGCCAACCUUUCCAACAUCUGAUCAAUGAAUGGCAAUGGAAAAUGAUCUUUUCUAGUACCUACAUUGAUCUUUCUAUAAUCAACACACAUGCGCCACCCAGUAGUCAAACGAGUAGGUACAAGUUCAUUAUUAUCAUUCUUCACAACUGUAAUACCAGAACGCUUUGGAACCACUUGAGUUGGACUAAUCCACUUACUAUCUGAAAUCGGAUAGAUCAUCCCAGCAUCCAAAAGCUUCAUAACUUCAUUACGAACAACUUCUUUCAUAAUUGGAUUCAACCGACGUUGAGCGUCAAUGGCAGGUUUUACUCCAUCAUCCAUCAAAAUUUUGUGCAUACAAAUUGUAGGGCUGAUCCCUUUAAUGUCAGCUAUAGUCCAGCCAAUUGCAUCUUGAUGACUCCUUAAAAUGUGCAACAAUUUAUCUUCUUCUGUUGAUGAUAAAUCAGCAGCUAUAAUAACUGGCAGCGAAGAAUCUGCACCCAAAUAAGCAUAUUUCAAGUGUUCUGGAAGCACCUUUAACUCCAGUUUUGGUGGCUGUACUUUAGAAGGCUGCAACAACUUUUUGGGUUCCCCCAAACUCUAAAAAACGUGCCUCCAACGUGGGGGUUGAAAAGGAACACUUUUCAAAGCUGAAACAUACUCAAAAACCUCUUCAUCUUCUGUAUUUUUAUUCUCAAACCCAUGCAACACAUUUAACAAUGGAUCAGAUGUCAAACGUGGCAUAAUUUCAGCAUGUAAUAAGCUGUCAAGCACAUCAACACGCAUACAAUCAUGCACAUCACCUGGCCUUUUGGUAGCUUCAAAUAAACUGAACAUAACAGAUUGAUCUUGCACUCUAAGUGUAAGUGUCCCAGCCUCUACAUCAAUUAACGUUCUAGCUGUUGCCAUGAAGGGGCGUCCCAAAAUAAUCGGUGUUUGCAUAUCUUCAUCCAUAUCCAAAAUUACAAAAUCUGCAGGGAGAUAGAGAUUAUCCACUUUAAUAAUUAGGUCUUCAAUAAUUCCCCUAGGAUAAGCAACUGAUCGGUCCGCUAGUUGUAGAAUAACUGAUGUCUGCUUAAUUUCUCCUUGUCCUAGUCUCUGAAAAACAGAAAAAGGCAUUAAAUUAAUACUAGCACCUAAAUCAAUUAAAGCACGUUUAAAAUGAGAAUUUCCAAUUGUGCAUGAAAUUUUAAAACUCCCUGGAUCUUGUUUCUUUGGGGGCAAUUUGUGAAGCAGAACAGCGCUGCACUGUUCUGUAAGAAUCACUUUCUCAAAAUCAACGCACUUCUUUUUCUUUGUGCAAACAUCCUUCAAAAACUUGGCAUAAGACGAAAUGUUCUUGAUGGCAUCAAUUAACGGCAGAUUAAUCUGAACCUUAGACAAAGUCUUCAUAAAAUCUGUCAAUUGUUGAUCUUUAACUUUAGGCUUCAACCUUUCGGGAUAAGGCAUAGGUGGCUCAUACACACGAUCCGCAACAAUAUUUUCACCAUUUUCGGAACUGUUCAAGGACUGUUCAAAAUCUUUCAAAUUGCCAGAUUUUUCAACAAUUCCUGAAUUUGUUUUUGGCUGUGAAGCCACCCGUGAAUUUUGAACACAAUUUUCAUCCCUGUUAUCAAAACUUUUGCCGGAACGUAGAACUCUAACUGCCUUGCAAUCGGCACCUCCCCUAGGAUUUGGUUCGGUUUGACUGGGAAAUGUACCCGGUGCCCUUCCAGAAACCUGCAAAGCAAUCUGCCCCAUCUGUUUUCCAUGUUUUUCACUGUUGCCUGUAGAUUUUGAAUUUCUUGAGUGGUCGUAUUUGCCAAUUUUUCAAUUGCAACCUCCCAAGCAGCCUUAGGUGCAGCAGGUUGUUGUACCUGCUGUUGGAAUUGAGGCCUAGUGUGCUGUUCCUUGUCCCACCUUAGAUUAGGAUGAUCUCUCCAACCUGGGUUGUAGAAAUUAGAAUACGGGUCAUAUAUGGGGCGCUAGAAAUUGUUAAAUGCAUUAACCUGCUCUGCUGUAAAAUCCGGAGAAACAUCUUGAUGUGGGCAGCUCAUAAAAUCUUGAGUUAUCAUGUUGCAAAUGUUGCAGGCAGCUUGUAAGGGCUGCUGUACAGCAACCUGGGAACUUGGUAUUCUCUGUAAUAACAUGUCAAAUUUUGCAUCAAGCCUUUUCUCCAUUUUUUCAAUUUGUGCUGUAACGUACCGAGAGCCGUUAGACAUCUCAAAAACAGACCUAGAUUGUGGCUGCUCAACUGCCCACUGUUGUGUAUCCACUGCCAUUUUUUCAAAUAACAGACAAGCCUCUUGUGCAUUUUUAUCUUUGUACGAACCUCCGCAUGAAGCGUUGACAAGAGUUUUUGUAGUCAUAUUCAACCCUCUGAAAAAUAUAUGCAUUUGAUCAGUAGUGUUAAUACCCGAAUGUGGACGUUUUCUAAUCAACUCUUUGAACCGCUCCCACGCCUCAUGAAACUCCUCAUUUGGUUUUUGGGCAAAAGAUAAAAUCUGAGUUCUCAUGUCAAGAGUCUUAGAAGCCGGAUAAUACUUGUUUAAAAAGUUUUCACUGAGUUGGGCCCAAGUUGUGAUGCUUCCUGAUGGGAGUGUGAAGAGCCAUCUUCUUGCUUGAUCUUUUAGUGUGUAUGGAAAUAAACGGAGCUUAAUAGAUUCGGCUAUAAAUCCCCUCACCAAAAUAUUCUUGCACCCCAUUAAAAAUUCUGCAAUAUGCAUAUUAGGAUCAUCAGAUGAUAACCCAUGAAACGUAGGUAGAAUAUUCAACAUGUGCUGUUUUAUUUCAAAUGCAGUCCCUUCCUCCACUGCCGGAUAAGUAAUGCAACUUGGUAUAUUUGUGGUAUGGGCAGUCAAUGAAUCACCCAGAGGCAGACCUGCCUCUGGAAUUACAAAUGCCAUUUUAUCUUUGUUGUGCAGGUCCCUAGAAUUUAAAGGCUGUAGAAAAAUUCCCUGCAAAGGAGGAACCCUCUGCAAAGUUCGCUCCCUGCGUUUCCUCCUUAAAUUCUGCUCAAGUUCUGGAUCAAAUGGAAUCAAUUUCUGGACUGUUGAACGGGUGCUAACCAUGCACAGAUUAAAUAAAAACGAAAAUUAAAUUAAAAUAAAAUAAAAACGAAAAUUAAAUUAUUAUUAUUUUUUUAUAUGUAUAAACAGCAAUAACUAAUUGAAAAUCUGAUUCGUAGGGAUUAUUUUAAAUAAUCCCCGGCAACGGCGCCAUUUUCUUGAUAGGAUUUUUACUACUCAUAUGAACGGACUUAAAUCUCCUAUUUUACUUGCAAGAAUCACAAGGUUAUUGUAGUAUAAACGGAUCUCGCAAGGUCGUCUCCACAGGGAUUAUUAAAUAAUUCGAACUAAUCAGAUUUCAUUUAAUUAUUGUAAAGUAGAAAUUGAAGUGAUUGAUUUUAUAACCUAAUUAAAAUAAAAACGAAAUUAAUGAAUUAAAAUAAACAAUCUGCAAUAUUAGAGCUAGAGAGAAAAGAAAACAGUUUUGGAAGAAUAAAAUUAAGAAAGCACUAGGGUUCCACCAUCACCUAGCAAUCCUAUGAAUUUUUACCAAUUACUUAUAAUCUACACAUGCCACUUUGAAGGUUAGAUUUUCCUAAUUCAUAUUCUACUUGGAACCUCCAACAUAGAACGUAUAUAUAACAUGCAACCUGUCCGGACGUUCGGAUCAAAUCUAAACAUGAAAGACUCAUUAUGCUUUAUGAAAAUCCUUUGAAAAAUCAUGCAAUCCUUAAGACGUGAUAUUCAUCUUAAGAGAAAUUACAAUUAUUAAUCACAAGAAGCCAGCGUCAAUUUCAGGGAAUCUUCCGACCAAAAUUGCAUCAAAUUACUUUUCUAAAGAUCCUAAUGGUGAUCAGGCAUUACGACAAUUAGAUAGUUUUUAUCCCGGUGAUUAACAAUUCAAAGUACGCAUGCAAUCAAUCAUAAGCAAUUAAAUAAAAAUCACAUAUUCAUGCUAAGGCUCAAGGCUUCGCCCUAGCAAAAGAAAUUAGUUCCGCAUAUUCAUAAUUGAAAUCAUAGAAAAUAUAUUCAAGAAAAGGAUUGAAAACACCUUCAAGUAAAAAGUCUUCAAAACCCUAACAAUUCUCUCUGUCUCCAAAAUUGCAUAAAAGAAAGCGUAACAAAAUAUGGUAGACGGCCAAGCCAUAUAUCUGCCAAGCCUCCCACACAAACCCUAGGAAACUAAAAUUAAUUCAAAUCCCCCCAAAAACUUAGGAACAUAACCCUAAAUUAAAUGAUAAAAUUCGUCUAAAAUCUGAACAGCCACGUUUUGACCCAUAAGCUGCUCCAAAACUGGCCCAAUAUAGCUGGAUUUAAUGUUUGGGAUAUUCUGAACACUUUUCCAGAAGGCCACGAACCCAUCCGAGGUCAUCUUGGGCUCCAAAAAGGCAAUUUAAGCCCAAAAACGUCAUUUUCCAGCACUGCGCACUGCUUCUUUAUUUCAUCGUCAGAAAAUAACCGCUUGGUGGAAAAAUCCCAAUUUUUUAUACGAUCAAGCUAAGUGACUCAUGAACGUCCUCCAACUGGAAUUAUUCCAAAAUUUAUCCAUUUGAUCCUGUUUUGCUCCAGAGGAAGUCGAAAGUCCUAUAUUGAAAAUACAAUUCAAAGUAUCAAAAUUCUUCCAAUAUAUUAACCAAAAUAUACUAAGAUUAGGGUAAAAUAUAUAAUAUAAAAUCUACUCAUCAGUAGACCUAUGAAAACUUUGGAAGAGACCCUAAGAAAAGACUUAGAGUACUUGGAUCUAACGGAGGAUAUGACACAAAACCGCGCGCAAUGGCGUUCUAGGAUUCAUAUAGCCGACCCCACUUAGUGGGAAAAGGCUUUGUUGUUGUUAUUCUAUUUCAUAGGAGUUUUCUUUUGGUUGACAUUAAAAACCUAUUCAGGAAAAUCCCUAAGACAUGCACCAAACGUAUUAACCAUGCUAGUCUCCCAAGAUUUCCAAAUCUUUAUAUGAUUAUAAUACUUACUAGCCUGGUCAAAAAGUUUCAACUAUACAGAUAAUAGCAAAGCAAAGAUAGAGUCUCAAGCAGGCUCUUUACUGCAAGUGAUCAGCCUAAUUUUUUGCCAGUUUCAACAACUACGAUUCUUACCUUCCCAGAAAUUGGUCUGAUUACUUGCAUAAAUGGACUCUGUGCGUAUUAAAAAAUUUCCCUUUAUGGGAGCUACAGGUGUUUGGCUACCUAAUUCAGUUCUCACUUGUGUUAAUUCUCUUAUGGAUUAGAUCACAUGAUCGGUGAUUAAGCCAAAAAAACUAGGGACCGAAGCCAUUUGGAAGCUCCUGAGUCAAUAUGUCCAUCUUAUUAGAGAAGCACGAUGUCCACUAUCAGCAGCUGUAUAGAUGUAACUAAAACUGACUGACAAUAUAUCCCACCUUUAAGAUAAUUCCCUAGCUAAUUAAAAAACAGACGGGCUUACUGAAGGUUCAACGUUUCUUUCAUUCUUCUGUUUUGUAUGGUGACUCUUAUACAUCUCCUACAUCAAGUAUCAAUAAAAGUCGAAUGAUUGAACUAUGUUUCUGCCAAAAAAAAAAAAGGAAAAGAAAAAGAUACGUAGUUGUUAUGAGUGUGAAAUCCCGUCCCUGGAAUUUCACUACUAACUACGUAUUUCCGUUAUUAAAUUUCGUAUUUUGGGUUACAUUUUUUUUAGUUAAUCUUUAAUUCCGUAAAUUUUAGGAAUUAAAUCGAAUAAUUAUCGGGUUUGAAUUUUCGUAAUUACUCUUUAAAAUUUGUUAACCUUUUGAAGUCACAAUUAAUGUUUUCAUAUAGAUUUUGAACCACAAACGCAUAGACAAAAGUCAUUUGUGAGUCCGGAUUAUAACGAUAUAGUUACGGACGUUUGAAAUCAUUUUACAAAACUAUAGGUAGUUUUGAAUUAAUUAUAUUCCCACUAUAUGGGAAUUAUCAGAGGUCUUGUUUUGGCUCAAUCAGGUAUGUGUUGUUGAAGGGACCAAGCAAGUUAAAAGAUCAAAUGACCAAUCAGAAAAAAGGAGAAAAGAAAGGACCAAUUAGAAGAGGAGAGAGAAAGGGUUAUCUCCCUUUCAGCCCGUGUACACCCACGACCAUCGGGUUUCAACCCAGUGUAAUUCCGGCCACUUCCACCAUUUUUUUUCAAGUGAAAUUCAACCAUCGACCAUUCCACAACCUCCCCUCUACCAUUUCCACCCAAAAUCAGUAGAAAUUUAGUUGUAGUUUGGUGAAAAAUCCACCGUGGGUGCCGUGGGAAACCUUGCCGAGAUCCACCAUUUGUGAAACGAUUUUUUUCAAUCACCACCACCAAAACACUUCUCUUGAGGCCUGGAACAAAGACCAAACAACUAUAUGGGCGGCGGAUCAUCGGAGGUGACAGAUCGAAGCAACCCACCUUAGGGUUUUCGACAAGUGCCAGCCAAAUUGGGGCUAAUCCCGACCAAAUUGGACUUGGCCACAGGUAUAAAACUUGCUCUACUCAUUGAGUGGUCCAGAAUCCCGUUGGUAUUAUGGUUCCGUUGAGAGGUCCAAAACCCGAUUAAUUGCUUUGUUGAUUCUUUGGAUUGAGAUAGCUUCAAAGACGUAAGCUUCGGCCGAAUUGUGUCACUCUAGCCCUACUUUUCCUUGUGUUGUAUGAGACUAUGAGUUUAUGGUUGUGAGCUUUUGUGACUUGUUUUAGACGAGCCGUUGGAUGUAUGGGUGAUUCCUUCGGGAUUUUCAGUGACUUGAUUAUGAUUUCAUAAAAUAUGAUUUUAUAUUUGAUGUUUAUAAACUGAAUCAAUGGUUGGUUUUUAAUAGUGUCGCAUACGUAGAAUUAUUGUCACUCACAUGAGCUUCACGGCUUAUAUGGGUUGUUGUUUGCCUAGUGCACCAUUCCCAUGGUGUAGGGGCGAUUGUGCAGGUUUUAGUAGAUACAAGGAGCUUUGGGGUAGCAGAAGAGUUCAGAGAAUUUGGAGUGUUAGGUUACCCCUAUAUUUUUCCUUAAAAAGAUGUGAUUAUUGUUAUUUUCAGUUCAGUAUUUUAGUUUGUAUUUCCUGGUAUCCCCCUACAAUCCACCGUCACGUGUCGAUUUCGGGCGUAUCUCGGGAUUGGGGCGUGACAACGAGAAACAAGGUUGGUUUGGACGUUUUGCCCCAUUUUGGUAUCUCGUUUUGUUCUAGUUCUAUAGGUAGCAAAAUCUUGAAUAAAUUUCUUCUUCAGAUUUUCAUGGUUGAGUUUCCAUUAGAAUCUCUUUAAAUAGCUAUUGUUAUGCUAAUGUGUAUACUACUAGAAAUCUCGACCAAGCACACCCUUUUUGAAGUAAUUGCGACUCCUUGUUAAUUACUUGAUGUAUAUGAUGAAACUGAGAAUUUCCUACAACAUUCAGAAAUGUAAAAUAAGUUAAUCCUUUCAAAAUUAUUUAGUAACAUUAAGUGCAUGAGCACCACAUUUCACCGUUAGUUCUAAAGGACACAAGCUUCCACAAAAGCUCAUCGUUUCCAGCGCAAUCCUGAAUCGCAGCUUGAGCAGUGUGCUGCUAAAUCUGAACCUGGUGCGACCCCCCCAGCUUAUGUGCAACCCUGAAUUGUAUGUUGACUAAAUACUGCGGUUUUCAACAAGGAAUUUGGUUGUGAAGAAGUGUGAACGCCAUAAACCAUGACAUAUAACCAACAAGAAGAAUAGGGGAAGCUAACCACAAAAUGAUGAAAUGGGAGGAGGGGGGGGGGGGUACUAAUUACAACAUAUGUACCUCUUGAUUAAUCAGAAAAUGGUUCAAUGAGUGUUUUCCUCGCAGCAAACUAACCCCAAGAAGAUUUUGAUAUUACGUGUUUCAUAGUUGUAGCCAAGUCUAGGGGCAUAUUUUAUCUUUUCAAUCACAUUGGCCUGAGCAGAAAUGAUACAGCCAUGUCCACGGCUAGUGAGUCACGCAGCGUUUGCUUUUAAAAGCUAGAGACUACAGUAAAAUAGUGUACUUUGUUGUUGAGAGCAUAAUUUCAUGUUCCAAUGGGGAUACGUUAAAUCAACACAUUCGGUGCCCCUUAUAGAAUUGACUAUCUUACAGGUCUUCUGAGAGGUCUAAUUAAAGGGUGGCUUUGUUUGCUUGAAGGAUUAGCGCUGCAUCAACAUCAUCCGCUGACACCACUAAAUGUGGACUUAUGGUGCUCAUACACUUAAUUUAGCAUCAGUCUUAUUGAAGGUCAAACGUUUCUCUUAUUCUUCUGUUUUGUAUGGUGACUCUCAUACAUCUCCUACAUCAAGUAUCAAUAAAAGUUGGAGUUGCAAUUGGAUAUAUGGAUGAGAAUUAUACUCAUAACUGUAAAAAAGGACUACUACUUAACAUAUAAGCAUUCUUUUAACUGUAAAAAAGGAUCCUAAUGGGAAACUCAUCACAAGAGAAUCUGAAGAAAUAAAUCCAAGAUUGUAGGUUAUGUCUUUUUUUCCUUCUCUUUUUUAUGAAAGAAAAACCCAACAUUUCAUCACACGACCGAGAAAUGUCUUGUUGGUCAUUAACAGCAGAUGACAACAGCAGCAGCAACACACCUGGUCAUAUAAUUUAAAGGGAUGCUUUCCAUAUUGUAAUGUAAUAAGCUAUGAAUAUUGCUAGUCUCCAUUUAGGCAUUUACCUAAUCUGAUUCAAGGGGAACAGUAUGUGUCUCCCUCCUCGAUCGAAAAAAAAUGUACAAAAUCUGGAAUUUUUUUGGUUUACAAAAUUGUAACAAUCACACAGUUCGUGUAAUUGCUCUCCACAAUCCACUACCCUAUCAUACUGCACUCAAGCGAGAUAUGAGAACAAGGAAAGCAUCUUGUCCGCAGGGAAUUGUUAGACCGCCCAUUGGAUGAUCAAAUCCAAAUUCUUCUUCAGCUUCACUUAGCAAGUGUUGAAAUGCAGGCUGGCAGAGGAAAGAUAUGGGAACCACAAAUCGGUGCUUCUCACUCUCACCAACAUAAACUGCAAAAUAACCUUUAGGGACAUCUGCUAAAUUAUAUGAAGCUCCUUGACUUGAAUUUGAAAAAGACCGUCGAAAAAGUUUCUUAGCCGGAAUUACAGCAGGCAGACGGAACCCCAUUGUUGUAAGUCUUUGGAGGAAAGACUAGCAAUAAAGUUUAUAAGAACUUGAAGAGGAUCUCAAUGAACUUGUAAGUGCAAAACAAGAAAGCUGUAUACUUGAGAACUUGAAAAUUUAAUUUGGUGGUCAUCAUCCCAUUCAUAUGGUAUAUAUAGAUGAAAAGUAUUGUGUAAUAUCUUCUACUAGAGGAAAAAUAUAUGGUAAAGACAAUGACAAUCUGGAUGGGGUAUAGAAGGGAAUAAGAGCUCAUCAGGGAUCACAUGGUUCUGUCUUCAAAUUAAUCAAGCAUUUAGCCAAAAUAUGUGGAGCCUCCAUCACUACCAAGGUUUGUGAUGAAUUGGAAGACAGAGCCAUGUGAACUUCUAAAUGCUGAUAUCUAUAGCCACUCAAUUUCGUUUCAGUUUGGAUAUAGUACUUCAACAACAAAUCAAUUUGUAUUGGGUCCACAUAUAUAGUAUGUUCAACUAGCAACCUGCAAGAAAAUGCCUGUUUUCUGCAUGUUUCUGAUUUUAUACUAGUCAUGUAUCUAUUCUUCCACAUAUAUAGUAUGGCAUCGGUUGUUUUAACUUUGAGACAAGUUCAUAUGAUUUUCCAUGAACUAAUCUCUCUCAUGGUACUAUCAUGGUCCCUCAAUGAUCACCACUCAGAGAAAAGUAUAUGAAUUUGAAGACAGGCAAGUGAACUUGCAAAUGCUUCUGUCUUUAGAAUUAUUAUUUUUUUCAAUCCCAUUCAAAUUCCUUCAGACCACUCACUCAAACUUUCUUAUAACAUUAUGUUGAUUGUUAGGAUUACGACUGAUCUUGCCAGCAUACCUGAUCUUGCCAGCAUACCUUCUGAACAUGAGUAGGACAUUCUGUUUUAUUUUAGUUUCAAUACGUUUUCAGUUUGUGCAGUUAUUAAGAGAUGUAGCUGUUGGGUAUUGUGAUUCUUCAUUUCUGCUCAUACAUUUUUCUUGAUUAGUUGGAAAGACAAGUCCAUGUGAUUUUCCAUGAGAAAAUGACUAUCACUUGGCUCCGUCAUGGUCCUUCACCAAUUGUAUUUUUUUCCGUAAAUGAUGUCCUUGAAAAAUGGGAAAUCAUAGCCCUGUGAACAUUUAAAUGCUUAAGCUGGGUCACUUGACAAUUCGCAUUCAAUUGCCUCCAGACCACUCUCUCCAACUUGUACAGAUUAUUUUGUAGACCUCACAUUUUAUAUGCUAAAACUGUUGAAAUAGCACCACGGGAAAAAUUCUUGUCUCAAGCAUGUCUCUGAUUUUUUAUAGGCCAUCAAUUAAGAGAGGAAGGACAUUGGGUUGCGUUCGUUCAGUCAUUGACUCGUGAAAUGUUUUUGGUAUCUUGUAGACAAGUCCAUGUGAUUUUCUAUGAGCAAACUAUCUCUCGCUUGGGUCCAUCCCAGUGCGUCAUCACCAAUCAUUUUAGGUAACUGAUGGCUCGCAGCAUACCACUUUGGCUAUAUAUGCAUACAUCAUGCAAGGUUCAGGAGCAAACCAACACAAGUCUUCUACUCCCAAGCAUAUCUUAUCAAAGCUCUUUCUGUACUGAAAUUCAUCUGAACUCUUUAUUGUUCCUUUUUACAGAGAAAUUUUAAAACCAUGGGUUUCCGAUUGCCUGGUAUUUUACAUGCCAAGAAAAGUCAAGUUUCUUCAAAGUCACUGGAUGUUCCAAAAGGCUAUCUUGCGAUCUACGUUGGGGAGAGCCAGAAGAAGCGGUUUAUUAUUCCGGUGUCCUACUUCAACCAACCUUCAUUCCAAGAUCUGUUAAGCCUAUCUGAAGAUGAAUUUGGAUAUGAUCAUCGAAUGGGGGGUAUCACAAUCCCCUGCAGUGAAGACACCUUCCUUGGUCUCACCUCAGCUUUGGUGUAUAAGUAGAGGCUAGCUACAUAUACGUCGACACGAUUUUGACACCAACAGCUGUAAAAGCAGUUGCAAUUUUAAUCGCUUUCUGGCUCACUUGAAGGAGGUUCGAUUGAUUGAUCAUCCAGUGAAUCAUCAUAAUGGAAGAGGACAUCAACGUCAAACCGCUUACGAGCUGAGAGGAAAAUGGCCAGCCUAGCGGACAUAAACUCACUGACACAAUUUUUCAAGAAUAGUUAUUCUCAACUGAAUGUACAUAGUUGUCCUGCAAGGAAAACUGAGAUUAGAAUAUUUCAUUACAAUAGAACGUUUUUACAGUUUCAUGAUUUACCUUUCAUUUUAUUUGCUAUCUUCUUCAAUCAAGUUUUGAACGGACGAUAAAUUUAUACACAAGGGACUAAUUACUGGAAUAUUGACAGACAAAGUAAUACAAGUAAACAUCAUAGGCAGAUUUAAAAACAUGUUAAGAAUGGACUAUUGUACGGAUAAAGUUUUAAAUAUAACAAGCAUUGGAUGCACCCAGAAUAGCACUAAUCCCUGCUGAAUUACCAUGAAAAUACCAAUGUGUGCAUUGAAUAUGCCCCAAAUUUAAUAGCACUAGUCCAUGCUUAAAUUCUCACAACAAUAUCAAUGCGAGCAUUUUAAUACAUUCUAUUUCAUAGAAGUUUCGCUUGGUUGACAUUAAAAACCUAUUCAGGCAAAUCCCCAAAGACAUGCCCCGAAGUUUUUAACCAUGAUAGGCUCAAAGAUAUCCAAAUCUUGAUAUGAUUACAUUACUUAUUAGCCUGAUCAAAAAGUUUCAACAAUACAGAUAUUAGCAUACAAAGAUAUAAUCUCAAGCAGGUUCUUUACUGCAAGAGAUCAGCCUGGCUACUUAAUUUUUGCCCGUGUCAAGAACUACAACUCUUACCUUCCCCAAAAUUGAUCUGAUUACUCGAAUAAAUGGUACCUGUACAUACGAAUGUUCUAACUUGAUUUUGUGUGUGGACAGUGGAAUCUGUACGCAUUAAAAGAUUUCCCUUUAUGGGAGCUAUAGGUGUUUGGCUAGCUAAUGCAGUACUCACUUGUGUUAUAUCUCUCAUGGACAGUGGAAUCACAUAAUUGGUGAUUCAGCCAAAAGAACUAGGGACCGAAGCCGUUUGGAAGCUCCUGAGUCAAUGUCCAUCUUAUUAAAGAAGCACCAUGUCCACUCUCAGCAGUUGUAUAGAUGUAACUAAAACUGACUGACAAUAUAUCCCACCUUUAAGAUGAUCCCCUAGCUAAUUAGAUCACAGACAGGCAUAUUGAAGGUUAAACGUUUCUUUCAUUCUUCUGUUUUGUAUGAUGACUCUUAUACAUCUACAUCAAGUAUUAAUAAAAAGGUGGAGUCGUAAUUGGAUAUAUAGAGAACAAUAUAACUCAUACAAAAAAUUUCAUAGUGGAGUUGUUUGAAUGAACAAUUCGCAAUUUACCCUACCAAAUGACAUACUAGUCAUGCAGAGAAAACUAAGGUUAUUGUCCAAACUGUUGAGGGUGUUGGUGAAACAUCCCAACCCCACUUUUAUUUAAAAGUUGUUUUAAGGCCUUAAUUGGUGAGCCGUGGGGGCCCACCUUGUUUUAUUUUUUUGUUUUCCGGUCUCUCCUCUCUCAGUUCGCUCUUCUCCCUCACCUCUCCCGUAACUCUCUUUCUCUACACUUUCCAAUCUCUCAAAACCCUAUCCUUCCCUCUCUCGCCAUGACCACUCACUCAUCCUUGCGCAUGCAUAGCCGCACCCCGCUCGAGGAAACCAUCAUCACCAUCUAAAUCUUGUUCUCUCUCUCUCUCCCUCUCAUCUUUGCGAGGUCGACAAACCCAGGAAGGAUCUCCGGCGAGUCCCUUCUAUAUUUCCGGUUAGGUAAGCCUCGGGUUUCCUUCCUUCCGUUUUAGAUUGUUGAUUGGAUGUGAUUAUUGAGUUUAUCUCAUUAUUUCAAGGUUGAGGACGAAACCAUCGCGGGGGAAGGCACACCCAACUUCACAGCGGACCCGUGUCCUUCAAGGGUUUUUCAGAGCACUCACGGCCAUUUCACGGCAAAGAAAGGGUAUGGAAAUACUCUACCCUCUUCCCUCUUCAUUUUGGUGUAUAGUUUGAACCCUAGUUUGCUAGAAAACCGCCGCCCGGAGCUGUAGCAGCUUCGGCUUUCUCCUCCGAUCACCACGUAGGCUCUUCAGGCCACCCAAAGCACCCUGGACCUUAGGCCCGUGUUUGGGCCAGCCCAAAAACACCAAAACCCAGCCCAAUUAUAAAUUUUAUUUCCUUUAUUUAUUUUGUUGACCCACUGGGCCUUAGGGCCUUUUCCUUUUAUUUGGGGCUUAAAGCCCGGUUUUUGGUAACUAGGCCUGCGGGCAGUGCCUUGUGGGUGUGUAUGGGCUGUGUGUGUUGUGUGGUAUGUCCGUGUGUGUGUGUGUGUACGUGUGUGUAAUUGCAUGAGUGCAUGCGUGUGGUGUGUGUAUGUGUAUAUGCAUGUAGUGCAUGCAUGUGCAUGCCGUGCAUGUGUGUGUUUGUGUAGUGUAUGUGUGUGUUGGUUGUGUGGCCCAAACCACCAUUUUCACCCAAAACCCUUUUAACCCAAAAACCUUAGGAUCCUAAAACCUAUUAGGGUCUAACCCAUCCAACCCAAAUCCUUUCAUUUUAUUUAAUUCAAGCCCAAAUUCUUUAGAAAACCCUUUUAUUUAUUUAUUACUAUUUUUGUGCUUAGGUGCAAUUAUUGUGGCUUUUGCAUAUUCGCUAGCUGCGCGGCUUUCGAUGGCAAAGUACUGUGAGUAGACCUCUUCUAAAAUUAUAUGAUUUUAUAGUUUAAUUGCAUAAAUGAAUAGCAUGCCGUACGAGUUUAUGAUUUGAUUUAUGUUAAGUUUGUUUAUUAAAUAUAUUGAUUUUCGUCUCGUGUUUUUGGUGAGGAAUUAACUGUUGGCCUGUAUUGAGCUGUAUUUUGGAAUAUCGUAUUUUCUAUAAAAACCAUGAACUGGUAGACUAUCUGAUGGAUGACGAUAGGAUGCUAGAACAUGUUUUAGAAACCCCUCUUUAUAGUAUAGACGAUGGAUGACUUUAUACUAUGAGGUGGUUAUUUAUGAGAGACGUAACUAUUUGUGCGUACCUAGUGGACACUAUGCUGCCUGGGGCAAGGAUCUGGUGUUGGCAGAUAGGCUGAGAGAAAUAACCCCUAGCUACGGGCUGAAGGACAUGGAGAAGGCAUUGGGCCGGGAGUUGGUAAUCUCUGGCUACAAGCGCAGAGACCACGGAGCAGGCAUUGGGCUAAGAGUUAUAUUUAUUCAGUGAUCUUUCUAGCAGCACACCGCGCUUACGAGACGAUCUAUAAGACGUUACUAUUUUGAUUUCUACGAUGUUAUUCCGCGAUAUGACUUUUAAGAUAUAUUUGGCAUGCUAGAUUUUUUAUUAAAUCCAUCACUUAUUAUGUUAGUAGUUUUCUUUAUAUAUAAACCUGGGGGUUAGUAUGUUCAUAACUGUUUUUGUAUUAUGUAUAUAUAUGAACUUGGUCCACUCACCUUUGUUUUGCGCCCCCUUUCAGGAUUUAGAAUCGAGGCAUACGAUCCCGACAUCAACGCUUUCGCAUAGGCAUAUUCGAGUCCUCUUUGGUGUAGGACCCACAUCCUUUUAUUUAUUCAAUUUUAUAUUAAUUCUUUUAGAGCUCUAGUUAGUUGUAUGCUCUGAACACGUUCCUAAAUUUUUAAUUCAUUAUAUUUUAAAUUCAUAACCUUUAUUUAUUUCUUAUUCUUAGCUUUUGUAUCAAUUAAUGGCUUUCGUCACCCUCGGGUGUCGGCCAUCAUGUGUCUAUCUUGGUAUUCGAGGAAUAUCAGGGUCGGGGCGUGCUAGUUGGAUUUUUGGAUCGCCGGGCCCCCCACUCUAACGAUACCGAUAUUGUCUCUAACCUUACCACCUACCCAAUCUGUCAAGUGUGAUGUUUUACAACAAAAAACUUCGGUAUUAGUUAGAGUAGGGUAAUCCUAUUUAAACCCCUUGGUUUUCUUUCUCACCACCGAUGUGGGACUUAAACACUCCCCCUCAUGUGUAACCCCAUUUAGUGGUUCACACGUGAAGAUCCACAUUGGUAAUUGAAACUCAGAGGUCGGCUCCAAUGGAGUCCAAACUUGUUUCCAAUGGAACUCAGCGGUCGUCUCUAUGUUAAGAGUUCAGACUUGUUUCAUUUGGUGACAAGCUCAUUGUUGGCUUGCACGGGUCCGAAUCGUGGACUCUGAUACCAUGUUGGAUUUUUGGAUCGCUGGGCCCACCCCACUCCAACGACACCGAUAUUGUCCCUAACUUUACUAGCUGCCCAAUCCGUCAGGUGUGAGGUUUUAUCACAAAAGGCUAGGGUAAUCCUAUUUAAACCCCUUGGUUUUCUUUCCCACCACCGACAUGGGACUUUAACAGAGGGGGACUACUACUUAAUCACGAAAGAAUCCUAAUGGGAAACUCAAUCACGAAUGGGAAACUCAAUCACGAAAGAAUCCUAAUAAUAUCUUUCUCUUACGCAUGCACACUAAUAAUGCUUAGUUUUUAGGCCGGCAUGGUUAUGCUUAUUAUAUGAUGCUAAAUCUGGAAAACUAGCCAUGUUAAGGUUUCCCAGUUUAUUUGUAAUGAUUUGCUUGGCUACAAGAAAACUUUUUGUUUAUUGAAUUGCUUGACUUUCUUUAAGAGAAUGCUGCUAGACAUAUACGUUCCCCAGUUCGACCUAAGUAGGCUAGUUGUUUCUUUUCAUAUUCUUUUCAUAUUUGUGCUUUGAACAAAUAUAGCAAUAGCCAUGCACCACAUACUAUAUUUGAUAGCCAUUCCUUCAUGUCAUGUUUCAUUUGCAACACUGUUUUUUCAUUCUCUCAAAUACAAAAUAUCUGUAUACUAGUCUUAUCACUGCCUCUUGAUUUCAGGAUGUUCACGAUAGGUUUCGAACUGAAUCCCAUUCUAAGGCUACUGGGCGUUUUAACGAGCGUUUCUUAUUAUCGCUUGCGUCAUGCAAAUCAUGUGUAGUCAUGGAUGAUGAGCUGAAUAUUUUACCAAUUUCAUCUCAUAUGAGGUCAAUUACCCCGGUUCCAGUUAAAGAGGUAACCUUUUGGCAUCUUAAAUUGAAGGAACUGAUAAACCGAGGCAUGCUUUAUUUUUGUAGCAUCUUAUGCCAGGUUGAAAAAAGAAUCCUAAUGGGAAACUCAAUCACGAAAGAAUCCUAAUGGGAAACUCAAUAUGUAUAAAAAUAAAAAUAAAAAUUAAAAAAAAAGGAUCCUAAUGGGAAACUCAAUCACGAAAGAAUCUGAAGAAAUUAAUCCAAAAUGAGAAAUUUUAUUUGAACCCAUAUAACCUGUUUCUACACCAAACUUACUCCUUAUACCCAUAUUAUUUUUAAUUAAAGAAUCAAUCUCUCUUUAAACCUAAAUUUACUAUCUAAACUACCUUCACAAACUCAAUUCAAUAUAUAAAAAUUCAUCUUUACACCCAUUUAGAAAAUAAAAUCCCAAAUAAGUGAAUGAAGAUUUAAGAUUUUGUCAUGGCAACCAAUUGUUAUAGAUGAAUUGAUCAGCAGCAUCAAUUUUUUUUUUAAACUUUUUUGACAUCGGUUUGGAGUGCAAGGUUGUUAGGAAAUGAUCUUCGCCAAGCUCUUAAUAGAGUAGUCCAAGUAGCUAGCCUGGAUGUGAUUCGUGGAAUUGAGUGAUGAAUUUGUAAUUCAAGAUUAAACAGUUCAGUAGCUGCUAGGUAAGCAGUUGAACUAGUACUUUUGGAAUUUGCAUCAUGUAAAAUUAUGUGGCCACCUUAGUGAAAGUAAAUUUCAGUAGAACUUCUCAUAACAUUUUCUUAAAGGAUCAUGGCAAUAAUUUUCAUUUGAGCAAUAUAUGCUGCUUUUACAGGCAUACAUAGUUGAAUGAAGCAGAACUAAACAAAUAGCGAGAAGAGAACUCAUACUUUAAAUAUGCACUCGUAAUGACAUGGAAAACAUUUCGAUGUGUUGAAAGCUUUCUGACUCUUUUGUUUCUUGUGGUGAUAUUGCUUAUAAUUAUUGCUCUUCCUGAAUGAGUUAACAUGAAGCUAGAGAGGAAACAAAAAGCAACCGGAUUUGAAUAUUAGGUGAUCGUAGGGUUUUAUGGCAGCUCUUAGAAUUUAGUCAUAAUGAACGUAGGAUAAAGAUUGUGUGAUGGUAGAACUUGAUUAUUGAAUAUGGAUUUAUUGAUAAAAUUUAGUUUUAUUCUUAAUUUCAUCUUGUACUUGAUGGUAAUUAUGCAAUAAGAUAAAAUAAACAAUUCAUAUUUAUAAUUUAAGUUGAGUGUUGGGUUCAAAUAAAAUUUCUUAUCCAAAAUUGUACAGGUCACGUUUUACUUCUCUUUUUUAUGACAGAAAACAAAAUUAGUCCUUAUGGUUAAAUCACUGUUCAUCCACGACCAAGAAAUGUUUUCUUGAUCAUUAACAGAUGACAACACCAAGCAGCAGCAACACACCUGGUCAUAUAAUUUAAAGGGACGGAUGCUUUCUAUAUUGUAAUGUAAUAAGCUGUGAAUAUUUCUCCAUUUACACAUUUACAUAAUCUGAUUCCGGGGGAACAAUAUUUCUCCCUCCUAGAUCGAAAAAAAAAUGUACAAAAUCUGGAAAUUGUUUGGUUUAAAAAAAUUGUAACAAGCACACAGUUCAUGUAAUUGCUCUUCACAAUCCACCACUCUACUAUACUGCACUUAAGCGAGAUACGAGAUCAAGGAAAGCAUCUUGUCUGCAGGGAAUUGUUAGACCGCCCAUUGGAUGAUCAAAUCCAAAUUCUCUUCAGCUUUACAUAGCAAGUGUUGAAAUGCAGGCUGGCAGAGGAAAGAUAUGGGAACCACAAAUCGGUGCUUCUCACUUUCACCAACAUAAACUGAAAAAUAACCUUGAGGGACAUCCGCAAAAUUAUACAAAGCUUCUUGAAUUGAAUUUGAAAAAGACCGUCGAAAAAGUUUCUUAGCAGGAAUUAGCAGGCAGACGGAACCCCAUUGUAGUAAAUCUUUGGAGGAAAGAUAGCAAUAGAGUUGAUAAAAACUUGAAGAUCUCAAGGAACAAGCAACUGCAAAACAAGAAAGCUAUAUGCUUGAGAACUUGAAGGUUUAAUUUGGUGGUCUUGAUCCCAUGCAUAUGGUAUAUAUAGAUGAAAAGUCAUGCUGAAUUAAUAUCUUCGGCUAAAGAAAAAAUAUAUGGUAAAGACAAAGACAACUUGAUGGGGUAUAGAAGGGAACAAGAGCUCAUUAGGGAUCACAUGCACGGUUCUGUCUUCAAAUUAAUCAAGCAUUAAGGGAAAAUAUUUGGAUCCUCAAUGACUACCAAGCCUUCUGAAGAAUUGAAAACAGAGCCAUGUGAACUUUGAAAUACUAAUAUCUAUUGCCACUCAAUUACCAGGAGAAUACCCACACGGCCCCUCGCGCCAACUACUAGAGAUUUUCUUUCCCGACACAUCCAUCGUUUUAUCAGUUUGGGUAUGGAAACUUGUUGCUAUGAUAUAGUAGUUCAACCACAAAUCAAUUUGUAUUGGGUCCACAUAUAUAGUAUGUUGAACUAGCAACCUGCCAGAAAAUGCCUGUUUUCAGCAUGUCCCUGAUUUUAUAGUUAUGUAUCUAUUCUUCCAAAAGGAUUCAAUUAUGCAAAUUUUAAGCUGAUCUGAUGGUAUCGGUGGUUAUAACUUGGAGACAAGUUCAUGUGAUUUUCUAAUCUCUCUCAUGGUGCCAUCGUGGUGCCUCAAUGAUCACAUUCAGUCGUUUCAGAUAAUAGAUGGUUUAUGGCAUAUACCCAUUUAUCUAUAUAUUUUAUGAUCAGGCUCAGAAGAAAAUGUCAAACAAAGCCUUCUCUCAUUUUUAGAAGUCAACUGAAAUUUCCAUUGUUGCUUAAUUUUCUCAUUAAGAAAUUUUAAACUAUGGGUUCCUGGUUGCCGGGCACUGUUCAUGCUAAGAAAUUCCACAUUUCUUCAAAGGCCAUGGAUAUUCCUAAUGAGAACUAUAAUGUAUUAUUACUUUUUAUUUUACUGCUUGUGGAUGCAAAUUUCUUCCUCCUCGAUCUUGGACGAUUUUGCACCUACAAAACAACUAGCACCUUAGGUUAAGGCCAAAAGCCUCACGCGCCCACGAUGAAUGGGGGGGCUUUGGCCGAAGAACCUCCGAUGCCAAAGUUAGAAUUUUAGAGAGAAAUAGUGUUUAGAGCAUUUGGGAUUUUUUGUAAGAGAAUUGGAAUGAAUAUUUGGGGCUAAAUAGGAGCCUAUUUAUAGGGCUAGGUUGGUUCACUUUAGAGAGGAAAUGUGGCCGGCCACUAAGUAGGGUUUUUAGGUUUUAUUUUGGUUUAAUUAGCCAAUUAAUUGGCUAAUUAAACAUAAAAGGAAAUGUUUUGGUAGUUAUGGAAUUAAUUGGCUAAUAAAAGGGAAGAAAUGGUGAAAAAAGGUAGACAAAGUGAUGGAUUAGGUUUUGAAUGGGGAUAGCCGGCCCUUUAGUAUUUUUAGGUGUGAAUGGGUGUUUUAAUUGAUAAUUAAGGGAUUGAUUGGGUAAUUAAUCCCUUAAUUAAUCAAAUUUUAGGAAAUAUGAAAGGAAAAUAUUAUUUAGCUAAUUGAUUAGCUAAAUAAUGGAAUAAAAAAUAUAUAGAAUAAAUUAGGUUUUAGGAAUUACCUUAUAAAAAGGAUUUGAUGAAAUAGGCUUUAAAUUGUUACCUAUUUCGGGCACUUUUGACUUGGUUGAGGAUGAUUGUCCGCCACUCGCACGUAGGAUUCUAGGUAUGCCUCAAGGGUAUUUUUGUCCUCUUUUACCCAAAAAUCCAUGCGUCGCCUUGUGAUUAUUUUUGGCUCCAUAAAUGCCCCCACACCUGUUGGGCUGCUCGCAGGAAAUGGCGGUAGGUGUAGAGAUCUUCUUGCUUUAGGAAACUUAAGACUGCUUCCUAUUUUGAUGUUGAUUCUCUCUUUAAUAGGAAAUUAGAUCCUUCUAGGAAAGGUAAAUAAAUUUCUCUCAAAGCCUAUUUAAGUCCACCUUAAGUGGGUUAUUAAAUCAACUUUGGAGAGCGAUUUAUUCUACCCUACAAGAGAGAGAUAACUUAGAGGAUAUUUGUUCCCUUUCCUCUAGCAAUCUUUUACAUCUUGCCCAUGCAAAGGACCGUCUUUCGUUGCUUUCUUCGUCUUCUUCGUGCCACACUGAGGUAAGAAAAAAUUAAUUUUCCUUGUUUUCUUCUUGGAUGGUGCUACCGCGGGGCAGCUGUCGAGGAGAUGCGGCACUUCGGCUAGCAUGGGCCAGGAGUCGGCUCGGCAUGGGCCGAUGAGGUAUUGUGGCAGGGACCACUACUUUAAGCUACUCGACUUGGCUAGAACCAAAGGCAGCUUAUGUGGCUGGGGUCGCGAAUUGUGGCGAUGAGGCGCAGUACUAGGCGAGUCACAUGGCUCAUGUCAUUUUAGGCUUUUGGACAUGACGCGAGUUAGGCCGUUGAUUGAGAGAAAUGAAGAGGUUGCGGGCCUCAUAAGCUGCUAGAAUGUUGGGUUGAACUCCCCUGCUAGGUACCACGAAUGGCGUUGGCUACUUUAACUCUCUUCGUCAGGAGAAACGUGGGCUGCUCCCAAAAGAGGAGGUGAAUAGGAUCAAGGCGGAUGCAUUGGCUGGCCCAAUCACUGUUGUGGAUCCUGCUACAAGUGAAGGUGGGAAAAAGGAUCUUCCCUGCCUGCUCAAGAGAUGCCGGCUGAGAAAAAGCCAAAUACUUCUUUCGCUGCUCGCGCGGGUUCGUCGACUGCUUUCAGGCUUGUGAUUGACUUAAGUUUUUCCAAGAGAAUGAAAAAUAAGGCUGCUAGAUCUGAGCAUGUGGCGCCUACCAUGUCAAGAAUGGCUAGUACGAUUGCUGAUAGAAUUGUUCGACAUAAAGGUCCUGUCAUGCCCUUAGUGCUGAAUUUUGUACUAAGACGUCUGUUGGGAGCUAAGUCCGGUUCACCUUUGGAGAGGCUUGCUUUUAUGAAGAGCGAUAAGGUGGACUCUGCUGCUAAAGUGGCGCCAAGGCUUAUUCUUUAUGCUGCUGAGACUGAUUCGCCUGUUAGGAAUGAGGAGACUGCUCGCGUAGGCAGCUGUGAGAAAUCCAGUAAGCCUGCUUUUGGGAAGGCUGCUAAGAUCUAUGUGCUUUUGAAACCAGAUCUCUUGAAAACAUGGACGCUUGCCAAGUUUGUUGAUGGCGUUAAAAAGGUUGUUUGCCCAAGCUCAUUUACCAAGCAUACGACCCAAUAUAGAAUGACUGCUUUGCUUACCAUGAUACAGAUAUAGCAAGGCUGCUAAGGAGAUGACAAAUACUAUGGUAGAUUUCGAGAACUUCUCUAUUUCUCCAGAAGACUUGCUUGAUUUUACUUAUAAGGCUUCCCUUGGUGAAGUAGUUUGAGAAGUUAGUGCUCAGGCUAGGGUAGCCGGGGCUGAAAUGUCGGAUGAUACCGCUGCUAAGAGCAUCGCGGCUGCUGAAGGUGUGGCAACCGAGUAGUCGUGGGAUGUCCAAGCUGCUAUAGUCUUCUAAGUAGCCUUUAGGAUUUUAUUUGUUUUUCCUUGUAGCUCUUGUUUUGAUUGAACUCCUUUCAGCCUUUGAUAGUUGUUUAUAAACAUGUUUUCCUUCAUUUUUCUUCAUCUUCGCUUCUUUUGUUCAUGCCCUAACCUUUAGACUUGAUAGACUAGUGGCAGGCAUGCUAUUUUUUUAUAAGCAGACAAGGUCGCGUAGCCUGUGCAGUUGUAGGUGUUGGUGUAGAACUUUGCAAAGUUGUUAGCCAUAGGGUUGGCAGACGGAUGCCUUACUUAUAGAAGCAGACAAGUCUGUGUAACCACUAGGCUGUUAACCUUGGCUUUCUCCAAUUCUGUAGGUUACGUAGCAAGUAUCACAACACUUUAGGACUUGGUGUAGGUUGUUCCGCGCUUGGCAAAGGUGAAGCUUAUCGACUACGUAGCAUGUCGGCAGUGGAUAAAACUUUGUAUAUGCGCGCUAGCUUGUUUAACCUUUCACAAGAAUGUGCGGUUGUAUAAGUUUAGUGCAGCUUUACUGCUCGAAGGGCAAGCCGUAGGUAGUCUUCCAGAAUCCGUAGGCUACCUUAGUGCACUUGGUAGCAGCUUUAGGGUUACAAGGCAGUCGUUUGUAGGGCAUACUGCGUAAUGUGCCAUCUCUGUCUCUAGGGCCCGGUUCCCCACGGAUUAGGCCAAGAGACCAAAAAUCCUUCAGUUAGUUAAGUCUUGACAAAGACCAUUGUGGCUACUUCUAGGAAUCCCAGCGCAAGCCAUCGUGCAUCUAGUUAUACUAGGGCAGCCAGGCUCAUCCACGUCUGAAUAUUUGGAGUGUAAAGUUUAUCCUCCCAUCUUGGAAAGCUGACCCAUAUGAGUGUCAGAGAAUUGGUUUACCCUCUCGCACUGAAGAGCAAUUAGUUUACCCUCUCGCAUUAGAGAGCAUGGUUGGUCAUUCAGGGGGCGCAAUUCCUGCGAUGAGUCCCUAAGUAGGGCGCAGUCUUCUUUUGAAGUGCAGGAUUGAUCAGUUGUUGUAAGUAUGCAGCUGAGCCAAUUUGUGAUUACUUCUGAAUUCCUCAUUGAAAAAAUGAGUGAAACGAACGAGAACUUAGCUGUAAGGUAGGAACUGCAUAAUAACUGGAUAGUCCUCAGCUUGUGAGGUGGUGCCCAUUGAGCUUCUUAAGUCUUCAAGUUUUGAUGUAGUGUGAGGUCACACAUGGUACUUUUUCACCAUCCACUGCUUUUUGAUGUUUUUGUCAUUUCAUGGUGGCGAGGGUAUAAUUACUCUUGCCGCCUUCUUUGCUGAUCUUGUACAGACCUUCCCAGAUGAGAUUAAUCUUUUUGGAGCCUUCUCUGCGGGCAGUGAUGAAGGCCUUAAGACUAGAUCUCUGGGCUGGAACUGUCGGAUCUUGGCCCUUUUGUUGUAACUGGAGCGGAAUUGCUGCUGGUAAGCUGCGAUGCGGGUGAUAGUCUGCUCGCACUUCUCCUCUGUCAGAUUUAAGCUUGUGGCCAUCUCCUUUCGGUUGCUCGUCUUUUGGUGGUGCGAUAUGCCCAUAGACAUCCUUGGAGUUCGGCUGGCCAUUUUCUUUUCUUAUUGGUAGGGGAUUUCUUGUGGCAGUCGUGGAUCAUCUUAGUGGAUGCUUUGGCCUGCCUAUUGCCUUGAGGAUAUCUUGGCGUAGACAUGUGCUGCUUGAUGCCAUAUUUUUGGAAGGACUUUGCUAAAUCUUUGCCCACGAAUUACGGGUCGUUGUCGGUGAUGAUGGAUUAAGGGAUGCCAAAUUGGCAAAUGAUGCUCCUUCAUAUGAAGCGCUAUAUGUCCGUCUGAACCAUAAUCGUUAUGGGUUCUGCUUUUACUUAUUUGGUGAAGUAGUCGGUUACCACGAUUAUCAUGCCUUUGCCCCUAGUAGUCUGGCUGGUGAUUAACUAGGACUUGGAAUGAAUUGAAAGAUUUUUCACCACCAAGUCUUUUGUCAUUCGAAGGCCUGCUAGUGGGGCUUCGUACUCUGCUUCGUUGUUAGAUGCUUUGAAGCUUAGAGUGAUCGCCUGCUCGAGCAUUGAAAUGUCUAGGGUGGCAAGAACCACGGCUGCUCAUGAGCCUUCGUAGUUGGAUGCGCCAUCUACAUGCAAACGCCAAAAAUCUCCAUUGAGGGAGCAGGUGUGGCUAAAGUGUGCUCGGCUUCCUGCGGGGCGUCGUUGGGCUGCUUUGUUGCAUUGUUAAGUCUAGGCUUGAAGGCGCGGUAGGGAGCUGUGGAGCUAGGGCCAUGUUACAUGUAGCAGGAGAUGCUCAACUUCCGGUAUUAGGCCACUCUAGAGUUGAAUAAUGGAGCAAAGGUCGGCUAAGGCCGUGUGACGCACAGUAGGAGGUAAUGUUCGAUUGCCAGUACAUGUUGCUCUUACGUAGAAUCUUCUGGGGUGACGAGGAUAAAACUUGCUUCUGAGUGUUCCUUCUAGUGUUCGUCUACCCUUGGCGUGUCUUUUGGGCCUAGUUGUUACAUUCGUCAGAAAACUUUACAUCUACCAGCGUCUACGCCUUUAUCGUCGCGGGUUUGGAUUCGAUGGAAUAGUGCAUCAUGAUAAUGAUUGCGUGCGUUUGAAGGUAAAACUUAAGCAUUUGGGUUACAACAACUAUCGCCAAAGUUAGCUUUUGAAUUUUUAAUAGCAUUGAUGAGAGCUUUUAAACUGUAGAAUACAGGUAGUCGGGCCCCCAGCUUUUCUUACAUGAUGGUAGAGCUUAUUGCUACUUUAGAUACCGUCAAACAUGCGAAUAAGUCCUCCGCUGCUUCUAGGAAGGUGAUGUCGGGUACUUCUUCAGGUUCUUGAAUGUGCAUUGGCGAGCCUCGUCCCAAAGUGCAUGCUUCUCUGCCAAUGCAAAAGAGUCUGCCAGAGUUAGAUCUUCUUUCAUGAUCAAUUUUUCGAAUAGCAGGUGGUCUGCUGGAAGGCCUUUUUGGAAGGCUGUUUUAGCUAUCGAGUCGUUGCAUCCAGCUAUCCUUGCUUUCUCUACUUUGAAUCUCCUCACAUAGUCACGAAGUGACUCCUUUACGUUUUUCUUGACGUCAAACAAAUGGUCGGACUUCUUUUUGAUCGAGCGAUAGGAUGAAUAUUCUUUGGUGAAAACCAAAGAAAGUUCGUAGAAAUUCCAGAUGGAUUGUGGCGGCAGGUGUAGAACCAAUCUUGCUCUUCGCCUUGUAGAGUGGUGGCAAAUAUCCUGCACAUGAGAUCAUCGUUGUUUCGAUAAAGGAUUAUUGCGCUUCGGUAGCGCUUUAAGUGUCUAUCCGGGUCUUCAUCCCCUUUGAAAGAUGUGAAAUGUGGCAUGCUGAACUCGCAUGGAGGCUCUGCCUACUCGAUCUCAUCCGUGAAGGGUGACUUACUUAUGUUGGUCAUGCUUUGUCGUAGUGCCUCGUCGGUGACCUCGUUGCAUUGGAAAUCAUGCAAUCACUUAGUCAAGAGCCUCUCUACUUCUUCCUGAAUUUGCCUUUAUUGGGGUAGUGGAGCUCUCGGCUGCCCCCAACCAUGACUUGCUGGUCUAGGCUGCUCUUCCAUGUGUUUGGAUCGUCUAUACCGCGGAUGCAGUGCAUGUGGUGCGUUCCUAGCAAGCGAGCGAGUUCUUCGCAAGUUGCUAGUUGAACUUAAGCUGGAUUGAGUGACUACUUCUCUCCGUCCAUCGUACUGCCUACUUCGAUGUGAGGUGGAUGAUGCUCCUUGCGGGCUUAGCUGUGAAUGAACACUUUGCCCGGAAGGUUGCUCAUGUUGACUAUCGGAGUGUUACCCUAACCGUGAAUGUAUGCUCACCCAUGGGCCUAGUCGAGAUUGCAUGCUCCUCCGCACGCUAAGAUGAGAGUAUACGUUAUCUCGGGAGUUCAAUCGGGAGUAUGCACUGCACGAAUGCUUGGCUCGUGGCUGCUUGCCGGGACGCUGCUGGAAAGGUUCGUUUGCCCUUAUCCUACUUUGGGAUACCUCGUCCGAGGCAUAUUGGAUCCUGGUGUGUUGUAAAAGUUGAUUCACCAAGGUUGUCUGCUAUGUAAAGGCGCUCGUCAACUCUAUGAUUUGUCGAGACAAGUGUUGUUCGCCAUUUGGAUUGGAAGAGCUUAGAAGGAAUGUGCCUCCUUGGGCAGUGGAAGAGUGGUAGACUCCGAGCUCAAGAUUUGAGUUAGGAAAUGUCAAAUCCGUAAAAAAAUGUAGUGAGAAUGCCCCCGGCUCGAUGGUAGGUCUGGAUGGUUAAGAUAGUCUUGGGCCAACUUGGGCUGCUUGGAAAGCUAUGAGAGCAGACUGGGCCACGAGAGCAGGCUGAGCCACAAGAGCAGGCUUGGCCACGAGAGUAAGCUGGGCCAUGAGAGUGGACUACUCGGCGGAAGCAGACUGCUCGGAGUGUGAUGCACAUGGGUGCGAGGCAUGGGCUCGACUUGGCAACACAUUGAGUUCGCGUUGGGCUUGGACUGACAUGGCUUGGGUCGUGGCCUUGGUGCCGUGAGCCUUGGAUGACACGGCUCGGGCCGUGGUUGCGGUGUCAUGGACCUCGCUGCAGGUAGUGGUGACCGUGGUGGCCACCGUGGUGGUUGCCAUGGUGGAGCCCCGUAGCAAUGGUGCUGCUCCUAAGAUCACAUUUAGCCUCGUGGAUCGCCGUGGUCCCAUUUCUUGAAUAUUAGAAUUUUCACUUGUGGAAUUUUCUAAAUUUCUAGCCAUUAUAUUUUUCUUAUACGUUUUAUCAAAGAACCUUUGCAAAUAAAAAUUCUAAUAAUAAGAACGUAUGAAAAAAAUAUUCAAAUGGACUAGAAAAUAGAGAAAAACCUUUUUAUGCGAGAGUCUUCUACGAGUACGGAUCUCAACUCUCAAUGAAAGCUUCAAUUUGUGGAUGCAAAUUUCUUCCUCCUCUAUCUUGGACAAUUUUGUACCUACAAAACAACUAGCACCUUAGGUUAAGGCCAAAAGCCUUAUGUGCCCACGAUGAAUGGGGGGGCUUUGGCCGAAGAACCUCCGAUGCCAAAGUUAGAAUUUUAGAGAGAAAUAGUGUUUAGAGCAUUUGGGAUUUUUGGUAAGAGAAUUGGAAUGAAUAUUUGGUGAAAAUAGGAGCCUAUUUAUAGGGCUAGGUUGGUUCACUUUAGAGAGGAAAUGUGGCCGGCCACUAAGUAGGGUUUUUAGGUUUUAUUUUGUUUUAAUUAGCCAAUUAAUUGGCUAAUUAAACAUAAAAGGAAAUGUUUUGGUAGUUAUGGAAUUAAUUGGCUAAUAAAAGGGAAGAAAUGGUGAAAAAAGGUAGAAAAAGUGAUGGAUUAGGUUUUGAAUGGGGAUAGCCAGCCCUUUAGUAUUUUUAGGUGUGAAUGGGUGUUUUAAUUGAUAAUUAAGGGAUUGAUUAGAUAAUUAAUCCCUUAAUUAAUCAAAUUUUAGGGAAUAUGAAAGGAAAAUAUUAUUUAGCUAAUUGAUUAGCUAAAUAAUGGAAUACAAAAUAUAUAGAAUAAAUUAGGUAUUAGGAAUUACCUUAUAGAAAGGAUUUGAUGAAAUAGGUUUUAAAUUGUUACCUAUUUUGGGCACUUUUGACUUGAUUGAAGAUGAUUUUCCGCCGCUCAGGCGUAGGAAUCUAGGUAUGCCUCAAGGGUAUUUUUGUCCUCUUUUACCCAAAAAUCCACGUGUCGCCUUGUGAUUAUUUUUUGCUCCACACUAGUUAUCUUAUAUAUCUUAUGUUUGGGUUCUAGUGAACUCUUAUGUAUUUGUUCCUACGCCUUUCUAUCACUCGUCAAUUUUGGGUGUAUCUCAAGAUACAGGCGUGAUACCUCAACCAUGAUAGAUCUAACAUAAAAGGAGAGAUUUGUUAGCCUAUGACUUUAUAUGCUCCAUUAUUGAUUUAGUACUUUGUAUCCAUACAAUCUCUGCUAGGUAAUAACCUCAAUGUAGUAAGGCUUAGCUAAGUUGGUUAGCUAAUGCAAUGAGCUCCUAAACUCUUCGGUAUAAUUAGGAAUGAAACUGUGUAAUUAUAAUUUGUAAAUCCCGAUGUAAGAUUUCAACAUUAACAUGGUAUAGCACAAUUCUAAAUAUUGUAAAAUGGAGCUGUUAUUUUCACAGAAAAUAGUAUUUCCCUUGAAAAAAUGUUGUGAUCAUUUACUAAAAAAUUACACUUUUAUAUACAUAUACAGUUUUUACUUCUCACAAAAGUUUCACAAUUACUUCCUACAGCCAGUGUUACCAAAUCAUGUAAUUCUUCAUGGACCAUGGUUGACCUAGACAGUAGUAGAUAAGAGAUACUCGUAUUGUAAGCAAACUAUAUAGAAACUGAAAUCUUUCUCUGUAAGCUUUCUUUUGUAUUGAAUGAAGAACUCGUUACAUUGUACAUGAUAGUAUAUAUAGCCUUUGGCUAUUUACAUUCACACCCUUAACAACCUUAACUAAUCACAACAAUUAAUAUAACUAACUACAUUUAGUUAUAACAAACUAUUUAUCAGUAAUUGAAAUAGAUGACUUGCCAUUCUCCCCAAUACACUCCUUCAAGCGAAAAUUGGGUUGAGAGAUGAUACCAAGUGGGAUGCUUGGGUUGCAAGUGAGCAAACCUACUUUUAGACAGAGACUUGGUGUGUAUGUCAACCAAUUGAUCUUCAUUGCAAACAAAUUGAACUUUAACCAAAUUGGCAAAUACUAAUUCUUCAAUAUAGAGUAGUCUAUCUCAAAGUGUUUUGUUCUUGCAUGAAAUGCAAGAUUGGAAGCUAAAGAGAUAGCUGAGAUAUUGUCACACCACAAGGUAGAAAUUUUAGGGAGAUGAAACUGAAGAUCAUGGAAGAUUUUUCACAUCCAAGUGAUCUCUGCAGUUGUGUGAGCUAAGGAUCAAUACUCAACUUUUGUGGAAGAUCGAGCAACUGUGCAUUGUUUCUUGGCACUCCAACUUAUGAAAUUUCAUCCAAGUAACACACAAUAUCCACUUGUUGUGAUACGCCCGACCCUGAUAUUCACCAAACACCAAGGCAGGCACGUGCUGCCCGACACCCGAAGGUGAUGAAGCCAUAUUAAUAUGCAUGAGAAUAACGAAUAACUAAGACUUAUAAAUUUAAAUGUAAUUAAUAUACAUUUAAAGAAUGUGUUCAGAACAUAUAACUAACUAGAAUACUAAAAAGAAAUAAUAUAAAUUGAAUGAACCAAGAGAUGGGUCCUACACCUAAAAGACUUGAACAUGCCGAUGCGGAAGUGCCUUGACGCCGGGAUCGUACACCUAGGUUUUAAGUCUUAAGGGGGCGCAAAACAAACAUGAGUGGACCAAGUUGAUAUAUAUAAUACUGAAACAAUUAUCAACAUACUAUCCCCAAAGUUUUAUGAAAACUCAAUAGCAUAAUAUGUAAUAGGUUUUCCAAAAACCCUAGCAUGCCAUAAAACCUUUCAUGAAACAUAUCUUGUAUGUAAUGUGCUAACUAGUGGUAUCAGUAUAUGUGGAUGCAAAUUUUCUCCUCUUCGAUCUUGGACGAUUUUGCACCUACAAAACAACUAGCACCUUAGGUUAAGGCCAAAAGCCUCACGCGCCCACGAUGAAUGGGGGGGGCUUUGGCCGAAGAACCUCCGAUGCCAAAGUUAGAAUUUUUAGAGAGAAAAAGUGUUUAGAGUAUUUAGCAUUUUUUGCAAGAGGAUUGGCCUUACUAUUUGGUGAAAAUAGGUCCCUAUUUAUAAGGCUAGGUAGGUUUACUUUUUAGAGAGGAAAUGUGGCCGGCCAUUCAAUAGGAAUUUUAGGUUUUAUUUGGCUAAUUAAACCUAAAAGGAAAUGUUUUGGUGGUUAUGGUAUUAAUUGGCUAAUAAAAAGGAAGAAAUGGUGAAAAAGGUAGAAAAAGGUGAUGGAUUAGGUUUUGAAUGGGGAUAGCCGGCCCUCUAGUAUUUUUAGGUUUGAAUGGGUGUUUCAAUUUGAUAAUUAAGGGAUUGAUUAGGUAAUUAAUCCCUUAAUUAGUCAAUUUUUAGGAAACAUGAAAGGAAUAUAUUAUUUAGCUAAUUGAUUAGCUAAAUAAUGAAAUAUAAAACAUAUAAGAUAAAUUAGGUUUUGGGAAUUACCUUAUAGAAAGGAUUUGAUGAAAUAGGCUUUAAAUUGUUACCUAUUUUGAGCACUUUUGACUUGGUUGAAAGAUAAUUUCCCGCUGCUUGAGCGUAGGAAUCUCGGUAUGCAUGAAGGGUAUUUUUGUCCUCUUUUGUCCAAAAGUCCACAUGUCGCCUAGUGAAUAUUUUUGGCUCCACAAAUGCCCCCACACCUGUUGGGCUGCUCGUAAGAAAGGGCAGCAGGUGUAGAGAUCUUCUUGCUUCAGGAAACGUAGGAUUGCUUCAUAUUUUGAUGUUGAUUCUCUCUUUAAUUGGAAAUUAGGUCCUUCUAGGAAAGGGAAAUAAACUUCUCUCAAAGCCUAUUUAAGUCCACCUUAAGUGGGUUAUUAAAUCAACUUUGGAGAGCAAUUUAUUCUACCCCACAAGAGAGAAAAAGUUAGAGGAUAUUUGUUCCCCCUCCUCUAGUAAUCUUCUACAUCUUGCCCGUGCAAAGGACCGUCUUUCGUUGAUUUCUUCGUCUUCUCCGUGCCGCACCGAUGUAAGAAAAAUUUAUUUUUUUCUUACCUUCUUCUUGGAUAGUGCUAUUGCGGGGCAGCUGUCGGGGUGGUGCGGCACGUCGGCUGGCAGGGGCCAGGAGUUGGCUCGGCAUGGGCCGAGGAGAUGUCGUGGCAGGGACCACUGCUUGGGCAGCUUGGCUUGGGUUGAGCUAAGGGCAGCUUGUGUGGCUGGGGUCGUGGAUUGUGGCGUUAAGGCGCAGUGCUAGGCGAGCCGUAUGGCUCAUGUCCUUUGGGCUAUUGGACCUGACUCGGGCCAGGCUGGCGAUUGAGAGAAAUGAGGAGAUUGUGGGUCUCAUAGGCUGCUGGAAUGUUGGGUUGAGCUCCCUUGCUGAGUACCAUGAAUGUCGUUGGCUGCUUAGUCCUCUUCGCUGAAAGAAAGGUAGGCUGCUCCCGAAAGAGGAGGUGAAUAGGAUCAAGGCGGAUGCAUUGGCUCGUCCAAUCACUAUUGUGGAUCUUGCUGCAAGUGUAGGUGGGAAAAGGGAUAUUGCCUGCCUGCACAAGAGAUGUCGGCUAAGAAAAAAAAAACCAAAGACUUCUUUCGCUCGCGCGGGUUUGCCGACUGCCUCCAAGCUUGUGAUUGACUUGACUUUUUCCAAGGGGACGAAAAAUGAGGCUGCUAGAUCUGAGCAUGUGGUGCUUGCCAUGUCAAGAAUGGCUAGUACAAUUGCUGAUAGGAUUGUUCGGCAUAAAGGUCAUGUCAUGCCCCUAGUGCUGAAUUUUGUACCAAGACGUCUGUUGGGAGCAAAGUCCGGUUCACCUUUGGAGAGGCUUGCUAUUAUGAAGAGCGAUAAGGUGGACUCUGGUGCUAAAGUGGCGCCAAGGCCUAUUCCUUAUGCUGCUGAGACUGAUUCGCCUGCUGGGAAUGAGGAGACUGCUCGCGUAGGCAGUUGUGAAAAAUCCACUAAGCCUGCUUCUGGGGAAGUUGCUGAGAUCUAUGUUCUUUUGAAACCAGAUCUCUUGAAAACAUGGACGCUUGUGCCAAGUUUGUUGAUGGCAUCAGAAAGGUGUUUGCCCAAGCUCGUUUGCGAAGCAUACGACCCAAUUAUAGAAUGACUGCUAUGCUUGCUAUGAUGCAGAUAUAGCAAGGCUGCUAAGGAGAAGACAAAUACUAUGGUAGAUUCUGAGCUCGUUGCUUUGAAGGGAGUGGAUGAGCUGCAGCGCGUCCGUGUUAGUCUGUUUAAGAAGAAUGAGCAGCUGAAGGGUGAGAAGGAUAGGUUUCAGGUUUUAAGACAUUCUCUAUUUCUCCGGAAGACUUGCUUGCUUUUACUUUUAAGGCUUCCAUUGAUGAAGUAGUUGGAGAAGUUAGUGCCCAGGUUGGGGUAGCUGGGGAUGAAGCGCCGGAUGAUGCCGCUGCUAAGAGCGUUACGGCUGUUGAAGGUGUGGCGACCGAGUAGUUGUGGGAUGUCCAAGCUGCUGAAGUGUAGUCAUCUAGGUAGCCUUUAAGAUUUUCUUUGUUUUUCCUUGUAGCUCUUGUUUUGCUUAAACUCCUUCGACCUUUGCUAGUUGUUUAUAAACAUGUUUUCCUUAGCUUUUCUUCAUUUUUGCUUCUUUUGUUCAUGCCCUAACCUUUAGACUUGAUGGACCAGUGGCAAGCAUGCUACUUUUUUUAUAAGCAGACAAGCUCGCGUAGCCUAUGCAGUUGUAGGUGUUAGUGUAGAACUUUGCAAAGUUGUUAGCCAUUGGGUUGGCAGCCGGAUGCCUUACUUACAUAAGCAAACAAGUCUGCGUAACCACUAGGCUGUUAACCUUGACUUUCUCCAAUUCCGUAGGUUGCGUAGCAAGUAUCACAACACUUUAGGACUUGGUGUAGGUUGUUUCGCGCUUGGCAAAGGUGAAGCUUAUCAACUACGUAGCAUGUCGGCAGUGGAUAAAACUUCGUAUAUGCGUGCUAGCUUGUUUAACCUUUCACAAAAAUGUGCAGUUGUAUAAGUCUAGUGCGGCUUUACUGCUCGAAGGGCAAGCUGUAGGCAGUCUUCCGGAAUCCGUAGGCUACCUUAGUGCACUCGGUAGCAGCUUUAGGAUUCCAGGGCAACCGUCCAUCGGAUGUACUGCGUAAUGUGCCCUCUCCGUCUCUAGGGCCCGGUUCCCCACGGAUUAGGCCAAGAGACCUAAAAUCCUUCAGUUAGCUAAGCCUUGAAAAAGACCAUUGCGGUUACUUCUAGGAAUCCCGGCGCAAGCCAUCGUGCAUCUAGUUAUACUAAGGCAGCCCGGCUCAUCCACGUCUGGAUAUUCGGAGUGUAGAGUUUAUCCUCCUGUUCAUGGAGAGCUGACCCAUAUGGGUGUCGGGGAAUUGGUUUACCCUCUCGCGUUGGAGAGCAAUUAGUUUACCCUCUUGCACUGGAGAGCAUGGUUGGUCCCUCGGGGGGCGCAAUUCCUAUGGUAAGUCCCUAAGAAGGGCGCGAUCUUGAAGUUCAAGAAUGAUCAGUUGUUGUAAGCAUGCAGCCAAGCCAAGUCGUGAUUACUUCUGAAUUCCUCAUUGAAAAACGAGUUAAACGAACGAGAACUUAGAUGUAAGGUAAGAACUGCAUAACAACUGGAUAAUCCUCGACUGAUGAGAUAGUGCCCGUCGAGCUGCUUGAGUCUACGGGCUUUGAUGUAGCAAGAGGUCACACAUGGUACUUCCUCAGAUUGUAGGCGUUCCACUGUUUUUCGAUCUUUUUGUCAUUUUAUGGUGGCGAGGGUGUAAUUGUUCUUGCCACUUACUCUACUAAUCUUGUACGGACUUUCCCAGAUGGGAUCCAUAUUUUUGGAGCCUUUCUGCUGGCAGUGAUAAAGGUUUUUCUUAUGACCAGAUCUCCGGGCUGGAACUGCCGGAUCUUGGCCCUUUCGUUGUAGCUGGAGAGGAGCUGAUGCUGGUAGGCUGCAAUGUGAGUGAUAGUAUGUUCGCGCCUCUCUUCUGCCAAAUCUAAGCUUGUGGCCAUCUCUUUUUGGUUGCUCGUCUUUUAGUUGUGCGAUAUGCCUAUAGACAUCCUUGGAGUUCGUCUGGCCGUUUUCUUUUCUUAUUGGUGGGGGAUUUCUUGUGGCAGUUGAGGAUCAUCUUAGUGGAUGCUUUGGCUCGCCUAUUGCCUUGAGGAUAUCUUGGCGUAGACAUGUGCUGCUUGAUGCCAUAUUUUUUGAAGAACUUCGCCAAAUCUUUGCCCACGAAUUGCGGGCUGUUGUCGGUGAUGAUGGAUUAAGGGAUGCCAAAUCGGCAAAUGGUACUCCUUCAUAUGAAGCGCUCUAUGUCCGUCUAAACCAUGAUCGUCAUGGGCUCUGCUUCUACUUAUUUGGUGAAGUAGUCGGUUGCCACGAUCAUCAUGUUUUUGCCCCUGGUAGUCUGGCUGGUGAUUAGCUAGGACUCGGAAUGAAUGGAAAGCUUUUUCACCACCAAGUCUUUUGUCAUUCGAAGGCUUGCUAGUGGGGCUUCGUACUCUGCUUCGUUGUUAGAUGUUUUGAAGCUUAGAGUGAUCGCCUGUUUAAGCAUUGAAACGUCUGGGGUGGCAAGAACCACGGCUGCUCACGAUCCUUCGUAGUUGGAUGCGUCGUCGACAUGUAAACGCCAGAAAUCUCCAUUGAGGGAGCAGGUGUGGCUAAAGUGUGCUCGGCUGCCUUUGGGGCGUCGUUGGACCGAGUUAUUGCGUUCAUCAGAAAACUUUGCAUCUGCUAGGGUCUACGCCUUUAUCGUCGCCAGUUUGGAUUCAGCGGAAUAGUGCGUCAUGAUGAUGACUACUUGCGUUUGAAGGUAAAACUUAAGCUUUUGGGUUACAACAAUUAUCGCCAAAGUUAACUUUUGAAUUUUUAAUAGCAUCGAUGAGAGCUUUUGAACUGUAGAAUACAGGUAGUCGGGCCCCCAACUCUUCUCGCAUGAUGGUAGAGCUUAUUGUUACUUUAGAUACGUCAAACAUGCGAAUAAGUCAUCCGCUGCUUCUAGGGAGGUGAUGUCGGGUACUUCUUCAAGUCCUUGAAUGUGCAUUGGCGAGCCUCAUCCCAAAGUGCAUGCUUCUCUGCCAAAGCAAAAGAGUCUGCCAGAGUUAGAUCUUCUUUCAUGAUCAAUUUUUCGAAUAGCGGGUGGUCUGCUGGAAGUCCUUUUUGGAAGGCUGCUCUAGCUAUCGAGUCGUUGCAUCUGACUAUUUUUUCCUUUUCUACUUUGAACCUCCUCACAUAGUCGCGAAGCGACUCCUUUGGGUUCUUCUUGAUGUUAAACAAUUGGUCAAACUUCUUUUUGAUCGAACGAUAAGAUGAAUAUUCUUUGGUGAAAACCAAAGAAAGUUCGUAGAAAUUCCGGAUGGAUUGUGGCAGCAGGGUGUAGAACCAAUCUUGUGUCUCGCCUUGUAGAGUGGUGGCGAAUAUCUUGCACAUGAGAUCAUCGUUGUUUCGAUAAAGGAUCAUUACGGUUCGGUAGCGCUUUAAGUGUCUCUCCAGGUCUUCAUCCCCUUUGAAAGAUGUGAAAUGUGGCAUGCUGAACUCGCGUGAAGGCUCUGCUUGCUCGAUCUCGUCCGUGAAGGGUGACCUACUUAUGUUGGUCAUGUUUCGUUGUAGUGCCUUAUCGGUGACCUCGUUGCGUUGGAAAUCAUGCAAUCGCUUGGUCAAUAGUCUCUUUACUUCUUUCUGAAUUUGCCUUUGUUGGGAUAGCGGAGCUCUCGGCUGCCCCCACCCAUGACUUGCUGGUCUAGGCUGCUCUUCCAUGUGUUUGGCUCGUUUAUGUCGCAAAUGCAGUGCAUGUGGUGUGUUCCUAGCAGGCGAGCGGGUUUUUCGCAGGCUGCUGGUUGAACUUGAGUAGGAUUGAGUGACUGCUUCUCUCCGUCCGUCGUGCUACCUACUCUGAUGUGAGGUGGAUGAUGCUCCUUGUGGGCUUAGCCGCGAAUGGACACUUUGCCCGGAAGGUUGCUCAUGUUGACUAUCGGAGUAUGACCCCAACUGUGAAUGUAUGCUCAUCUGUGACCCUAGUCGGGAGUGCAUGCUCCUCCGCGUGCUAAGAUGGGAAUGUACACUGCCCAAACGUUCGGCUCGUGGCUGGUCGAGUGGCUGCUUGCUGGGACGCUGCUGGAAAGGUCUGUCUGCCCUUGUCCUACUUCGGGAUACCUCGUCCGGGGUACAUUGGAUCCCAAUGCAUUGCAAAAGUUGAUUCACCAAGGUUGUCUGUUGUGCAAGGGCACUCGUCAACUCUAUGACUUGUCGAGACAAGUGUUGUUCGCCAUUUGGAUUGGAAGAGCUUGGAAUGAAUGCGCCUCUUUGGGCAAUGGAAGGGUGGUAGACUCCGGGCGCAAGAUUUGAGUUGAGAAAUGUCAAAUCUGUGAAAAAAUGUGGUGAGAAUGCCCCCGACUCGAUGGUAGGUCCGUAUGGUUGAGAUAGUCUUGGGCCGACUUGGGCUGCUUGGAAAGCCACAAGAGCAGGCUGGGCCGUGAGAGUGGGCUACUCGACUGGAGUUGGCUGGGCCACGGGAGUGGGCUGCUCGACUGGAGCUGGCUGGACCACGGGAGUGGGCUGCUCGUCAGGAGCCGGCUGGGUCACGAGAGCAGGCUGUUUGGGAGGAGCAGGUUGGGCCACGAGUGUGGGCUGCUCGUCGGGAGCAGGCUGGGUCACAAGAGCAGGCUGGGCCGCGAAAGCAGGUUGCUUGCCGGGAGCACGCAGGGCCACGGGAGUGGGCUGCUCGUCGGGAGCAAGCUGGGUCACGACAGCAGGCUGCUUGGCAGGAGCAGGCUGGGCCACGAAAGUAGGUUGCUUGGCGGGAGUAGGCUGGGCCGUGAGAGCAGGUUGCUUGGCGGGAGCAGGCUGCUUAGAAUGUGAUGCAAGGGAAUGCGAGGCUUGGGUCCAGGCCCAUGCAAACUUGGAUGGCACGACUUGGGCCGUGGCCUUGGUGUAGUGAGCCUUGGAUGGCACGGCUCGAGCCGUGGUGAAGGCACCAUGGACCUCGCCACGGGUGGCUACCGAGGUAGCCACCGUGGUGGUUCCCAUGGUGGAAACUCGUGGUGGUGGUGCUGCUCCACUUAUUGUCGCAUUUAGCCUCACGGAUCUCGGCAAUCCCAUUUCUUGAACAUUAGAAAUUUCACUUGUGGAAUUUUCUAAAUUUCUAGCCAUUAUAUUUUGCUUAUACGUUUUAUCAAAGAACCUUUGCAAGUAAAAAAUUCUAAUAAUAAGAACGUAUGAAAAAUAUUCAAAUGGACUAGAAAAUAAAGAAAAAACCUUUUUGUGCGAGAGUCUUCUACGAGUAUGGAUUUCAACUCUCAAUGAAAGCACCAAUUUGUGGAUGCAAAUUUUCUCCUUCGAUCUUGGACGAUUUUGCACCUACAAAACAACUAGCACCUUAGGUUAAGGCCAAAAGCCUCACGCGCCCAUGAUGAAUGGGGGGGGGGCUUUGGCCGAAGAACCUCCGAUGCCAAAGUUAGAAUUUUUAGAGAGAAAAAGUGUUUAGAGUGUUUAGCAUUUUUUGCAAGAGGAUUGACCUUACCAUUUGGUGAAAAUAGGUCCCUAUUUAUAGGGCUAGGUAGGUUUACUUUUUAGAGAGGAAAUGUGGCCGACCAUUCAAUAGGAAUUUUAGGUUUUAUUUGGCUAAUUAAACCUAAAAGGAAAUGUUUUGGUGCUUAUGGUAUUAAUUGGCUAAUAAAAAGGAAGAAAUUGUGAAAAAUGUAGAAAAAGGUGAUGGAUUAGGUUUUGAAUGGGGAUAGCCGGCCCUCUAGUAUUUUUAGGUUUGAAUGGGUGUUUCAAUUUGAUAAUUAAGGGAUUGAUUGGGUAAUUAAUCCCUUAAUUAGUCAAUUUUUAGGAAACAUGAAAGGAAUAUAUUAUUUAGCUAAUUGAUUAGCUAAAUAAUGGAAUAUAAAACAUAUAAAAUAAAUUAGGUUUUGGGAAUUACCUUAUAGAAAGGAUUUGAUGAAAUAGGCUUUAAAUUGUUACCUAUUUUGAGCACUUUUGACUUGGUUGAAAGAUAAUUUCCCGCUGCUUGCAUGUAGGAAUCCCGGUAUGCCUGAAGGGUAUUUUUGUCCUCUUUUGUCCAAAAGUCCACGUGUCGCCUAGUGAAUAUUUUUGGCUCCACAGUAUCAGUAUCAGUAUCUCUCGACCCGAAGCCAGUAAUAUAUAUCUUCUGCUAACCAUAUAUCUCCCUCAGCCUUAUUUGUCCCUCGCCCGUAGGCAGAACAGUGACCAUUAGUUACGCACAAAACCAUUGAGCAUAAUCUUUCUAAACACAGGUACAUAUAUUUCAAAAACAUCUUCAUAGUAUAAAGUGUUACACCUCACCCCUACUUAUAUGUAUAAUUCCGUAAUUUUCCCCAAAGUUUAAUGGAAUUAUCAUUUUGGUCCCCUAUCUUGACUAAAUCUAGAUAGAGGGUCCAUAUUUAGUCAAGAUAGUAGACCAAAAUGAUAAUUCCAUUAACUUUUGGGAAAAUUACAGAAUUAUAGCUACCCAGACACCGUGCUUAUGUCGUAUGUUGGGAGAAAUUUAUGACGUUCAAUCAGCCUAGAUGACCAUCGAUCACGUUUCAGGGUGAGCGACGAAUCUUUCCUAAUAGUAUUAUUUCUCUUAUCCAAGCAAUUAAGUUGUUGCAUAAGGGAUGUGUGGGAUUCCUAGCCCACGUAGUGACGAGGGAUAAAUCUUUGUUGAGUCCUGAAGAGGUGCCAGUGGUAAAGAAAUUUACCAAUGUAUUUCCGAAGGAUUUACCAGGGUUACCACAUGCGAGGGAAAUCAAAUUCACCAUCGAUUUACUUCCAGGUUUUGGAAAGCUUUUUAUACUGCUAUAGGUACUCAAUUGUUGUACAGCACAGCCUACCAUCCACAAACCGAUGGUUAGUUUGAGCGGACAAUUAAGACAUUGGAGGACAUGUUGAGAGUGUAUGUUCUCCAGUGGAAGGGUAGUUGGGAUAACUUUUUGCCGUUGGUUGAGUUUGCAUACAAUAACAGCUACCAUUCGGGUAUCGGCAUGGCACUUUAUGCGGCUUUAUAUGGAAAAACAUGUCGAACACCUUUGUGUUGGACAGAGGUCGGCAAACGAGUGUUAGUGGGACCAGAGAUUGUGGACACCACAAAUGCUAACAUCCAGCUGAUUAAGAGAAACCUACAGGUAACAUAAGACCGACAGAAAAGCAUUGUGGAUAAACAUUCCAGGAACCGUGAGUAUAAGGUUGGUGACUUUGUGUUCUUGAAGUUGUCUCCCUAGAAAGGGGUAGUUCGUUUUGGUAAGCGAGGAAAGUUGAGUCCUCGAUACGUCGGUCCCUAUCAGGUUACUGAGAGAAUUGGUGCAGUGGCCUAUAGGCUGGAGCUACCACCGGAGUUGUCAUUGAUUCACAAUGUUUUCCAUGUUUCCAUGCUUCAGAAAUAUGUACCAGAUCUUUCUCAUAUCAUUCAAUUAGAGUCGCUGGAAGUACAUCAGGAUGCUAGCUAUGUCAAAGAACUAGCAGCUAUCCUUGAUCGAUAGGAUAAAGUUUUGAGGAACAAAGUGAUUUGUUGGUGAAAGUGCUUUAGAGGAACCAUGCUGUGGAGGAAAUGACGUGGGAAACGAAGGAUUUGAUAAAAAGUUAGUAUCCGUUUUUAUUUGGUUAAGGUUGUAAAUUUCGGGGACAAAUUUUUUAUAAGGGGGUAGAUUGUUACACCCCACUCCUACUUAUAUGUAUAAUUCUGUAAUUUUCCCAAAAGUUUAAUGGAAUUAUCAUUUUGGUCCCCUAUCUUGACUAAAUCUGGACCUUCUAUCUAGAUUCCUAGAGUCCCUCAAGCUGCCAUGUGGCAACACCCUAACUCUCCCCACUUCUCUCUUUUUUCCCCCACCUCGAGACCUUACUUUCAACUCUCUCUGCACUUCCUCUUCCUCUCUCAAAACCCUCUCACUCUUGCAGCUAUCGACCCACGUAUCCAAGAGCAUCCACACCCUCCCCGACGUCAAUAUCACCAUCACCAUCAACACCUCAUCUCUCUCUCGUCGCUGUGAGGACGGCGAAACCCAGAAAACUCUUCAGCGAGAUUUUCUCGUCUUUCCAGCUAGGUGAGCCUCGGGAUUAUCUCUCUUUGUUUUAGGUUGUUGUUGAGAGAUUUAAUUUUUGUUGGCAAGGUUUAAAACGAGAUCGGCUUGGGGAAACGAAAAUUAUCUCCGGUGAGCCCCGUGGGUGUCGAGGAGUUUUCCGACUACCACCAGCUGUUCCACGGCGAACCAAAGGUAUCAAAUCACUCAUUUCACUUUCUUCUACAUGUUAUACCUAGAUCGGAGCCUAGGGUUUUUGUUUUCCAUCGGUCGAAGCUGGGAAAGCUCUGGCGUUGACCUCCAUCAAGCACAAACCUUUCAAGCCAUUUUAAACCCUCGGGCUUUAGGCCCAUUAAGAACCUAGCCCAAAAUCAUUUUUCGUUUCUUUUUUUUAUUUUAAUUGUUUUAAAACCUAAAGGGCCUUCGGGCUGUUUCCUUUAAGGCAUUUGGCCCAUUGACCCAACCCCAAAAACCCUUAUAUUCUGGGCCCGUGUGUUUAAAACCCAAGUUUCCUUAGGGCCAAAUAGAACUUGGGCUUCCAGCCCAACCCUAAGCCUAUUUCCCUAAACCCUUAGGGCCCAAUCAGUCCAACCAUAACCUUAAACCUGGUUUGACUCGACUCGUUGACUUUGACCCAAUCGGUUGACUUUGACCGAUCAACGGUUAACGUUGACUUUGACCGUUGCCUUUUCGGGUUUUCGUACGGGACCCAUCCUAGGCUAAUUUUGAUGUCCUAAACUCGUUUCCAAUGUCCAUUUUCCUAAAUUAAUCCGUUUGAGUAGAGUUUGACUAAAUGUACCCUUUAUAUGCAUAGGUGCAAUUAAUAGCGGGGAUUCCGUUAUUCCUUUUGGUAUGGCUUUGCACUAACAGUGUACGAUGAGUGGACCCCUUCUAAAAUGCAUGUUUUAAUAGUAGAAAUGCAUACAUGGAAAAGCAUGAUUUAACAAUUAUGUUCUAUGAUACGCUUUGAGAUAAAAUGCGUACUAAGGCUAGAUUGAAUUACUACUAUUUUUCCUAUAACCCGUGUUCUUUAUAGAAUAUCUGAUGGAUGAUGAUAUACUAGUUAGAACAUGUUUAGAACACCUCUUUGUAGUAUAGAUGAUGGACGACUUUAUACGAUGAAGUUGCCUUUCAAAUAAAUGUAUGUUCAAUGGUUUUAUACUUACCUAGUGGUCCUUAUUCCGUUACGGGGUGAGGGAUAGAUUCUGUCCUGGGCGACAGUUACGGUGUUGGCAUAGGGUCUGAAGUGUUUUUCCUCUGGCAAUUAGCACAGGGACGAGGAGCUGGCACGGGGCCUAGGGGUAAAUUUCCUCUGGCAACUGGCAUAGAGACAGGGAGCUGGCAUGGGGUCUGGGGGUAAUCGGACAUUCACUAGUGAUUAUUAUAUAUACAAGAUAUGUUUUGAGACAUUGCACGGCAUGCUAGGUUUUGGAAAACCGAUUUUUAUCAUGUUAUAUGAGUUUUCAUAAAACCUGAAGGUUAGUAUGUUGAUAAUUGAUAUAUAUAUAUAUAUAUAUAUAUAUAUAUAUCAACUUGGUUCACUCAUGUUUGUUUUGCACCCUCUUCAGGACCUACGAACGAGGAUUACAAUCUGAGCUACGAGGCAUUCCCCUACUAGUGAUAUCGUGCUAUAUUCUCUCUACUUCAGCAUAUGUUGUAAUAGCACUCUCUAUCUUAAUUUCCACUUGUACUCUGUAUUGGACAUAUGCUCUGAACAUGUCAUGCAUUAUCUUAAUAUUAAACUGUUAGCAGUUGAACUUUAGUGUUAUGUUUUUCGUCCCUAUUGCAUGAUUAGUCCUAACUUAUAUGCAUGUUUAGCAUGUUCACAACAUUUGCAUAAAUUAAAUGGCUUUCGUCACCCUUCGGGUGUCGGCCAGCAUGUGACCAUCCCAAUGUCCCAAGGACAUCGGGAUUGGGGCAUGUCAUAAAGUCAUCCAUCAUCUAUACUAUAAGGAAGUGUGUAAAAACAUGUUCUAAAUGGUAUAUCAUCAUCCAUCAUAUAUCCUACAAAGAACAUGGGUUUGAUAGAAAGUAUGGUAUUCCAAAAUAUUCUAAGUAAGCAUAAUAUCUCAUAAAAUGUGAUCAUUAGAUCAUGUUUUUCAUGUAUGCAUUUCUACUAUUAAAACAUGCAUUUUAGAAGGGGUCUACUCACAAGUACUUCAUCGUCGAAGAGCCACAUAAACUAGCGAAGACGGAAACGCCACAAAUAAUUGCCCCCAAGCAUAUAAUGGGUAAAAUUAAUAAAGGGGAACUUUAACAAAAAACUUCCGGUAUUGUUCACUUUAACAAAAAACCAUAUUUUUACACUAAAAAGUCAAUCUUGGUACUAUUCACUUUACCUUUAUUUUGUCCUUAUCGUUAAAACUCAAAGUUUUCAAGCCCUUUUUCAUUAGUUUUCAUUUAAUAAAACUCUAUCAUAACGAUUAAAUUUGGUAAAACGGAUGUCAAAAACAGAUUUAGGACGUCGAAUUACCUUAAGAAGGGUUCCGGGUAAAAUUCUAAAAGGUCAACACAAGAAUAUUCCAAAGAAUAUUCUAAGAAUAUUCUAACCGGAUCUAGGCUGGUGGGUUUAGGCCGAAAGGUCCUAGGCCCAAAGGCCUAGGUUAUAAGGGUUAAUGGGUUUAGGGCUGGGCUCGAAGCUUGGCCCGAUUGUUUUUGGGUUUUUAAAAGAAAACAAAAUAAAUAAAAAUACAAAGGGUUUGGGCUUAAAUCUUUUGGGCUUGGGUCUUGGGAUUAGUGAGCCUAAGGCAUGAGUUCUAAAGAGCUUUGGGUUUGCAAAAAGGGUCGGUGCCAAAGGCCCAAAAUCUUGGUUUGGUUGUUCUUGCCGGAGAAGGAAGUCGGUUCUUGGUCGGGAACUUCCUUAGCUCUGACGGAGUUUGAAACAUAACAUUUUCCAGCAAUUCAAAACACCAAAAUGAAGCCUGGGAAAUAAAGAGUCGAAAUAUACCUUCCUUGUGGCCAGCAGUGGCUUGGAAGUGGUCGGAAAAAAGCCUGAAAAAUAUGGCAUCCUCAUCGGAAUCUAGUUUCCUUUAGUCCCGAUUAUUCAAUGCAAUUAAUGAGUGAAACCACUCAACAACUACUUCACUCUAACCCCAAAACGCAAUCCAAAAGGAUCAUGGACUCACCUAGGCCACAGUGGUGCAGCAACGGUGCACGGGAUACGGGGAGGGUUGAGUGCUCUUCCUUUGUUCCAGGAUUCAUGGAGCUCGCAGGGGGAAUAGAGAGGUCCAUCACGGUGGUGAUGCCGUCGCUAAAGUUUGGGUGGUCCUCGGGAAGGAGAGGGUGCAGCGAAAGGAAGGGGGUGAGAGAGGGAGUGAACUCGGGAUAGAAUGAGAGAAAAGGGAGAGAUGAGGUGGGGGUUGCCAAGUGGCAAGCAAAGGAGAAGGGAGAUUGGGGAACCAAAAAGAGAAAAGGGUCUCACCCGGCUCACAAUUUAAGGUCCAAUAACAACCCCAAUACAAAAUAUUUAGCCCAAGGUGUAAAUUUAUGAAAAUAUCUCUUCGUUCCAAUAAAUCCGGGACAAGUUGUUACAUGUUGGUCGCCUGUCAAAUGUGUAGCUUGCCCAAUCAACAUCUGAGUAUGUUGAAAGAUGAAUAGGACCCUUUUUGAACCAUAAACCAUGAGAGAUAGCACAAAGCAUACUAACGAGAGUGGUCAGUCUGGUACCAAUCAAGGUACUUAGGGUUGGGAGAAGUAGUGACCACUGGUGGAACAACCGUAGAGCAUAAUCAGCAGAGGCAGUAGGGGAGGCAACUAGAGCAGUGGUAGUAAUGACCAGACGAGGACACAAAUACGAACCAUCAACAAAACGCCAAAAAUUUUGGCCAAUUAAAAAUUGCUUGACCUGACUCUCCCAAGGAAGAUAAUUUGUUUCAGAUAGUUUGACAGAAGCCAAGGUAGAGAUAUUGGGAAUGAUGAUUGAGGAGGGAGAUGCAGUUGCAAAAGCCAUGGAAAGAAAAAGGACCAAAGCUCGAACACCAUGUGAACUUUCCGUAUUUCAUUGAUUAUAAAACAGAGCUUAGCAGCUAACACAGGUUACAACAAGAAUUGAAAAUACAGGAAAGCCUAACAACCUUAUCUAUAAUUAUAAUCUUCAUUUACAUCAUCCUUCAGAAAGUACAUUUUGAACUCACAAAAGGGAAAAAUAUUUGUACAUUAUGUUGAAAAUUUUGCAUUACAAAAAUGUAACGUAAAUGUAUUCACAAUGUAUUCAAAACUGAGAAAUAAUAUCAAUGAAGAUAUCUUGUCUGCAGGGAAUUGUUAGACCACCCAUUGGAUGAUCAAAUCCAAAUUCUUGUUCAGCCUCACUUAGCAAGUCUUGGCAUGAAGGUUGGUUGAGGUAUGAUACAGGAAUGAUAAACCGCUGUCUCUCGUUCUCCGCAACAUAAACCGCUAAAUAACCUUUUGGGACAUCUGCUAAAUUAUAUGAACCUGCUCGACUUGAAUUUGAAAAAGACCGCCGAAGAAUUUUCUUUGCAUGAGUUACACUUGGACGACGGAAACCCAUGGUUUUAUGUCUCUCUAGAGAAAUGUCCGGUGGAAGUUUAUCGGAGCAAGAAGAAGACAAGAGUUGAGAAUAUGCAGAGACUUGAAUGGAAGGCAAUCAAAGUCUCAGGAAAUAUAUAUCGUUAAAGUUUUAUGUAGUAAUUGUCCUCUGUUGAAAGAAAUAUGUGGUGACAAUUAAAGCCAUCUUGAUAGGGCAUAGAAGGGACACUGAUCACAUGGUGCUGUUUUCCAGCUCAACUUCAAUAUUUUAGGUGAAAUAUUGCUGGACUGAAUGCAGUACCAACACAUGUACAGUCUCAAUCACCACCAAUGUAUUUUGAUAAGAUGAUGAAUUUGAAGACAGAGCCACGUGAAAUUGCAAAUGCUUCUGUCUUUAAUUAGAAUUUAUUUUUCUUCGAUCCCAUUCAAUUUCCUGCAGACCACUCACUCAAACUUUCUUGUAACAUUAUGCUGAUUGUUAGGAUUACCAGUGACCUUGUCGGCAUAUCUUCCGAACACGAGUAGGACAUUAUGCUUUAUUUUAGUUUCAAUACGUUUUCAGUUUAUGCAGUUAUUAAGAGAUGUAGCUGUAGGGUAAUGUGAUUCUUCAUUUCUGCUCAUACAUUUUUCUUGAUUAGUUGAAAAGACAAGUCCAUGUGAUUUUCCAUGAGAAAAUAACUCGCACUUGGCUCCACCACGAUCCUUCACUAAUCGUAUUUUUUUUGCUUACCUGAUGUCCUUGAAAAAUUAGAACACAUAGACGUAUGAACAUAAUUGCUUGAGCAGCUGAGUCUCUGGCCAAUCCGCAUUCAAUUGCUCUCUCCAACUUGUACACAUUAUUUUGUAGACCAACGUAUCAAUUUUUCGUACCUAUAUCCUAACCAAAGAGAUCAAGUCCUCACAUUUUAUAUGCUAAAACUGUUGAAAUAGUACCAAGGGAAAAUUUCUUGUCUCAAGCAUGUCUCUGUUUUUUUAUAGGCCGUCAACUAAGAGAGGCAGGACACUGGGUUUCUUUCAUUUGGUCAUCGACUCGUGCAGUGUUGUUGAUAACUUGUAGACAAGUCCAUGUGAUUUUCCAUGAGCAAACUCUCUCUCACUUGGGUCCAUCCCAGUGCUUCAUCACCAAUCAUUUUAGGUAACUGACUGCUUGCAGCAUACCGCUUUAGCUAUAUAUGCACACAUCAUCCAAGGUUCAGGAGCAAACGAACACAAGUCUUCUACUCCCAAGCAUAUCUUAUCAAAGCACUUUCUGUCCUGAAAUUCAUUUGAACUCUUUAUUGUUCCUUAUUAAAGAAAUUUUAAAACCAUGGUUUUCCAAUUUCCUGGUAUUGUACAUGCCAACAAAAAUCAAGUUUCUUCAAAGUCAUUGGAUGUUCCAAAAGGCUAUCUUGCCAUCUACGUUUGGGAGAGCCAAAAGAAGAGGUUUAUUAUUCCGGUGUCCUACUUGAACCAACCUCCAUUCCAAGAUUUGUUAAGCCUAUCUACUGAGUAAAAAAAAAAACUAGGGACCCAAGCCGUUUGGAAGCUACUGAGUCAAUGUCCAUGUUAUUAGAGAAGCACGAUGUCCACUAUCAGCAGCUGUAUAGAUGUAACUAAAACUGACUGACAAUAUCUCCCACCUUUAAGAUAAUUCCCAAGCUAAUUAGAUCACAGACAGGCUUAUUGAAGGUUCAACGUUUCUUUCAUUCUUCUGUUUUGUAUGGUGACUCAUAUACAUCUCCUACAUCAAGUAUCAAUAAAAAGUUGGGAGUCGUAAUUGGAUAUAUGGAAAAGAAUAUAUACUCAUACAGAAUUUCAUUGUGGAGUUGUUCGAAUGAAAAAUUCGCAAUUUCCUCUACCAAAUGACAUACUAGUCAUGCAGAGAAAACUUAGGUCUGUUGGGGGGACUAUACUUAACAUCUUAGUAUUCGUAUAACUAUAAAAAGGAUCCUAAUGGGAAACUAAAUCACAAAAGAAUCUGAAGAAAUAAAUCCAAGAUUGUACAAGUUACAUCUUUUUUCCUUCUCCCUUUGUUGAAAGAAAACAAAAUUACUACUUAUGCAUGGUUAAAUCAGACGGUUCAUCACACAACCAAGAAAUGUUUUGUUGGUCAUUAACUGAAGACAACACCAAGCAGCAGCAACACACCCGGUCAUAUAAUCUAAAGCGAUGCUUUAUAAAUUAUAAUGUAAUAAGCUAUGAAUAUUGCUACAGUCUCCAUUUAAGAAUUUAUAUAAUCCGAUUCUGAGGGAACAAUAUUUCUUCCUCGAUUGAAAAAAAUGUACAAAAUCUAGAAAUUGUUUUGUUUACAAAAUUGUAACAAUCGCACAGUUCGUGUAAUUGUUCUCCACAAUCCACCACUCUAUCAUACUGCACUCAAGCGAGAUAUAAGUUCAAGGAAAGCAUCUUGUCUGCAGGGAAUUGUUAGACCGCCCAUUGGAUAAUCAAAUCCAAAUUCUUCUUCAGCUUCACUUAGCAAGUGUUGAAAUGCAGGCUGGCAGAGGAAAGAUAUGGGAACCACAAAGCGGUGCUUCUCACUCUCACCAACAUAAACUGCAAAAUAACCUUUAGGGACAUCCGAUAAAUUAUACGAAGCUCCUUCACUUGAAUUUGAAGAAGACCGUCGAAAAAGUUUCUUAGCAGGAAUUACAGCAGGCAGACGGAACCCCAUUGUAGUAAAUCUUUGGAGGAAAGACUAGCAAUAGAGUAUAAAAACUUGAAGAAGAUCUCAAGGGACGAGCAACUGCAAAACAAUAAAGCUAUAUGCUUGAGAACUUGAAGAUUCAUAUGGUUUAUAUAAAUGAAAAGUAUUGUGGAAUAUCUUCUACUAAAGAAAAAAUAUAUGGUAAAGACAAUGGCAAUCUGGAUGGGGUAUAGAAGGGAACAAGAGCUCAUCAGUGUUCACAUGGUUCUGCCUUCAAACUAAUCAAGCAUUUUAGGCAAAAUAUGUGGAGCCUCGAUUACUACCAAGGCUUGUGAUGAAUUGGAAGACAGAGCCAUGUGAACUUUUAAAUGCUAAUAUCUAUUGCCAAUCAAUUGCCUGGAGAACACCCACACGGCCCUUCACGCCAACUACUAGAGAUUUUUUUUUCCGACACAGUCAUCGUUUAGUUGGAUAUGGAAACUUAUUGCUAUGAUAUAGUUUAACCACAAAUAAAUUUUAUUGGGUCCACAUAUAUAGUAUGUUGAACUUGCAACCUGCAAAAAAACUCCUGUUUUCUGCUUGUUUCUGAUUUUAUACUAGUCAUGUAUCUAUUCUUCCGAAAGGAUUCAAUUAUGCAAAUUUUAAUCUGUUGGCAUCGUGGUGCCUCAAUGAUUUUCCAUGAGCUAGUCUCUCUCAUGGUACCAUCGUGGUGCCUCCAGGAUCACCAAUAAGUCGUUUCAGAUAAUAUAUGGUUUACGGCGAUACACAUUUAUCUCUAUUUUUACAAUUCAACUGAAAAUUCUAGUGUUGCUCAAUUUUUUCAUUAAGAAAUUUUAAACGAAGGGCUUCCCGUUGCCGGGCACUGUUCAAUGUUCAUGCUAAGAAAUUCGAAGUUUCCUUAAAGGCCUUGGAUAUUCCUACAUGAGAAGUAUAAUGUAUUAUUAUUUUUCAUUCUGCAGGAUAUAUAUAUAUAUGUAUAUAUAUCUUAUGUUUGGGUUCUAGUGAACUCUUAUGUAUUUGUUCCUUUCUUUCCAUCACCAAUCAGUUUUGGGUGUAUCUUAGGAUUGGGGCGUGAUACCUCAACUGUGAUAAAUCAAAUGUAAUAACUAAGGAGAGAGUUGUUAGUCUAUCACCUUGUAUCCUGUGCCAUUGAUUCAAUACUUUGUAUCCAUACAAUCUCUAUUAAGAGGGGGCGUUGAGGGGGAGCGAAAGGUGUAGUCGCACAGGUCCCCAAAUUUGAAGGAGCCCUUAAAUUUUUGUCAUCUAACAUCAUGUAAUAUGUUCUAUAUUUAAAAAAAUUACUUUUAUUAGAACUUUAAACAACAUUGUGCACUCCUUAUAAGAGUUUUUUUUUUUUUCUUUCUAAACAUAUAAACUUGGAGUACAAUGAGAUUUUUUGAAUGACAAUAAUAACACCUUGAAAAGCGACAAUUUCUUAAUUUUAUAAUAUAACAACGUUGUAUAUUCAAGUGAACUUUAAAGUUAGAGAUCUAAUGUUUUUUUUAUUUUUUAUGUUUGGCUGUUUAAGAUAAAACUGUUUUUGAUUAUUUAGUGAAAGUUAUGUUUGUAGCUCUUUUUACUUAUCAUUAAGGACAUUUGUAAACAUGCAAUCAGUGAGGGCUAAAGUUUUUUUUGUUUUUUGAACAAACGAUAUUAGCUACGCUAAGAGAGUGGGGGAGUGGGCUAAACCUCACAAUAGGUUAACAAUAAUGUGGUUCAAAUUCGCCUUUGGUGAGAAUUGAACAUAAGACCUCUCACAUAUAAGUGAAGAGGAAUAUCACUAGACUGUAGUAUUAAGUGGCUUUGUUUUGAUUUAAGUGAAUGUUUUCUAGUAUCAAUACAUAGUCAUACUUUUUUAAAACUUAAAACUAUCUUAAGGAGGGCUCAUUUUACAAAUUUCGUACAGGAUCCUCAAAAUCUCAGAGACGGCCCUAGUAGUAACCUCCAUAUAGUAAGGCUUAGCUAAGUUGGCUAGCUAAAGCAAUGAGCUCCUAAACGCUUCGGUGUAAUUAGGAAUGGAACCAUGUAAUUACAAGUUGUAAAUCCCAAUGUGAAAUUUUCAACAAAAAGAUGAUACACCACAAUUCCAAAUAUUGUAAACUGAGUUGUUAUUUUCAUAGCAAAAUAGUAUUUCACUUAUAAAAAUGCUGUGAUCAUUUAUUGAAAAUUUACUGCAACUUUUAUGUACAUCAUUCAAAGAUACCGUUUUUACUCCUCAAAAAAGUUUUCACAAUUACUUCCUACAGCCAGUGUUACCAAAUCAUGUAAUUCUUCACAGACCACGGUUGACCUAGAUAGUAGUAGAUAAGAGAUGCUCGUAUUGUAAACAAACUAUUGUUUUUGAUAAAAGUUGGAAUGAAGGGAGAAAGCAGGUUCAGUAAGAGUAGCACAAAGCAUACUAACGAGAGUCUGGUCAGUCUGGUACCAGGCAAGGUACUCAGGGUUGGGAGAAGUAGUGACCACUGGUGGGAGAACCGAAGAAGCAUCAGAAUCAGCAGAAGCAGCGGGGGAGGCACCUGGAGCAGUGGUGGUGAUUACUGGACUAGGACACCAAUAUGAAGACAAAACGCCAUAAAUUUUGGCCAACUAAAAAUGGCUUCACCUGACUCUCCCAAGGAAGAUAAUUUCUUUCAGAGAGUUUGACAGAAGCCAAGAUAGAGAUAUUGAGAAUGGUGAUUGAGGAAGAAGAUGGGGUUGCGGAAGCCAUGUGAAAAAGAGAGGAUCAAAGCUCGAAUGCCAUGUGAACUUUCCGUAGUUCAUUGAUUAUUAGAACAAUAAUUAAAAAUACAAAUUAUAAUGAUAAGAUAACAACAGAGCCGAACAAUAACAUUAUCCACAUCUAUAAUCUUCAGUCACAUCAUCCUUCAGAGAGUACAUUUUGCACUCACAAAAGAAAAAUAUUUGUACAGUCUGUAGAAAAAAAUUUCUUUACAAAAAUGCAACUCAACUCAUGUAAUCACAAUGAAUUCAAAAUGGACAAAUAACAUCAAUGAAGGUAUCUUGUCUGCAGGGAAUUGUUAGACCACCAUUGGAUGAUCAGAUCCAUAUUCUUGUUAAGCCUCACUUAGCAAGUCUUGGAAUGAAGGUUGGUUGAGGUAUGAUACAGGAAUGACAAACCGCUGUCUCUUGUUCUCCCCAACAUAAACCGCUAAAUAACCUUUUGGGACAUCUGCUAUAUUAUAUGAACCUCCUCGACUUGAAUUUGAAAAAGACCGCCGAAGAAUUUUCUUUACAUGAGUUACACUUGGACGACGGAAACCCAUGGUUUUAUGUCUCUCUAGAGAAAUGUCUGGUGCAAGUUUAUAGGAGCAAGAAGAAGAGAAGAGUUGGGAAGAUGCAGAAACUUGAAUGGAUGGCAAUGAAAGUCUCAUGAAAUAUAUAUAGUUAAAGUUUUAUGUAGGAAUUAUCCUCUGUUGAAAGAAAUAUGUGGUGACAAUUAAGGCCAUCUUGAUAGGGCAUAGAAGGGACACUGAUCACAUGGUGCUGUUUUCCACCUCAACUUCAAUAUUUUAGGUGAAAUAUUUUUGGACAGAAACAGUACUUCAACAGAUACAUAGUCUGAAUCACCACCGAUGUAUUUUGACAGGAUGGUGAAUUUGAAGACAGAGCCAUGUGAACUUAGAAAUGCUUGUGUCUUUAGAUUUUUUUUUUUUUCAAUCCCAUUAAAUUUCCUGCGGAGCACUCACUCAAACAUUCUUAUAACAUUAUGUUGAUUGUUAGGAUUACCACUGAUCUAAUCGCAUAUAUACCUUCCGAACAUUAGUAGGACAUUAUGUUUUAUCUUAGUUUCAAUACGUUUUCAGUUUGUGCAGUUAUUAAGAGAUGUAGCUGUAGGGUAUUGUGAUUUUUCAUUUCUGCUCAUACAUUUUUCUUGAUUAGUUGGAAAGACAAGUCCAUGUGAUUAUCCACGAGAAAAUGAUUAUCACUUGGCUCAGCCACGGUCCUUCACCAAUUGUAUUUUUGGAAAACUAACCAAAACACCCUCAAAAGUUUCACUUUAAUCAUAAGGACAAAAUCUUUUUAUAAUACCCAAAUUGGGCAUGGGAAAGAGGACAAGGAAGAAAAACAAUUCUGAGAAAUCACAUGCAAACAAUGCAAACAUUUCUGAAAUAUCACAUGGAUGACCAAAAUAAAGGCUCCAGGAGACAAAUCAUGCAGCAAAUUCACAUGCAAAAGGAGACAAGCAAGAUCACAUUACCACACAUUACCACGUUUCAGAAACAAUGCUAACAAUUUUAGCAACAGUAGAGGCAAGUGACAAAUUACAAGUACCAAGGAGAUGUCCAUACCAUUACCAUUGUAUUCUGAUUCAGUCUAUAUAAGAAGAGUUUCAUUCAUUGUAAAUCUCACCUCCCUCAACAUCUAAAAACACCAUACUCACUUCAUAUACUCAAGCAUUCGUAGCCUUCGUAGCAUCCUUGUAAACACUUCUUUGUAAUCAUUUUCUUGUAAACAAAUAUCUUUGUAAACAUUCCAUAUAUCAAUAAAAGUUCAAGUGUACAUAUUCAAGCAAUCUCCAAGUCUUAAGUAAGUUUUCUUUUCCUUCUUUAAUGUGUUUGUUUAAUUAGACUUCUAGUCCAAAACAUGGAAACACUAUUGUGGUUAUAUUAUUAACCUGCUAAACUGAUGAUCAUACUUUGUUCGAGCACUCUGUUAUAGUUGCAUGCUUACCAUACAAAUAACUGGACAUUAACUAGGAUACCGCUGAGUUCUUCGUACCUCUGAGUUCAACCGUUAAGGCCUUAUACUUGUACUGUGAGUUGUCGUCAUGCUGAAACAUGUCGAGUUCCAUGUGCAAGGUUCUAUGUCUAGUUGUUAUAAUGGUCAUCCGACUAUUUAACCGAGCAUGCGUUGCGAAUUUGGUAUCAGAGCCUAGUUUAGCAUUUUAAUAGUAUAAUUAUAAUAAUAAAGUACCUUGAGGAUAGAAGUCAUUGAUACAACUGAUAUCAUAUUUGUUUAUUGUGUAUGAACAACAGAUAUUAUUGUCCCUGUAGACCCUGUCAACCAUAAUUACCAGGUAUUUAUUGUCCCAAACAUCCAACUAUAACUAGCAUAAAGAGAAGAUUAGCAUAUAUAUCCAAAAGAAUUAUCAGUACUUUGAAGAAGCAAAAGUUUUAUCUUGGCUAUUUUGAACAUCCUUUAUUUAUUCGUAAAUAUAAUAACACAUAAAUGCAGCAUAAAGUUUUAGAAGCAAAAAGAACAACAGAUCAAGUUUUAGAGACAUUGAGAGAAGAAAGAGAGUUUUAAAGAAACCAGUUAGCCUUAACUCUAGAGAAAUGUAGACUAUAGUUUAUGAUAGAUUAUCUUAAUUUAGAAAUUAGUGAACCUUAAAAAAGAAAAAUAACUUUAGACCAAAAUAGUUUAGUUUGCUAUUUUCCAUUGAGAAAGCACAAUCAUAUUUUGCAUAGUGAAGAAAAUCCGCAAGCCAAUAGUAUUGUAGACUUAUUAUUAGUCAAGCAGAAAAUAUAAAAUUAGAAAAUAAUAGGCAUAAUCUUUUGUUAAACCAGUUGUUAGAGCAUUUUCAGAAAAAUUCCAUAAAAAUAAUUAGAAAAAAUUUAGAUUAUAUUACAUCUCAGUUAGAAGAUAAUAAUAAAAAUAUUCAAAGGUUUCCUAGCAAAAGAAAGGUAAAAGAGCUUGUUGAUCUUAUAAAUAGUAAGCCGAAGCAAGUAGAACUUAGAUCAUUAGAAAUAGUUGAGCAGCUAAAAUUAGAAGUUCAAAAAAUUCAAUUAGUACAAAAAGAGUUAAGUGAACAAGUAGAUAAGUUGCAUAAUAAAAUAGAUAAAUUAUUAGUUUAAUGAUAGAUUUUAGAACUAGCAGAAAAUAUAUUCAAGCUUUGAAAGAAAUUAGUAAGUUAGAUAAAGAGCCAGUAGGUUUAACAGAUUUUUCAACACAAGUAUCCAGUAGUAAUAUUCCCAUUAGGCAAAAUAAUUUGAUUAUUCAAUUAGUUUUAAGUUUGGCUGAAAAAUUAGAUCAAGUUGAAGAAUAAAUAGCAGAAAUAAACCAAGUUUUACAUAACGCAUCUUCAUCACUUCCACCAUCCUUGCUAGAUAAAUUAGAAAAUGUAACUUUGAGUGCAAAUAAUAAAAGUCCUAAGCUAAAUCCUUUUGAUAAUAGAAAAUGGAACUCUUUAGGAAAAAAGGAAAAGAAGUAGUAAGAGCGGAAGAUAUUUAUCCAAAUGAAGAAGAAGCACAAGAAUUUAUUCGAAGAGGUUAUGAGAGAACACAGAAAAAUAAGUAUAACUUGUAUCAAUUAGGUUUAUUUGAAAACAGAAGUAGAAUUGUAAGCAGCAUCAGUCAACAUGAAGUUAGCUGUAUUGAUAAAGAAGUCACACUUAAUCUGAUUAGUAAAGAAGCAGUUACUCAUUUGAGAAAAUCACAUUUUAGUCAGAUUCAUAUAGGAACAAUAUUAAUUGGAAUAGCAGGAUUAACCAGAGCACAAGUAGGUACAAAAGCUUUAGUAUACAUAGAUGAUGAUAGAUGAGAUAAUCACCAACAAGCAACAAUAGCAACAGCUGAAGUAGACUUAAGUUCAAACUUAGCAGUCAUAGGUUGUAUUCCAAAUUAUGUUAUGAUGAUUAAUGAAUUUAGUAAAUAUAUUAAAGUGAGCAUAAGAACAAAAAAAUAUAAUAUGAAAGGAGAGUAUAAAAAUUUGUGUAUUAGCUUAAUGUAUAGGUAAAGUGUCUGAUAGAUAUAAUCAUAAGUUUAAUUUAGAGUUUCAAAAUUUAGUCCAAAUAUUUGGCAGUAAACAUGUAAAUAUGAUAGAAGCAAAACUCGUAGAUAAUAGUUUUUUAGAAGGAACUCAGUGGACAUUGCUUAAUUUACAAGUAGCACAAAAUAGACAACCAGAUAAAGUACAAAUAUAUGAAACUAGUACCGGUCAAGCAACAAUUACGUUUAGUAAUUAUAAGCAACUAGAAAAAAAUAGAAGAGGAUGAGAGUGAAAUCGAAAAUGAGAGUAUACAUAUGGCUUUUGAUAAUUUAGAUAUUAAUUUAGUUGAACAAAAUUUUGAUCAUAUUGUAGAUAAACUAAUAGAAUAUAUUGAUCAUUUAGAUGAAGAACAAUAUUUGAAAAAAUAUAAGACAUAUGAUUUAGGACUACAUAAAAUUUCAGACGAGGAAAUGAAAAAUUUAAUCUUAGAAAUGGGAGUAGAACACAUUAUAGGAUCAAAAGAAUAUAAUAAUUUAUUAGAAUUGAAAGCAGAAUGUAAUCCAACAGAAGAAAGUAGUACAUCAGGAGUAGAAAAUCCAGGACACGCAAGUAGAACUGAUCAACAAUUUUUGAGACCAACAAAUGAACAAUAUAAUGAAAAAGAAAAAGUAGACUAUAUGGAAAAAAGUAUGAUAAAACCUAGAAAAAAAUAGGAUUCCAUAUUUGAGAGGAUUAGAACAAAUUAAUAUAGCUGGUAAUAUAUUAAAUUUAGAUAAUGUAGAUCCACAAGAUUGGGAAAUAACGAUUGAGAGAUGGGAAAAAGGCUGCGUACAUGCAGCAUUAAUGUUAGAUUUUAGUAAUUCACAAAAUAUGUUAGAUUACUUUAAGCAUACUUUGGAUGGUUUAGUUUUUUAUUAUUUCCAGUCAUGGAAAGUUCAAAAUCCAGAACAGCAUCAGACGGCUAAAACACAUUUUAAUAUUGAUGGUUUUGUUACUUUGAUUAAACAAGAGUUUUUAGAUCAUAAUAGGUUAGAUGGCAGAAGCGAACAAGAACAAAUAAGAGCAAUUAGAAAUUUAGAACAAUUACAAAUUUGCGAUUUACAGUAUAUAGCUGAGUAUACCACAGAUUUCUUUAAAUAUUUAGGAAGAACAGGUAGAAUUAGUGAUAUUAAUUUAUUAGAUACUUAUAUGACAAAAAUAAAAGGACCAAUAGGUGAAAAGAUUUGGAAUGAAUGGCAAAAGCAUCCAAAGAAAAAUGAUAUUGCUAUAAGACCUAGAAUUCAACAUGUAUAUGAUAUACUCAGACAAGAGUGUAGUCAAAUAAAAGCUAAGAGACAAAUUAGGAAACAAUUUUACAUGUGUUGUAAAAAUAUAGAUUUACCACAACAGUAUAGUUGCCAUAAGAAAAAGCAUAAGAAAAUAUACAAAAAGAAAUAUAAGUCGUAUAAACCCUACAAACAGCAUAAGAAUUUCAGCAUAAGACCUCAAGAACAUAUAGGAAAAGAAAAUAUAUUCCAAAACAAUUUAGAAAAAGAAGUGGCAGACCUUGGAAUAGAAAAUAUAAAGCACCAAAAGAUAAGAGUAAUUGUAAAUGUUAUUCAUGUAGAGAAGCUGGACAUAUUAGACCUAAAUGUCCAAAAUUAGGUAAACAGUCGAAAGAAAAAGUACAUUUGAUAGAGUUGUUUAAGUUAGAAGAAGAUGAAGAUAUUCAGUUAAUAUACAGUUUAGAUAAUUUAAGUGAUAAUGAGAGUAUUUAUAGUAUAGAGAGUAUGAACAUGAUAGAUUCAGACUCAGAAGAUUCAAGUAGCACAAAUAGUGAUCUAGAAGAGUAUAUGUGUGCAUUCAUAGAAGAACAGCAUGAAGACGAAUAUAAAUACAUAAAUUUAGGUUGGCCAGAAAAUUGUCAUAAGUAUAGUAAAUUAGUUGCAAAUAAAUACUAUAAUACAUAUUCAAUAUUAUUUGAAAAAUGUUAUAAUAAUAGGUUAUUAGAAGUUAAUUCAGCAGAAUCACAAGAAAAUAAUGAAAUAUUAGGAAAUAUUGUUCAUACUAUAGAAAAACAAAAAAAUAGUUCUUUAAUUACCUUAAAUUGUGAAAUAGAAUUAGCAAAAGAAGAUAAGAUACAAACGAUAGCUAUGAUAGAUACACGGAAUACAAGGAGUGUCAUAAGAAAAGAGUUAGUACCAGAAAAAUAUAGACAAAAAUUAGCAAAACCAGUAAAAAUAACACAAUUUGAUGAGAGACCAGUUUACUUAAUACAUUGUAUAAAUAAUGAGUUUAUUAAAGUAGAAAAACAACAAUUUAAUUUACCUUUAACAUUUGUUUCACCAUUAGGAUCAUAUCCAUUUAUUUUAGGUUUAAACUUUUUGAAAAGUUUGCAAGGUUUUUUAUUUAUGAACCCUAACAUAACGUUUUUCAAAAAAGGCAUUACAAUAACUGACCAAAGUAAUACUAUAAAAGCAUACAAAAACAUAAGUAUAGAAGAGCCUAGUGGCCAAGAUAGUUAUCAUUUAGAAAACUCAAAAUAAAAUGAUAAGCAUAAUAACGUAGAAGAGUUUGAUGAAGAUAUAUUUGAACAUGAAUACCCGAUUUUAGAAAAAGGAACCUGUAUAGAAAUAUUACAGUUAGAUAGACGAAAGAGUUUAGAAGAAUUGUUACAAUUAGCAGAACAAACUAGGAUUAUAGGAGAAGACCCACCGUUACAUUGGAGUAAAAAUAAAAUACUAGCAAAAUUAGAUAUAAUUAACCCAUAGUUAACCAUUAAGACGGCUGAUAUGCCUUGUAGUCUAAUAGAUAAACAAGAUUUUAAGCAGCAAAUAAAAGAGUUGUUAAAUUUAAAAGUAAUUAGACCCUCUAAGUCUAGACAUAGAUCAGAAGCAUUUAUUGUAAGAAAACAUUCAGAACUAAAGAGAGGUAAGGCUAGGAUAGUUUAUAAUUACAAGAGAUUAAAUGAAAAUACAUACGAAGGUAGUUAUAAAUUACCAAAGAAGGAUGAGCUUAUAAAUAAAAUUCAAGAGAGUAUAUAUUUUAGCAAAUUUGAUUGUAAAUUAGGCUUUUAGCAAAUAAGAUUAGCAGAAGAAUCAAUUGAGUGGACAGCUUUUACUUGUCCAAAAGGACAUUUUGAGUGACUUGUUAUGCCAUUUGGACUUAAAAAUGCUCCAUCAAUCUUUCAAGGAAAGAUGGACCAAAUUUUCAAGAAAUAUGAUACUUUUUGUAGUGUUUAUGUAGAUGAUAUUUUAGUACAUACUAAAAAUAAAAUGAACAUAGGAAGCAUUUAGAGAUAGUAUUACAAGAAUUUAUCAAUAAUGGAAUUGUGAUUAGCAAAAAUAAAAUAGCACUAGAAAAGCAAGAUAUAGAAUUUUUAGGAAUGUAAAUUAAGUCGGGUACAAUACAAUUACAAGAUCAUAUAGCUAAAAAGGUAUUAGAAUUUCCAGACAAAUUGGAAGAUAAGAAACAGUUAAAUGCAUUUUUAGGAUCGCUAAAUUAUGCAAGAAAUUUUAUCCCUGAUUUAUGAAGAAAAAUAACAGUAUUACAUAGUAAAACUAGCAAAACAGGACAAAAGUAUUUUAAUAGUGAAGAUAUUAAAUUAAUUCAAAAAAUAAAAGAAGAAAUUACUAAACUUAAGCCAUUAAUAUUACCAUUAGAUGAUAGUUACAAAAUAGUUGAAACAGAUGCUUCAUCAUUAAUAUUACCAAAGUCUGACGAACAAGUUUGUAGAUAUUCCUCAGGAAAGUUUAGUGAUGUACAGUCAAGAUUACCAUCAACAGAUUUAGAAAUUUUAGGGAUAAUUAAUUCACUUGAAGCAUUUUCUUUAUUUUUACAUAAUGAAGUAUUUACGAUUAUAAUAGAUUGUCAAAAUAUAGUUUCUCAUUAUAAUAAGAUACAUGCUAAUAAAUAGGCAGCCUGAAGAUGGGUUAAUUGUAUUGAUUCAAUUACAAGAAAUGGUUUUAAACCAAUUUUUGAACAUAUAAAAGGUAAUGACAAUACAUUAGCUGAUAUCUUAUCAAGAUUAAUUUGUUGAACAGGUAUGGAAUAUCGUGGACCAUCAUCAGCAAAUAGCACAAAAUUGCAAGGCAGAAGAGUUUCUUUCAAUGGCAUGAUGAUGCACCAUCAACCUCCACCAUUCAGUGGAUUUCAAAAUAGCAUGAGCAGACCAGCAUCACCACCAGUACCUACGUUCAACUUUAAUGGCAGUAUUGUUGAAGGAAUCAAAAAUCCAACUCUGAGAUAUAGGUCAAGGGUACCAGGGCUUUCUGAUAGGCAACAGGUUCUCUUAGAUAAUUGUUGGAAUAUCCAAAUUAAGCAAUCAAGCAUGAGGUUUGGUCAUGAAAAAAUAAUUAGAGCCUUGGAACAAGAGUUUGAUAGCCUUAAUUUUAAUUUCCACCAAAACCAUCAACAUAUUCAUUCUCUUGAGCACAACCUUCAAGUCAUCUCUAGGGACCAUGAGUCAUUACUUGGCAAUUUUACCAAAAUGAACCAAGAACUACAAUCUCCUAGAAUGCAGCAAAAGGCAAGUGACACCUUGAAAAGAGAAAUGAAAAUAGGUCUAGAAAUUGAUCAGCAUAAGAAUAAAGGAAAAAAUGUUAUUGAACCCAUAGAACAAGAGGCUAAUGAGCCCAUAGAAGAAAUUAAAAUUGAGCUCUUAGAAGGAGACGUUGAAAUGGAGCAACAUCAAAGUAAUGAUCAGCAUCAGAUUCUGAGUGACAAAGAAAAACAAGAAAAAUAUGAAAGUUUUCGUAGGAAUAUAUCUUCAGACUUAAUAUUAGAUGAUGUUUUAUUAGAAGAAAUUUCAAAGGCAAAACUAAUAAUAAUGCCAACAGAUAUGCAAAAUCAGAUCCUGAGCAGAACAUCACAGUCCAUGAAAGAGUUACAAUUACAAUUACAAUUCGCCUUGUAUCAAUCCAUCUUUGAUCCAAAACCAGGGAUAGAUAUUACAAAGAUGUAUCCUCCAUGUCUUUGUGAUAGUACAGAGAAUUGUAUUUGUAAACCAGAGGUUAGCGUAGCUAUGGCUAGGAUGAACAUGAGAGAUUUUAAAUCAUGGCAUUUUAGUUAUGAGCAUAAGAAAAAGCAUAAUGUGGUAGAAGUUACCCCUGCCUUACUAUUAGAGUUUGGUUAUCUCGAUAAAAUAUUUAUUAACCGUAUUUCUCAACUAGAAUCAUUUCCUGAAAAGCUUAUAAAAGUAGCAGAAGAUUAUCUAGAAAGGUGGAAAGAAAUUUGCAUAAGUUUUAUUAGUAGUCCUCCGGAUUGGUAUGUACAUAUGCAUAAGGAGAAAACUAGGUAUAUAGCCACGAUCAAUGAAGAGUCCUUUAGACUAACCCCUAUCUCCUCACAUAGGUGGACUCCUUCAUACAAAGAUAUUUUAAAAUUUAGAGGGAUCCAAAUGUUUGUCUUAGAUGAGUUUGAAGAUUUUAGGUAUGACAUGGUACUAGUAGCAGAAGAACAAGAGAUGUAUAUUUACAUCAAGACAAUGAUCAGUCAUCAGCCUUAUUGGAAGCCCCAAAAUUUCAAAGAAGAAACAGCAGAAAUAUACUAUAAGGUGAAAGAAGAUAGAGAAAGAGAAACGGAGAUAGUAGAAGGCGAUGAACAGUACUGGAAUAAUUUGACAGAAGAAGAGCUGCAUAACAUGACAACAUGAUGGAAGCCUGAAGAGCUAGCUGUAAAUUAGCAUAAGUUUAAUAGCAUAAUGUAAAAUAAUGUAUUCCCAGACAGAAAUGUCAACAUCAUUGUGGACCCUGCUGUAAUGGCAUAAGAGUAAAUUAAGAAAAGAACAUGAUCCAUUAUGGACUUUUCAUACAUAAAAUGUCAUUUUGAUUAAGAAUGAAUAGUUCCAGGCCCUUUUCAUUAGAACUCCCUUGUAUUUUUGUGCAUAACCCAUAUCCUUGAAAAAUUGGAAGUCAUAGCCAUGUGAACAUAUUAGUGCUUGAGUAGCAGGGUCACUUGACAAUCCGCAUUCAAUUGCCUCCAGGCCACUCCCUCCAACUUGUACAAAUUAUUUGUAGACCAACGUAUCAAUUUUUCGUACGUAUUGUAACCAAAACAGAUUAAGCCCUCACAUUUUAUAUGCUAAAACUGUUGAAAUAGCACCACGAGAAAAAUUCUUGUCUCAAGCAUGUCUCUGAUUUUUUUUUAUAGGCCUUCAUUUAAGAGAGAUAGGACAUUGGGUUGCUUUUGUUUGGUCAUCGACGUGAGGUGUUAUUGAUAGCUUGUAGACAAGUCCAUGUGAUUUUCCAUGAGCAAACUCUCUCUCACUUGGGUCUAUUCCAGUGCUUCAUCACCAAUCAUUUUAGGUAACCGACCACUUGCAGAUACCGCUUUAGCUAUGUAUGCACACAUCCAAGGUUCAGGAGCAAACUAACACAAGUCUUCUACUCCCAAGCAUAUCUUAUCAAAGCACUUUCUGUCCUGAAAUUCAUUUGAACUCUUUAUUGUUCCUUUUUACAGGAAUUGUAAACCAUGGGUUUCCGAUUUCAUGGUAUUGUACAUGCCAAGAAAAAUCAAGUUUCUUCAAAGUCAUUGGAUGUUCCAUAAGGCUAUCUUACCAUCUACGUUGGGGAGAGCCACAAGAAGCAGUUUAUUAUUCCGGUGUCCUACUUGAACCAACCUUCACUCCAAGAUUUGUUAAGCUUAGCUAAAGAUGAAUUUGGAAACGAUCAUUGAAUGGGUGGUAUCAUAAUCCCUUGUAGUGCAGACACCUUUCUUAGUCCCACCUCAGCUUUGGGGUAUAUGUAGAGCCUGUUAAUGUUUAAGCGUUUUUAGCAGAAAUAGGCUUAUUCAUUUUACUUGUUUUAAUCAUAGCCGUUGGAUCAUAUUCCAAAUGGAUGCUCUAGAUUAUGUUAGAGUAAGUGAGAGUGUGUGACACAUGUAACUAUCUCAUAGGAUAAAUGACAUGGAUGACUGUGAUCUUUCGUUUCUAUUAUAAGAGAUAGAGGCUUUAUUCCAUUCUGGUUGUAAUGAUUAUAUUCCACUUGUACUUAUAGAGAGAGAGCCGUAAAUUAAUGAAUUCAGUUUUACACUCAUCUCUAUGAUUUUCGCUUCCUGCAACUUCCAUUUUCUUCUUUCUUCCAGAAAUAACAUACACACUCCAUUGAAUUACAACACAAAAUCACAUAACCUAACAUGGCCUCAGAGCUAGGUUGUGUCAUCUGUAACUGGGCAUGAAUCUGUGACUCCAGCAGUGAAGAACUCGAACUGAUCGUCGAGCUUUGUUGUUUAAGGAUAUUCAGAGAAGAAAUCUUAGUGACCUUGAAUCGAGUCUCAUAUGGUUGGAUUAAGUGGUGCUGAGCUUCGAGCACCAGUGUUCAAUGGAGACAACUUUGAUUUCUGGUAGAUUAUAAUGAAGACGAUAUUCUGAUUUCACGAACUUUGGGAUCUAGUAGAGAAGGGCUUCGCUACCCCGAUGAAGAAUGAGGAAGAACUCACUGAAACGGAGGGGAAGCUAUUGAAGGAGAACAUCGUCAAAGAUGCAAAGGCACUUAGAAUCAUCCAAUGGUCGAUUUUUGAUCAAAUCAUCCCGAGAAUUGCCAUCCAAGAGACUGCAAAUGCUGCUUGGAAUGUCUUGAAGCGAGAAUUUGUGGGAGAUAAACAUGUAAGAGCUGUGAAACUCCAAGGCUUACGCUGUGAUUUUGAGUAUACUAGAAUGGGUAAGAAUGAAGCCCUCUCUGCAUAUCUAGUGAGACUGUUUGAUUUGAUUAGUCAAAUGAGGAGAUAUGGUGAAGAUAUUAGUAAUCAAAGAAUUGUUCAAAAAUUGCUGAUAAGUUUACGUAGAUCUUAUGAUAGUAUAGCUUCUAUGAUUGAAAAUACUAAAGAUCUAGAGACUAUUGAUGCUCAAGAUGUUGUGGCUAUCCUAAAGGGGUAUGAACAAAGGAUUGAUAGACAUGCUGAAAUCCAAAUUGAGAAGGCAUUUGCCAGCCUUCAUGUUGAUCCAAAACAAUAUAAGUAUAAUGGGAAUCAAGGGUUCAAGCCACGGAAAAAUUGGAAGUCAAAAUGAAAGAAAGGAUAUAAUAGACGUGCAAAUCAAGCUGGAAAAGAUGCAAACACAUAUGAGGUAGCUAAGAAUUCAUGUAUACACUUUGAUAAGUUGCACUUUGGUGAAUGUUGGUUCAAAGAUAAGCCUAGAUGUCAUAAUUGCAAUAAGUUGGGGCAUAUGGCAAAAGAUUGUCGUGGCAAGAAGGAAAAGGCUAACCAACAUGUAAGCUUUGUUAACCAAGUCAAUGACACCCCUACAAUGUUCUAUGCUUGCAACAAUGCCAUUGUGAAGAAAUGUGAAGACAUAUGAUAUGUAGAUAGUGGAUGCAGCAACCACAUGACUGGAAUGGGGGAUCUGUUAGUUGACAUUAACAGAAUAAUGACUGCUAAAGUUGAAAUGGGCACAUAUCAGCUUAUUGAUGUCACAUGCAAGGGAAACGUGGUAAUUGAAACCAAUAUGGGGAGGAGAUAUAUCAAGGAGGUAAUGUUAGUUCCAGGAUUGAAAGAAAACUUGCUCAGUGUAGGGCAAAUGAUGGAACAUGGCUAUUUUCUGGUGUUUGGUGGUACAAAUGCUGAGAUAUACGAUGAUUGCUCUCUGUCAAACUUGUUAGCCAAGAUACCAAUGAAAGGAAAUAAGAGUUUUCCCUUGAAACUUCAACUUAAGAUGCAAAUUGCUCUAAAAGAUAGUGUGUGUCAGUCAUCCAUGAUUUGGCAUAGGAGGUUAGGACACUUGAAUAUGGGCAGUCUGAGGCAACUCAAAGAACAAGAUAUGAUGCUGGAUUGCCUGAACUCAAAGUGACAUAUGAGAUAUGUGAAGGAUGUACUUUUGGGAAGCAUUGCAGGGAUGCAUUUCCAAAAAAACCAUCAUGGAGGGCAUCUCUCCCUCUAGAACUUGUUCACUCAGACAUCUGUGGACCUAUGCAAACUCCUACAAAGGCUAGUAAUAGGUACUUUCUUACCCUUAUAUAUUUUUGCACUAGGAUGUGUUGGGUCUAUUUCUUGAGAUACAAGUCUGAAGUGUUUGGUAUACUCAAGAAGUUUAAGCCCAUAAUUGAGCUACAAAGUGGAUAACAAUUAAAAAAGUUGAGAAGUAAUAGAGGAAGGUAGUACACAUUUUUUGAAUUCAGUGACUUUUGUGAAGAGAUGGCAUGGAAAGGCAACUUAUAGUUACUUAUACACCGCAUCAAAAUGGUAUAGCUGAGAGGAAGAACAGAACCAUAGUAGAAAUGGAAAAAUGCAUGCUGAUUGAAAAGGCUGUUCCAUUUGAGUUUUGGGCUGAAGCUGUCAACACAGCAAUGUAUAUCUUUAAUAAGUGUCCCACUAAAUCUUUUGACAAAAAGGCUCAUUUUGAGGCUUAUAGUGGAAGAAAGCUAAGAAUCAAGCACUUAAGGGUUUUUUGUUCUAUAUGUUAUGCUCAUAUUCCAAGUCAUCUCAGACAGAAGCUAGAUGAAACCAGUGUUAAAUGUAUUUUCUUGGGGUAUGGCACAUGUGAGAAAGGUUAUAGACUUUAUGACCUUGAUUCAAAAAAGAUGAUUGUGCCAAGAAAUGUGAUAUUUGAUGAAAAUGCUUGUUGGGAUUGGAAGUGUCAAUCUGAGAAGAGUAUUAGUGUACCAAUAACUGGUGUGGAAACCUGUAAACAAAGGGAAGAAGGAAGCUCAAGUGAUAGAUGUAAUGUAAAUGAUGAGUCUCUGAUACCUGCAUCUGAAACUUGUGAAUCAAUUGAAAAUGGUUCAAGAUUUGUCCCAAUGCAGAAUAACACAGGUCCCUAAGACUAUGAGCAUACCUCAUUGAAGUUCAGAGCUUGACAGAAGUGUAUGCAAAGUGUAAUUUAUGCAUAGUUGAGCUUAAGAGCUUUGAAGAAGCAGCCAAAGAUGAGUCAUGGUAGAAAGCAAUGGAAGCAGAAAUUGCUAUAAUAGAGAAGAACUGCAUUUGGGAACUUGUUGACAGACCAUUUAAUAAACCAAUAGUUGGUGUCAAGUGGAUCUACAAAACAAAAUUGAACAUGGAUGGGUCUAUACAGAAGAAUAAGGCAAGAUUAGUUGCAAAGGGGUACUCUCAAAAGCUUGGGGUUGAUUUCAAUGAGACAUUUGCCCAUAUGGCAAGGCUUGACACCAUUAGAACUCUAAUUAGACUAGCUACACGAAAUGAUGGAAGUUGUUCUAACUCAAUGUGAAAUUUGAACUCUUGAAUGGGGUUCUAAAUGAAGAAGUGUAUGUAGAUCAGCCACAUGGAUUUGUAAUUGUAGGUAAAGAGGACAAGGUUUACAAGUUCAAGAAGGCCUUAUAUGGUUUAAAACAGGCACCAAAGGGCUGGUAUAAAGAAAUUGACUCUUAUUUCUAUAAUGCUGGCUUUCAUAAAAGUCUAAGUGAGGUAACCCUUUACAUCAAAACAACUGAGGUAGGAAUUCUCAUUGUUUCCUUGUAUGUUGAUGACAUUAUAUACACAGGGAGUUCUAGUGCAUUGAUGGAUAAAUUUAAGGCAUAAAUGAUGAGAAAGUAUGAGAUGUCGGAUUUAGGUCUGUUGCAUCACUUCUUAGGGCUUGGAGUAAUUCAAACAGAAGACUGCAUCUUUCUGAAUCAAAAGAAAUAUGCAAGAACCUUGCUGGAGAAGUUUGGAUUGAAGGAUUGCAAGUAUGUUGCAAUUCCACUUGUAGCAGAUGAAAAGUUAAGCAAAGUUGAUGCAAGUGAGAUGGCUGAUGAAAGUCUUUAUAGGAAGAUGGUUGGUAGUCUGUUAUACUUAAUAGCUACAAGACCUGAUAUAAUGUUUGCUGCAAGUUUCCUAGCUCAAUUCAUGCACAAUCCAACCAGAAAGCACAUGGGAACCACAAAGAGGGUGUUGAGAUAUAUACAAGGAACACUGGACUAUGGAAUUGCAUAUGAGAAAGGCAAAGAUGAUGUGCUUAUUGGCUAUUAUGAUAGUGACUGGAGGAAGUGAAUAUGACAUGAAGAGCACCUCGGGUUAUGCUUUCAGUUUUGGUUUUGGAGCAUUUUCUUAGGCCUCAAUCAAACAAAGUAGUGUAGCACUGUCCACUGCAAAGGUUGAGUAUGUUAGUGUUAUAGAAGCAACUGCCCAUGCCAUCUGGUUAAGGUUUGUUCUCUUAGAUUUUGGUGAGGAACAAGUGGAGCCAACUCAGAUUCUACGUGAUAACACCUCUGCCAUUGCAAUUUCAAAGAAUCUAGUGGCACAUCACAAGACAAGGCAUAUCAACAGAAGGUUUCAUUUCAUCAAAUAUGCAUUGCAGAAUGGUGAAGUUGAUCUAGUUUAUUGCAAAACUGAAGAGCAAAUAGCUGAUAUAUUCACAAAGGCCUUGGCAAGAGAUCGAAUGGAGUGGUUGAGGAAAGCUUUGGGGAUGAUUUCUGCUAAACACUUAGAAUGGAGUGUUAGUGUUUAAGUAUUUUUAGCAGAAAUAUGCUUAUUCAUUUUACUUGUUUUGAUCAGAGCCCUUGGAUCAUAUUCCAAAUGGAUGCUCUAGAUUAAAUUAGAGUAAGUGAGAGUGUGUGACACAUGUAACUAUUUCAUAGGAUAGAUGACAUGGAUGGCUGUGAUCAUUCCUUUCUGUUAGAAGAGAGAGAGGCUUUAUUCCUUUCUGGUUGUAACAGUCAUAUUCCACUUGCACUUGUAGAGAGAGAGUCGUGAAUCAAUGAAUUUAGUUUUGCACUCAUCUCUAUGAUUUUUGCUUCUUGCAACUUCCAUUUUCUUUUUUCUUCCAGACAUAACAUACACACUUGAUGAGUAGAUUUUAUAUUAUAUAUUUUACCUUAAUCUUAGUAUAUUUUGGUUAAUAUUUUGGAAGAAUUUUGAUACUUUGAAUUGUAUUUUCAAUAUAGGACUUUCGACUUCCUCUGGAGCAAAACAGAACCAAAUGGAUGAAUUUUGGAGUAAUUCUAGUUGGAGGACGUUCGUGAGUCACUUAGCUUGAUCAUAUCAAAAUUUGAGAUUUUUCCACCAAGUGGUUAUUUUCUGGCGAUAAAAUAAAGGAGCGAUGCGCAGUGUUGGAAAAUGACGUUUUUGGGCUCAAAUUACGUUUUUGUAGCCCAAGAUGACCUCGGAUGGGUUCGUGGCCUUCUGGAGAAGUGUUCAGAAUAUUCCAAACAUUAAAUCCAUCUUUAUUGGGCCAGUUUUGGAGCAGCUUAUGGGUCAAAAACUUGGCUGUUCAGAUUUUAGGCGAAUUUUACCAUUUAAUUUAGGGUUAUGUUUCUUAUUUUAUUUGAUUAUUAAUUUUAGUUUCCUGAGCGAAAUAAAGGACCUGUUUUUUUAGGGUUUUGUGGGGAGGCUUAGCAGAUAUUGCUUGGCCGUCUACAGUUUUUCUCGACACUUUAUUUUAUGCAAUUUUGGAGACAGAGAGAAUUGUUAGGGUUUUGGAGACUUUUUACUUGGAGGUGCUUUCAAUCCUUUUCUUAGUAAUAUUUUCUAUGAUUUCAAUUAUGAAUAUGCGUAACUAAUUCUCUUUUGCUAGGGCGAAGCCUUGAGCCUUAGCAUGAAUAUGUGAUUUUUAUUUAAUUGCUUAUGAUUGAUUGCAUGUAUACUUUGAAUUGUUAAUCACCGGGAUAAAAACUAUCUAAUUGUCUUAAUGCCUGAUCACCAUUAGGAUCUUUAGAAAAGUAAUUUGAUGCAAUUUUGGUCGGAAGGUUCCCUGAAAUUGACGCUGGCUUCUUGUGAUUAAUAAUUGUAAUUUCACUUAGGAUGAAUAUCACGUCUUAAGGAUUGCAUGGUUUUUCAAAGGAUUUUCAUAAAGCAUAAUGAGUCUUUCAUGUUCAGAUUUGAACCGAACGUCCGUACGGGUUGCAUGUUAGAUAUACGUUCUAUGUUGGAGGUUCCAAGUAGAAUAUGAAUUAGGAAAAGCUAACCUUCAAAGUGGCAUGUGUAGAUCAUAAGUAAUUGGUAAAAAUUCAUAGGAUUGCUAGGUGAUGGUGGAACCCUAGUGCUUUCUUAAUUUGAUUCUCCCAAAACUGUUUUAUUUUCUCACGAGCUCUAAUAUUGCAGAUUGUUUAUUUUAAUUCAUUAAUUUCGUUUUUAUUUUAAUUAGGUUAUAAAAUCAAUCACCUAAACUUCUACUUUACAAUAAUUAAUUGAAAUUUGAUUUGUUUCGAAUUAUUUAAUAAUCCCUGUGGAGACGACUUUGCGAGAUUCGUUUAUACUACAAUAACCUUGUGAUUCUUGCAAGUAAAAUAGGAGAUUUAAGCCCGUUCACAUGAGUAGUAAAAAUCCUAUCAAGAAAAUGGCGCCGUUGCCGGGGAUUAUUUAAAAUAAUUCCUACUAAUCAGAUUUUCAAUUAGUUAUUGUUGUAUAUACAUAUAAGAAAAAAAAAAUUUAAUUUUCGUUUUUGUUUUAUUUUUCUCAGAUUACAACAACUCUUAGUUAAUUAUUUUUGUAUAUAUCUUUUUAUUUAAUUGCUGAUUUUGUUUGGUAGGUUACAAUUUGUUUCUUUUUUAGCAGUGCAACAAUGGAAUUUGCAGUUCCCCCUGAAUUCAAUCUAACACCCGGUGGACCACCUCUUUGGGUGUCAUUAGCAGAAAAGGGUUAUUAUGGAUUUAAGCCUACAGUUUGUGCUAUUUGUAAUUCAAAUACUCAUGAUAUUUUGCAAUGUCCUGAGAGAGAAUAUUUUCCAGAUUAUGUCCAGGAGUAUAUAAAUAUGAGAAACGAUUCAAAAUGGAACUGGAACAAUCCCCAUUCAGAGUUCUACACUCAAAGUUUGAAAGAGCAUCUUGGGCAGUAUUUUGAGCAGCUUAAUGUGCCACAAGAGCUUUCAGUGGAGGACAAGCUCUCUAAAUUGUUGGAAUUAACUGACUUAUACAUUGAAAUAACCAAUGACGGAUUUUUGAUUCAAGCAUUAAAUUAUGGGAAGAGCUUUAAUGAUUAAGAAAAGAUUGGUGCAGGAAUUGAAGAGCAAUUUUCCACCUAGUCAUGCCCAAGGGAGGAAACACCACCUGCUGAUCGUGAAACAAUUUCCCCAUAAUCUUUUCCUCCCCAAGUUUAUGUGCCACCAGAACCCUUCCCAACAGGGCUGCACGAAUGCACAAGAAUUGAUAUGUUAGAAGCUGUUCAUUCAAAAUCAGUACAUCAGACAUCACAUGAUCAACUUUUGACUACUCUGACCAUUUUGGAUUUGGAGCAACAGGCUACUGAUCAAAAAAUUUUGGUUGCUGAAUUGGACAUGCAAACGUCGCAAUUCAUCAAAUUUAAAGAAAAUAAGGAUCAAUUCCAUGACAACCAAAUUCCUCGUAGAGAAAUUUUGCCAGUGCAGAGGUUGUGGGUGUUAAAUACAAGGUUCAAGGUAGCUCGAUGGAAACAUAAACCUCACUGGAAACAACCUUAUUUGAUCACAAAGAUUCAUUCACAUAGAAGUGCACUUAUGAAGAAUUCAACCACUGAUAAACAACAACUCAUUCCAUACCUACUGUUGCCGUAUGAUGCUAUCAAGAAGUGGUUAACUUGAAGGGAACAAGUGACGUGAUCUUCAAUUCUUCCCUCUACGUCUAGCUAUAGACGUUAACUAAAGCGCUAAUUGGGAGGCAACCCAAUUUUUCUAACUCUUUUCUUUUUAUUUCGUUUAUUUUAUUUUCCUGUUUUUAUUCCUAAUUACAAAAAUCACAAAAAAAUCAGAAAAUUGAAAAAAAAAUUGCAGUUUUUAAUUCUUGUUAUUUUUCUUUACUUAUCUAAUUAGGGUUUUUAUUGCAGGUUGCAUUCAGAACUGAUUCGGCCUAAUCCCAACUAAGGGGGUGCAAUCAACAUUUAUUCCCCCAGCACAUUCAUCAUCAAUUCCUCUACAUUCAUGAGAUUAGGCAGUGCGGAGUGCAGAAACAAAGUUAAGGGAUCUAAGUGGCACAGAGAAUAAGACAUGAUGAAUUUAUAGAUCUCUUCAUGCAUGACGAACAAGCCAAUUCAACAUACUGAGGCACUGAGACCAUAUACAAAUUUUUAUUCAUAGAUUCUUAUCAAACAUAGUUGCAAGGAUAUAAAAGCAUACCUUUUCAAUGAGGAUCUGUGAGUCUCGAUUUUUCCAUGGAAACACACAUGCAUUGGGCAAUUUUCAUUCAUUUUUCCCUAAUCUAAGCACUUGAGACAAAAAUCGAAGGGAGAUGGAGAUAAAAACUACCUGUGAGUGUGUCAGACUAGAGCAGGAUGCGAUAUGUGGUUUCAUCUGAGUAGGUUGUUGGUCUUGCUGCUCGAGGUGCUGGAUUUCCGAGACACGGCGGUGUGUAGAUAGCUGGGCUAUUUAUUGGUUGCAGCACGGAUGCAACGCUUAGCGAGGAUGAAGGAGCAGCUGCGGAAAUGAGAGAAAAAUGUGGGGGAAGGAUGGCUAUUUUUCAUUUUAAAAAGAUAUGGGGUCUGAGUGAAACAGAGAGGGAGGGCUGAAUUUCUAAAGAGACAGACGACUCUUACAGUUUUGAGAGUCAUGCAGAAGAGAGAGAGAUAGAGCAAAGAUGGAUGGGUUUGAAAUGAAAGCAAUGAGAGAUGUCUCUCAUUUUUCUAGAGAGAAUGAGAGGCUUUGGGGUUUGCAAAUCACAUCAUUAUCCCUUUCCAUCUGACAAGGGGAUGGGACUGGACAGAAGAGAGCCGUUUGGCUCUAUGAUCGAGGCUAGUUUAAGGGAAUCCAAAGCGUGUUCGAGAAUAGCUCGGGUUUUUCAAAUGAAAAAUGCAGCUGCUGUCCCAGCUUAUAUUGUAAUUGCUGCCAGGAUUUGACACAUAUGGGGCUUGUACGUGUUAGCUAGCGCGUAUUCGCAAGUUCCCAGCUACCAAGUCCUGCUUUCGAAUCCCCGAAGUGUCCAUUAGUGUUUUACUUCUCCACAUUUUUGUCAGUGCACCUCAGCAAUCGCAGUUCCACCCUCCAACUCUCUGGUGUGUCAAUUUUUAAUACUUUUCCUUUUCUUUUAUUUUCUGUUUUCUGUUUUACUUUAUUUUAUUUUAUUGUUUUUCUAUUUCUUUUUCCUAUUUUCUUUUCUUAGGAUUUUUUUUUUCUUUAUCUUUGAUUUUGCAUUCUGCAUUUUCUAGGAUUUAGUAGUUUUGUUUUUGUUCUUAUUUCUUUUGUUUAUUUUCCACACCUUGAGGACAAAGUGUGAAAUAAGUUUGGGGCUAGGAAAAUAACAUUUUAGGAUUUUAAUUUUUAUGUCAGUUAAAAUUUUCAUUCUUUUUAAGUUAAUAUCCAUAGAUUAUUUUAAACGUUAGAACAAAUGGACAUGGUAAAGAUUAAUCCCACAGUAGAGUCUUUUCUAUUUAUCGUUGCUUAGACACUAAUUCAUGAAUUAUACUUUGAACUUUGCACAUCACACCAACAUGGUUUGUGGGGAGUGAGAUUGAAACACUUGCUUUUAGUCUAAGUUUAAUUUUAAUUUUUGUUUUAAGUAAAGUUAGUUAUUAUUGUGAAUAAAGUAAUAAUUGUCUCACCCGAGGUUUUGCUUAGUAACCGGGCCAGUCUUGCCUAAUCAGCAAUGAUUUUCGCGUCAAACGGUAGAGUUUUGGCAUGGGGCAGGGUGGUUAGUUGGUUUCGUAGCCUUUUCAGCUCGGAUUAAUAAGUCCUUAGGAUUGUUUUACACCUAGUGCCCUAAAACCCUAAUGGUUUGGGAGUCAUUGACCUAAAGCUCGCUACAUGGGUUGGAUUGAAAGUUUAAGUGAACCGACAUUGCACGACCACUACUGUUACUGGAAAAAAAAAAGACAAAAAAAUUGAAGAGAAAAAGAAAAAAGCUAUAUUCAAAGUUAGUAUGUGUGAAAUAAAGAAGGACGAGAGGUAAGAGUUUUAGUCGAGUCUCCUUAACUAUGUUGGUUCACUUUACACCAAAGGAAGUUUGUGAAUUCUUUUCUAAUUGAUUCUAAAUGGCUUAGACUCUGUGGUGGGAUUGGUUGGAACUUUUGAAAAGAUGUUCUAGUUUUUAAAAUUUGCUAUGGAUUGCAACUUUGAAGGUGAACAUUUUUGUUAGUUGAGUUUUAGCUAGUUGUCUAGUUUGUUAAGUUUUUAUUUUUGUUUGAGUCUUGUUUUGCUUGAGGACAAGCAAAAAGCUAAGUUUGGGGGUAUUUUGAUGAGUAGAUUUUAUAUUAUAUAUUUUACCUUAAUCUUAGUAUAUUUUGGUUAAUAUUUUGGAAGAAUUUUGAUACUUUGAAUUGUAUUUUCAAUAUAGAACUUUCAACUUCCUCUGGAGCAAAACAGGACCAAAUGGACGAAUUUUGGAGUAAUUCUAGUUGGAGGACGUUCGUGAGUCACUUAGCUUGAUCGUAUCAAAAUUUGGGAUUUUUCCACCAAGCGGUUAUUUUCUGGCGAUAAAAUAAAGGAGCAAUGUGCAGUGCUGGAAAAUGACGUUUUUUUUUUGCUCAAAUUGCAUUUUUGAAGCCCAUGAUGACCUCGGAUGGGUUCGUAGCCUUCUGGAGAAGUGUUCAGAAUAUUCCAAACAUUAAAUCCAGCUAUAUUGGGCUAGUUUUGGAGCAGCUUAUGGGUCCAAAACGUGGCUGUUCAGAUUUUAGACGAAUUUUACCAUUUAAUUUAGCGUUAUGUUUCUUAUUUUAUUUGAUUAUUAAUUUUAGUUUCCUGAAGGAAAUAAAGGACCUGUUUUUUUAGGGUUUUGUGGGGAGGCUUAGCAGAUAUAUUGCUUGGCCGUCUACAAUUUUUCUCGACGCUUUAUUUUAUGCAAUUUUGGAGACAGAGAGAAUUGUUAGGGUUUUGGAGACUUUUUACUUGGAGGUGCUUUCAAUCCUUUUCUUAGUAAUAUUUUCUAUGAUUUCAAUUAUGAAUAUGCGUAACUAAUUCUCUUUUGCUAGGGCGAAGCCUUGAGCCUUAGCAUGAAUAUGUGAUUUUUAUUUAAUUGCUUAUGAUUGAUUGCAUGCAUACUUUGAAUUGUUAAUCACCGGGAUAAAAACUAUCUAAUUGUCUUAAUGCCCGAUCACCAUUAGGAUCUUUAGAAAAGUAAUUUGAUGCAAUUUUGGUCGGAAGGUUCCUUGAAAUUGACGCUGGCUUCUUGUGAUUAAUAAUUGUAAUUUCACUUAGGAUGAAUAUCACGUCUUAAGGAUUGCAUGGUUUUUUAAAUGAUUUUCAUAAAGCAUAAUGAGUCUUUCAUGUUCAGAUUUGAUUCGAACGUCCGGACGGGUUGCAUGUUAGAUAUGCAUUCUAUGUUGGGGGUUCCAAGUAGAAUAUGAAUUAGGAAAAUCUAACCUUCAAAGUGGCAUGUGUAGAUCAUAAGUAAUUGGUAAAAAUUCAUAGGAUUGCUAGGUGAUGGUGGAACCCUAGUGCUUUCUUAAUUUGAUUCUCCCAAAACUGUUUUAUUUUCUCUCUAGCUCUAAUAUUGCAGAUUGUUUAUUUUAAUUCAUUAAUUUCGUUUUUAUUUUAAUUAAGUUAUAAAAUCAAUCACCUAAACUUCUACUUUACAAUAAUUAAUUGAAAUUUGGUUUGUUUCGAAUUAUUUAAUAAUCCCUGUGGAGACGACCUUGCGAGAUCCGUUUAUACUACAAUAACCUUAUGAUUCUUGCAAGUAAAAUAGGAGAUUUAAGCCCGUUCACAUGAGUAGUAAAAAUCCUAUCAACACUCCAUUGAAUCACAGCACAAAAUCACAUAAUCUAACAGAGCCUACAUAUACGUUGACACGAUUUUGACACCAACGGCUGUGGGAGCACUUGGCAAUUUUAAUCGCUUUCUGGCUCACUUGAAGGAGGUUUAAUAGAUUGAUCGUCCAAUGAAUCAUCGUGAUGGAAGAGACAUCAACGUCAAACCGCUUAUGAGCUGAGAGGAAAAUGGUCAGCCUAGCGGACAUAAACUCACUGACACAAUUUUUCAAGAAUAGUUAUUGUCAACUAAAUGUACAUGGUUGUCCUGAUUAGAAUAUUUCACUACAAUACAACGGUUUUACAGUUUCAUGAUUUACUUUUCAUUUUAUUUGCUAUCUUCUUUCAAUCAUGUUAUGAACAGACGAUAAAUUUACACACAAGGGGCUAAUUACUGGAAUAUUGAAAGACGAAAUAAUGUAAGCAAACACCAUAGGCAGAUUUAAAAACAUGUUAAGAAUGGAAUAUUGUACAGAUAAGUUUUAAAUAGUAACAAGCAAUGGAUGCACCCAGAAUAGUACUAAUCCAUGCUGAAAUUACCAUGAAAAUACCAAUGUGUGCUUAAAUAUGCCCCAAAUUAAAUAGCACUUAUCCAUGCUCAAAUUCUCACAAAAAUAUAAAUGGCGAACAUUUUAAUACAUUCUAUUUCAUAGAAUUUUUCAUGUGGUUGACCUUAAAAAACAUGUUAGACUCUGAAGAUUUCCAAAUCUUUAUAUGAUUAUAUUACUUACUAGCCAGGUCAAAAAGUUUCAGCUGUACAAAUAUUAGCAAUGCAAAUAUGUAGUCUCAAAGCAGGUUCUUUACUGCAAGAGAUCAGCCUAGCGACUUAAUUUUUGCCCGUGUCAGCAACUACAGCCCUUAGCUUCCCAAAAAUUUAUCUGAUCACUCGAAUAAAUGGUACCUAUACAUACGAAUGUUCUAACUUGAUUUAGUUUGUUAACAGUGGAAUCUUUACAUAUUAAAAAAUUUCCCUUUAUGGGAGCUAUAGGUCUUUGGCUAGCUAAUUCAGUACUCACUUGUAUUAAAUCUCUUAUGGAUUAGAUCACAUGAUUGGUGAUUAAGCCAAAAGAACUAGGGACCGAAGCCAUUUGGAAGCUCCCGAGUCAAUGUCCAUCUUAUUAAAGAUGCACCAUGUCCACUCUCGGCAGCUGUAUAGAUGUAACUAAAACUGAGUGACAAUAUAUCCCAUCUUCAAGAUAAUUCCCAAGCUACUUAGAUCGCAGACAGGCUUAUUGAAGGUUAAACGUUUCUUUCAUUCUUCUGUUUUGUAUGGUGACUCUUAUACAUCUCCUUCAUCAAGUAUCAAUAAAAAGUUGGAGUCGUAAUUGGAUAUAUGGAGAAGAACAUAUACUCAUACAGUAAAUUUCAUAGUGGAGUUGUUUGAAUGAAAAUUUUGCAAUUUACUAUUUACCAAAUAACAUGCUAGUCAUGCAGAGAAAACUAAGGUUAUUGUCCAAUCUAUUGGGGAGACUACUACUUAACGUAUUAGUAUUCUCAUAACUAUAAAAAGGAUCCCAAUGGAAACUCAAUCACAAAAGAUCCUGAAGAAAUUAAUCCAAAAUUGUACAGGUCACGUCUUUUUUACUUCUCUUUUUUAUGAAAGAAAACAAAAUUACUACUUAUGGUUAAAUCAGACGGUUCAUCCACGACCAAGAAAUGUUUUCUUGGUCAUUAGCAGAAGACAAUACCAACCAGCAGCAACAUUCCUGGUCAUAUAAUUUAAAGGGAUGCUUUCUAUAUUGUAAUGUAAAAAGCUACGAAUAUUGCUACAGUUGUGAUUCAAGGGGAACAGUAUGUGUCUCCCUCCUCGAUCGAAAAAAAUGUACAAAAUCUGGAAAUUGUUUGGUUUACAAAAUUGUAACAAUCACACAGUUCGUGUAAUUGCUCUCCACAGUCCACCACUCUAUCACACUGCACUCAAGCAAGAUACGAGAUCAAGGAAAGCAUCUUGUCUGCAGGGAAUUGUUAGACCACCCAUUGGAUGAUCAAACCCAAAUUCUUAUUCAGCUUCACUUAGCAAGUGUUGAAAUCCAGGCUGGCAGAGGAAAGAUAUGGGAACCACAAAUCGUUGCUUCUCACUCUCACCAACAUAAACUGCAAAAUAACCUUUAGGGACAUCCGCUAAAUUAUAUGAAGCUCCUUGACUUGAAUUUGAAAGACCGUCGAAAAAGUUUCUUAGCAGGAAUUACAGCAGGCAGGCGGAACCCCAUUGUAGAAAAACUUUGGAGGAAAGACUAGCAAUCGAGUUUAUAAAAACUUGAAGAUCUCAAGGAACUAGCAACUGCAAAACAAGAAAGCUAUAUGCUUGAUCCCAUUCAUAUGGUGGUCUUGAUCCCAUUCAUAUGGUAUAUAUAGAUGAAAAGUCUUUCUGAAUUAAUAUCUUCGGCUAAAGAAAAAAUAUAUGGUAAAGACAAAGACAAUUCGAUGAAGUAUAGAAGGGAACAAGAGCUCAUUAGGGACCACAUACAUGGUUCUGUCUUCAAAUUAAUCAAGAAUUUAGGGAAAAUAUGUGGAGCCUCAAUCACUACCAAGGCUUCGGAAGAAUUGGAAGACAGAGCCAUGUGAACUUUGAAAUGCUAAUAUCUAUUGCCCCUCACGACAACUACUAGAGAGUUUUUCCCGACACAUCCAUCGUUUUAUCAGUUUGGGUAUGGAAACUUGUUGCUAUGAUAUAGUAGUUCAACCACAAAUCAAUUUGUAUUGGGUCCAUAUUUAUAGUAUGUUGAACUAGCAACCUGCCAGAAAAUGCCUGUUUUCAGCAUGUCCCUGAUUUUAUAGUUAUGUAUCUAUUCUUCCAAAACGAUUUGUUCGGGCAAAGAUUUCUCUGGAGAGGGCUCCUCGGCUCUUAUCACAGCUCCCUAAGGGAUUGGCACUUUGGAUGUGUAGUCGGGCUCUUGCUUGCUGAUGUGCUACAAGAAGAGGACAAAGUUAGUUUUGAAAGCUGCCUUUGUUAGGCCUUAGGUGUAGGCCUUGAGGCUUACAAUCAAAACUAACUAAGUGCUAGGCAUGCCACUACUAUCUCAGUAUAGCAGAUGUAGAACAAGAUUGUGUUUAAUCAAUUACUUACGCCCCAAGUUACUUGAACUUCUUGUUAUCAAAGGAUUGUCGCGGAUGGGUUAAAUCCACAUUAAGUUCUUUUUCUUGCCUUGUAUAUUCAAAUGAGGGGAGUGCAGAUCCCUUAAGUCAUUUAUUUGGUUCUUGAUUGGUUUUAAAUGAAAGCAUAUCCAUUAAGAUGACCAGAUCCAAAUGCAAAUGAGACUCUUAAAGUAUGAAAACAGAUGGAUAUGACUUGAAUACAUGUUGGAGAAUACAUUAAGUAGUAGAUCUAUUAUCUUAGAAAACAUACAAAGAACUUUAAGCAAGAUUUCACCUUGUCGGGUAAGGUUGAAUCUUCUUACAAUCACUUCUCUUUGAGUUUACAGAGGUUUUUAUGCUAAAAAGGGAUGGAUGGUAAACCAGUUUACCCAAGGGAAUCGACACUACACCACUAGGGGUAAUAGCAGAGCUUUAAACUAGACAAAAGAUAGUUUUUGUGAGGGAGAUAUCCUGAAAAUGAUCGAGAUCUGGGCUGAUUACAGCUUUUAGAUGCAAAUCUGGCUUGAGAGCAGAGUUUGUAUGUUUGUUUGUUUGAUUGGUUUUGUUUGUUUGAUUGGCUGAGUGUCCUUGUCUCUAGGGCUUCUUCCUCCUUUUAUAGGCAGAUUAGCCCGACUGCAGUGAUUUCACUCUUGCCUGAAAGCACUUGAAGGGUAGUGAGUCAACAGCUUUUUACUUGUGUUGCCACUGAAAAGUGCUUUUUGGCUGAUUAUGAGUUAGUCCCUAUCACUUGAUAUUUAAAUCAUAGGCACAUGGCCUAUGCAUUAAUGGGAAUGCACCAAUUUGUCUCUGGGCUUGAUGCUUGGGCCUCGGGCAAGUCUUCCUUUAAUUGGUAUCUCUGGGCUUCCAUACAUUUGCAGCCCAAUGUUCAAAUAUUAACCCAAACAGUGCCCCCUUUAAUCAUUGUUGAGGCUUCAAUCCCAGGUGCUAAUAAUGAUUAAAUAGUCGUCGCACAUUAACAACUGUUGCACGCCUUCACUUGGGACUCGCACUAUUUAAAGCAACCGUUAGUUAACAAGACCUUUGCACUAACCCACAAACUCCACCAUUAAGUAACCACUUAUUAUAAAAUCCUUACUUAACCCCUUCAGCAAAGCACCUUAACUAUAUCGAGCCUUCGAAUUCUCAGAAAUUCCAGUACGCUCUUGCCUUCUCAGUUUUUCAAUCUGUCCCCCCUUAAUUCCAACUUUUCCUCCUAUCUUCCUCUUAAAGUCUUCAAUGGCACCCAAAGUUGCUUGAAUUCAAUCUCCUUACGAGAUUGGUGAGGGGAUUUCCACAAUGCGCCAUCUUUUCAACGGCCUUCAUCACCCUCAGGCAGGCCUACACACCGAACUUUUAUUUGAGGAGAAAAGAGUGCACUCCUUAGGGCCUGUAAGGACUUCUCAGUUAUUGGCUUCUGCAACCUCCUUAGAAAGGUGCACUGCGUCUAACUUCUGUUUCAGGACUUCUAUGGUUUUGGGGAGUAGCCGGACAGCUUUAAUCGUACCGAUAGAUUCCUCGUAUGAAUAUAAAGCUAUCUUUCCUUGCAUUGGUAUCCACAAGCCUAGACAUCCUCAUAGCUUUUUCUUUUUUAAUCACUUCAUCAUCAUAAGUGUAUGCUUUGAGAUCAACUACCAUGACAAUGUUAAAGACUUUGGUAGGACUUGUGGAAGAAGGCUCUGCUAUGGAGGCAAGGAUUACAAAGGUGUCUUCGAUGAUUGAGAGAUUGGAGGAGUCAUGUCCGUAUGAAACAGGCUUACCAGAAGAUUGAAGAAGUCAAUAAAGUAUAUGUUUAAAGUUGAAGAUGCUAAAGCUCAGUUAGCCUUUUCAGGAUAGCUACCUUAGCCAAUGAUGUAAAACUAUUUAUCUGUAACUUCAACAUUAAUGAAAUGAAAAUGACUUCUUCAAUCCUCUUUAACUUGUAUUUUCUCCUUCAAGCUUAACUAUGAUGAGCAUAUAAACUGACUCUUGGAUCCCUUGUAAUGUCUUCUUCAAUGUAACAAUCUCUAACAUCCUAUAAGGUUGGGUGAUAUUUCUUUAAAAACUUAGCAUUGAUUGGAUUCCUCUGUAAGCUUCCUUCCAAAUCUACCAAGUAAUAUCCUCAUUUGUCCAAUACUUGGCUAAUAAUGAAAAGACCCUCUCAUGUCGGGCUCCACUUCCCAAAGCUUCUAAUCUGAGCUCCCAAAGGUAGAAUUACCUUCCAUAUUAACUCUCUUUUCUCGAAGUUCUUCAACUUCACCUUCUUAUUGUAUGCUCGGGCAACAGCCCUCUUCCCCUCUUAAAUUUUAUUUAGAGCUUCUAUUCCGGCUACAUCUAGAUCUUCAACUUUUUGACACAUAGCCUGAAUAUAUUCUUCACUGUGCAACCCAAACUGAUUUUGAACUCACAUUUAUUCUAUCAAAGGAUUCUUGGUAUGGCAAGCCUCACUCAAAUUCUUCUUUGUCUUUCAACCUGAGCAAAUGAGUUAGCGACUGAAUCUUGCCUGCUAAGUUAGCGAUGAAUCUCCUUAAAAAGUUGAUCUUUCCCAGCACCCUUUGCAAUUGUACUUUAUUGGUGGGAGAAGGUGAUUCCAUGAUUGCCCGAGCUUUGUUCUUGUCAAACUUUACACCCCUUUGAUGAACAAGGAAUCCCAAAAAGUUGCCCAACCUUACCCCGGAAACACAUUUCUUUGGAUUCAUUUUUAACCUAUGGAUCCUUAUUCUUGUUAAAGCUUAUAUGAGGUCUAUCAAGUGUUGUUCUUCAAUUUUAGACUUCACCAAGAUGUCAUCAAUGUAUACCUCCACGCUACGACCAAUUAAGUCAUGAAAAAUGGCAUUCAUCGCUCUUUGAUAGGUUGCACCAGUAUUUUUGAUCCCGAAUGGCAUGACUAAGUAUUCAUAUGCUCCCACAUGACCUGGGCACCUAAAAGUUGUUUUGUGUAUAUCUUCUUUAGCCAUUUUUAUCUGAUUAUAAUCGGUAUUCCCAUCCAUGAAAGAUAGGACUUUGUGUUUGGCAACUGCAUCUAUGGACAAGUCAGCCAUGGGCAUGGGAUAUUCAUCUUUAAGCGUGGCUCCAUUAAUGUUUCUAUAGUCAAUAUAACAUUGAACUGCAUUAGUUAAAGCCUUUAAUACAGGUACAAUGUUGGCCAACCACUCGACAUAUUUGGCAGGCUUAAUAAAUCCAGCAUUUACCAGCCUUUCGGUUUCUUCUUUAACUUUCUUUUCGAUCUCUUUCGACAUCAUUCAUGGUGCUUUCUUUACAGCUUUAUAUCCCUCCUUAAUAGGUAUCAUGUGUUCUACUAAGGUUGGAUCUAAACCCUGCAUCUCAGUGUAAUGCCAAGCAAAACAAUCUUUGAACUCGUGCAAAAGGCUAACAAUUCUUGCCCGAUCUUCCACUUCCAACAAGCUACUAAUCUGUAUAAGCCUUAGAUCUUCCUUAGACCCCAAAUCAUAGUCUCCAAGGGGUCUUGCACCUCUAGUGGUGGCUUGUCAAGUUUUGCACAUAAAAACUCAACUAACUCUGGAUUCUCAGGUAAGUCUUUUAGUUCAUCCAAGUCAUAUAUACAUUUAGACAUUUGUAUGGCCGUUUCUAACUCUUCUUCACCACUGUUCUGGAUACUUAAGGUUGCUUCCUCUUGUUCCUCAGUCAAGCUCUCUCUUCCAUACAUUAACAGUCUUUUGAUUAAGGACCUAACUGCAAUUACUUGGUCAUUCUUUCUUUGUUCCGACAUUACUAGUUUUGGGGAGUUGGGAAAAUAUGGGGUUUAUCCCAUUCUUCCCAGGUGAGGAACAAUCUUUGCUCCAAAAGCUUUUGGGCUGUCACUUUAGUCGGGCUACCGCUCUCAUCAGCUCCUAAGCUCUGGAGAAUCCCAAUGCUAGGAUUAUAAAAGUUGGCUUCUGCCACAUUGACAAUGGGAAGGAAUGGUCGUGACUUGGCCUCCACCAUCUCCCAAAAUCCUAGUCCCAUUGUUCAUUCCUCGUGGUAAACUGCCACUUGUUGAUGUAGGGUGGAAAGCACUGAAAGACUCUGAUGAAUCCAAUCUCGGCCCAGUAAAGCUCCAUAUAUGGAAAUACUAUCCAUAACUAAGAAGGCUAGCAUGAUCUGCUUGGAACCCAAGUCAACCUCCAAGGGUAAUAUCCCAUGAGUUUUAAUGAUGGUUCCAGAAAAACUGGAAACUAUUAAGUCCAUGGGGAUGAGAUACUACUUACUUCUACAUACCCUUUUCAUCUGCUUGAAAGGCAACACAUUGAUCGUGGCUCAUCCAUCAAUCAAAACCCUCUUGAGGGGUACUCCUUUCAGAUGAGCAGUUACAUAAAUGGGCUUAAAAUGGUUGGCUAAGGUCAAACUCGAGCAACUGAAGACCAUUAUGUCAAUGUACACUCUAUCAGGCUCUUUCCUUGUAAGCUUGGGCAAACUUGCUCUGCCCGACUCCUCUUUUCCUAUUUCUUCAACACUAAUAUGUGUCAUCAUAGGUUCUGUUGCUAAGUAAUCACCCUCAAUUGUGGCAGGUUGAUCAGGCUCAGCACAAAACAUGGCAGAUAAAACAUAUGUCAUGUUUACGUAGACGUUGCUAGGUCUAGAUAAGUCGUUUUUAAACCCAAUAUGGCCCAUGAACUCAUCCAACCAAGACUGUGUUUUUGCAGGCAGCAUUAAUUCAGGCAACGUUUCCUAUUGAGUUAUGCCACAGUUUGACACUUGUCAUAGGACUUCAUAAAGAGUAUCAACCAACAAUGGUGCGAGCAACCCCCUCUCCAGUGAGAUAGUUGCAAAGCUUAUUGGUUAUGGGCUUCAUCUUGGCUUUGGCAUCAUUACCAUAUCCUCUUGAGCUCUUCUCAAGAUUUUGUAUUUCCAAGGACAAGGGUUCUGUGCACAUGGUCUCCUUCCCCUUCGGUCUUGCUAUUAGUUUUCUCCACCACUUUCUUGGUUCUCCAAUGGAGUUGAUUUCUUCCCCCAUCAGGUUCCUUCUCAAACUUUACAUUCUCAGAGGUUUUUAAGGUAGUGGGGACUUCCAAUGAGUUCAUGUGGGCACUGUGUUGCCUCUGAACUCUCAUAAUCAUAGAAGCUCCUAUUUCUUUUACGGGUUUCCUGUCCUUUCCAACCACAUACCAUUUUCACCCGAGUCGAGCAGGAUUUUUCUUCGUGACUGGAUUCACUAUCAUUUCCCUUCUUCUGACAUCUCUACUGGCAUAGCUUAGUUAGGGUGGCCUCACAUCCACCCAUCUUGGCACUUUGGCUUCUCUAUCCUCCAUUUAUUCAGAAGCUUCAUAAUUUCUGAACACUUCUAACAAGUCUUUUGGUUGAGAGUCCACUCCCAACCUUUAGAAAACAUUCUUAGAGGUCUCUUUCUCAACUGCCCACAUGACAUUUUUGCGGGCUUCUUGCUCUUCUCUUUUCUUCUGAUCAGCUCCUGAUUUAUAAUGGCUCAUGACGCUGGGACUUCCAACUCACACUCGCAUUGGCACUUGUUACAAAACACCACUCAUUUGAUUAUGGUUGUUUUGGGCCUCUCCGGCAACUUGAUAGCUCCUUCAGUCGGCCUAUCAGCUUGCCUCCGUUCUGCUUUCACCUCCCAGGUAGCUUUUCCUUUCCCAUUUUCAGCCCACGUUAAGUUGAUCAUGUUUAUUGGGGCUUCUGGGAAAGGGUCAGUGUCAAUCAUCAUAUUGGCCUGUAGUUUCUCUAGCUACAACUUUUCUUUCAUUAUAAAGUCUUGUAUCCAAUCCCUGAACUGGACACAGUUGGUUAUGGAGUGAUUGAAAGUGUAAUGCAGCUUGCAAUACUUCUUUCCUCUCAGUUCUUCGUGCUUGGGCAGCUUUUUGGUGUUGUCGAGCAUAAUCACUCUCGCCGGAAUCAACUCCUCAUAGAUCUCUGUGGCCUUGGUCAAGUCAAAAUAAUAACUCUGGUAUUUGGGGGGCUUCAUGGGGACAAAUCCACCAUCAUUCAUGACCACUUUAUGGUCCUUGGCUAGCUGGACUAACCCUUUCACUAUUAAAGGCUUAAAAGGGGUAGUCGGGGUAGUCGUCUCUGCCGCACACAUCUCUGGGCUCCCACACAUUUGUAGCCCAAUGUUCAAAUAUUAACCCAAACGGGAUUUAAUUAUGCAAAUUUUAAUUUGAUCUGAUGGCAUCUGUGGUUAUAACUUGGAGACAAGUUCAUGUGAUUUUCCAUGAGCUAAUCUCUCUCAUGGUACCAUCAUGGUGCCUCUACCAAUCAGUCGUUUCAAAUAAUAGAUGGUUUAUGACAUAUACCCAUUUAUCUAUAUAUUUUAUGGUCUGGCUCAGAAGAAAAUCUCAAAGCCUUCUCUCAUUUUUAGAAGUCAACUGAUAUUUCCAUUGUUGCUUAAUUUUCUCAUUAAGAAAUUUUAAACUAUGGGCUUCUGGUUACUGGACACUGUUCAUGCUAAGAAAUUUCAAGUUUCUUCAAAGGCCUAGGAUAUUCCUAAUGAGAACUAUGAUGUAUUACUAUUUUUUAUUCUCUUGGUUAUCUUAUAUAUCUUAUGUUUGGGUUCUAGUGAACACUUAUGUAUUUGUUCCAAUGUCUUUGUAUCACUUGUCAAUUCUAGGUGUAUAUCAGGAUUCGGGCGUGACACCUCUCAACCAUGAUAGAUCGAACAUAAAAGGAGAGAUUUGUUAGCCUACGACUUUAUAUGCUCCGCUAUUGAUUAAAUACUUUGUAUCCAUACAAUCUCUGCUAUGCUAAGUAAUAACCGCCAUAUAGUAAGGCUUAGCUAAGUUCGCUAGCUAAAGCAGUUAGCUCUUAAACUCUUCGGUAUAAUACGAAUGAAACCGUGUAAUUAUAAGUUGUAAAUCCUGAACUGAGAUUUUCAACAAAAACAUGGUACAUCACAAUUCUAAAUAUUAUAAAAUUGAGCUCUUAUUUUCAAUAGCAAAUAGUAUUUCCCUUACAAAAAUGCUAUGAUCAUUUACUAAAAAAUUACUGCAACUUUUAUGUACAUCAUUCAAAAAUAUAGUUUUUACUCCCCACAAAAAUUUUCACAAGUACUUCCUAUAGCCAAUGUUACCAAAUCAUGUAAUUCUUCAUGAACCACGGUUGGCCUGGACAGUAGUAGGUAAGAGAUACUUGUAUUGUAAACAAACUAUAUAGAAACUAAAAUCUUUCUCUGUAAGCUUUCUUUUGUAUUGAAUGAAUAACUCAUUACAUUGUGACAGUAUAUAUAGCCUUUGGCUAUUUACAUUCACACCCUUAACAACCUUAACUAAUCACAACAAUUAAUAUAACUAACUACAUUUAGUUAUAAAAAAAAACUAUUUAUCAGUAACUGAAAUGGAUGACUUUUUAUGACUUGCCAUUCCUCCCAAUCCCCCUCAAGCUAAAAUUGGGAUCAAAGAUGAUACCAAGUGGAAGCUUGGAUUGCAAGUGAGCAAACCUGCUUUUAGACAAAGACUUGGUGUGUAUGUCAACCAAUUGAUAUUCAUUGCAAAUAAACUGCACUUUAACUAGAUUGGCAAGCACUAAUUCUUUGAUAUAGAGUAGUCUAUCUCAACGUGUUUUGUUCUUGCAUAAAAUACAGGAUUGGAAGCUAAAGAGAUAGCUGAUGUCACGCCCCAAUCCCGACAUACGUCCAGGAUCGACAUGUGACAUCACCAAGUAUCUAUAUCUCUAACAUACCCCGCCUUCGGGAUAUGUGCAAACACAACUCACAAUUCAACUACGUAGUAAUUUUUUGUACCCUUUAUGGCUGUAUCUAACCUCCUCGAUAGACUUCCUACGUACCCUACACAAGGAUCAAGCCAUUCGUAGUUCAUCCAAACAUUAUCCUCAACUUUUAUCACAGUACUUUUAAGUGGAAAAAUCAUAGCACUCAUCAAUCAAUUAUUAGAACUUGACAUGCUUGAAUUACUAGGUUUAGGGUUACAUAACAAUCCCACAUGACCAUUAAUAUUUCCACUUCAUCCAUCACAUAAAUCAUAAUGUUUCUACACAUAAAAUCACAAUACAUAGCAUGUAACAUAUUAAAGAAUCAAUAAAGCACAAUAUUAUUUUCUAGCCACAUCGAUCAACUAAAAUAAUCAUACUAAUAAUAAUCAUAUCCAGCGUCAUUCCACAAUCCUGUCAAUUAAUCAAUUCAUGAAUCAAAGAUGCACGAUCUUAGCAUUUAAUUACGUUAAUCAAUCAAUGCGAUAACAUAUCAUUUCACGAAUUUAACCAAGGAACUCUAUAUAAUUCCCUACUUGGAUUAUGAGUAAUAAACAUGAUAAUUCUAAUUUUUAUUCACAAGAUCUAUUGUGGGUAAUUCUCAUUCACUCGAAUCUAGGGUUCUAGACUAAUCUUAUGGGAGUUAGCAAAAGCAAGGAUUCCAGACCACUCAACGGAAUCCAACAACAUCAGGUUCCAGACCACUCAACGGAACCAAAAUACCAAAUGGUUUCUCAUAAUCUACCCAGACCAAUCAUAUGUAAAACCAGUGGCUACAUUAAGGGAAUGCUGCACUGGCAAAUCAGAACUCGGUUAAGCCGCGAAGCUCAGGUGAGUGACAAUAAUGCAAGUAUGUGAUAUUCAAUAAAAACAGACCAUCGAUCACAAUCUAUAAACAUCAAGUAUAGAAUCAUGCUUUAUGAAAUCAUAAUCAAGUCGCUGAAAACACCGAAAGAGUCACCUAGACAUCCAACAGCUUUUCUAAUUCAAACCACAAGAUUCUUAAAAACCAUCGUCCAUAUGUACAUUAAAAAUUAGGGUUAGAGGCAUGCAGUUCGGCCGAAGCCUACAUAAGUAAUCAAAUAGGAAGUGCCCCCCCCCCAAAGCGGAUUAACCAAGCAGAGCCACCCCUGAGAAAGUAACCAAGUAGGCAGUGACCUCCCAAUACAGAUUAACCAAGCAAAGUCACUCAUACAGCUGUUAGGAAGUGAUCACUCAAUGCGGAUUAACCAGACAUGAUCAAUCCUAAGCAUACAUGGCCAUAAGGAUCGCCCAACGCGGAUUAACCAAGCGCGAUCCAUAUAUAGUAUGGUCCCCCAAUGCGGAUUAACCAAGCAGGACCACUAGUGACCCCCCAAUGCGGAUUAAUCAAGCAAGGUCAAGAUAAUCAGGUAGGUAGUGACCCCCCAACGCGGAUUAACCAAGCAGAGUCACACCUAUAGAAUUGUUAGGAAGUGAUCACCCAAUGCGGAUUAACCAAGCAUGAUCACCCCUAAGUAUAAAUGGCCAUAAGGAUCGCCCAAUGUGGAUUAACCAAGUGCGAUCUAUAUAUAUUAAGGUCCCCCAAUGCAAAUUAACCAAGCACGACCAUUAGUGACACCCCAAUGCGGAUUAACCGAGCAGGGUCAUAGUCCUCUACUAGCCCUUAAUUUACAAAACAUUUCAAUAUGCAAUUCGAAUCACUUUUUCACAAAUAUUACCAAUCCAUGAAUCAAAUCACAUCUAAUAAAAAUAGAUCGAUGACCAAUUAUAAAAGAAUCACAUUUUAACAGAAAAUACAUUUAUAAAACCAAGUCAUAUCCGCUAAGGAUAUUAAUAUAAAGAAUUGGGUAAUCACCAUAUCACAUAUAUUAAAGUCACUCACCGAGACUAGUCCGCAAGGCUUCACUGAGUCUCUAGUAAUACUAAUUUUAGUAAUUCAAAUGUUUCAAGACCUGUUGACCAAAAGUCAACGAUGGGGGUCCACACCCUAGCAAUUUAAUUCGGAAGAUCCACACAUCGUAAUCUAGAUCUGUAACUUCCUAAGGUCCACAAUAUGCUCAAAGAACAACAUACUAAAAUCUCAUCGCAAUCCGACAGUCAGAUCUCCGCCAAUUGCUAGAAUUAGGUGGCGGUUAACAAUUAAUUUUACUAACUUAGAAAUCUAAUUCGGAAAGAUCCGUACGUCAGAUUCCCAAUCCGUCAAUUCCAAUUAUCAUCAAAUAUUAUGUUCCAUAAUGCAUUAGGGUUUGGUGACGAUCCAACGGUCGGAUUGCCGAAUCAGAUUUUGAUCAAGUAAUGUAUUGUAAUGAAACUAACUUCAAACAACCAAAUUACAUCAUACGGAUAUCAAUUAUGGAAUUAGGGCAUCUAAUUCAACUCAGGAAGACAUCAUUGGCCCACUGGCUCUGCGCCGCCGCACGCGCCACCAUGGGUGGUGGUCGACCACCCAAUUUGUCAAAAAAUUCAACUAUUUUAAAAAAUUACCAAAUUUUACAAACAAUUAGAUCUCAGUGAGGGGAUAAAUUUUCAUGCCUAUGGCCAAGUCUAAUUCAACCGGGAAGUGUCCCAAUUUCAUCCAAACUUGCCGGAAACCCUAGAAAUAGGUGUUCCUCGAUUCAUCACCAAAACGAACUCUGACGCCUCAUCCAAUGCUUGGGCCUUGCUCCAGGGGUUGAGGGGAGUCUAUUGGUAGUGGUGAUUGACGGUAAUCAUUGUCGGAAUCACCGUAAAAUGAGAAAACUCGCUAAAAAACCCUUGGCACUUUGUGGCUUUGACCUAGACAAAUGGAAAGGAACAAUGGAAAUCUAACACUACAAGGAUAUAUGACUCAUCAAGAGCUUUCCAUAGACACCAAGAUCACCCAAAAUGGAAGUCGGAUGAAGAAGAUAUGGUCGGGUCAAAAAUGGUGGUUCGCGGGUGAAAAACAACCCAUUUUCCUUUCCCCUCCUUUUCUUGUUUUCUGAUUGAGCUAUCCCCUCGUUUUCUCUCCCGCACUCUCUCCUUUCUCCCCCCUCCCUUGUUGCCACUUGGCAACUUCUAAACAUUUAUUUAUUUAUUUUCCAACAACUAAAAUGUCUCUAAUUUCUUCGUUAUAACUCCAUUUCAUGAACGGUUUUCGCCUACGUGUUCAUGAGAUCAAGUUCUAUUCGAAAAUAUAAAUUAUGACCACGAAAGGUCUACAGAAUUUAAAUAAUUAAUUUUCAAAACUUCAACCCUCAUUUUAAAUUAUGCCAAGAAACAAUCAACAUUUUAAAUUAAUAUAAAUUCCCGAAAAAUAAUAUAAAAUCGCAAUAAUACAAUUACGUAGAUUAUAAUAGUGAAACCCAGGAACGGGAUUUCGCAGUUGAGAUAUUGUCACACCACAAGGUAGGCAUUUUAAGGGGAGGAAACUGAAGAUCAUGGAAGAUUUUACAAAUCCAAGUGAUCUUUGCAGCUAUGUAAGCUAAGGAUUGAUACUCAACUUAUGUGGAAGAUCGAGCAACUGUGCAUUGUUUCUUGGCACUCCAACUUAUGGCAUUUGAUCCAAGAAACACACAUUAUCCAUUUGUUGAUGUCUGUCAAAUGUGCAUCUUGCCCAAUCAGCAUCUGAGUGUGUUGAAAGAUGAAUAAGACCCUUUUUUGAACCAUAAACCAUGAAUGAUAGUGCCUUUAUGAAAUCUGAGUACUCAUUUUGCAGCUUGAAGGUGUUGAUCCCUUGGAGCAUGCAUGAAUUGACAUAUUUGGUUCACAACAAAUGAAAGAUCAGGUUUGGUCCAUGUAAGAUAUUGCAAUCCUCCAACAAUUGAAUGACACUUAGUAGGAUUGAGCAGAAGAGGCCCAUUGUGAUCCAGUUUCUUAGAACCAAGAGGAGUACAACAAGGUUUUGCACCUUCCAUUUUGUUUUCUUGAGAAGAUCAAGCAAGUAUUUAGUUUGAUGAAGAAAAAUACCUUCAGAUGUUCUAUGCACUUUCAACCCAAGAAAUCGUGUAAUAGACCAAGGUCUUUAACAGGAAAAUUGGCAUUGAGUUUUUGAAUGAAAGAUUGACAGAGAUCAGUGUUUGGACCAAUGACUAAAAUGUCAUCCACAUAAACAAGAACAAUAACCAAUGCAAGUACAUUAAGAAUAGACAAAGAUGCAUCUGAUGAAGAUUGCUUGAAUCCAAGAGUGAGAAGUAAUUGGAAUAGUUUGUCAAACCAAGCUCUAGGAUCUUGUUUGAGACUAUAAAUGGAUUUUCUUAACUUGCAAACAUGGCUUGGAGAUGUUGGAUCAACAAACCUUGGAGGUUGUUGCAUAUAGACAUCCACCUUUAAAUCUCCAUAAAGGAAGGCAUUGCUUAUGUCUAAUUGGUUUAAAAACCAAUUGUACUGAACUACAAAAUGUGAGCAAAACUCUAACAGCGACUAUCUUUGCAACUGGACUAAAGGUUUCUUGAAAGUCUACUCUUACUGAACCUGUUCUCUCCCUUCAUUUUAACUUUUAUUAAUAACAAUAGUUUAUUAGGGAGAAUGCCAAGUCAUCCAUUAGGGAGAUUGCCAAGUCACCCGGUUCUCUCCCUAAUAAACUAUUGUUAUUAAUAAAAGUUGGAAUGAAGUGGAGAGAAUAGGUUCGGUAAGAGUAGCACAAAGCAUACUAACGAGAGUGGUCAGCCUCAUACCAGGCAAGGUACUCAGGGUUAGGAGAAGUAGUGACCACUGGUGGAACAACUAUAGAAGUAUCAGAAUCAGCAGAGACAGCAGAGGAGGCAACUGGAGCAGUGGUGGUGAUGACCGGACGAGACGAAUAUGAACCAUGAACAAAAUGCCAGAAAUGUUGGCCAGUUAAAAAUUGCUUGACCUGACUCUCCCAAGGAAGAUAAUUUGUUUCAGAUAGUUUGACAGAAGCCAAGGUAGAGAUAUUGGGAAUGGUGAUUGAGGAGGAAGAUGCGGUUGCGGAAGCCAUGGAAAGAAAAAGGACCAAAGCUCGAAUACCAUGGGAACUUUCUAUAUUUCAUUGAUUAUAAAAUAGGGCCUAACAACCUUAUCUACAAUUAUAAUCUUCAAUUACAUUCUCCUUCAGUGAGUACAUUUUGCACUCACAGAAGGGAAAAAUAUUUGUACAGUAUGUAGAAAAAAUUUUCUUUACAAAAAUGUAAGCAACUCAUGUAUUUACAAUGUAUUCAAAACUGAGAAAUAAUAUCAAUGAAGGUAUCUUGUCUGCGGGGAAUUGUUAGACCACCCAUUGGAUGAUCAAAUCCAAAUUCUUGCUCAGCCUCACUUAGCAAGUCUUGGAAUGAAGGUUGGUUAAGGUGUGAUACAGGAAUGACAAACCGCUGUCUCUCGUUCUCUCCAACAAAAACUGCUAAAUAACCUUUUGGGACAUCUGCUAAACUAUAUGAGCCACCCCGACUUGGAUUUGAAAAAGACCGCCGAAGAACUUUCUUUGCAUGAGUUACACUUGGACAACGGAAACCCAUGGUUUUAUGUCUCUCUAGAAAAAUGUAUGGUGCAAGUUUAUAGGAGCAAGAAGAAGAAAAGAGUUGAGAAGAUACAGAGACUUGAAUGGAUGGCAAUGAAAGUCUCAUGAAAUAUAUGUAGUUAAAGUUUUAUGUAGGAUGUCCCCUGUUGAAAGAAAUAUGUGGUGACGAUUAAGACCACCUUGAUGGGGCAUAGAAGGGACACUGAUCAAAUGGUGCUAUUUUCCACCUCAACUUCAAUAUUUUAGGUGAAAUGUUAAUGGAGUUGCUAAACCAAGAGAGUUCAAUCUACUUAGUAAGAUAGCAGAUUUUUCCUUUAGUUUCUGAGAAUGAGUUGAAAGUGCUUGAUCGUCUAAAAUUGAAUCAUCAGUGUUCCUUCUCUCUAGUGUUCCAAUAAUACGGUUUUCUGGUUAGAUCACAUAGAGUCAAAACAAGAUGAGAUCUAAUUUCGUUUACUCGUUGAUGAAUCGAGGAAGCCACAUCCCUUCUUAUACAUUAGGCCCCAUAUGCCAGAUUUUCAUAGCACCACACAUUCUUGUUUGUCAAUUAGCAUUUAUUAAAAUUUGAAAGAAACGCAAUUUAUCCACAAAUUCUUGUUUGAUAGGGCAUACGAUGCACUACUGUUGGUCCACUGGUUUAACAUCCAGUGUGCAAGCAAUUGAUUAUUCGAGAACACGUGGAUGCAACAAAGGGUUAUCCAGUUGUUAGGAGGCCUAAUCCAGAAAAGUAAUUCGUGAUUAGUGAUUACCAGGCAUGUCUAAAGCAAAAUGCCUCUUAUCUAACAGGCGUAAAUAACUCCACUGGAACAAAAUUCACACCUAGUGGUCCUUGUGUUGCCUGUUAUCCGGAGGAGGUAGGGAAUGCUGCUUCCACACAACAAUCUGUCAGAAAAAUCUGUCGGAGUAGGAGUUACGUUGGGAGUUAGGUGAGCAGCAAGACAAGACCAUGUGAUUUGGUAUAAGCUAGUUUCCCUCAUCGUUUGUUUUUGCAGCGCCUCUUGACCAAUAAUUUCAUGUACCAUAUGAGUUUUUCGCAUACCCUUUCAUCUAUAUAUACACGUGAUCAAGUUCACAAUGGCAUUAGCAACUCAAGUCUCCACCAUCCUAAGAAUCAAAGCAUUCUCUUUUUUCCAAGUCCUUCCAAUUCCUUUUCUAGUUCUUUUAUCCCCUUGAGAACAAAAAUCCAUGGGUUUCCGGUUGCCUGGAAUUGUUAGCGCCAAGAGAAGUCUCAUCCGGUCUCUAUCUAAUUCAAAACAGACAGCUUCAAAGACCUUAGAUAUCCCAAAAGGCUAUUUUGCUGUGUAUGCUGGGGAGAGACAGAAGAAGCGGUUUGUGAUUCCAAUAUCAUACUUGAAUGAUCCUUUGUUCCAAGAUUUGUUGAGUCAAGCUGAAGAGGAAUUUGGAUAUGAUCAUCCCAUGGGUGGUAUCACAAUACCUUGCAGCGAAUACACUUUCCUUCAUCUCACUUCCCGUCUAAGUGUGUGAGUGAACACUAAAGAAGUGAAUAUGCGAUCCACUUUCAUGUCCAAAAGGAUCCUCACUUUGGAACUCACUGAGCUACGAUGAAGGAGAGGCUAUGGUCAAUCAUCCAUUGAAUCAACUCACAUCCAGUGUUGAGGUGAAGCCAUCAGUAAUACUGAAGCAGCCAGCUGUGAUCUGAGAAGAAAGUCAGAAAAUUAAUGAAGCCGACAAACGAAGAUACUCAUUCAAGAUAUAAUCAACAAAACCCAACUUUCCAAAAACGAUGACUCAAAACUUUUCCACAGGCGCCGUUCAGAGUAUCUGACAUGGGAAUUUAAAUUAACCCAAUUGGUUUUAUGUUGGCUGCUCUAAGUCAAUUAAAUGUAAACUGCUCCGCUGCUCUUGAGCAAAAUAUAUUGGAAUAUGAAAUAAAUUUAUAUCUUGAUCCAGUUUUUUUGUCUUGAUAUUUUAAUUAUACUUCUAGCUUUGGUGCCUUAAAAAAUAAUUAUACAAUGUUAUCUGUUAUAUAAUUAAAUUAUCAAUGACAACAGAUUUUCUCAAGAAAUGACUUUCAAUUAGUUAUACUUUGUACUUCAUAUAAAUCUGUGGUGCCUCAAGUAUUAGUGUUGGGCUUCCACUCAAAUAAAGUUACCAGAUAUAUGUGCUAGACACAAAUAAUAUGGGGAAUUUCUACACUAUUUGCCUUUUAUCCGAUAAUUUAAUCCUAUGACUGGGUAAAAUGUUUUCACCGUGUCAGUGCAACUUUCAGAUAAAAAACACUGGGAUUGUCGUAGAAUUUUUUUUGAAAUUUUCCAAAUAAAGUCUUUCAAAAUUCACAACUAAAUGGAUCGGCCCUUAUAGUAGGUAAUACUUAACAUACAGGUCUUAAUAGACUUGGAAACAUUUAUCUGGAAAAGUUGUAUAUGGCAGCAAAUUGUGUUUGGAUUGACAAGAGACAUAAGCAUUGAAGGAUCACAUGGCUGUGUCUUCCGUCGCAGUCUAAAAAAUUUGGUAGCAGUUGAGUCUAUAUACUUGUUGGUGGACCUUGUGCCCUACCAAUUUUAUGACUACCUGCAAACCACAAAACUUAUUUGAAAUUUUAGAGAUGUGUGGAUAGGAAAAUCCCCUUGAGACUUCCUUUCAAUACAGGAUUUUCAGACGCAUUUGUCUACGAUUACUUAACAGAACCAGAUUAGCAUUCUUUUGAUGGCAUCAAUCUUACAAUUUCAGACGUAAUAUGACAAGUUAGCGGCAGUAUGUACCUACUGCAUGUCCAAUAUGAAUCACUUUACGUACGUAAAACUCUCAGCCAGCCCAGGAACAUUGCCUCACCUGAUUAAUCAACUUUUUCCUGCAAAUUGUUCUUUCAAGAGUCCGGUAGGCAAUUAAAUAUUUCCUAUUUCAGGUCCACUGAUAUUUAGCUUCAAAUGGUGCUCGAACAUUAAAUCAGUACAAUUUGUUGGUUACUGUCUCAUGGAAUCUUCUAGAUUGCCAAAAUAAAAGAAAACACCUCCACAGCUUGUUGAGAUCGACAGGAUACUAGAUGAAACAACAAACCCACAUGCUAGGGGUGGAUUUUGGUUUGGGUAGAGCCAUGAAGUAUGGAGUGCCAUUGGUGUCUUCAUUGAGUGAGUAAAUGCAAUUUAUUAGUAGACCUAAUUAAGAAUUUUUGGAGUACUAGUCCAAUUAAUCGGCAGUUUGAAUUGGUGGUCACAUAGACAAGUUCCUGUCUAAAUCAUAUAUGCCUCUUACCCAAGGUAUAAAAUAUCAAUCAUAUCGGAAAUAUCGGUAGUCCAAAAACACGGAAAUAUCGAUGAAAAUAUCGGGAUAUUAUCGAUAUCGAUAAAAAUUGAAUAAAAACCACGGAAAUUGUAAGAAAAACUUGGAAAUUUUUAUUGAAACUUUGCAGGGUGUUUAUUUAGUCAAUUAUCUAUUAGUUUAUCACAAAAAAUUGGAAGGAAAUGCAUUGCAUGAUGGAUUUAACUGAUUUAAGUUGAUUAUAUAGCGAGCUGGCAAACAUUGUGAGUGUAGAAAAUAUGUAGUAAUUAAUGAAAGAAGUUUAAACACACCAUAAUCAUUUAUAUAUAAUGAAUUAGUACAAUAUUUUACACUUUAUACAUUGCAUGGUAAGAUACAUGAGUGACUUAGUACCACAUAGAGUUCCUAUGAGGUUCAAAUUUUUCACUAUCUUCAUCAUCUCUAUGUGUAGAGUAAGUGUAUUGUGAAGAGUAGUUAUCAAAUGAUAAAUCCCCAAAAUAGUUUUGCAUGUAAUUGUUAACAUACCACCCAUAUGGAUCCAAGAUUGGUUGACGUUGUCCAUAAGCAAAAUCAUUUGAAGAUUGAGUCUCGGAUUCUUUCCAUGAGUCGCUCGAUUCCAUCCCAACAGGAAUGGGAUAUGAAGGGUAGGGAAAUGGUUGGUUAUGAGUAUAAUCAUAGUUACUACUUCCCACUCCAACAGAGUCCGAAGUUAUAAAUAACGAGUCAUCUUCUUGACUUAACAAAAUCCCCUUGCCUCUUUCUCUACGAGUAUAGUCUUUCCCUAUGGCACUAAUUCCUGGUCUUGCCCGCCUACUGCCAUGGUCCUCAUCCUGUGUUGCAUGCGUGAAGUUUGCCUCACCAGUGAAGGGGCUCAUAAAUCCGGGAGGUGGUCCAACAUAGUUUCCAUAUCCACUACUACCUCCAGCUCCACCUCCGGUGGUAGGUGAAACCACCAUUAUUUUGUCCACGGUAUGAAAUUGUACAAGUUGUAAUUGUAAAAGUUGUCAGGGUUUUGAAUUAUUUAGAUGCUUUUGAAUGAAACCACCAUUAUUUUUGUCCAUGGUCUGAAAUUGUACAAGUUGUAAUUGUAAAAGUUGUCAGGGUGCAAACCACACACGCACACAGACACACGCCACCACACACGCACACAAACAUCACACAUGCACACAGAGACUCUUGAUCAUUUUCUCCUCCCUUCUCUCUUCUCCCUUCUCCCACACACACACACAGAGAUUUCUCGAUCCUUCUCUCUUCUCCCUUCUCCCACACACACGCACAGAGACCUCAGUCUCUUGAUCCUUCUCCCACAUGGCCUUCUGCUCCUCCUUCGCCUUCCUCCUCAUCCGCGUCUUCCGCCUCGUUGGCGCCGUCUCUCUCUCGAAACUCUCAUCUCUCUCCUUUCUCUCUGCACCAAGACCCACAUACACACACGCACAUCAUCGCACCUGCUUGAGGAAGACACCCAUCGUCAUCAGCAACCUCGUCUUUCUCCCUCUCCUUCUCGUCUCUGCAACUCGACGAACGUAGGAACCCUCCGGCGAGUUUCUUGAAUUUUUCCAUUUAGGUAAGCUUCGGUUUACCUCUUUCUGUUCUAGAUUGAAGCUUAGAUGUGAAAUUUAAGUUCUAUCUCGUGUUUUUGCAAGGUUUUUGGGACGAAAUCAGCUCGGGAAUAGGCACAUCCAUCUCCGGCGAGGCCGUGGGUGUCGACGAACUUUCCGAACACCUCCGACCGUUUCAUGACAAACGGAAGUUAUAAAAACAUUUCUCUCAUCUUGUAUUUCAUUUUGAUACCUAGAUCGAAGUCUAGGGUGCUCUUUUACAGUCGCCCGGAGCUGUAGAAGCUCCGGCGUUCUUCUCCGAUUCGUACAUCUCUAAAAUAUCGCGAUAUUAUCGGUAAUAUCGCGAUAUUGUCGAUAUUAUCGAUAAUAUUGUGAUAUUUUGACGAAACCUCAGUGGAUAAGUAUUAAAAUAUUGGUAACUCAAAAAAUCGAUAUUAUCGGCGAAAUAUCGCCUAUAAUAUUGGCAUUUCAGACCUUGCUCUUACCUAACCCACAUGAUUCUUUGGGAUGGAAUCACAUUUGGUGGUCCUUCUUGUUUGUUAUACAUAUGUGGUAGGGAAUAGGGAUGGGCAAUGGUUAUGGCGGGCGGGUAACCGCGAUUAUUUACCCAUAACUGUUUAUGCUCGUACUCGCAUAACCGUUUACCUGUUGGGUAAUUGCCUAAACGAUUAUGCCCAUACCCAUAACAGUUUAUAAACGGUUAACCAUACCCAUAACUAUAUACCCAUUUAACCGUAACCGUUUAAUACCUGUUUACCAACUUUUUAACCCGUUUAUCUUUUCUUUUUUUUACCGUUACCCAUUUUUUCACCCAUCUACAUGUUUUUUAACAACUUGAAAAUUAAAAAAAAAAUUGUCAUAAUUUUCUUUUUUUUUGACACUUAAACACCGUUAUAGGUACAUUCAUCAUACAUUUCCAUAUUUUAAUUUUUGAAGUCCUUAUAUCAUUCGAAUAAUUGAAAUAAUAGUUUACAGACGAUAUUUAUAACUGUUACCAAUGAAGGUAAAAAUAAUAUUUUCUAAGUAUUAUUGGGUUACAAAAUUGUUUAGAAGACAUUUCUGUCAAAACAUUUAUGUCAAUUUCAUGGUUACCCACAAGGAAUUUAAAUUAAUUUGGCCAAUUCCUUGAUGAUGAGAAUCAUCAUUCAUGUAGCAGUGUUAUUGAGAGAAGAACCGAUGAAUUCCUUGCUAAUUUAUUGGAUGCUAAGUAUUAUUGGAUCGAGAAUAUGGUUUGUGUUAGUUUUACCUAUAUAAAUAAAUGGGUAAACGGUUACCCGUUUAUAACUGAAGUUAAUACCCAUAACCGCUUAUUUAAAUUUCGCGGGUAAACGGUUAUACCCAUAACCAUUCAUUUAUCUAAACGGUUACCCAUAACCGUAACCGUUUAAUUUAAAUGGACGAGUAACUGCAGUUACCCAUAACCAAUGAUUAUUUGCCCAUCCCUACCAAUGAUCAUGUCGGCCUAUCUUCAUUUUUGCAACAUUUUUCUUGAUUAGUUGGAAAGACAAGUCCAUGUGAUUUUCCAUGAGAAAAUGAAUAAAACACAUGGCUCUGCUACGGUCCUUCACCAAUCGUAUAUUUUUUCCAUGACCGAUGUCCUUGAAAAAUUGGAAGACAUAACCAUGUGAACAUAAUUGCUUGAGCAGCUGGGUCUCUGGCCCGUCCGCAUUCAAUUGCCUCCAACUUGUACACGAACGUAUCAAAUUCCUAACCUAUAUCCGAACCAAAGAGAUUGAGUCCUCACAUUUUAUAUAAGCUAAAACUGUUGAAAUAGCACCAUGGGAAAAAAAAUCUUGUCUCAAGCAUGUCUUUGAUUUUUUUAUAGACCUUCAUUUAAGAGAGGCUGGACACUGGGUUGCUUUCGUUUGGUCAUCGACUCGUGAAGUGUUGUUGAUAACUUGUAGACAAGUCCAUGUGAUUUUUGAUGAGCAAACUCUCUCUCACUUGGGUCCAUCCCAGUGCUUCAUCACCAAUCAUUUUAGGUAACUGACGGCUUGCAGCAUACCGCUUUAGCUAUAUAUGCACACAGUUCAGGAGCAAACCAACACAAGUCUUCUAUUCCCAAGCAUAUCUUAUCAAAGCACAUUCUGUCCUGAAAUUCAUUUGAACUCUUUAUUGUUCCUUUUUACAGAAAUUUUAAAACCAUGGGUUUCCGAUUUCCUGGUAUUAUACAUGCCAAGAAAAAUCAAGUUUCUUCAAAGUCAUUGGAUGUUCCAAAAGGCUAUCUUGCUAUCUACGUUGGGGAGAGCCAGAAGAAGCGGUUUAUUAUUCCUGUGUCCUACUUGAACCAACCUUCAUUCCAAGAUUUGUUAAGCCUAGCUGAAGAUGAAUUUGGAUACGAUCAUCCAAUGGGUGGUAUCACAAUCCCCUGCAGUGAAGACAACUUCCAUCGUCUCACCUCAGCUUUGCGGUAUAUGUAGAGAGGCUACAUAUACAUCGAAACGAUUUUGACACCAACGGCUGUAGGAGCACUUGGCAAUUUUAAUCGCUUUCUGGCUCACUUGAAGGAGGUUCAAUUGAUCCAUCGUCCAAUGAAUCAUUGUGAUGGAAGACAACAUCAACGUCAAACUGCUUCUGAGCUGAGAGGAAAAUGGCCAGCCUAGCGGACCUAAACUCACUGACAAUUUUUCAAGAAUAGUUAUUGUCAACUGAAUGUACAUAGUUGUCCUGCAAGGAAAACUGAGAUUAGAAUAUUUCAUUACAAUACAACGUUUUCACAGUUUCAUGAUUUACUGUUCAUUUUAGUUGCCAUCUUCUUUCUAUCAAGUUAUGAACAGACGAUAAAUUUACACACAAGGGACUAAUUCCUGGAAUAUUGACAGACGAAGUAAUGCAAGUAAACAUGGCGGAUUUAAAAACAUGUUAAGAAUGGACUAUUGUACGGAUAAAAUUUUAAAUAUAACAAGCAUUGGAUGCACCCUGAAUAGCACUAAUCCCUGCUGAAAUUACCAUGAAAAUACCAAUAUGUGCAUUGAAAAUGCCCCAAAUUAAAUAGCACUAGUCUAUGCUUAAAUUCUCAAAAAAAUAUCAAUGCAAACAUUCUUAUACAUUAUUUUAUUUCAUAGAAGUUUUCUUUUGGUCGACAUUAAAAACCUAUUCAGGCAAAUCCCUUAAGACAUGCACCAAACGUAUUAACCAUGCUAGGUUCUCAAGAUUUACAACUCUUUAUAUGAUUAUAUUACUUACUAGCCUGGUCAAAAAGUUUCAACCAUACAGAUAUUAGCAAAGCAAAAAUAUAGUCUCAAGUAGGUUCUUUACUGCAAGAGAUCAGCCUAGAUACUUAAUUUUUGCCAGUGUCAACAACUACGACUCUUACCUUCCCAAAAUUGAUCUGAUUACUCGAAUAAUUGGUACCUAUACAUACGAAUGCUCUUACUUGAUUUAGUGUGUUGACAGUGAAAUCUGUACGUACUAAAAAAAUUCCCUUUAUGGGAGCUACAGGUCUUUGGCUAGCUAAUUGAGUACUGACUUGUGUUAAAUCUCUCAUGGAUUAGAUCACAUGAUUGGUGAUUAAGCCAAAAGAACUGGGGGCCGAAGCUAUUUGGAAGCUCCUGAGUCAAUGUCCGUCUUAUUAAAGAAGCACCAUGUCCACUCUCAGCAGCUGUAUAGAUGUAACUAAAACUGAGAAUAUAUCCAUCGUUUUACCAGUUUGAGCAUGGAAACUUGUUGCUAUGAUAUAGUAGUUCAACCACAAAUAAAUUUGUGUUGGGUCCGCAUAUGUAGUAUGUUGAACUAGCAACCUGGAAGAAAAUGCCUGUUUUCACAUGUCUCUGAUUUUGUAGUCAUGUAUCUAUUCUUCCAAAAGGAUUCAUUUAUGCAAAUUUUAAUCUGAUCUGAUGGCAUUGGUGGUAAUUAGUUGGAGACAAGUUCAUGUGGUUUUCUAUGAGCUAAUCUCUCUCAUGGAACCAUCUUGGUGCCUCAAUCACCACUCAGUCGUUUCAGAUAAUAGAUGGUUUAUGGCAUAUACCCAUUUAUCUAUGUUGGAAGAAUAAUGUUGUUGGAAGAAUAAUGCAAGCUUUAACAGCUCAGCUUAGGGAGCUUUCGGCUAGUCUUAGUGCUAGUGUUAGCUAUUAUUCCCUCAUCAUUGUAAAGCUAGUUAGUGAGAGUGGAGGUCAUCAUCAUGCUUGCUUAGCUGCCAUUAUUCUCUACCUUUUGUCCUCUAUUCUUCUUUCCCAUUUCUUCUUCUAUAUAUGUUUGAUCUUGUAACUGUUUUAUACAUGAAAUAUACAUAAAAAAUUCAAUAUGGUAUCAAAGCAGGAACUCUAAAUUCCUGACUCUAGUAAUCGUUUCCGCUAAGUUUCUUUUGCUCUAAGCCAAGAUGGCUGAAGAACUCUCUGAAACUGAAAGCUCGAUGGAUGCUCCAGCAUUUUCUGACGUUGAGGUCAAUCCUAAUCAACGUCUUAGUUCUGUUUUGUUGAAUGAAUUCAACUACCUUCCCUGAAGUCGUGCAGUAUCUCUUGCACUUGGAAGAAGAUCAAAGCUUGGCUAUGUAAAUGGUGCUAUUGAAGCUUCAGUAGUCACUUCUUCUACAUACGAGUCGUGGCUGUGCAAAGAUCAGUUGGUCAUGUCUUGGUUGCUCAAUUCAAUGGAGCGAAGGAUUGCUGAAAUUUUCAGUUAUUCUGAGUCAUCCAUGCAUCUCUGGAAGCAAGUAAAAGAGAUGUAUGGAAAUCAAAAUAAUGCUGCCCGUGUUUUCCAGCUUAAGAAGAAUCUAGCAAGUCUACAACAAGGAAGCAAAGCAUUUGUUCAACAUCUUGGCAGUCUUGCAACAUGUGGAAUGAGCUCGAUGUUUAUCGUCCUCAUACCACUAAUGCCACUGUGUUGAUCAAGAGAGCAGAAGAAGACAAUUUUUCAACUCUUGGCAAGCUUAGGUCCAGAGUUCGAAGACCUCAGAAGUCACAUCUUAAUGAAUGCUGAACUCCAUUCCUUCACUGGUGUGUGUGCCAUAAUCCAAAGGGAAGAAGUAAGGAAGAAAGUCAUGAAUCAAGAGACUAAAGACAACGUUUCUGAGACUAGGGCUUAUGUCUCUAGCAACAAACGUCCUGAAAGCAAAGUUUACAAGGGAAAAAGACCAGAUUUAAAGUGCAGCUACUGUGAUUCUCUUGGCCAUAUAAAAGACAGAUGUUGGAUUCUUCAUCCAAAAUUGAAGCCUAAGUUCUCGAAGGAGACAAAAGGUCCAGAGAUAAAGGGUACACAAAAAUAUCUAAACAAUAAUAGCUACAAGGCUAACCAUGCAGCUACCUUGUCGACAGAAGGAAUGGUAAAUUUCACUACCAAUCCUGCUGCAUUAAUCAAUGAUUUUGCAGCAUAUCUCCACAGCAAACAAGUGCUUAACAAUAGAGAUGAAGCUCCCGUAGCUGAAGAGAAGAAUCACACAGCUUUACUUGGAAAAUUUGCUGGUUUUCUGGCUAAACAUGAUCAUGUUUCACAGAAAGAUAUCCCAGGUAUUUUCAGUGCCUUCUCUACUGCCCUAAAUGCUAGUAAUGAACAUGAUUAUUGGAUCAUUGACUCAGGAGCCACGGAUCACAUGACAAAUAAAAUUAAUAACUUACAUGAUUUUACAAAAAUGACAAAUUUUUCUCAAGUGUCCGUAGCUAAUGGGAAGGGUGCCACAUUUGUAGGAAAAGGAAAAAUCAACUUAUUGUCAAAACACAUAGAGUCAGCAGCCCUUUACAUACCUUCUUUUCCUUUUCAACUUCUAUCAGUAGGAGCUAUCACCAAUUCUCUAAACUGUCUAGUCAUUUUCUCCCCUCACAAUGUCAUUUUUCAGGAUAUCAUCACCAAGAGAACGAUUGGUGAAGGUUUCUUGUUGAAUGGGCUUUACUACUUGGCUAAAGACACUAAUAAUCCCAAGUUUUUUCAAGUCAGUUCAAGUGUUUUUCAAGAUCAACAACUUUGGCAUCAACGUUUGGCACAUCCUUCUGAUAAAGUAAUGUCUUUUUUGUUUCCAAAAAUAUGUAAGGACAAGUUAAAGUGUGAUGUUUGUCACUUGUCUAAAUUUUCUAGGUUGCCUUUUGAUUCUUCCACUUCUAGAGCUAGCCAUCCUUUCGAAAUCAUUCAUUCAGACAUUUGGGGUCCAAUACUAGAGUCAUUUGAUGGAUAUAAAUACUUUGUAACCUUUGUUGAUGAUUUUACAAGGAUGACUUGGUUGUAUCUUUUGAAAUUUAAGAGUGAACUUUCAAAUGUUUUUCAAGAUUUUCACAAACUGGUUGGUAUUCAAUUUGCAUAAAAAAUUCAUAUAUUAAGAUCCGACAAUGGCACUGAAUACAUGUCCCAUAACAUGUCUCAAUAUCUUAGUAUUCAUGGAAUACUGCACCAAACUACAUGUGUUGGCACACCCCAACAAAAUAGGAUUGCUGAGAGAAAGAAUAAAGACCUUCUUGAGAAGACAAGAUCAAUCAUGUUUCAUAUGAAUGUGCCAAAGAAAUUUUGGUCACAAGGAGUACUUACAACUGCCUACCUAAUCAAUAGAUUGCCUAGUAAAGUACUCAGUUUCAAGUCUCCAUAUGAAGUGUUGAAGGACAGACCGAAUGAUCUCUCACACUUGAGAGUUUUUGGGUCCACUUGCUUUGUUCACAACCAAUCUCUCCACCGUGAUAAACUGGAUCCUCGAGCAACCAAAUGUGUUUUCUUUGGCUACUCAUCUACCCAAAAGGGCUACAAGUGUUACAAUCCAAUCACAAAGAAAAUAAUGGUUUCAAGGGAUGUGAGAUUUGAUGAAAACAUGCCCUACUUCUCCAAGAAACUAAGUGAUACAGAUCAGGGGGAGUUUUUGAGUGACAUGUUUCCAUUAUCUAGUGUUCCCCUCUAUCAAGAAAGUCCCAUUUCAUGUAACCCACCAACUCUAUUGCAUGAGAUACCUUCAUCUCAAACCACAGAUAUUGAACCUUAAGUUCCAAUUCGUCGAAACCCUUCUAGGGUUCAACAGCCUCCAAUUUGACUACAUGAUUAUGUCACCUACACUUCUAGGUAUCCUCCUACAAACUUUGUUUCCUAUAAGUAGUUUUCCCCCUCUCAUACUUCUUUUCUUAGUACCUUGGACAAUACUCAUAAACCACAAACAUUUCAAGAAGCAAAUGAACUUGAAAUCUGGCAAAAAGCGAUGAGGGAUGAACUGCAAGCUCUUCAUGACAACCGAACCUGGAGUGUAGUUAAACUUCUCGAAGGGAAGAAAUCGGUUGGCAGCCGUUGGGUGUACAAGACUAAGUUCAACUCAGAUGGGACGAUUGAAAGGCACAAAGCUCGUUUGGUGGCUCGUGGAUUUACCCAGACUUAUGGCUUGAAUUACAAGGAAACAUUUGCUCCCGUAGCCAAAAUGAACACUGUAAGGGUUAUAUUAUCAGUUAUCGUUAAUAAGUCUUGGCCUCUUUAUCAAACGGAUGUGAAGAAUGCUUUUUGCAUGGGGAAUUAGAGGAGGAAGUGUACAUGAAACUACCACCCGAACAUCCUCAAUCAGAUGACCCUGACAUGGUUUGUAAACUGCACAAAUCUACUUAUGGAUUGAAACAGUCUCCACGUGCAUGGUAUGCAAAACUGAGCUCCAUUCUUGAAAAGUUUGGCUUUCAAAGAAGUAGUGCUGAUUCCUCACUAUUUGUUCGUGAUGGCUUAGUUGGAAAAGUAAUCGUUUUAAUCUACGUUGAUGAUCUUAUAGUGACAGGUGACAAUGCUGAAGAAAUUCACUUUCUUAAGCUUACUCUGCAAAACAAAUUGGCAAUCAAAGAUUUGGGACGUCUCAAAUAUUUCCUUGGUAUUGAGCUUGCAAAUUCACAUGAAGGCUUCUUUCUCAAUCAAAGGAAAUACAUUCUUGAUCUUUUGAAAGACUCUGACUUAAUAGAUAGUAAACAUGCACGUACUCCUUUGGAUAGCAAGCUACAACUUAGUACUCACAGUGAAGCUUUCUUUGAUAUUACUAAGUAUCAAAGACUUGUAGGAAAGCUUAUUUAUCUCACAAUCACGCGUCUUGAUAUCUCUUAUGUCGUGAGUAUUGUGAGUCAAUUUAUGCAUGCUCCUACAUUAGCUCAUAUGCAAAUUGUGAAGAGAAUUCUUCGUUAUCUAAAAGGGUCUAUUUGUCGAGGACUCCUUAUGACAAAAAAUGAUAGCACUGCCAUCAUGGGAUAUACAGAUGCUGAUUGGGCUGGGAAUUCUCUUGAUCGUAAGUCAACAACAGGUUUUUGCACCUUUGUAGGUGGCAAUUUGGUAACAUGGCGCAGUAAGAAGCAAACUGUGGUAGCUCGAUCCAAUGCAGAGGCCGAGUAUCGAGCUAUGGCCUCCACUGCGUGUGAACUUAUUUGGCUGAAAAGCCUUCUGUUGGAUCUAGGCUUUCCCAGCAAUGAACCUAUGUCUAUGUUCUGUGACAAUCAAGCUGCCAUGCACAUUGCUUCCAAUCCGGUCUUCCAUGAGAGAACAAAGCAUAUUGAAGUGGAUUGUCAUUAUGUUCGAGCACAAGUUCAAUCCAAAAUCAUAACCACCUACUAUACUCACAGUCAUGAUCAGUUGGCUGACAUUUUUACCAAAUCUCUUCCUACGGUUCCGUUUCUAUGCAUUAUGUCCAAGCUUGGCUCAAGGGAUCCCCUAGAUCUAGCUUGAGGGGGAGUGUUGGAAGAAUAAUGUUGUUGGAAGAAUAAUGCAAGCUUUAACAGCUCAACUUAGGGAGCUUUCGGCUAGUCUUAGUGCUAGUGUUAGCUGUUAUUCCCUCAUCAUUGUAAAGUUAGUUAGUGAGAGUGGAGGUCAUCAUCAUGCUUGCUUAGCUGCCAUUAUUCUCUACCUAUUGUCCUCUAUUCUUCUUUCCCAUUUCUUCUUCUAUAUAUGUUUGAUCUUGUAACUGUUUUAUACAUGAAAUAUACAUCAAAAAUUCAAUAAUCUAUAUAUUUUAUGGCCAGGCUCAGAAGAAAAUCACAAAGCUUUCUCUCAUUUUUUGAAGUCAACUGAAAUUUCCAUUGUUGCUUAAUUUUGUCAUUAAGAAACUUUUAAUUAUGGGUUUCCAGUUGCCGGGCACUGUUCAUGCUAAGAAAUUCCAAAUUUCGGCGUUGGAAUUCCUAAAUGAGAACUAUAAUGUAUUAUUAUUUUUUAGGAAUAAUUAGUAUCCGGUCCCUAGUUACUAAUGUUCAUUGACUGAAAUCUUAUUAGUUUUCAGAUUUUGAUCCAAAUCCCUACCAUUAAUGUAUUAAUGAAUUUACAUGUCAAUUAUAUAAUUGUUUAAAAUAAAAAUUAAUAAUUGAUUUAGGAUUUUAAUACUCCUACCUUUAUUAAACUCCUAACUAAUUUUUAAUCCAAAACAUUUCCAAAAUAAAUAAAAAAUUAGAAUAAGUUUGUACCCAUUAGCUUUUUAAAAAAUGUUUUCAAUUUUUUAAUCUUAUAUGUACCCAUUCAUGUAAUUUUUUCAAAUUUUUAAUCUUAAAAUGUACCCAUUCUUAAAUAUAUCAAUUUGUUAUAUGUAAAAUGUACCAUUUUUUGCUAGCAAAAAAAAUGUAUUCAGGUUUAAACUUAUAUGGGUACAUUUUUAGCUAGUAAAUUUUUUUUUCAAACUUAUAUGGGUACAUUCUUUUUCUUUGAUUUGAGAAUGUAAUCAUGUUAAGUUUCAUCGAAGAAAUUUAAUAAUGUUAUUAAGUCUAAUAUCUAAUUUUUUUUGUGGUUUUGAAGAACGUACCCAUGUUUUGGUUCACUAAUUUUUUUGUUAAUUUUUAUGAAUGUACUCAUGUUUUUACACACACACACACACACAAUAGUAUAAUUUAUAUUUUAAUAUUUUUCAUCCCAUAAAUUAUGGGUUUUGAUUUAAAAUCUCAUUAACAUAAACAACUAUAAAUUUCAAUUUUUAAUUUAAAAAAAUAUAGUAACAUAAAUAGAAAUAAAUUAUCACAUUUAUUUCAAGGACGUAGAUCAAAAAUUGAAAACCAACAAGAUUUCAAUAAAAAAAUAUUGAUAGAUAGGGACCUCAUCCAAAGUCUCCCUAUUUUUUAUUCUGCUGGUUAUCUUAUAUAUCUUAUGUUUGGGUUCUAGUGAACUCUUAUGUAUCCUACAUCUUUCUAUCACCUAUUAAUUUUUGGGUGUAUCUCAGGAUCGGGACGUGACACCUCAACCGUGAUAAAUCGAAUGUAUAAUUAAGGAGAGAUUUGUUAGCCUAUGACCUUGUAUGCACCCGCUAUUGAUUCAGUACUUUGUAUCCAUACAAUCUCUGUUAAGUAGUAACAUCCAUCUAGUAAGGCUAGCUAAGUUGUCUAGCUAAAGCAGUGAGCUCCUAAAUGCUUCGAUGUAAUUAGGAAUGAAACCAUGUAAUUAUAAGUUGUAAAUCCCGAUUUGAGAUUUUCAACAAAAACAUGGUACAUCACAAUUCCAAAAAUUGUAAAACUGAGCUGUUAUUUUCACGGCAAAAUAGUAUUUCCCUUGUAAAAAUGCUGUGAUCAUUUACUGAAUUAUUACUGCAACUUUUAUGUACAUCAGAGCCUAACAUCCUUAUCCACAUUUAUAAUCUUUAUUCACAUCAUCCUUCAGAGAGUACAUUUCGCACUCACAAAAGGGAAAAGUAUUUGUACAGUAUGAAGAAAAAUUCUUGCUUUACAAAAAUGUGACUCAACUCGUAAUCACAAUGAAUUCAUAACUGAGAAAUAAUAUCAAUGAAGGUAUCUUGUCUGCAGGGAAUUGUUAGACCACCCAUUGGAUGAUCAAAUCCAAAUUCUUGUUCAGCCUCACUUAGCAAGUCUUGGAAUGAAAGUUGGUUGAGGUAUGAUACAGGAAUGACAAACCGCUGUCUCUCGCUCUCCCCAACAUAAACCGCUAAUAACCUUUUGGGACAUCUGCUAAAUUAUGUGAACCACCUCGACUUGAAUUUGAAAAAGACCGCCGAAGAAUUUUCUUUGCAUGAGUUACACUUGGACGACGGAAACCCAUGAUUUUAUGUCUUUCUGGAGAAAUGUCCGGUGCAAGUUUAUUGGAGAAAGAAGAAGAGAAGAGUUGAGAAUAUUCAGAGGCUUGAAUGAAUAAUGGCAAUGAAAGUCUCAUGAAAUAAAUAUAGUUAAAGUUUUAUGUAGGAUUUGUCCUCUGUUGAAAGAAAUAUGUGGUGACAAUUAAGACCAUAUUAGGGCAUAGAAGGGACACUGAUGACAUGGUGCUGUUUUCCACCUCAACUUCAAUAUUUUAGGUGAAAUACUGCUGGACAUAAUGCAGUACUUCAACAGAAAUAUAUUCUCAAUCACCACCAAUUAAUGUAUUUUGACAAGAUGAUGAAUUUGAAGACAGAGCCAUGUGAACUUGCAAAUGCUUCUGUCUUUAGAUUUUUUUUCAAUCCCAUUCAAUUUCUUGCAGACCACUCACUCAAACUUUCUUAUAACAUCCUGUUAAUUGUUAGGAUUACCAGUGAUCUUGUCGGCGUAUCUUCAGAACAUGAGUAGGACACUAUGUUUUAUUUAGUUUCAAUACGUUUUCAGUUUGUGCAGUUAUGAAAAGAUGUAGCUGUAGGGUAUUAUGAUUCUUCAUUUCUACUCGUAUAUUUUUCUUGAUUAGAUGGAAAGACAUGUCCAUGUGAUUUUCCACGAGAAAAUGACUAUCAACUGGCUCCACCACGGUCCUUCACCAAUCAUAUUUUUUCCGUAAUCAAUGUCCUUGAGAAAUUGGAAGUCAUAGCCAUGUGAACAUUUAAAUGUUAAAAUUAGAAGAAAAUGUAGUACAACAAUGGAGGAUAUGCUGCAAUGACUAGAGUGAGAGAGAGGGAAUGAAUGAGAGCAGAGAAUAUGACUCUGCAAUUCUUCACACACACACUGUUUGAUUGCUUUUUUUUUUUUUGAGAGAGAAACAUCUCUCUACACAUAACAGUUACACUUCCAAUCUUUUGGCAGUAUUCAAAAUUACAUCCAAGUAAUCCUAGCCAUCCAUCUUACACCCUCUGAGAUGAAGACACAUGUACACUCACUUACUUAAGAACUAAGAGACUUAGAUAAGAAAGCAUACAACCAAUUUAGCUAAACAUCCUAGCAAUAUAAGCUAGAAAUACAACUACACAUCAGAUCACAAUUUACACACUAACAGCCCCCUUUAAAUUGUGAACUGAUUUAACUCCAAGAAGUUCCCUCAGAUAACUGAAUUGUUCUCUUGCCAAUGCCUUUGUAAAGAUAUCAGCAAUUUGCUCUUUUGUAGGACAAUGCAACAGCUCAAUUACUCCUUGCUGCAAUGCUUCCUUUAUGAAAUGGUAUCUCUUGUUGAUGUGCUUGGUCUUCUGAUGAAAAAUAGGGUUUUUAGUGAUAGCUAUGGCUGAAGUAUUAUCACAAUUCAUUGGUGUUGCAACUGUUUGCAUUUCACCAAAGUCCUCCAAAACAAAUCUCAGCCAUGUAGCCUGUGCAGUUGCUUCAGAUGCACUAAUGUACUCUGCUUCAGCUGUUGAUAAUGCAACACAUUGUUGCUUGACUGAAGACCAAGAGAAAACUCCACUGCCAAAGGUGAAUGCAUACCCCGAUGUACUUUUCAUAUCAUCUUCUGAACCGCUCCAGUCACUGUCACAAAAUCCAAUUAAGAUUGCUCCUUUGCCUUUCUUGUAUUCCAAGCCAAAAUCAAGAGUCCCUUGAACAUAUCUUAGUACUCUCUUUGCUGUACCAAGGUGCUUGUUGGUUGGACAGUGCAUAAACCGUGAUAGCAGACAUGCAGCAUACAUUAUAUCAGGUCUAGUUGCUGUGAGAUACAGCAAACUGCCUACAAUUUGUCUAUAUUGAGCUUCAUCCGCAGUCCCACUUUCAUCUUCUUUUCUCAAUUUAUCACUUGGAACCAAUGGAAUACUCACUGACUUACAGUCUUGAAGUCCAAAUUUCUUCAGUAGAGAAGAAGCAUAUUUUCUCUGAUGAAUGAAAAUAUACUCCUCAGUUUGCAUUACUCCCAUACCAAGAAAGUGAUGUAAGAGUCCAAGAUCUGUCAUUUCAUAUUUGAGCAUCAUAUCAGAUUUGAAAUCAUCCAUCAAUUCCUGACAACUUCCAGUGUAUAUUAUGUCAUCAACAUAGAUAGACACAAUAAUCAUUUCUGAACUUUUCCUCCACUUGGUAUACAGAGUUGCUUCACUAGUGCUUUUCUUAAACCCACAGAGUGUAAGGUAUGAGUCUAUUUCACCAUACCAGGCCCUUGGUGCCUGCUUCAGACCAUACAGUGCUUUAUGUAACCUGUAGACCUUAUCUUCUUCCCCUUGUACAAUAAAUCCAUCCGGCUGAUCAACAUACACACUUCUUCUUCUAGUACCCCAUUCAAGAAUGCCGAUUUUACAUCCAAUUGAAACAACUUCCAUUUGUUCUUUGCUGCCAGGGCAAUUAAUGUUCUGAUUGUAUCCAACCUUGCCACAGGUGCAAAGGUUUCAUUAUAAUCAAUUCCGGGCUUUUGUGCAUAGCCUUUUGCAACAAGCCUAGCCUUGUUCUUUUGAACUGAUCCAUCCAAAUUCAAUUUAGUUUUGUACACCCAUUUCACACCAAUCACAGGUUUAUCAGAUGGUCUUUUUCACUAAUUCCCAAGUCUUAUUUUUCUCAAUCAUGCUGAUUUCAUCUUUCAUAGCUUUCUUCCAAGCUUCAUCCUGUGCAGCUUCAUAAUAGGAUUCUGGUUCAACAAUACACACAUGACAUCUUUCAUAGAUUUCACUCAAACUUCUAUAUCUCAAAGGAGUAUGAUCAAUCUGAGAGAUCAGAGAAGUUGAGUCACUAGCACUUCCAGAUUCAAUGAGUGGAGAAUCUGUAAGUUGAGUCUGAGAACCUUCAGCAACAGCUUGUUUCCAUGGAAUCCGAAUCCUCAUCAGCUUCUUUCAUCUCUGAAGAUUCACUUGCAGCAAUUGGAAUGUACACUUCUUUGAUCUUCUGUCUAUCCCAAUCCCAUGUACCAUUCUCAUCAAAAAUAACAUCUCUUGAAAUGAUUACUUUCUGAUUUUCAGGAUUAAGCAAUCUGUACCCCUUUUCACAAGUGCCAUAUCCAAUAAAAAUACCAAUGACACUUGUUUCAUCCAGCUUCUGUCUCAGGUUUCCAGGAAUAAGAGAAUAACCUAAUGAGCCAAACACUCUCAAGUGUUGAAUUCCAGGUUUUCUUCCAUUGAAUUUCUCAAAAGGUGUCACAUUUUCCAAUGCUUUUGUAGGACAUCUAUUUAGCAAGUAGACAGAUGUAACUACAGCUUCACCCCAAAGACUAUAAGGAAGACCCUUUCUCAUGAAGCAUACACUUUGCCAUCUCCACUAUAGUUCUAUUUUUCCUCUCUGCAACUCCAUUCUGUUGUGGAGAGUAUGCAACAGUAAGCUGCCUCUCCAAACCCAAAGCUUCACAAAACUGUUCAAAUUCAUUUGAGGUAAAUUCUCCUCCUCUAUCUUUUCUCAAUUUCUUCACUGAAAAACCACUUUGAAGUUCCACCAUAGCUUUGAAUUUAUUGAAUACAUGAAAGACAUCUGACUUGUGUCUCAAGAGAUAUAUCCAGCACAUCCUCGAAUAGUCAUCAAUGAAUGUAACAAAGUAUCGAUUUCCACUCAUGGUUGGUGUUUGCAUAGGACCACACACAUCUGAGUGUAUAAGUUCCAAUGGCAUUCUUGCUCUCCAGAUUGACUCCCUUGGAAAGGACACUCUAUGAUUCUUACCAAAUGCACAUCCCUGACAUACACCUUCACUGUCAUGCAUUUCAGGUAACCCAAGAACCAUAUCAUGCUCCUGCAAUUGUUGCAAACUUCUAAAAUUCAGGUGGCCAAACCGUUUAUGCCACAUUGUACUACUCUGAUGCACAUUGGUUUUCAGUACCAAAUGAUCGUUUGACUUGAACACAAGUGGAAAGCAUCUGUUUCCUUUUUGUUUCACACUAACAACUAAAUUUGUCAGAGUUCUAUCAUAAAAAAUAUCCACCUUAUAAUCACCAAAUAACAGAAAAUACCCAUGUUCAGUCAUCUGCCCAACACUGAGAAGGUUUUCUGCAAUUCCAGGUACCAACAUAACUUCUCUUAUGUACCUUUUUCCUUUAUCCGUAUCAAUGACCAAGGUUCCUUUGCCUUUCACAUCAACAAGAACCCCUGUGCCAACUUGCACUUUUGCCUUAAUACUUCUAUCAAUUUCCACAAGUAACUCCUCUUUGGAAGUCAUGUGAUUACUGCACGUACUGUCAAUAUACCAGGCAUCACUCACAGCUUUCACUUCAGUUGAUUGCUUGACCAUGAAGAGAUUUCCAGGUUCUCCCACCUUGUUUGUAAAGUUUCUUUGCUCUCCCACUUUGUUUGCAAAAUUUCCUUGCUGAGCAUUUUUGUUUUGAUUGCAGAUCCUAGCAAUAUGACCAGGUUUUCCACACUUGUGACAUUUAAUCUUCCCUUUUAGCCAACAUUCACCAUAGUGAAGUUUAUCACAGUAUUUGCAUGCCCCUCCAGUGUUGUUAGCUUCAUUUCUUACACUUGGAGUAAACCUAUUAGUCCACUGCUUCCCUUUGAACUUGAAGUUCUUCGGAUAUUUUGAUCCACCAGUAUUGGUAUGUUGAUUACCAAAUUUACUAUUCUUAGAUGAGAUAUCUAAGCUAGCAAAUGCACGUUCUGUGCUACUCUCUUCAUGUCUGAUUAAUCUCAGUUCAAACCCUUUCAAUAUGGCAACCACAUCUUGUGCAUCAAUUACAUCAAUAUCUUUAGUAUUUUCUAUAACAGAAGCAAUGCUAUCAUAUGUUUUGGGUAAACUGAUCAAUAGCUUUUGCACAAUUCUCUGAUUACUAAGAUCUUCUCCAUAGCUUCGCAUCUGAUUUAUCAGAUCAAACAACCUAACUAAAUAUGCAGCUAGAGAUUCACUUUCACUCAUACGGGUAUAUUCAAAAUCACGACGCAGACCUUGUAAUUUCACAGAUCGUACCUGUUUGUCCCCUACAUACUCUUGCUUCAGAAUAUCCCAAGCUUCUUUCGCAGUUUCCAAAGUUGCAAUGCGUGGAAAAAUUUGAUCCGAUACGGCUCCCUGAAUGAUUCCAAGAGCCCUUGCAUCCUUGACCAGAUUUUCACUCCGCAACUUCGUUUCCACCUCAGUGAGGUCUCCUUCCCCUUUCGCUGAAGUGGUAAAACCUUUUUCAACAAUAUUCCAUAACUCGUGAGAUUGGAAGAUUGUUUUCAUUCGAAUCUGCCAGAAAUCGAAGUUUUCUCCGUUGAACACCGGAGCUCGAAGCUCCCCUCCACCAGAUCCAGCCAUGUUAGACUCAGAUCACACCUCUCUCUACUAUUUCCUUUGCAACGAUGUGUUGCAAACACUUGCUCACUAUCUCUCACAGAAUUGACGCCCAGAGAUUCAGACCCAACAAGGCUCUGAGGCCAUGUUAAAAUUAGAAGAAAAUGUAGUACAACAAUGGAGGAUAUGCUGCAAUGACUAGAGUGAGAGAGAGGGAAUGAAUGAGAGCAGAGAAUAUGACUCUGCAAUUCUUCACACACACACUGUUUGAUUGCUUUUUUUUUUUUUUGAGAGAGAAACAUCUCUCUACACAUAACAGUUACACUUCCAAUCUUUUGGCAGUAUUCAAAAUUACAUCCAAGUAAUCCUAGCCAUCCAUCUUACACCCUAUGAGAUGAAGACACAUGUACACUCACUUACUUAAGAACUAAGAGACUUAGAUAAGAAAGCAUACAACCAAUUUAGCUAAACAUCCUAGCAAUAUAAGCUAGAAAUACAACUACCACAUCAGAUCACAAUUUACACACUAACAUUAAAAGCUUGAGCAGCUGGGUCACUUGACAAUACGGAUUCAAUUGCCACUCUCGGCAGCUGUAUAGAUGUAACUAAAACUGUUUACAAUAUAUCCCACCUUUAAGAUAAUUCCCUAGCUAAUUAGAUCACAGACAGGCUUGUGACAACGUGGAGCCAAUGCUAAUUAUUUGUCGACAAAUUUUUUCGUAGCAAUUAAUAUUUUUCCUCGUCAUUCUUUGCAAUUUCUAAAGACAACGUGGCACUUAAUGUUUUGUUCAGUGUUGACAUUGACUCGCGAGUUGUUCUUGAUUAGUUGGAAGAAAAGUCGAUGUGAUAUUUCGCUAAUGUUGUCUCGUCACUUGGGUCCUUUACCACAAAUCAUUUCAUGCAACUGAUGAUCUUCACCGUACCACUUCAUCUAUAUAUAUGCAUGAAAAUCAGAUUCCGGAGCAAAGCAACACAAGUUUUCUACACCAAAAUAUUUCUUAGAGCUUAAAUUUAUCAGAUCAUUUGAAAUCUUAACAGAGAAAUUUUAAUACCAUGGGCUUCCUGAUAACAUUCAUCAAGGUACACAGAUGAAUGUUUUGCAGAAAAAGUAUAAGAACUGUAUAAGAAGAAAUGUAGAGAGAGAAUCAAGAGAAUGCAGACUUUGUUAUUUCUUAGAGAUAGAAAAGAGAUAAUCAUACUACGAUUCGAUACAAGCUUAUAUAACAGCCAAGUGUAGCUUAUCAGCUAAGCUAUCAAUGUAACUAACUUUUAACAAACUAACAGACUACAAUAGCUGAUGUGGCAUUCCUAACUAACUGUGAUGAUGUGUCAAAUGAUGUGGCAGUAGUCAUAUAUCUUCAACAUUUCCGGUUGCCUGGUAUUGCACAUGCUAAGAAAAACCAACCACCAUCAAGCUCGUCAGAUGUUCCUAAAGGUUAUUUUGCAGUCUAUGUUGGGAAAGGGGAGAGCCAGAACAAGCGGUUCGUGAUUCCGGUUUCAUAUUUGAACCAGUCCUUUUUCCAAGAUCUGUUAAGUCGAGCUGAAGAAGAAUUUGGAUACGAUCAUCCAAUGGGUGGUAUCACACUACCCUGCAGUGAAGAUACCUUCAUCUCACUUCCCGUUUGUGUGAGUAAACCCUAAGGAAGUGAAUAUGUGUUCCAAAUUCAUGCCCAAAGCAUCAUCAUUUUGGAACUCGCGAUAUAUCAAGCUGAAGAAUAGGCUAAGAUAUGAUUUAAUAUAUCCAAACGCCUUCUUUAGUCGUCAAGCUGCUCAGCAGUAAGAUACACAAAAUUAAGUAGUCAGAAUGACCAUGUCAUGAACUACAAAAAGAGUCAAAUGCUUUCUUUGAAGCCCGUAUGGUGUAAAUUCUUCAUUUGUAAUUCUUCAUCCAUUCUUGUCUUAUACUUUUCAUUUUACUUCUUGGCAUUGAACUUGUUAUCGGUGCUUGUUAAGAUUUGUAUCUAAUAUUUAGGAGUUCAUUUUAAUUUUCUCAUUGAAUCAUUAAUCUAGAGCAAGUUAUGUAACUUUCUUUGUACAGUCUUUUAUUGUAUCAUACACACAAAAUUCUCAUACAUUACCAAUUUUACAUAGCAUUGGAGCAAAGUUCCCUGAGUUUUUGCUUUGUAGCCCUCCACUACAAAUCCAAGACACUUUCCACAAACAAUAUGGGUGAUAUUAAUUAAUAAAAAACUAAUAGUCGAAAUAUUCUUUUGAUAAGAUGAGAGAUUUUUUAUAUAGACUUUUAGGAAUUUAAUUUAUGAUUUGUAGUUUUGACCUUCUUUCGAGAGCUUAGCAUUCGACCAUCGUUUUAGAUUAAAUGCCUAUUUGAGACAUGGUUUUGAAUAUUCCUACUAAUGUGAAUUUGAGGUUUGCCGAUUAAUCUUCCGCAUUAAGUCACUAAGUAGGAUAGGUAGCACUUAUUUAUGAACGAAUUUGAGAGUGUUACACCAACGCUACUGCCGACUACACUCUCUUGUGCUCAACAAGUCGUCCAUUGUCCAGGCCAGUGAAACUCUAAAAUAAACUUAUUUGAGUGAUAUUAUAGUAUAAAUAAAUAAGUUUAUUUGAUGGAUUCUUUGUAGGGCUCACUCUACAUCGUAUUUCAAUUAUCCAAACCAUCCAUCUUUUAGGUGUUUCCUCAUCGAUCAUUUCUACGAAAAAUCACCCAAAUCCGAAACCAUUUGGCCACUAGAUUAAAUGGUAGUUAUAUUAGUAUUUCUUUGAAAAACCAUGUUCGUCUCUUUUCUUCACUACAAUUAGAUGCCUUAAUAGUUUUGAAUUUGCCUAAUUUUUUAUAAAGAUGAUCUAUGAAUGUUGUCAAAAUAUGUUUAUUCUAGCUAAUUGCCCUAAAAAUUUCAUGAAAAUUACAAGAAAUGAAUCGGUGUGGAUCAUAAAUACAUUUAAAUACUCCCUCAUGUGUUUUGGAGAGCAAAAAUGAAGUUUACAUAUAUAGGAUAAAAGACAACUUUACCACCUUAGACCAUCUCCAAAUGAGAUGUUAAACACGUAAUAAUAUUUUAAGGCAGAUAGAGGCUUCAACUGAUAUAUCAAUCUUAUGUGGAUUCUAUUGUGUGCUGUCAAUUUUGACAUAUGAGAAAAUAUGAUGUCAAUAUUAGAUAAAAUAUGAUUUCAUUUCAUGAAAGGAUAAAGUUACACUUUGAGUAUUUAUGUACAAGUAUCUUGUAACUACUAAGGAAAAACAAAUAUAACAAACUAACAGAUUCCUUAACCACUAAGUAAUAUCCCUAGAUGUUGUAGUUACAAUAUUGCCCUUUAUAUCCCCCCUCAAACGAAACUGAGGUACUUGAAGAUGAAGUUUGUCACGGAGGAACAUGAAUCUUGACUUGGAAAGAGAUUUGGUACAAAUGUCAGCCACCUGAUCUUGAGUACAAACAAAAUGCACAAAGAUCUGUUUUGCCAAGACUUUUCCUAAAUGUAAUGGUAGUCUAUUUCAACAUGCUUUGUCCGAGCUUGAAAAAUAGGGUUCUUGGCAAGAGAUAUGGCUGAAAUAUUGUCACAUCAUAGUUGGGGAGAACAAGGCAAGCAAUAACCAAUGUCAACCAACAGUUUACAUAUCCAGGUAAUCUCAGGCACAGUGUUGGCAAGAGAUCUGUACUCUGUCUCUAUGGAAGAUCGUGUUACAGUUGGAUGCUUUUUAGCACUCCAACUAAUUAAAGAGUUUCCCAUAAAGAUACAAUAGCCUCUAGUUGAUCGUCUAUCUAGAGCACAAUCAGCCCAGUUAGCAUCUGAGAAAGCUAUGAAUGAAGGAUUAGUUGAAAAUUUUAAGAACCAUAAGCCAAGAUCAAUAGAACCCUUCAGGUACCUUAGGAUUUGCUUAACUGCUUAGAGAUGUGAAAUUUUGGGAUUUUGCAUGAAUUGACAUACAAGGUUGACUGUAAAAUUGAGAUCUGAUCUUGUCCAAGUAAGAUAUUGUAGAGCACUAACUAAUGAACGAUACUCAGAAGCAUUCUCAAGUAAUAAAGACUCAUGAUCAAGUUUAGAGGUGUUGAGUGGUGUACUGCAAGGUUUAGCUCCAACCAUUUUGGCUUUAGAUAACAUUCCACGAUAUAUUUUGUGUGAGAUAUGAAUAUGCCUCAAGAUGAUCUUUUAACUUCUAUGCCAACAAAAUAAUGCAGAGCUCCAAAAUCUUUGAUUGGAAACAAUGAGCUGAGUUGUUUAAUCAUUUAUUGACAUGCUGCAAAAGAAUGACCAGUAACUAAAAUGUCAUCCACAUAGAUUAAGAUGAAACCGAAUUUUGAAUAUUUUUUACAAAUAGAGAAUGGUCACUUUGAGAACCUUCAAAGCCAAGAGAGUGAUGAGCCCCAUGAAGCUUCUCAUACCAAGCUCUAGGAGCUUGUUUUAAACCGUACAAGGAUUUAUGCAAGUGACAGACAUGAGAUGGCUUGGUUGAAUCUUCAAAGCCAGAGGGUCAUUGCAUGAAAACAAAUUCAGUGAGUGGACCAUGUAAAAAGGCAUUGAUUGCAUCGAGUUGGUUUAAAACCCAAUCGUAUUGAGCUGCAUGAGUGAGUAGAAGCCUAAUGGUGACUGGUUAGCUAUAGGACUGAAGGUUUCAGUGUAGUCUAAACCUUCAUGUUGAUUGAAUUCUUUUGCAACUAGCCGGGCUUUGUACCUAUCUAUAAUUCCAUUUGGUUUUCUCUUGAUUCAAAAGACCCAUUUGUAAUCUACAAGGUUUUGAAAUGAAGACUUAAGGACAAGAGACCGUGUGCCCGUAUUGAUAAGGGCAUUAACUUCUUCUUACAUUGCUUGAUGCCAAUGAGAGCGAUUUGAAGCUUGAAGAUAGUUUGUAUGUAUAUAAUCCACUAAGAGAUGAGAGGGAAGUGGAUGUUUAGUAGUCGUGAGGGUUUUAGGCUUGAAAAUGCCAGACUUUGAUCUUGUUUGCAUUGAAUGAGUGUUGAUUGGUUGAGGUGGAGAUAAAAUGGGUGGUGCUGAGAUAGCCACUAAAGAACCUAAGGUUGUAUUUGUGGAAUUGACAAGUGGAGGAUUAGUAGUUGAAAGUAAGGAGGACAGCUGAGGUGAAGUAGAAUUGGUAUAGAUAAGUGCAAGAAAAGGUAUGAAUGUAAAAGUAAGAGUGGAUGGAAUAGUUGAAUCUGAAUUGGUAUUAGAAUGUAGAGAAAUAGGUGGGGAGGUUGAUAUAUGGUGAAAUAGGAAGCUUGAUUCAUUGAACAGAACAUGCCUAGAAAUGUACAUUCUUUUAGUUGCAGGAUCAAGACACUUAUAGCCCUUAUGAUGCAAACUGUAGCCUAAGAAUACACAGCCUUUACUCUUAGGAUCUAACUUUGAAGAAGUAUAGGGCUUUAACCAUGGGAAGCAAGCGCAACCAAAUACUUUUAAAGAAGUGUAAACUGGUGGUAUCUAUUAAUAAGGUAGAUUGUUGUGUCAAAUUCCUCAACCCAAUAGAUAUGAGGUACUUUAAAGGCUGCCAAAAGAUUCACUAAAUGGCGAUGUUUGCACUUACACACCUAUUUUGUUCAGGGGUGUGGGCAAGUUGACGCUAAAUACCAUGUGUAGCCAAGAAUGUUGAGAAAUGAGUACUCAAGUACUCUCCACCCGAAUUAGAUCUCAAAGCAAUAAUUUUUGUACAUAGAGAGUUUUCAACCAUAGACUUAUAUUGCAUAAAAGUGGACAUUACAUCAGAUUUGCUUUUUAAAGGAUAAAACCAACAAUAUCGGGUAUAGUCAUCCACAAAAAUGACAUAGUACCUAAAAUCUUGAGAAAAAGUUAUAGGUGAUGGUCCCUAAACAUCUAUAUGAAUAAGUUAUAAGGGGUUGCUUGUUGUACAAGUAGUAGAGACAAAAGGAAGCCUAGAACAUUUACCUAAUGCACAAUUUAAGCAAAAGGAUUUAUUGGUAUUUGAUAAAAUUGAAAUACAAGAUUGAGAGGCGAGCUUAUUGAUAAUCUUGACAAAAAAAAUGACCCAAACAUUGGGGCCAAAGAUCUCUUGAAGCUUUCAUAGAUGCAGUGAAUGAUUUAUGUUGACCAUUAGGAGGAGAGGAGAAAAAGAAUGGAUAGAAACCAUGCUUGACAGGUCAUUUAAAACGCUUUAUUCCCGAAGAAAGAUCAUUCACAGUGAAGUGAGAGGGAUAAAGAUGCAAAGAACAUUGAUUAUCAAUCAGAAAUUGAUUUGCAGAGAGAAGAUUGUGUUUCAAAGCAGGCACAUAUAACACUUUAUUGAGUUUAAAAGCAUUUGUAGAAGUAUUCAAAACAGUAGAACCAGAGUGAGUGAUGGGAAAACCAUUGCCAUCACCAUUGUACACUUAUUUAGGACCGAUGUAAACUUUAGGAUUUUGAAGAGUUGCAUAAGAGUUGGUCAUGUGUGAGGUGACUCUUGAGUCCACAAGCCAAGUAGGAUUGGAAGUUGAUGUGCUGGCAACCAUAGCUGAAUGAGAGGAUUUUCCACCAUAGCUAGGAUUCAUGCGAUGAGACAAUCACAAGCCUCGUGAUCGAACUGAUGACAUACCUGGCAAGAAUUUUUCUUAUUAUAUGAAGAAAAAUUAUUUCAACCUCCACGAUUAUACGCUGAUUGUUGUUUUUGGCGAAUUUAAUUGUUGGAUCUCUGAUUGUUAUACGAUCUGUAAUUGCCACGAUUGUAAUUACCAUGGUUUUAAUUGCAAUCUAUUCCACGACCUUGAUUGUUGAAGGCAGAAGAAGCCAAAGCAACAAACGCCUAAGAGUUAGGGUUUAUUGCAAGGAAUGGAAGAAUACCAGCAAAUGACACACCCCAACCCAGAUAUCCAAAUGACACCUAGAUCACACAUGCUGGCCGACACUUAAGAGUGACGAAAGCCAUGAAUAUAUAAAUAUGCAAAAACAUAAGGGAAACAUGUAUUCCAAAAGUCAUACAACAAACAACAAUCAUAAGGAAUACACAAACGCAAAAGAGACAAAAAUAAUGUUCCAAAUUUAACAUAAACGAAACAGAAUGUCCAAUGGUCACAAAUCCGAAAGAAAAGGUGCAUGAAUAUGUCUAGAGCAUAUCACUAAACGAAAGUACUAGUGAAAGGUAAGACAUCAAGUUACAAUUCAUAAAGAAGCCAUACACAAGAGGAAGAACGUAAGUUCAUUGGUAAGGAAAUGCCUCGAAGCUCGGGUCGUAUUCCUCGUCACUAGGUCCUGAGGGGGCGCAAAAACAAAAGGUGAGUGGACCAUAGUUUUUUAUAAUAAUAAUAAUAAUAAUAAUAAAUAAUAAUAAUAAUUGUGACAGCCCGUCCCAAAAUAUAUCCUCGAUAGUGUGAAAUUCCUAUCUUACCCUUGGGCGUUGUGUGGUGUGAUGAAUUUAGGUUGUGGACCAAUUCAAUUUUUCCUACGUUCUUAGACCCAAUUAGAACUUAGGUUUUAUUUUUCUUUUGUUUUGUUUGGUGACCAACUAGGACCACACACACACACCACUCACGUUGACUCUAUCUUUCUUCUCCUUCUUGAUUUUUCUUCCUUUUCCGUACAAUUGUACGGUCAACUGGUGAACCAACCAUUUUGUGCAUGGAUCGAGGCUGUGAAGGUGAUAUUCGUGUUCAUUGCAAGCCCAGGAACUCAUUUAUACCUUUGGUUGGACGUGAAGACUUCGAAAACUCGGGAACCAGGAAACCCUGAUGUGGUGCAUAGUGACUCCGUCACGAUCGCAGAAGUUUCGUUGAAUUUUAAGGUUCUAGUGAGCCUUAGGACUGCUUCACAAAGAUUAGGGAAGGAUUUUGAAAGGUUUUGGACGUCGGGAAGCUCAUUUUUGGCGAGUUAUAGAGGUGGCCGGAUUAUCAAGAUUUUUCCGGCAAGAGUUCGUGAGUUUUAGGGCAUAAAAGUGAAACCGACAGUUUCAGAGGUCACUGGCACCAAACUCCGGUGAGCUGAGGUUGAAGGAAGAGAAUAUUCCGUCAAAGUUGAUGGAAUAUGCUAACGGCAUCAGGUGAGACGUUUCCAGAAGACGAGCGCAAUUAAGCGAGACUCGGGGGCUACGACCCUUCUACAUAUCAGUGAGUGGGUCAUUUCCUUUCUAUUGUAUAUAUAUACAUAUGAUUGAUAAUUCCACAAACGUGUUUAAGUUGAUUUAUGCAUAUUACCUACAUAUAAUUAUUGUGAAUGCUUUGAAGUACUAGUGUGAACUAUGAAUGGCUUGAUCCCUGUUUAGGGUACGUAGGCAGUCUAACGAGACGUUAGAUGCAGCCAUACAAUAAUGAAGACAAUAGCCUUGUUUGGGGAAUUGAGGAAUGUGAGGGACAUUGGUGGAAAAUGUGAGAUUUAACCUUAUGAUUUGGUGGUUAAAUGUUGGUCAUAAAUUAAUGUGUGAAGAAUCAAGAAAUUGAAGUAAGGAAACGUAAGUAAUGAUAGUUAAUUAAACUAAUGUCUAAUUGGGCUUAUCACUGAUAAUUAUGCCGAAAAUAAAUAGUUCGGGAGUAGGGCGUUACAACUUAUGCAUUUUGUUCCAUAUUAUAUAUAUGUAUAUAUUUGGAAAUACUAUGAUAUGGUUAAGUUUUAGAUUGCAUCAUGGCAUAUCCAUAUGUACAUUACCUGCAUAUAAUUAUUGUGAAUGCAUUGAAGUGCGAAGGUGAAUGUAGGACGCACAGGUAAGUUCAGGUAAGUUUAUGGUAUUAGUUGAAAUGAUUGAGUUAUCGUAUGACUACAUUUAUGUUUUAGGCAACUCCGACCUUGUCGUACAAGUUGCAAUAAUAGGAAACUCUGACAUUGUCGUACAGGUAGCCCAUGAGUCGUAUAUGUUAUAUUAAAUACAGUUAGAGCUCAUAAACCUGCACCCCGGUGUUAGUGUUUCUGCCCGUGGCCAGGGCACAGUCCUUCACGUGAUGUUCACCUCCCGCACCUUACGCUCACCUUGGAUCCAAGAGAGGUGCACAAUCCUGUCGUACAGACCACUACAGGUGGUUCCGACUCGUAGGUGACCCGCGAUUACUCGCACAGUCUUCACAUGAUCAUAGCACUUGAACGUACUUAUUUACACUCAGUCCUGUAUUACAAACCACUAAAGGUGGUUCCGACUCGUGUGUAGGGAUAUGUGAUGAGCUAUGGGUCUAGCCAUACGGGCCACAAGAGGUGGAUCCGGCUGACAUAUUACUUAGAUAUUGAUUGAUGAGACAUGGAUAAGUCGUACAGGUCACUAUAGGUGACUCCAACUUAUGAGCUAGCAUUGAUUGAUGAGAUAUGGAUAAGUCGUACAGGUCACUAUAAGUGACUCCGACUUAUGAGCUAGCAUUAAUUGAUGAGAUAUGGAUAAGUCGUACAGGUCACUAUAGGUGACUCCAACUUAUAAGCUUGCAUUGAUUGAUGAGAUAUGAAUAAGUCGUACAGAUCACUACAGGUGAUUCCGACUUAUGUACUAGCAUUGAUUGAUGAGAUAUGGUUACAAUCGUACAGGUCACCAUAGGUGACUCCAACUGACGUGCUAGUAUAAGUUAUUAAGCACAUGAUUAUUUAUAUUGUUAAUGAGAUGAAGUGUCGUGGUAUACUUCUGGAUUUACUAUUAGUAUACUUUUGAUUUAAUACUUAUACGUAGUAUGAUUUUCUGGAAACUAUACAAGUUUUACGGCGAGAGAUUACUGCCUUUGAUAAUUGAAAUGAUUAUGAAAAGUUUUGUUUUUACCCAUUCACACUUUCUAUUUUUGCACCCCUCCAAGUUCUAGUAGCAAAGUUUCAUAUCGACGAGGACUUGUGACACUCCCCAUUUCAAGUGGCUCCUUAUGAUGGUAUAAUUAUUAUCUUACCUCACUAUACUUUCCAUAUGCUCUGUAUCACAUGUGAAAUGGGUCCAAAACCGCUCACCACGCACUCGUGCAUAUAGGCACUUUUAGGUUUAAAUUUAUCCAUAUUUUACACAUUAUCACACUUUAUGGCUUCGUCACCUUCCAAGUGUCGGCCAGCACAGCUCGAUUCGGAGUCCUAAUAGACAUUCUGGGUCAAGGUGUGUCAAUAAUAAUAAUAAUAAACCAUUUUUCAGUAAAAAAAAAAAACAUUUUUCCUUCUGAACAUACUAACCCCCUAUUCUAAAAAUUCUAAUAUGCCGUAAAAACGUAUAAUAAUAAUACUAAUAAUAAUAUUAAACCAUUUUUUAGUAAAAAAAACCAUUUUUCUUUCUGAACAUUCUAAUUUUUCCUUCUGAACAUACUAACCCCCUAUUUUAAAAAUUCUAAUAUGCCAUAAAAACGUAUAAUAAUAAUAAUAAUAAUAAGAAAACCAUUUUUCCUUCUGAACAUACUAACCCUCUGUUUUAAAAAUUCUAAUAUGCCAUAAAAAUGUGUACGGUAAUCAUCUCUAGAAGUGAUAGUGAAUCGCCUGAAGGCAAAACCAACAAGUCUCAGAAAUCAACACAACGAUGUACUCAACUAGGGUAUCAUAGUCGCCAAAAGGCAUAACCAUCACCCGAAUAUAAAGCUGUACGACAUUGGUUAUGCCAGCAAAGAAACACAGUAGGCCUCAUCACCCGAAGGUGAAGCGGUACGACUUUGGGUUACGCCAAAGAAGAAACAUAUAGAUAACAUAACACAUCGACACUAGUUAUGGCUAGUGAAGCUGUUCAACACUAGUUUCGCCAGUGAAGCUGGGAGUAUGUCAUAAAUAUCCUCAACUGUGUCCUAUGGCCAUAGACUUAUACAUACUCAGGUUGUGUAUAUGUGUUGUAUGAUAACCCACUAGAUAAGCACAGAAAACAUAUCUCAAAAACCUAUGCCAAGCUUUGAAUUCCAAAAUCUCAUCAUCUGAAAUCAUAAGCAAUUCCAUAAACGUGAUUUCCAUAAACAUGCCCUUUUAUAAACCUUAAAUAGAUAAAUCAAAACUAAUUCAUAAAGGUGAAUAAAUCAUGAAUUCUCCAAAAUCAUAAAUAUAGAAAUCCAUAAAGCAUAUCAUAAAACGUAAUUAAUUCAUGAAAUGUAGAAUGAAUACAAGCCCAAUAUUUAUAAAAAAAACAUGCAAUUUGAGAAGGGGUCCACUCACCAAUAUUCCGCUACCGGGGAGCCAUUCGAAAUAGUGAGGACAGGAUCACUUCCAAUUGACGCACCUAAACACAAAUAGAGAUCAUUUGAUAAAACUUUACUAAAACGAUCGAAUUUGGGAAAAUGGAUGGCAACAGAGCACAGUGCCUCUGACGGAGGCCCGUGCACUCCACGCGUCGGCCCUUGACAACCCUACGAGUAGCCCAUGCACCGCGAGUAUGCCCGCACUUGCCUUCUUCGAAUUUCUGGAAUUUUUCUAGAUUUUUCUUCCAACUUCAAGAGCUAAUUCUGAGCUCAAUACAAGUCCAAAUCGAGUGAUUCAAACUCCAAAAUGUAGUUAGGAAUGUGGAUAAGCGAUUCAUACCUUUGGGGAGCCCAACAGAGCUUGAAGUUGGCUAGAAAAAUGGCUGGAAGAUGGCCAAACGACCACGGUUUCUAAAUUCUAGAUUUUGCACAAUGACUUCCAUUAUGUUUUCCGAGUUCUAACACCACCAAAAUCACCCAAAAACUUACUAAUUGUGAACCUAAACACGAUCUACAAUGAUAGGGACCAAUUUUGAGGCUUGCCUUCAUCGAAAAUGGCAAAAAUUUGUCAAAGAAGUCCCUUGCAAAGUGCAGCUUGGGGAGGGUGUUUUCAAGGGGUUUUUCUCCCAUUUCCAGGUUCUAAGGUUCACAAGGAUCACAAGGGAUAAUGGUAGGGGUGCUACCUUGCAAUGGUUGUAGGUGUGGAGGUAUACGUAUGCAUGUGUGAGUGUGCUCAGCAAGGGAGAGAGAGGAGAGGUGAGUGAGAGAGAUGAAUGAGGUAAAGAAGAAAGAAAAGAAAUAAUAGAGAGAAGAAGGGGACUCAGGAAAGAAAACAACUCCCUAGAAAAAAGGGCCACAUGUCGACCUAGAAAUGGUCCAAAGUGGAGAAAUAUCUCCAAUUAUGAAAUUACAAAAAUGCCCUCGACUGUACGUAUGCAUGUGUGAGUGUGCUCAGCAAGGGAGAGAGAUGAGAGGUGAGUGAGAAAGAUGAGUGAGGUAAAAAAGAAAGGAAAGAAAUAAUAGAGAGAAGAAGGGGACUCAGGACAGAAAACAACUCCCUAGAAAAAGGGGCCACAUGUCGACCUGGAAAUGGUCCAAAGUGGAGAAAUAUCUCUAAUUAUAAAAUUACAAAAAUACCAUCGACAUUCGAAAAUUCAUAGAAGCUUUGUUUUAGCUCUGAAUUCGAUUCCGUUUGUGCCCACAUGUUCGUAUCGAAGAAUACUACAUGACUAAAUUAAAAGAAAAUUUCCUACAUGUCAAUGAACGAGAAUAAACAGAAGUCAACACUUUCAUCAUUAAAGGUGUUUUCGUAAUUUAAUUAAUUAAAACGCAUAACUCAUGUCUUGUUUCACUUCUAAUGGUUGCGAUUGUAUAAUAUAUGAUGGAUCUAGUACAUACUUUUGAAGCAUGGAGAUAUGAAAUACAUCGUGUAUCUGUGAUAACUCAGGCGGUAAUUCCAAUCUGUAAGCAGCAACACCAAUUCUUUAUGUAAUUCUGUAAGGGCUGAUAUAUCGAGGACUCAAGUUUCCCUGCUUACCAAAGCAAACAACACUAUUCCAAGGUGACAACUUCAAGAAUACAAAAUCACCAACUUUAUAUACUCGAUCCUUAGAAUGAUGGUCGGCGAUACUUUUCUAUCAGUCUUGUGCAGUCUUCAAAUUUCUUUUUAUCAUCUAGAUGUUGGCAUUCAUAGUAUCAAUGAUUUUUAGUCCUACCAAUAUUCGUUCACCAACCUCGGUCCAACAUAGUGAUGUCCUACACGCUUUACCAUAUAAUGCCUCGAAUGGUGCGAUACCAAUGCUAGAGUGAUAACUGUUGUUGUAGGUGAACUCAACCAAAGAAAAAUAGUCAUCCCAGCUACCCUUCCACUGAAGAACGCAAGUCCUUAACAUGUCCUCAAGAGUUUGGAUCGUCCUCUCGGAUUGACCAUCUAUCUGUGGGUGGUAAGCAGUGCUAUACAAUAAUUUAGUAUUCAAGGCGUCAUGAAAUGCUUUCCAAAAUCUAAAGGUAAAUCUUGGAUCUUGAUCUGAUAUGAUGGUGACAGGUACACCGUGAUACUUGAUGGUGUUUUCGAUAAAUAGCUUUGUUGACUUCUCCAGUUUAUAAUUCUAUCAGACGGGUAUGAAAUGAGCUAACUUAGUAAGUCUAUCCACAAUCACCCAUAUGUCGUUAUACUUCAACCGGGUCUUCGGUAACCCAUACACAAAAUCCAUAAUGAUAUCCUCUCAUUUCCUAACUGGAAUUGAAAGGUUCUGUAGUAAUCCAUCGGGUUUCUUCCUUUCCACUUUUACUUGUUGACAGACUAUACAUUUUCGUAAUACCCAGAUGCAUGGCAUAUGUCGACUUGUGCACUUCAUCAAGAAUCUCCGUCUUCACUGCAUCAUUAUCUUUAGGCACAAAUAACAUGUUUCCUUACAUCAAGAUUCCAUGUUUCCAUAUUCUCAGAUCCCGUCUCAACCCAUUUUUCACUUGUUCUUUUAAGUCUACACACUAUUGAUCGUGUUCUUGAGUUUCUCGUACUAAAUCCACCAACAUCGAUCUAACCUAUAAAUGAGCCAAUAUUACUCCUUAUGGAUAAGGUAUCAAAGAAAUACCAGUUCCUCUGAGAGAAAAUAAUACUGGAACAUGAACAGCCCAAAGAAAGGCAAGUUUUCCGUGAGAUUUCCGGCUAAGAACGUCAGCUACAACACUUGCAUGUCCAGGAUGAUACUCAAUAGUGCAAUCGUAGUCACUAAUGAGUUCCAUCCACCUCCACUAUCUCAGGUUCAGCUAAUUCUGAAUGAAAACAUACUUUAAGCUCUUGUGAUCCAUAAAAAUAUGACAUUUCUCGCCAUAAAGAUAAUGUCGCCAUAUUUUCAACGUAAACACCACAACGGCUAAUUCUAGGUUGUGAGUGGGAUAAUUCCUUUCGUGAGGUUUAAGUUGCCUGGAAGCAUAUGUGAUAACUUUUCCAUGUUGCAUCAACAUGCAGCCCUAACCUGACAAAGAUGCAUCACUAUAAACUUCAAAUUCAUCGCCAUCAUCCGUAAGAGCGAGGACAUGGGCAUGAGUAAGGUGAUAUUUCAACUCCUGGAAGCUCCGUUCACAAUCUUUGUCCCACUCAUAUUUCAUGCCUUUCUGAGUCCACAUGGUAAGCGGCAAAACAAUCGUCAAUAAAUCCUACACAAGGCAUCAAUAAUAACCAACUAGACCAAGAAAACUUCUAACUUCAGUAACAUUCUUAGAUUGCUCCAAUGCUGCAGAAUGUUUAUGAGGAUCCACACAAAUUCCUUCAACAGAAACAACAUGUCCGACAAAACUAAUCUGAUCCAGCCAAAACUGACACUUGCUGAACCUCGCAUAAAGCUGAAGUUUUCUCAAUUUUUCCAACACGAGCCUCAAAUGUUUCGCAUGCUUAGCCUCGUCGUUGGAAUAGACUAAGAUGUCGUCGAUAAAUAUAAUCAUGAACCAGUUAAGAUACAGCAUGAAAACUCGAUUCAUCAAGUCCAUAAAGGUUGAGAGCGCAUUUGUCAAUCCAAUUGGCAUAACACAGAAUUCGUAGUGCCCAUAUCAAGUGCAAAAAGCAGUCUUCGGAACAUCUUCUUUUCGGAUCGGUAGCUGAUGAUAGAUCAAAUGGAGAUCAAUCUUAAAAUACGUGAGCGCCCCUCAAUUAAUCGAACAAAUUAUCGAUGCGAGGUAAUGGAUAACGAUUCUUUACUGUAACUUGGUUAAGCUGUCGGUAAUUAAUACAGAGUCUCAUCAACCCAUCAUUCUUCUUCACAAAUAGAACAGGAGCAACCCAAGGGGACAUACUAGGUUGAAUAUAACCUUUAUCUGAAAGUUCUUGGAGUUAAAUCUCUAAUUCUCUGAACUCGGCCAGUGUCAUAUGAUAAGGUGUUAAAGAAAUAAGAUUAGUACCUGGAAGUAAGUCAAUGGUGAAUUCCACUACUCAUGCCGGUGGCAUCCCAAGUAGAUCAUCAGGAAAAAGAUCGAUGAACUCAUUCAUAACAUACACAUCUUUAACACCAAUAUAAUGUUCGCCAUGUGUAACCAUAUGGGCCAAUAAUCAUUCACAUCCUUUCUGUAACGACUUCAUCGCCUUGGUGGCAAAAAUAAUAGUAUUCUGAAGAAUUCUUCAUUCUCCCUAAAACACAACAUUUGGUUGUACAUGUCGGGGAAAGGUCACUAAUUUAUGCCUACAACUCACACGUCAUGCUUAGCUAACCAGUUCAUCCCUAGAAUAAGAUCAAACUCUACCAAGUUAAAAAGAAUCAGAUUAGCCUCCAUAAGUACUCAUUCUACGUAAACUGGACAUUUCUAAAUUCCCACUUAGAACAAAAUAAUUCACCAUAAGGUAACUAUAUGAACUUAUCAAAACCAAUUUCAGAUGGUUGUGAGUUCACGACCCGUGCUAACUGUGAUGAUAUAAAUGAAAAUGUAGUCCUCGGAUCAAUCAAAACACGAACCUAACGUUCAAAAGAAAAUAACAUACCGGUGAUUACUCUGAGGUCAUGCUUAGCCUCAUGUUAUGUCAUGGCAUUAAUACAUCCUGUAACCUGCUGUCCCACACUAUUGCUAUAACCUUCACGAGUGCAAAAAUCCUGAUUACCCGGCUUGCACGAUUACUCUGAGUACGGCUACCAGAAGCUAUUCUUGAAUUCUGUUAUUGUCCUUGACUUUGGUUCUAAGUACCCGAGUUGUUGCUUCAUCCAUAACCUGAACCAGAUGCAAUCCUUUCGGUAGGUCGACCAGUAGGGCAAUCACGAGCGUAGUGUCCAGUGCCCUCAUAUCUAAAGCAUGAAUCGCUCCCUGCAACAUAAUUUCCCAGGUGACAUCUGCCACAACGCAUACACAACAUAACAAUGGGUGUGAAGUGGUUGAAAGACUACCUUGCUGCCUCAUUACCUGAUCCUUUACUAGAAGAUUCGGAACCCUGACCAUGACGCUUGAAUGAUAAAGAAUGUCUAGGGAUGAUAUUAGAAGAUAAAGACCGUUCUUAGGUGCUCCGAGAUCAAAAACCUCGACCCCGAGUAGACUAAUUUUAAGGCUAAUUUUGAUUGCUGGAAGUAAAAAAUGACCGCUCUACUCUCAAGGCUGCUUGGAUCAUACUCUCAUAAGAAUCAUACUGCAGUGCUGACCUAUGGGGUGAAUCUCAUUAGCUAGAGCAAUGUUAAGCUGGUUCAUCAUCUCUUGAGGGUGCUCAUAAAUGGAGAAGACAUGCCCCGCCAAACGUCUAAAAUUACAGUCAAGCUCUAUCACUAACAUAUUGCCCUGGCGUAUAUCGUAAAAGUCUUGUCUCUUGCUUGCUUUAUAUUGGGGACAUAGAAAAUAGUUUGCAAAGAGUCUCCAAAAAGUUCUCCAUGUCAUUGUUGGAUUAGAUGACUGAGAUCGCUUUGUAGACUCCCACCAAAUCUUUGCACCACCUCUAAGGAAAUGUCCUGUUGUCUUCGCCCGCUCUUCUGUAGGGCAAUUCAUAACUUCAAAAAUAUCUUUAACCUUUUCAAAGCCAAUCCUCGGCCUCCUCAUACUCGCCCACGACAUUUAAAUCAGUAACACCAUGGCUUCAAGCAAUUUCCACAUAAGUGUGGCUCUGUCCAUUAUUCCUAGAGAACGCAUGUCGCAAAGCAACAGCCAAUUGUUGAAACCCACUCAAAACACCAAUACGUGGACAACGAGGUACAUUACUACCACGAGGCACAUUCCCACCAAAAGUAUUCAUGAUUCUGAGAAACAACCAAAAAUAAAGUUUAGCAUAACAAAAGAUUUCACAAUCAACAAUGGAAGAAUUUACAGUCAAUAAAGUAGAAUGGAAUCCUAAGAAUGCUAUGGACCAACAACAAUGAAACAAUAGAGUGGAACCAACAAAAUCAGAUCAAUAAGACUAAAUCGAUAAGACGGAAUCAAUAAAACCGAAUCAACAGCGCUCUAAUACCAAACUGACAUGACUCAACCUAGAUAUCUAAAUGACGUGCUGGCCGACACUUGAGAGUGACGAAAGUCAUGAAUAUAUAAAUAUGAAAGAACAUAAAGGAAACAUAUAUUCCAAAAGUCAUACAACAAACAACAAUCACAAGAAAUAUACAAACGCUAAAGAGACAAUUAUAAUGUUCCGAAUUAAACAUGAAUGAAACAGAAUGUCCAACGAUCACAAAUCUGAAAGAAAAUGUGUAUGAAUAUGUCCAGAGCAUACCAUUAAACGGAAGUACUAGUGAAAGGUAAGACAUCAAGUUACAAUUAUUCAUAAAGAAGCCAUACGCAAGUGGAAGAACACAAGUUCACUAGUAAGGAAAUGCCUCGAAGCUUAGGUCGUAUUCCUCGUCACUAGGUCCUGAGGGGGCUCAAAAACAAAAGGUAAGUGGACUAUAAUAAUAAUAAUAAUAAUAAUAAUAAUAAUAAUAAUAAUAAUAAUAAUAUAAGAAGAAGAAGAAAACCAUAGUCGCCCGAAGGAAAACCAAUGAGUCUCCAAAAUCAACACGAUGAUGCACUUAACUAGGGGUAUCAUAGUCGACCGAAGGUAUAACCAUCACCCGAAGGUGAAGCUAUACGACAUUGGGUUACAGCAGUGAAGAAAUAUGGUAGGCCCCAUCACCUGAAGGUGAAGCUGUACAACUUGGGAUUACCCCGGAAAAGAAACAUAUAAAUAACAUAACACACCGACACUAGUCGUGGCUAGUGAAGCUAUCCGACACUAGUUUCGCCAGUGAAGCUGGGAGUAUGUCAUAAAUAUCCUCAACUAUGUCUAAUGGCCAUAGACGUAUACAUACUUAGGUUUUGUGUAUAUGUUGUAUGAUAACCCACUAGAUAAGCACAUAAAACAUACCUCAAAAACCCAUGCCAAGUUUAGAAUUCCAUAAUCUCAACAUUCGAAAUCAUAAGCAAUUCCAUAAACGUGAUUUUCAUAAACAUGCCAUUUUAUAAACCUUAAAUAGAUAAAUCAAAACUAAUUCAUACAGGCGAAUAAAUCAUGAAUUCUCCAAAAUCAUAAAUAUAGAAAUUCGUAAAGCAUAGUAUAAAAUGUAAUUAAUUCAUGAAAUGUAGACGAAUGCAAGCUAAUAUUUUAUAAAAACAUGCAAUUUAAGAAGGGGUCCACUCAUAAAUAUUCCACUACUGGGGAGCGGUUCGAACUAUGGAGGAUAGGAUCACUUCCAACCGACGAACCUAAACACAAAUAGAGACCAUUUAAUAAAACUCUUCUAAAACGAUCGAAUUUCACAAGACGAACAGCGGAUUCAGAUUCAGCACGUCGAAAAUCCUAAAGAGGGACCUCAGGUUCCCCCACGCGUUGUCGCACGCACCGUUGCAGUGUGGCGACCGGGGUCAUCACGCACCAAGAUGGGUCACCGAAAAACUCACCGGAGCAGCCGUGGUCGCCACUAUGGACGGCGACAGAGUAUAGUGCCUCUGGUAGAGUCACAUGCACUCCACGCGCCGGCCCUUAACAACCCUAUGCGCAGCCCAUGUGCUGCGAGUACACUUGUACUCGCCUUCUUCGAAUUUCUGGAAUUUUUCCAUAUUUUUCUUCCAACUUCAAGAGCUUAUUCCAAGCUCAAUACAAGUACAAAUCAAGUGAUUCAAAAGCCAAAAUGUAGUUAGGAAUGUGGAGAAGAUAUUCAUACCCUUAGAAGGCCCAACGAAGAUCGGAGUUGGCCUGAAAAAUGGCUAGAAGAUGGACAAAUGAUCACGGUUUCGAAAUUCCAGAUUUUGCAGUGACUUCCCUUGUGUUUUCCGAGUUGCUACACCACCAAAAUCACCCCAAAACUUACUAAUCGUGAACCUAGACACUAUUUACAAUGAUAGGGACCAAUUUUGAGGCUUGCCUUCGCCGAAAAUGGUGAUAAUUUGUUGGAGAAGUCCCUUGCACAGUGCAACACGAUGAAGGUGUUUUCAAGUGAUUUUUCUCCUAUUUUCAAGUUCUAAGGUUCACAAGGAUCACAAUGGAUGAUAGUGGGGGUGCUACCUUGCAGAGGUUGCAGGUGUGAAGGUGUCAGUGUCAGUGUAUGUGUGUGUGUGUGUGUGUGUGUGUGGCAAGGGAGAGAAAGAGGAGAGGUGAGUGAGGAAGGUUAGUGAGGUGAAGAAGAUAGGAAAGAAAUAAUAGAGAGAAAAAGGGGACUCAAGAUAGAAAAGAACUCCAUAGAAAAAUGGGGAAUCUGCCACAUGUCGGCCUGGAAAUGGUCCAAAGUGGAGAAAUAUCUUCAAUUGUGAAAUUACAAAAAUGCCCUCGACAUUCGAAAAUUCGUAGAAGGUUCGUUUUAGCUCUAAAUUUGAUUCCAUUCACGCCCACACGUUCGUAUCGAAGAAUACUACGUGAAUAAAUUAAAAGAAAAAUUCCUACAUGUCAACAGACGAGAGUUAAUGAAAAUCAAUGCUUUUGUCGUUAAGGGUAUUUUCAUAAUCUAAUUAAUAAAAACGUAAAAAUUUAAGACGGGUCAUUACAGCAGAAGUAUUGAGAGCCUAAAAGGAUGAUGAUUCAAAUAUGCUUUUCUUGCGAUUAACUAGUUGUAUCUCUUUGCUAAGAAGCAAACCAUGUAGUUCAUCAAUUGUUGUGGAUCCAAGUCGAAAUUGUAUAGCAUCAACGAAAGAAUUAAACUCAUGAGGGAGGCCAUGAAAAGUGACAUAGAUCAAUUCCGAAUCUUCAAUUGGAGAUCCAACACUAACAAGGGCAUCAGCAAUUGCCUCAAUUUGUUGAAGAUAUUGAGCAGCAAUGGAAUCACCUUUGGUAAGAUUACGAAUGCAAGAUCAAAGCUUAUGGAUGUGAGAUUGAGAAGCCGUGGCAAGUUUGAUUCCAAUUUUGCCCAGAGUUCAUGAGCUGAAUUCACACCAACUAUAUAUGGAAUUAGGGAUUCAAGGAGUGUUGAGUUGAUCUAGAUGAGAGUAUUUUGAUCAUUCUCAUACCAAGAAACAUAUGCAGGAUUGAUGAUGCGAUUUCCCAAAGAAUCAAGAAGAAAUUAAGGUGGAGCCGCCAUAGAUAAUCGAUGAGACUUGUAAGGUUGUAACGACGAAAAAUUGGAGCAAAUAGAGCACUCUAGGUCAAGUAAUUGGUUGUGGUGAGCUUGAUUGGAACCAUGGAUCCAAUGUUCUAGAUCGUGAUUGAGGCAUAGAUUGAAGAAUUAGGGUUUGGAGGUGUAGACAGAAGAGGAUGAACUGGAGAAGUCAAUUUCGAUGAAGGAGAUGCAGAAGUUGCCAUUGCCAGAGAUUGGUGACUGAAGAUUGAAGAACAUGAUCACGAUCAAAGAAAUGAUGAAGAAAUCAGAAAAGAAAUUUGCAAAAAGAAGCGAGAGAUUUGGGAUCGAGGAGAGAGAAGUCGUGAGACAAAAAGACGUGUGAUACCAUAUUAGAUAAAAUAUGAUUUCAUUUCAUGAAAGAAUAAUGUUACACUUCGAGUAUUUAUACACAAGUACCUUGUAACUACUAAGGGAAAAAGAAUAUAACAAACUAACAGAUUCCUUAACCACUAAGUAAUAUAUAUAGAUGUUGUAGUUACAAUAUUGCUCUUUAUAGUCAAAACACAUUUUAGAUGUUUUAUUGUGUGGGUCCUAGUAAUGCACCAAUCAUAAAUCAUGAAAAGUAGUUUUUAUUUAUUUGUUUUGAAGAUUGGGUCCUACAAAUAUUAAUUGCAUAAGAAAAAACAUAUUGAUUGGAGCACAAGAAAAAUUGAAGUUGCCACAUAAGUCUUUAAAUUUACAUUUGACAUUUUUUUGACGUUGACAAGCAUGGCACCUAUGUCCUUCACUCUCUAUGAGAGUUCUCUUGGCGGUAACAAUUCGAGGCAAAAGGAAACCCAUGACUCUAUAUUCUCAAGAGGGCAAAAGAAGAAGCAAAAGAUUUCAAAGAACUUGGAAAACAGAGGAAGUUUGAGCUUAUUAGGAAGGGAAGAUUACCUGUGUUGUUCAGGAUGAACUCUGACCAUAUGUAUAUAUAGACGAAAGAGAGUGCAGAAGAUCCAUAGGUAGGUAUAGUGAUUGGUGAAGAGGCACUGAGACGGGAAACAAUGAGGGACACACUAGCGUGUGAGCUCUAUCCUGUCGAUCUCAACAAGCUGUGGAGGUGUUUUCUUUUAUUUUGGCAAUCUAGAAGAUUCCAUGAGACAGUAACCAACAAAUUGUACUGAUUUAAUGUUCGAGCACCAUUUGAAGCUAAAUAUCAGUGGACCUGAAAUAGUUAAUAUAUAAUUGCCUACCGGACUCUUGAAAGAACAAUUUGCAGGAAAAGUUGAUUAAUCAGGUGAGGCAAUGUUCCUGGGCUGGCUGAGAGUUUUACGUACGUAAAGUGAUUCAUAUUGGACAUGCAGUAGGUACAUACUGCCGCUAACUUGUCAUAUUACGUCUGAAAUUGUAAGAUUGAUGCCAUCAAAAGAAUGCUAAUCUGGUUCUGUUAAGUAAUCGUGGACAAAUGCGUCUGAAAAUCCUGUAUUGAAAGGAAGUAUCUAAGGGGAUUUUCCUAUCCACACAUCUCUAAAAUUUCAAAUACGUUUUGUGGUUUGCAGGUAGUCAUAAAAUUGGUAGGGCACAAGGUCCACCAACAAGUAUAUAGACUCAACUGCUACCAAAUUUUAAGACUGCGACGGAAGACACGGCCAUGUGACCCUUCAAUGCUUAUGUCUCUUGUCAAUUCAAACACAAUUUGCUGCCAUAUACAACUUUUCCAUAUAAAUGUUUCCAAGUCUAUUAAGACCUGUAUGCUAAGUAUUACCUACUAUAAGGGCUGAUCCAUUUAGUUGUGAACUUUGAAAGACUUUAUUUGGAAAAUUUCAAAAAAAAUUCUACGACAAUCCCAGUGUUUUUUAUCUGAAAGUUGCACUGACACGGUGAAAACAUUUUACCCAGUCAUAGGAUUAAAUUAUCGGAUAAAAGGCAAAUAGUGUAGAAAUUCCGCAUAUUAUUUGUGUCUAGCACAUAUAUCUGGUAACUUUAUUUGAGUGGAAGCCCAACACUAAUACUUGAGGCACCACAGAUUUAUAUGAAGUACAAAGUAUAACUAAUUGAAAGUCAUUUCUUGAGAAAAUCUGUUGUCAUUGAUAAUUUAAUUAUAUAACAGAUUACAUUGUAUAAUUAUUUUUUAAGGCACCAAAGCUAGAAGUAUAAUUAAAAUAUCAAGACAAAAAAACUGGAUCAAGAUAUAAAUUUAUUUCAUAUUCCAAUAUAUUUUGCUCAAGAGCAGCGGAGCAGUUUACAUUUAAUUGACUUAGAGCAGCCAACAUAAAACCAAUUGGGUUAAUUUAAAUUCCCAUGUCAGAUACUCUGAACGGCGCCUGUGGAAAAGUUUUGAGUCAUCGUUUUUGGAAAGUUGGGUUUUGUUGAUUAUAUCUUGAAUGAGUAUCUUCGUUUGUCUGCUUCAUUAAUUUUCUGACUUUCUUCUCAGAUCACAGCUGGAUGCUUCAGUAUUACUGAUGGCUUCACCUCAACACUGGAUGUGAGUUGAUUCAGUGGAUGAUUGGCCAUAGCCUCUCCUUCAUCGUAGCUCAGUGAGUUCCAAAGUGAGGAUCCUUCUGGACAUGAAAGUGGAUCGCAUAUUCACUUCUUUAGUGUUCACUCACACACUUAGACGGGAAGUGAGAUGAAGGAAAGUGUAUUCGCUGCAAGGUAUUGUGAUACCACCCAUGGGAUGAUCAUAUCCAAAUUCCUCUUCAGCUUGACUCAACAAAUCUUGGAACAAAGGAUCAUUCAAGUAUGAUAUAGGAAUCACAAACCGCUUCUUCUGUCUCUCCCCAACAUACACAGCAAAAUAGCCUUUUGGGAUAUCUAAGAGCAACUCCACCGGGAACAAAAUGUCCCAGCCCUCAGUCCAAAAAACAAGCCAGCCCUCAGUGAAUUUGCUCCAGCCCACAAAAUGUCCCAGCCCCCAGCCCAUGCCAGGCAACAGGCCAGCCCAUUUCGGACAGACCCAGAGGCCGGCCUAUUGGCUGGCGCGUGCAGCAGAAUCGCGCCUGUGCGCGAGUAGCAGACAAGGUUGCAGGCGGCGGGGCCCGCUUGUCAGCCCACUUGUGUUCACCCGGAAUAGGGCUACGUGGCCCUCCUCAGUGCCGUUGGAUUUCCAACGGCUAUUUUUUGUAGACCGUUGGAUUUCCAACGGUAAAAAAAAUUUAAAUUUGACUUUUAAAAAGGACCGUCCGAUCAUAGAUCAACGGUCCACGUUAAUUAACUAAAUUAAAAUUUAUUAAAAAAUACAGAAAAAUUAUUAAAAAAUACAGAAAAGUUUUUAAAAAAAGAAAAAAAUUCUAUAAAUACCUAACCCUCAUCUUCCACCUUACACCACAUUUCAAUAUUUUCUACACUUUCUACCAAAGCUUUCAUAUACUUUUUGUGUGAAAAAAAAUACCAAAAAGCUUGUGGUUGAAGAAUAAAGUGUAUUUGAUGAGUUUAUGUAAUUUCAUUUUAGUGUGUUUUUUUUUAUAGUUUAUUUGAUGAGUAUGUAAUUUUAUUUUAGUGUGUAUUUUUUUUAAGCUUAUUUGAAAUUUUAUCCGAAAUUGGUUAAAAAUCUUAUCCGAAAUAAACUUUAAAAAAAAAAAACACACCAAAUAAAUGCGUUGGGUGCCAGCGCAUUUUUUUAGGGGUGGAGAUGCCUUGGUCUAUUACUAUUCACUCCAGUCUAUUACUGUUCACUUGAGUGGAUAAAUGCGCUGGGUGCUGGCGCAAAGUCCUUAGGGGUGGAAUUGCUCUAAGGUCUUUGAAGCUGUCUGUUUUGAAUUAGAUAGAGACCGGACGAGACUUCUCUUGGCGCUAACAAUUCCAGGCAACCGGAAACCCAUGGAUUUAUGUUCUCAAGGGGAUAAAAGAACUAGAAAAGGAAUUGGAAGGACUUGGAAAAAAGAGAAUGCUUUGAUUCUUAGGAAGGUGGAGACUUGAGUUGCUAAUGCCAUUGUGAACUUGAUCACGUGUAUAUAUAGAUGAAAGGGUAUGCGAAAAACUCAUAUGGUACAUGAAAUUAUUGGUCAAGAGGCGCUGCAAAAACAAACGAUGAGGGAAACUAGCUUAUACCAAAUCACAUGGCCUUGUCUUGCUGCUCACCUAACUCCUAACGUAACUCCUACUCCGACAGAUUUUUCUGACAGAUUGUUGUGUGGAAGCAGCAUUCCCUACCUCCUCCGGAUAACAGGCAACACAAGGACCACUAGGUGUGAAUUUUGUUCCAGUGGAGUUAUUUACGCCUGUUAGAUAAGAGGCAUUUUGCUUCAGACAUGCCUGGUAAUCACUAAUCACGAAUUACUUUUCUGGAUUAGGCCUCCUAACAACUGGAUAACCCUUUGUUGGAUCCACAUGUUCUCGAAUAAUCAAUUGCUUGCACACUGGAUGUUAAACCAGUGGACCAACAGUAGUGCAUCGUGUGCCCUAUCAAACAAGAAUUUGUGGAUAAAUUGCGUGUCUUUGUAAACAAAUUUAGAAUAAAUGCUAAUUGACAAACAAGAAUGUGUGGUGCUAUGAAAAUCUGGCAUAUGGGGCCUAAUGUAUAAGAAGGGAAGUGGCUUCGUCGAAUCAUCAACGAGUAAACGAAAUUAGAUCUCAUCUUGUUUUGACUCUAUGUGAUCUAACCAGAAAACCGUAUUAUUGGAACACUAGAGGGAAGGAACACUGAUGAUUCAAUUUUAGACGAUCAAGCACUUUCAACUCAUUCUAAGAAACUAAAGGAAAAAUCUGCUAUCAUACUAAGUAGAUUGAACUCUCUUGGUUUAGCAACUCCAUUAACAUGACACAUCCCGACUCCGAUAUCACCAAAUAUCAUGAUAGGCAUAUGUUGGCCGACACCCGAGGGUGACGAAGCCAUUUUAAACAUGCAUACAAAUAAAAUACUUAAUUAGAAAAAAAUAUGUCAAUGCGGAAACAUGUUCAAAGUAUACAACUAAUCAAGAAUAAUGUGAAAAAAAAAAAAAACUAUAAAAAGAUAUGAACAAAAGAAUGGAUCCUACACAGAGAAGACUUGAAGAUACCUAUGCAUAAGUGCCCUGACGCCAGGAUUGGAUGCCUCAAUUCUAACGCCCGAAGGGGGCGCAAAACAAAGGGUGAGUGAACCAAAGUUUAUAAUACUAAUUGGUGUAAACUUGCAAGUGCACAAGAUAGUCGUAAUAUAGCGUGUUGCAAGUCCAAGUAUCGUUCCCACGAGGAUUCUAAUUAAAUCUCCAAUUUGAUAAACUAAACCAAAUCUAAUAAUAUUAAUGACACACAACCCCAAACAACGAACUAGACUCGAUCUUAAUUAAUAAAUCAAUCAAGGAUGUGAAGAAUUUGUUGUGAUGAUUUUGUAAACGAACAAACAGAACUUUAAGUAAAAACUGAAAUUAAAGAAAAGAAAACGUUGUAUUUUAAGGCAAGUAAUGAAAAUCUAGGGAUUCGGAAUCAACCACAAGCAAUCUAGUUUAGGUUGCAAUGCAUUCAAUGGAUCUUUCGAUUCUUUAGAUGAUAAUUCCCGUAUCUAAGUCCUUGUCAGGCACAUUAGACCAUAGUUUUCCUUAAGUGAAUGAUUCUCUCCUAGUUCAGGCAGAUGUCGUAUAUCCUAACAUGCAGUCUAUCCUGGUUAAGGCAUAAAUUUAACAAGUAUGACUCUUUACGCUCUAGAAAACAAGGGAACCAAGCAAACCAUUAUUCUUUGUCAAGCAAUAAUGUAAUUUACCACACUUAACCACAAGAAGCUAAUUGAAUUAUAUUGCUAGUUCAGCCUCAAAUUCAUCUUCCAAUCUUACUAGAUGCAAAGUCCUAAGGUGAUCAAUCAAAAGAACUCAUACAAAGAGUAACAAUUCAAAAAGUGAUUAAGCAUUCAUCUAAAAGAAUCUAGAAAUCCAAUGAAUAACAUUAAAAACCAUAAACAUUCAUGCUAGGGCAUCAUCCUAACCCUAGAAAAAGAGUUUAGUUACUCAUAAAAUCUGAAAACAUAAUUAAAAUUCUGAAAAACAUAAAAUACUUCCACACGAUGAUGAUGGAUUGCCCAGGUGAUCAGCGACUCUGUUUCACUCCUUGCUGCGACCUCUUCUCUGCACCUUCGAAAAAACCCCAAAAAGCACGUUCCCAAAAACCCCCCUUUAUAUGGUAGACAAGUCCUAACAUAAUUAGGUCUUGUGAUAUCCUUUUUAUUGCAUAAUUGAAUGAUGGGGCAAGUAAACUUCCCAAAUAAUUACUUCAAACCCAUUCGAAAUAGGAUUAAAGUCAGCUCAACACGUUCUAUCUUGGGCUUUGGACUUCGACCAAAUUAUGACUCGAAAAACCCAACAGACUUUGCAAUUUCCGCAUAGACUCGGCUGACCGACGUCUUGUACGAAAACCUUCAUAACAUCGUCUAGAAAACUCAAAAUCACAGUCCGUAAAAUACCUCUGAAAGCUAACAUCCAUAUCUUUCCAAUGGUAUAAGGCUCAACAGCUGGUUCAUUCUGAGCAAGUACAGUUUAAUCCGUAAAGUUGACUGAUCUGCACAAACAGCUUCUGCUUCCAGCAUGCCAACUCAUUUUAAUCGCAAAAGUGCUCAUUUUUCUUGUUUCUUCAUCUUCACUCUUCAAAUCUAAGAAAAACAUAAAACUAAGUGAAACAAACUAAAUUCACUCAAAAACAUAACAAGAAUCGAAACUAAAGGGCAUUAAAAUGUAUGCAAUAUUGGUCGUAUUACUAAUACUAAUGAUAAGAAAAUCAUUUUCUUUCUGAACAUAUUAAUCCCCUAUUUUGAAAACACAUAUAGAACUAUAUAAUAGGUUUUCUAAAAACCCUAGCAUGCCAUGAAAAACUAUAUAAUAGGUUUUCUAAAAACCCUAGCAUGCCAUGAAAAACAUUCAUAAAACAUGUACAUGUAAACAAGUGCUCAGUAAAGGUAAUAUAAUCCAUAAAACAUUCAUAAAUCACAUCAAUGAGGUACUCAACUAGGGGUAUCAUAGUUACCCAAAGGCAUAACCAUCACCCGAAGGUGAAGCUGUACGACUCUAGUUUACGCCAAAGAAGACACAUAUAUAUAGUGUGUCCAUCACCCAAAGGUGAAGCUGUACAACACUGGGUUACGCUAGUGAAGAAAUAAUGGGUCCAUUACCCGAAGGUGAAGCUGUACGACUCUGGGUUACGCUAGAGAAGAAACAUAUACAUAUAACAUAACACACCGACACUAGCUGUAGCUAGUGAAGCUAGGAGUAUGUCAUAAAUAUCCUCGACUAUGUCCUAUGGCCAUAGACAUCUACAGACUCAGUUGUGUGUAUGUGCUGUAUGAUAACCCAUUAGAUAAGCACCGAAAACGUAUCUCAAAAAUCUCAUAUCAAAUCCGAAUCUUAAAAGCUCAAAACAUCAAUUCAUAAAUCCAAAUUAAAUCAUAUUCAUAAAUCCAUAGAAUUCCAUAUACCAAAAUCCAAUAAUUCAUAGCCUUUAGUAAAACGUAAAUUCGAUAAAUCAUCAAUAUUUCGUAAAAGCAAUUUAAAUAAAUCAUAAAUUCUCUGUAAACCAUAACUAUAGAAAUCCGUAAAACAUAAUAUAAAACAUACUCAAUUAUUGAAAUAUGAAAUGCAUGCAAGCCUAAUAUUUUAUAAAAACUUGUAAUUUGAGAAGAGGUCCACUCACAGUAUUUCAUUGCAGGGGAGCCGCUCGAACUAGAGAGGACGGGGUCACUUCCACUCAAUGCACCUAUACACAAAAAGAGACCAUUUAAUAAAACUCUACUAAAACGAUAGAAUUUGCGAAAACUAACAGCGGAUUCGGAUUCGGCACGUCGAAAAAACUAAGGAAGGACCCCAGGUUGCCCCACGCGUCGCCACAGAGGAGCAGCCCAUGGUCCACCGCACACGCUGCCACGCACCGAGCUGGGUUGCCAAAAAAUCCGUCGUCGUCGCAGUGGACGGCAAUAGAGGCGCGUGUGCUCCAUGCACCAGCCAUAACAACUUUCUCCGCACACCCACUCACCGACCAUGGAAACUAGAAUUGGGUCCAGGUCGAAUCUAGGCUUUGGGUUGCUGGGUUGGGCUGAGUUAGGGUUAAUAAGACAAGGGUUUAGGUUACAUGGCCCAAAGGUUUAGGCCGGUUAUUGGAUCAAGUUUUUGGGUUGCAGGUCAGGUCGACCAGUUAGGCUCACAGGUCGCACAACCCCCGCUAGACCCAACAAAUGAGAAAGCUGGAUUUGCCUUUCCUUGGCCGGAAAACUUCGACGAUUCCAAUUAGUUCCAAAUUUCAACCAUUUUUCACACUCUUCCUACCAAAAUGAAGCUUAAGAGAAGAGGAAGAGAAAUAUACCAGCACGAGGUUCUACUGUGGUCGGAGUUGGCGGGAAAACUGCUUAAAAGCCGCAAGAAAACUAGGGGAGUUUUCUUGAAUCUGUGUCCGACCUCAUCAAAUUAGAAAUUUAACAUCUUGCUUCUAAAUCAUGAAGGAAUAACGGCAGAGGUGAACAUAGGCUUACCUUGAUUGGAACUAUGAGAUCUCGCCGGAAAAUACGGGGAACAGUGCAGCAACAUUGUACAGUGAGAAAGAGAGAAGAGGAGGAGCCUCAGCCGGUCUAGGGUCGCUAUGGGGAGGUCCCAAGGGUAAUGGGGUCGUCGGAGAGUGAGCCAUGGUAGUGGAGGUCACAGUGGUGUGUGGGUGUUGCUCGGAGAGAAUGAUAAGAGGGAGGGAAAGUUCGAGAGAGUCCUAGAGAUUGUGGGGGGAAAGACACGGGGAAGAAGGGGAAAUGGGG